rnacentral:lncRNA from 1 species
CGACUAUUUGAUAAGUUGAGCUGGGGUAUGAAUUGGAAUUGAAGUGAGAUAGUUUCGAGGACGAAACUCUUUUAAGGAGAGGAGGAUGUAAGGUACCGGACUUCUAAAAUCAUGAAGUUACGGUGUACAUUUGGUUUGAAAGCCAUUUGAAUGGUUCUGGUGAGGUUGCGAUGGAAUGUAAUAUACCGGAUUUUUAAAUAUAAAAAUAAAAAUAAAUAAAAAUAGUAUGAGAUACUAUUUUUAUUGGAUUUAGAGGAGUAAAACAUAAGUCAGAAGUGACUUGUGCGGAAAUCGGAAUGAAAACAGAAGAUUUAGAAUUUUCUGUUAGAAACGGGGCAGAUAAAUAAGCAGAAAAUGCACAGUCUCAGAAAAUUAUGAAAAUUGGAGGAUAAGUCAGAAAUAUUUUUAUGAGACUAGAUUUAAAGUUUCAUAUUUUUAUGACACACGUAGAGUGAGAAAUAAAAUCCGACAGCUAUCUGAUAAAGAUUACAGUUCGGUACAGUUUUCGGUGACCAAAUGGGGUCGAAACUGAAAACUUAAAAUAUAUUCUUACUCAGUACGUUAAACUGAGCUUCCCUGUCAAAUUUGAGCUCAAACGGACAUUCAGAAGGGCUCAAACUGUUCCGAACUGCAAAAACUGCCUGAAGUGAAUAGUGUUUUGGGGUGUAUUAUAAAGAAGAUGUUGCUUCUUCUUCCCCAACCGACCAGCACCCCACCACCCUCUCGUGCGCAUGGUGAGAGAGAGAGAGAAAGCUCCUUUCUCUCUCUAGAUUUCUCUCUCAUUUCUCUAUAUUUCUCGCUCAAAUUCGCGGGGUUGGUGGAGAAGAUGCUUGCGAACGCAUUGGAGGCGACGGAUCGAGCUUUCGUGCGCCCGUUGGAGCGGCGUAUUUUCGUCGCGGCGUUCACAUUGAGGUAAGCUUUUGGGAUUUGGCUUAAUCCUUAGCUUUAAGUGUUCUAAUAGCCUCUAAUGAGCUUUGUUAGCAUGUUGAUCCAUUUAAUUUUGGAUUAUUUUGAGGUUAAUUGCAUAUUAGGGCUCCGAAUGGGGUUUUGUAAAAUAUAAGGGUUUGAUCUAAUUUGACCCUUCGUAAACCUAAUUGCUAGGUAAACGAACGCGUUGGCGAAGACGGUUCGGCGAUUCGUCGAGCCGGUGCGAAGUUAUUAAAGAAACGGACGUUUAGGCUUCAUUUUCGUCUGAAGGGCCUAGGCGACGUCGUAAAAUCCUGGAAACGGAUUUGAAGCACCGUAACAGCAAAACGAAGACCCUUUUUGCCCGAGGUUGCGAAGCGAUGCGCGGUUGGUGCGCAAUUGCAAGUUCCGGCGGAACCGAGCACCGGGUGCCGCGGGAGGCCGAUUGCAAGUGUCGACAAGCAAUCGGAAUGCGAAAUGAGGUGGGUUGUGCUUACCGAAGCGACUAGGUCGCCCUUUAUGUCUAAGAAACAUACGAAUUCACAUUGAUGCAUAUAGUUGUAUUGGUAGGCUUACAUGAUAAUAUGAAUGCUUGAAACAUAUUAUGUAGUUGAUAUUACCUACCAAUGAGAUGAAAUGUAUAAUGAAUUAAAUGGUAAAAGAAUGCAUGAGAUGCUAAGUAUAGACUACUUUGGAUGAUGAUUAAAUGUAUGUUGACAUAUCAUAUAAUGUGCAUGAUGACAUGUUGUGAAUUAACAUAUUGUGGAUUAUGUUAAAUAGAAACAUAUACAUGAUGACAUAUAUUGCAUAUGAUAGAAGAAUUAUACAUGUUGCCAUAUUGUGGAACAUAGUGGAUGAAUUAUGCAUGUUGAACUUGGUCGAUUAGAGAAAUUGACAUUGGAAAACAAGAACACAUCGAGUGGCAUUAAUGUAGUGUAUUUGACACUAGAGGUUUGAGAACCUAGGGAUAGGUGAAUCCCUUAGAAAAUGCCUUGUGGAUAAAGAACUUAGUAAACCUAAGUACCCUCACAUGGAGAGGUUGUCGAUGAGUUAUUGAGAUAUUGACUCUAGUUGUAGAGCAUCCUCACUUGGAGAGGAUUUGAUUGGGUUGUUGACUCUAGUUGUAGAGCAUCCUCACUUGGAGAGGAUUUGAUUGGGUUGUUGACCCUAGUUGUAGAGCAUCCUCACUUGGAGAGGAUUUGAUUGGGUUGUUGACUCUAGUUGUAGAGCAUCCUCACUUGGAGAGGAUUUGAUUGGGUUGUUGACCCUAGUUGUAGAGCAUCCUCACUUGGAGAGGAUUUGAUUGGGUUGUUGACUCUAGUUGUAGAGCAUCCUCACUUGGAGAGGAUUUGAUUGGGUUGUUGACCCUAGUUGUAGAGCAUCCUCACUUGGAGAGGAUUUGAUUGGGUUGUUGACUCUAGUUGUAGAGCAUCCUCACUUGGAGAGGAUUUGAUUGGGUUGUUGACCCUAGUUGUAGAGCAUCCUCACUUGGAGAGGAUUUGAUUGGGUUGUUGACCCUAGUUGUAGAGCAUCCUCACUUGGAGAGGAUUUGAUUGGGUUGUUGACCCUAGUUGUAGAGUAUCCUCACUUGGAGAGGAUAGAUCUAGCUCACAGUCUGCGUUUGGGAUGGUAUAGCCAUCCAAUCCCCACAUGGAGGGGAUUGUCGUCGAGUACUCCGGAGUGUCGCGCGACUAGGACCACUUGGAGGUCCGGACCACAUGGAGGUCCGCAGACGGUCCCGGGCUUGGGUGCACUUGGAGCUCCCUCCCCACUUUGGGAUUGAAAGGUGAGUUAUUGGCGAACCCUAGGGCUUCGCUACAGAUUGGGUAAAAGAACAGUGAACAAUGUCAUUGAACAUUAUUAUUCGAACAUGGAUCGAAUUCGUUAGCAUGAUAGUAAACCUUUACUAUUUGAUGCAUGGUAUGAGUUUUAGUUGCAUCCCAGUUGAGUGGAUUUAGGGCUGAGGUGCAUGUGAGACAUCCUUCACCUUGAGCCUGGCUUUGUGCGGUAUUCCGCGUAUGAUUGACUCAAGACCGAGUCGAGUGGAUAGCUUAUGAAAGCAGGUUAAACCUUAUGAGCAGAAUUGUAAUUGACAAGAAUCUAAGAUAGAGGAAAACUUAGAAGUCAAUUGGUUGAACUGUGAAUAACAGGAAUAAAAGUAGUAUCGAUUGAACUACUAGUUGGUUGCAUGGUUGCAUAAACUGCAUGAAUUUCAUAUUGCAUAUUGUGAGGCACAACAUGUAUUUCAAUACUUGAAUAUAUAUAUCUGUUGGAUAUCUGUUGGACUAACAUGUUGCAGGGCCUCCUUAGACCUAUUGGUCGAGCUUUUCCCUUGGGUGGCCGUACCCACUGGGAACCAUGGAGUUGGUUCUCACCCCACGUUGUUUUGGGGUGUUACAGGUUCGCACGUGAGCGGCGCGGCGGCGCAAGGCGAGGGCGUAGCUCCAUAGAUAGCGCCCUACCCCAGAGACCAGAGAUAGAGGUACCCCGAGUCGGCAUAGCCUAGGGGUAGAGGGAAAAGAAAAAGAGCAAACUUGUAAUAAUAUUGCGAUCAUUGAUUGUAUUUGGAAGAAAAUGUAAUGUAAUAAUGCUAAUGUGAUGUAAAAAUGAAUCUAAUGGGAAUGCUUGUAAUAACAUAGGAUGUGUUAUGUUGUUUGAUACCUUCCUUAUGCAAUCUUGCUUGAAUACUGUUCCUGGUUGGAACUUCUUGUACUUGUAUUGAUUGCGACGCCUAGGACGUACAGGGGAGACUCUGUCCGUUCGGCGGUCUGUCGGCGGCGCCGCGACCUCGGCCAAAUAGGCGGGUGGUCGCGGGUCGUGACAGUGAGGGAAGGAAAGAUGAGAGCAAUCUUCUCUUGAAGUAGAAUCUUCACAAAGAAAAUGAUUGCGGAGGUGCGCUUUGGAAAAGGUAUGAAAGUUCCAAGUAUUGGUUUGGUAGUAGCAAACGUCGUCAUUUAGAAUGUUUAAAACAGUGUGAAGAAGGAUAGGAGUAAUGGCAAGAGCACGUCCCCGAUAGCAGGAAGUAAUGGUAGUAAAUUCGGAAUUAAAAGUAGCAUUUGCAUAAAAAGUCCUAAUUAGGUCCGGAUAAAAAGGUCGUGAAUUUUGAACAAAAAAAUCCCAACCUACUUGUGUGAGCCUAUCCAAAAGUUCAUAACAAUCAAAGUUUAGAUGAUGAAUGUUACGGCAAGGUUGAACGGGACAACCUAAAAGAAAUUUAUCUUGAGCUUCCCUAGAGAUAAAAUUAAAAGCAUCAAAGUCAUCAUUUGAAUAAUCUCUAUGUGAGGAAGGGCCACGAGAUGCAUUUUUAGUUCUAGGCAUUUGUCAAAUUAUUUUUUUUAAAAAAAAUCUAGGGUUUAUGCAAAAGAUGAGCAAAAUGAAAGAUCUAAGAUGAAAUGAUGUAGAUCUAGGUAGAGAAAAAGAUUAUGUUGAACAAAGUACAAGAAAUUUGUAAAAAAAAAUUUUUUUUUUUUAAACAUGGUUAGGGUUAACAGCAGAAAAGAAAAAAAAAAGAAAAGGAAAAAAAAAUUACCACAGAUGGGGAGAAAUGGAGAGGAAAUCCGAGUUCUGGAAGAGAUUUGGGCGUAGCUGAUGCGGGUUGGGCGCAAGAAAUGGGCGACUGGACUGGGAGGAGUACGGAGAAGAGAAGAAAAGAAAAAAAUUUGAAAGAGAGAGGGCCUGUCGGGUGCUAGGACGACAAGAGGGCUCGCUCGCGGGUUUCAGGCACGAGUGCGAGUCGACGCGGUCGCCCGGAUCCGCAACCCGGAACCCACCAAGGCAGUCAAAACCGGCAAGGUGGUCAAACGGAGUUUCAGGCGCGGGUGUGAACCGAACUAGUCGCCUGGAUCCAAAACCCGAUAACCUGCUAGAGCUACUGCGGUUACCGCAUGUUUCGAGCGCCCGAAAUUUUUUUUCGGGAGACCGAAAAAUGGCGUGCAAAAAGCAAAAAAAAAAUGAUUCCAGCUAAUAAACAGCGAGGCAAAUAACACUCAUUCAAAAACAAAGAAAAAAUCAAGCAUUUAAAUCAAUCAUUCCUAAUUCUCUUCUAAGUUGAGUGAACCUAUCCUUACUAAGUGGUUUAGUAAAAAUGUCCGCUAAUUGAUGAUGGGUGUCCACAAAAUCUAUAGUGACAUCUCCUUUUAGAAUAUGAUCUCUAAUGAAAUGAUAUCUAAUUUCAAUGUGUUUAGUUCUAGAAUGUUGAAUAGGAUUUCUAGAUAGGUUGAUGGCACUAGUAUUAUCACAUUUGAUUGGAACUUGUUUUUGAUGCACUCCAAAGUCCUCAAGGGUUUGUUUCAUCCAUAAAACUUGUGCACAACAACAACCCGCCGCGAUAUACUCGGCUUCGGCGGUUGAAAGUGCAACAGAAUUUGCUUUUUCGAAAACCAUGAGACUAAGGAGUGACCAAGAAAUUGAUAAGUUCCACUCGUACUUUUCCGAUCAACUUUGCACCCGGCAAAGUCGGCAUCCGAAAAGCCAAUGAGAUUAAAAUUAGUGCCCUUGGGAUACCAUAAUCCUAAGUUGAGAGUCCCCUUAACAUAUCUAAGAAUUCUCUUUACGGCCACUAGGUGUGACUCCUUAGGUUGAGUUUGAAACCGAGCACAAAAGCAAACACUAAACAUAAUGUCCGGCCUACUUGCGGUAAGAUAAAGUAAACUACCAAUCAUACCUCGGUAGAGCUUGAUGUCAGCAUCCUUGCCUUUUUUGUCCUUGUCAAGUUUAGUUGAAGCACUCAUUGGAGUGUUUGUCUCCUUUGAGUUUUCCAAGCCAAAUCUGUUGAUUAGACCUUUUGCAUACUUGGCUUGAUUAAUGAAUAUUUCAUCCUUCAUUUGUUUAACUUGGAGUCCAAGGAAGAAUGAGAGCUCCCCCAUCAUGCUUAUUUCAAACUCAUUUUGCAUUAGUUUAGAGAAUUCUUUGCAAAGAGAUUCAUUAGUAGCACCACAUAUAAUAUCAUCAACAUAGAUUUGUAUAAUGAGAAAAUCUUUAUCCUUAAUUUUGAUAAAUAAUGUGGUGUCAACUUUUCUUCUUGAAAAAUUAUUUGAAAUAAGAAAAGUGCUAAGUCUUUCAUACCAAGCCCUAGGAGCUUGUUUUAACCCGUAGAGCGCUUUUGAAAGCUUAAAAACGUGAUCCGAAAAGUUAUGUUUUUCAAAACCGGGUGGUUGCUCAACAUAGACUUCUUCAGAAAUAUAUCCAUUUAAGAAAGCACUUUUUACAUCCAUUUGAAAUAACUUGAAAUUCAUGUAAGAGGCAAAAGCCAAAAGAAUUCGAAUAGCUUCAAGUCUAGCCUUGUUUCAAACCACAACACUGGAUUCAUCUUGCUUGUUUCGGAAAACCCAUUUAGUGCCAAUAAGGGUAUGAUCACUUGGUCUUUCCACAAGCAUCCAAACUUGGCUCCUCUCCAAUUGGUUGAGUUCUUCUUGCAUCGCAAUGAGCCAAUUUUCAUCAUUAAUCGCUUCAACAAAAUUUUUAGGUUUAAUUUGAGAUAUGAAAGCCAAGUGAUCACAAAGUAAUCUAAGAGAGGAUCUUGUCUUGACUUUUUGACUUGGAUCUCCAAUGAUGGAGUCCUUGGGGUGAUAAGUGGUGAAUUUCCACACUUUAGGUAAGGGAGUGGGUUCAAUCUCUUUAGAGAUGAACUCCUCACUUUUCUUAGAUGGUUCAACUUCUUGGGGUGUGGAGUUUAUAUUUAGCUUCUCAAAGUAUCUUCAUAGGAAGUAUCCUUUCCCUUAUAUUCUUCAAAGAGAAUGUGCAUACUAUCCUCUAUUAUUAAAGUUCGUCGAUUAUACACUCGAUAGGCUUUACUAAUAGAGCAAUAACCCAAGAAUAUUGCUUCAUCGGAUUUAGCAUCAAACUUUCCCAGCUUGUCUUUUGUGUUUAAAAUGAAACAUUUACAACCAAAAAUUUUGAAGUAACCAAUAUUGGGAGUUCUAUUAUGCCAUAAUUCGAAAGGAGUCUUCUCAAGGAUUGGUCGAAUUAGAGCACGAUUCAUAAUAUAGCAAGCUGUGUUUACGGCUUCGGCCCAAAAAUAUUUAGGCACUCCCCCUCAAUUAACAUAGAUCUAGUCAUAUAUUGGAUAGAUCUAUUUUUGCGUUCAACAACCCCAUUUUGUUCAGGUGUUCGAGGGGUAACAAAUUGAUGUUCUAUUCCCAAUUCAUUGCAAAACUCUUCGAAGUUAUGAUUUUCGAAUUCACCACCAUGAUCACUUCUAAUUUUGAAAAUUAUACAAUUCUUUUCAUUUUGAAUACGAUAGACAAAGUCUUUGAAGGAUUUGAAGGUAUCAUACUUGUGUCUUAAAAAUAAAGUCCAAGUAUAUCUUGAGUAAUCAUCAACAAUUACGAAAAUAUAGUUGCUUCCACCAAGGCUAGAGACAUCAAUUGGUCCAAAAAGAUCCAUAUGAAUCAAUUCCAAAGGCCUAGUUGUAGAAACAACAUUUUUGGAUUUAAAAGAUGAUUUUACUUGCUUUGCUUGAGCACAAGCAUUGCAAACCUCACCUUUGGCAUAGUCUAUUUUAGGUAAACUUUUUACAAGUUUUCUUUUGGAGAGUUUUGAAAGAGAAUCCAUACUAGCAUAUGCUAAUCUUCUAUGCCAAAGCCACGAUUCGUUAAUUUGAACCGAAAAAUAUUUUUCUCCUUCAUGUGAGAGUUUGCCUAAAUCAACGGUGUAAACAUUCUUGGAUCUAAAACCCAUAAAAGCUACCUCAUUUGUAGAUAGAUCAAGAAUGCUACAAUGAGAUGUUUCAAAUUUAACAAAAUAGCCUUUGUCACAUAAUUGACUAAUGCUUAGUAAAUUAUGCUUAAAACCAUCAACUAAAAGAAUUUUUGAAAUAUUAACCUUUUCAUUACCAAUUGUGCCGAUUCCAAUGAUCUUUCCUCUAGUAUUGUCUCCAAAGGUAACAAAUCCUCCAUCUUUCAUUUCAAUUAAUUUAAACUUGGUUUGGUCCCAAGUCAUAUGUCUUGAGCAUCCGCUAUCCAAGUACCAUUUGUCAUUUGCACCUUUUGAUUGGAGACACACCUACAAAAACAAAUAAAGUUUUUAACUUUGGUACUCAAGUGAGAUUAGGUCCUUUUGAGUUAGUUAAAUCUUUCACAACCCAAAUUUGGUUAAGUUUAGGAUUCUUCUUAUAUUUACAAGAGGAUAUAUGAUGUCCUAUAAUAUUGCAAUAGGAGCAAUGCAAAGUUGGGUUUUGAUUUGUACUUUUAACAAAAACCUUUCUCUUAGCUUUUGUUAACUUGACAUUGUUUGAAUUAGGAACAUAACCUAUCCCAAACUUUUUAAAAUUUACAACUUGACUUCUAAGCAUCAUAUUUAGAUACUUGGUUCCACCAACAAAUUUCUCAAGAGUUUUCUUUGUUUCAUCUAAACUAACUUUGAGUUGUUGAUUUUCAACUUGAAGUUUUUCAAGUUGUUUGUCAUAAUGAAAAAUUGGCUUAAAAUUUUGACCUACAAUUUUCUUCUUUAAAGCUUUAUUUUCACGAAUGAGACUAUAACAUGUCUCAUUAGCUUGUUUAAGCUCUUUCGUGAGUAAAGAGUCCUCAUUUUCAAGUACUAAAAAAGGAUUUGAAGUUGAAAGUUUUAAGUUGUUUACUUCCAUCUCUAAUAAGGCAUUUUACUUUUUGAGAAAUGUAUAUUUCGAACCCAAACUUUGUAGAUUAUCAUAUAAAGAAAAGAAGGCUUCUAAAAGUUCAUCAUAACUUAGAUUAUUUACCUAAUCUUCAAGAGCCAUAAGACAUAGGAUUGAGCUUUGCUCCUCAAGGCAAAUUUGGGCAACUUCGUUUUCCGAUUCAUCAUCGCUAGAUUCGUCGGGGGCAUCCCAAUUUAGUGCAUUGAAGGCUUUCUUUUUCUUGUCUUUCUUAAAAGUUUUGUUUGGAAGAGUGCAUUCACUUUUCAAAUGUCCCGGUUUAUUACAAUUGUAGCAAAUGAUUCCUUCCUUGAAUCCUUCACCUUUGAACACGUCUCGUUUAGGUCUCCUCAAGUUGCGCUUCUUGAUUAGUCAAUCGAGCCUUUUUGAAAUCAUAGCGAUUUCUUCGCUCGAACCUUCUUCACCAUCUUCACUCUCGGAAGCAAUGACUCCCUUAAGUGCAAGGCUUUUCUUUUUCUCGGGAGCCGCUUCGUUGUCAUAUUCUUUGAGGCGUUGUUCAUGCGCCAUGAGUGAUCCAACAAGUUCAUCAAUUUUUACUUUGUCCAAGUCAUGAGCUUCUUGGAUAGCCGUAACCUUAGGUAUCCAACUUCUUGGUAGUACACGAAGAAGUUUUCGUACCAAGUCCGAUUGAGGAAAAUCCUUACCUAAGGCUUUCAAGCUAUUUAUAAUGUUAGUAAAUCUUGUGAACAUAUUCGAAAGGGAUUCACUUUCCUCCAUUUUGAAUAGUUUAUAAUUUGACAUAAACAUGCUUAUUUUAGAUUCCUUCACCCUAAAAGUACCUUCAUGAGUAACUUCUAAUUUAUUCCAAAUCUCUUUAGCCGUUGUGCAUGUAGAGAUUCGGUGAAACUCUUCUCUACUAAGAGCGCAAAGGAAUGAAUUGAUAGCUUUCGCAUUCAAUUGAAAGCGAAAUUUUUCGGCUUCAUUCCAUUCCGCUCUUGAUUUUGAUGGAGCGAUGUAACCACUUUCGAUUAUAUCCCAAAUAUCAAAAUCUAGAGAUUGAAAGAAUAUCUUCAUUCUAAUCUUCCAAAAAGGAUAAUCGGUUCCAUCAAAAAAUGGUGGCCGAACAAUAGAUUGUCCUUUGAUAUUCUUUCCCGUGGAUGCCAUUCUUACUUAGAUUUUAAUCUAAAUAAUGUGAGACCUUGCUCUGAUACCAAAUGAGGAUCAAAAUGGCAACCUAAGAGGGGGGGGUGAAUUAGGUUUUUAAAAUAAAAAUCCAAAUAAUCAAGCAAAUUAAAAACCCGAUGCAAAUAAAAGUGAGGAGUUUAAAGAAAUGCAAACUCGAAAAGCACACGAUCAAUUUGUUUCGAGGUUCGGCACUUUGCCUACGUCCCCGCCAACUUUUCAACACUAGAGAAUGUUGGAUCUCCACUAGAUGAUGCUUUUGCGGGCAAUCACGAAGCCUUCACACCAACACCUUCUUCUUUCAAGCUUCAAGACUUUGCUUUUCUCUUUUUUUACAAAAUUAAAUCUCACUACAAAUUUCACUCAAGUAUAGAGAGAGAAUUGUGAGCUAAGAGUAUUAGAGAUACUAAAUUUUUAAGCUCAAAAUGAACUAUCUAGUUGCUACUGAGAAAGGCCUCAAUACCAUCUAUUUAUAGCCUCGGGCAGCUUUUGUCCAUUGUACUUUCGGGCGCCCUAAACCUGUUUCCGGGCGCCUAGAAGUUGUGCACCCCAGCUGCCUGUUAGACCACGUGCGCCGCUUUUCUUGACUUCAUAAGUUCGGGCCGUCAAAAGUUGUGGGCGCCCAAAUCACGAGCGACAGCUUUUCUGACACGCGCCGCUUCCUCUGGAUUUAGGCCGUCAGAAAUUGUAGGCGCCCAGAUCUUGAGGGACAACUUUUUCUGACAGCCGGAUUUUUCUGGAUUCGGGAUCAUUUUGGGCUCCCAGAAGAUGUGGGUGCUGAGAUUUUCAACGCACGCGCCGCCUGCGUCAGAACUUUUUGGGUUGAUACGCAACCUGUCAAGCCAAAUACUUUCGGUCGCCCAAAACUUAAAUUCGGGCGACCAGAUCCGGUAAAGAAGUUUCUGGACCACUCAAACAGCAAACAGGCAGGAUCCAAAAAGUCUCAUAAGAUUCGGAUCCACUUUAGGGCGCCCAAAACAGGGUCCAGAAAUCGCAACUUGACAGAACACAGAAUUUGAGAAGUUUUUGAAUAUUUAAAAAUCCUAUGCACCUAAUCAAAAGUUAGAAAUUUGUUUAAGUGAUCUAUAAGGUGAUAAGAUGAAUAGUUUUAAACUUAGCUCAAAAUUUCUCACUCUAAUAGAGCAUCAUAUUAAGAAUAGAGAGAGUGAGUUUGUCUUUUUGACAAAGGAAGCAGGUAUAACUUCAAGUCGUGAGGCUCGGUGCUAGAAAAUUACCCAUCUUGAGUCCUUUUUGAAGAUAGAAACAUAAAACUCAAGAUAAAAGAUUAGUCCAAUAAUCGUAAUUAUUUGUUAUCAUCAAAAUCUAAUAAAAGAUUAGGGCCACUAGGCCAACACAUAAUAGGUCAUUUGAACUUCGGAUAGAACCACCCACCUCGUAGUGAUGCCAGAGAGCGAGAAACCAAUUCCCGCGAUUUAUAGACAUCCGCUCCUCUCGACCCACGACAAACGAAGCCGAAACGAGAAUUUUCCUCAAUAGCUCGACGUAGACUCGUCGGAACUUCGAUUCGAGCCGCCCAACGCAUCGGUUUACACUUCAAUAAGGAUGACAAGAGAUCAAACCCAUGUUAGAUCUCUCAUUUCACAAAACCUUAUUUCUAACUCUAGGGUUCAUACAUGAUACCCUAAAACACAAUUUUUCUAGGAUUUCACAGCAUGAAAUAAGCUCUAGAAAUCCAAGAAACUUGAAAACCAAUAAAUUAGGAAAUUUAAACCAAACCGUAACCAAGAAGUGCAAGAAACCUUGUCACGCCCCGAGCUCCGCCAAUUUGGUCGGAUUCGAGCACGCGACUGACAACGAACGGACAGUACCUCCCCUGUCCGCCCAAGGCUCCAACAAUAAGUAUAUUACAAGCAAGUCAAAGGAGAAUUGCGGAAUAUACAAGGUUUGCACGAGGGCAAACAACAACACAAGUGAAAGCAUCGAAACUAACUAAACAUCCAAUACAUGUCAUUUGAUUACAUUUGCAUCAAACACAAGUAGUUUAUACAUUUAUUUACAUCACGACUUUCUUUAACCAAGAUAUAAUUUACAUCACUUUCACAUUGCUAUUUCAACAUGCAACAGUUGAGUACACCAAAAGUAGGGUAUGCCUAUGUAACUCCGGGGUUGCUAUCUACGGCGCGACUCCCUUGUCUCGAUCCUCCGCCGCCCCGCUCACGUACGGAUCUGCAGGGUUAGUGGUAAUGAGAACUAGAACGAAGUUCCCAGUGGGUUCGGCCGCCGACCACGCCGAUUCGCCCACUAGGUCUAAUUCAGGCAUAUGUAUUUCAAUAAAGAAGAAUAACAAACCAACUAAUGCACUUCUAAUACAAUGCCUGCAAGAAAGAAUUCACAGAAAGAUAUUCAUAUUCAAAUACAUGAUUACUAUGCAUGCAUAUCCUUUUUCACUUUCCUUUGGCCUUUACCCAAUUCAACCUGGGGUGCUCCUGGUUUACCCAACUCACAGUCCACAUAUCCAUCUAACGGGGAAGGCACAAGGCACUACCACCCGAAGGAUCUUCGCCGGGCACGUCCACCUGUGGUGCAUAUCUUCUCCGGAGUACACCGCCCGUGGAGGAGCGACCUCGCACAAGCCGGAACCAAUACAUGUGAGUAUGAUCCCAUCCUCAAAUUUUGAGGAGGUAUGGCCAACCUGUCACAAUUCUCACUGUCUCGAUGCCGCUGAAUGGUUAUUACCUAUUCAUGCACAUACUGUCACUUGCCAAUGUCAUGGUGGUCCUGAUGCCACAAUACACAUAAUGUCGCUCGGGUUAAACCUUGUUUAACUAUUCACUUAUCAAUGUCAAUCAAGUCACUAAUGUCAACGUCACCUUUAUUUACUACGGUCACAGUCAUUUCUUACAUUCACAUGCAUAUAGGGUCUUUAACUAUCUUUGUUCACAUGGAUCUAUAUCAUCACAAUAAUCUUACGCAGAUAAUUGUCACAACCAACAUAUAUUAUUCAUUACCCUACAUGCAAGAAUGCUAUAGUAUCAGCAUGCUCAAAGAAGGGACAUAGACAUAGAAAGAGAUCCGGUGUUUCCGGAUAGCACCCCCCACCUUUGUGUGUCACAAGGAUGCCACGGUUCUGAUUCCGAGAUUUUAGGACACGAUCGUCGCGAGCUACGACGAUCUGUACUAUUUCUGCUUGUCUUUCCAAUAUCUUCGCGCACGCUCGUCGUAUCGCCGAAUCGAGCGCACCGAUGCGUUCGUAGACCUUGGGAGUCCAAAACUUCUCUUCAAAGCCUUGCUCUAGCUCGAUCUUCACCUUGGAGAGUUUCUUCUCCAAGCCUUUCUCCUCCAAAACCCUCUUGGUCCAAGCCCUAGAGAGAGAGAGAGAAGAAGAAAAGGGUUUUAGAGAGAGAGAGGGAAGGUUUGAGAGUGAGAGUGAGAACAAAUGAGUUCUCACUCAUGCCCUAACCCAUAUAACCCCUCUCAAGCCAUAUUUUCAUAUUUGCAUUUAAACCCCUCAACCUUUCGUUUUUACAAACAGCCCUCACUGGGCAUUUUCGGGCUCGGGGACCGGUCUCUCCCCUCCAGGGAUCGGUUCCCGAGAGCUGUCCUGCAACCUACGCAAAAGGGGACCGGUCUCCCCCUGAUGAAACCGGUCUCCGGGGACCGGUCUCCCGCCGAAGGACCGGUUCCCGAGAGCUCAGUUUCCAGGACUUAGCCGAUUUUUCCUUCUGCUCGAUUUACCAACGUUCGGGAACCGGUCACUCACCCAAGGGACCGGUCCCCGAGAGGAAAAAUUCUGGAAAUUAUCCAGAAUUGCAGUUUUACUCUCUCGGGUCCCUUUAUAUUUCAUAUAUAGGCUCCAAUUCACUUUUAGCCUAUAGUAACUCAUUCCUUUCCGCGUUCCGCUCACUUCGACGGAACUCGGCACGAUUCACGGGGAAGUGAUAUGUUACAUUCCCCACCCCUUAAAAUUGUUUCGGCCGCGAAACUAAUUCACUCGUAAUUCAACAUCCAUACCUCAUCUUAGUUCCUCGAAGAGAUGAGGAUGACGUUCCUUCAUCACGCCCUCAAGCUCCCACGUUUCCUCUCGAUCGCCGUGUUCGCUCCAAUGGAUCUUAACAUACGGAAUUUCUCGAUUCCGUAGCUUUCGCACCUCCCGACCAACAAUGUAUGCCGGAAACUCCUCGCAGGUCAUGUCUUCUUGAAGUUCUAUCGAUAUAUACGAGAGAACAUGCUCCGGAUCGUGAACAUACUUGCGGAGAUUAGACACAUGGAACACAUUGUGCACCCCCGCAAGCCUCGGCAGUAAUGCUACUCUGUAGGCCGCCGCGCCAACUCUUUCUAAGAUCUCGAAGGGUCCGACAAAUCUGGGACUUAACUUUCCCCGGACACCAAACCUCUUAACACCGCGCAUUGGCGAUACCUUUAGAAACACGUGGUCUCCAACCGCGAACUCAAUGUCCUUCCUUCGCUUAUCGGCAUAGCUCUUGUGCCUUGAUUGCGCCGUCACUAACCUUUGCCGGGCAAGACGAACUUUUUUCCCCGCCUCCCGAAAAACUUCUGGGCCAAGAUUAAUUUUCUCGCCCACCUCGCUCCAAUGAAUUGGCGAGCGACACUUCCUUCCAUAUAGGGCUUCAAAGGGCGCCAUUGCAAUACUUUCUUUAUAGCUAUUGUUGUAUGCAAAUUCCACCAUCGAUAAGUAAUCAUGCCACCCUCCACGAUAGUCAAGCACACAUACUCGCAACAUGUCCUCGAGUAUUUGAAUCGUCCUCUCAGAUUGUCCAUCACUCUGAGGGUGAAACGCCGUACUAAAAUCGAGCUGCGUACCUAGAGCAUCCUGGAAGCUCCUCAAGAAAUGAGAAGUGAAUCGGGGAUCUCGAUCUGAUACAAUCGACACAGGAACCCCAUGUAGUCUCACUAUCUCGUCCAAGUAAACCUGGGCUAACUUGUCUCCUGACCACGUGGUGUGGAUCGGCAAAAAGUGAGCCGAUUUCGUCAAACGGUCCACAACCACCCAUAUGGCGUUAUGUCUAGCUUGCGAUCGGGGCAGCCCGACCACAAAGUCCAUCGCGACAUUCUCCCACUUCCACACGGGGAUUAGUAGACUCUGCAACUUCCCCGCGGGAAAACGACGCUCAGCUUUUACUUGUUGGCACGUCAUGCAUUGCGCCACGAACUCUCUGAUGUCCUUCUUCAUACCCGGCCACCANGAAAUGAGAAGUGAAUCGGGGAUCUCGAUCUGAUACAAUCGACACAGGAACCCCAUGUAGUCUCACUAUCUCGUCCAAGUAAACCUGGGCUAACUUGUCUCCUGACCACGUGGUGUGGAUCGGCAAAAAGUGAGCCGAUUUCGUCAAACGGUCCACAACCACCCAUAUGGCGUUAUGUCUAGCUUGCGAUCGGGGCAGCCCGACCACAAAGUCCAUCGCGACAUUCUCCCACUUCCACACGGGGAUUAGUAGACUCUGCAACUUCCCCGCGGGAAAACGACGCUCAGCUUUUACUUGUUGGCACGUCAUGCAUUGCGCCACGAACUCUCUGAUGUCCUUCUUCAUACCCGGCCACCAAUAAUGCAAUUUUAAAUCCUUGUACAUCUUAGUGCCGCCCGGAUGAAUACUAUACGGGGUAUGGUGCGCCUCUUGUAACACCAUUUUACGAAUCCCAUCAUCCUUGGGUACACACAAUCGGUUUCGAAACCGAAGUGCACCGUCGGUUCCCACGCCAAAAUCACCGACGCGCCCAUCGCUAACAUCAUUCCGCACCUUUUGGAGAUACGGAUCAUCCGCUUGCCGCUCUUUGACUUGCUCCAAUAAGGUCGGUCGAACUACUAAUGCCGCCAGGAUAGUCGGAACUUCUGGCACCACCACCUCCAAUCCAAACCGUUGCAUUUCCUUAUGCAAUGCCGGUUGACUAGUAAUCGUCGCCGCCAAAUUCUCGACAGACUUUCUACUCAGCGCAUCGGCCACCACGUUGGCCAUUCCGGGGUGGUACAGGAUAGUAAGAUCAUAGUCUUUUAUCAAUUCCAGCCACCGCCGCUGCCGCAUAUUCAACUCCUUCUGGGUGAACAAAUACUUGAGGCUUUUGUGAUCAGUAUACACCUCGCAAUGCUCACCAUAAAGAUAGUGCCUCCAAAGCUUCAGCGCGAAAACAACCGCCGCAAGCUCAAGAUCGUGGGUCGGGUAGUUUUUCUUGUAGCUUUUCAACUGGCGCGAAGCAUACGCAAUGACUCGCCCAUUUUGCAUAAAAACACACCCGAGACCGGUCUAGGAAGCAUCACUAUAUACCAUAAAGCCCUUUCCCGGCGUUGGCAAAGCAAGUACCGGGGUAGACGUCAAUUUCCCCUUUAGCUCUUGGAAGUUUCAGUUGCAACCUUCGCUCCAAUCAAACCUUACUCCUUUGUGUGUAAGGCGUGUGAGAGGAGUGGUCAACUUCGCAAACCCCUCAACAAAACGCCUAUAAUAGCCCGUCAGUCCGAGGAAACUGUGGACUUCCGCCACACUCGUAGGACGGGGCCAAUCUCGAAUCACCUCAAUUUUCUUCGGGUCUACCGAGAUUCCAUUCCCAGAUAUCACAUGGCCUAAGAAGGUUACCUCCGAAAGCCAAAAUUCGCAUUUCUUGAGCUUAGCAUAAAGCCUCUCAUCUCGGAGUAUCUGCAACACGGUUCUUAGAUGUCCCUCGUGCUCUUCUUCACUCCGUGAAUACACCAACACGUCAUCGAUAAACACCACGAUGCACAUAUCCAACAACAGUCGAAAGACCCUAUUUAUCAAGUCCAUAAACGCUGCCGGGUUAUUGGUAAGCCCAAACGGCAUCACCGUAAACUCAUAGUGGCCAUACCGCGUACGGUACGCCGUUUUAUGCACAUCCUUCGGUCGCAUUUUCAACUGAUGAUAUCCCGACUUAAGAUCUAUCUUCGAGUAUACCCGAGACCCCUGCAACUGGUCGAACAGGUCAUCUAUUCUGGGCAACGGAUACUUGUUCUUGAUCGUCACCUUGUUCAACUCGCGAUAGUCAACGCAGAGUCGAAGGGUGCCGUCCUUCUUCUUUACAAACAAUACUGGUGCUCCCCAGGGGGACACGCUUGGCUUUAGGAAACCUUUAUCAAGUAGGUCCUGCAACUGGGCCUUUAACUCUUUGAGCUCCACGGGUGCCAUUCUAUACGGAGCCUUUGAAACUGGCGCCGCACCGGGGAUCAAGUCAAUGACAAACUCGACUUCCCGAUCCGGUGGCAGUCCCGGUAACUCCGACGGAAACACGUCCGGGUAUUCACACACCACCCGAAUAUUCCCCAACUCCGGGUGCUCCCUUUGAGGGUCCACGAUGGUCGCUAAAUAAGCUUUGCAACCACCCUUAAUCAUCCUUUUCGCCCUCAUCGUCGAUAUAGUUGCCGCAAAUCGCGCGCCUUUACACGCCCGAUACUCGAAUUCUUCUUAACCAGGCUCACGAAAAGUGAUCACCCUACUGUCACAGUCGAUGCUGGCAUAGUACUUGGAGAGCCAAUUAACUCCCAAGAUGACAUCAAACCCCCACAUCUGCUUGAGCACUAGCAAAUCCACCGGCAUGAUCCAGUCGCCGAUUUGAACUGGACAAGCUAGGCACUCGUCGUGGAUUCUAAACGAGUGCUCUGGUGCGUUAACCCACCAAUAGUCAUAAUUAUGCUCUAUGUCCAUGCCAUGAGUCUUAGCAAACGAGGCAUCUAUGAAUGAAUGCGAUGCACCAAUAUCAAACAGUGCUCUUGCUCUAACACCAUUAAUCAGAAUAAUACCUGCCACAACGUCGUCGGGUACGGCAGGCUGCUCCUCCACCUGAGUGGCAAAAACCCGUCCACUCGGUGCACGUGAUCCCUCUAGCUGUCGCGGCGAUGAAGCGCGCCCAGCCGACAUGGCAGGUGGCAGUCCUGCAAGCUGUCGUGGAGCAUACUGAGCCGAAGCAGCUGACGGAGCCGGUGACGCGCCGCCCAGGCAAUCCCAUCUCAUGUGUCCUGCUUGGCCGCAUCGGAAACAUCUCCCGUCACGCUGAGAACAUUCGCUCGGCCUAUGAUUCCCACCGCAAAUUACGCACGGGGAGGAACUCAUCUGACUCCUCGUCUGGCUCCUAUCUCGCCGCCAUUGCGACCUAGGGUGCCGAGGGGGUCGCUUGGAACUCGACUGCCCCGCGGAACCACCAACCGGUCGCUUCUUGGACUUCUCCCUGUCCUUGUCCCUUUCAAACACCUCACGUUCCUCGCGCCCAAUGGCGUUGCCACGCUCUAUCCAUAGCGCACGAUCAAGCACAUCUUCAUAGGUCUUCAGCCGAAGCGCCUGAACCAUCUUGAAUAUCUCCGGCCGCAACCCGCGCUCGAAGACCUCCGCCCGAUCUCGGUCACCAUGAACCAAGCCGGGAACGCAGUUAACCAUGUGCGAGAACUCCCUCUCAUAUUCGCGCACCGUUCGGCUUCCCUGCCUCAACUUGCGAAAGUCUUCCUUGAUCUUUCGCUUAUCACUUUCCGGAAAGUACUCUAUUAGAAGAAUCUCUCGGAACACCUCCCAAGUCAUAGUAGCCGGAUCCAAGGACUGACCACCCUUCACUCUCGUCCACCACGAUCGAGCCGGCCCCUCUAAACAGUGAGCCGCCAACCGAACCUUGUCCUUCUCGAGGGUGUAGAUGUCCUCGAAUAACGCCUCCAUCGCAGAAAGCCACGCCUCCAUUAACCAUGGGUCUUUCACGUCACCCACAAAGGUCGGAGGAUUAAACCGUUUGAAGGCCGUCAACACCGCCAACGACCGCUCCUGCUCGGCCUCAAGUACCUCCGGAAUAGGGGCCGAAGAACCUGAAGCUGUCGGAGGAAUAACCGUCACCGGUGCCGCCGCCAUCGGCGUAGGUGCUACAGGUGUAGGCGGGUACUGAGAUACAGGUGCAGCCGCCGCCGCCUGUUGAGCCACCAUGUCGUGGAGCUGUCCUAUCUGCUCCCCCUGCUGUCGCAUAGCCCCAGCCAGAGCUGCUACUUGGGCCCGCAGCUCACGAACUUCAUCAGAUCCAACCUGCUCUGGCACCUCAUCAGGCGAUGCCGGAGCGGUCCAUCGGGUAUAGCAUCUCGGUGACAUCUGUCCUGAAACGAAACGCACACGUUAAUAUUCGACAUUCGAAACUCUUACUCGUUCCAAACAUCUACCCAAUCAAGCGAAAGCAAUCAAGUACGUUCACUUUCUACUCUCGGCAUUAUGUAGUCGUCCGCCCCACAUAAUACCUUGAAAGAAAACAACCGUUCCUUGAGUCCAUCUCUAUUUCCGUUUAGAGAAGUUCCAUAAUAACCCAAUUAAUUAGCCUUCGCCAAUCAAAGUCCACGUUAUACGUAUCCUAAUUCCUAAGGUCUCCAAUCCUAAGGUCCCUAAGUCCAUCCUAGACAUUUGCUUUCACAUCGCUCUGAUACCACCAUAUCUGUCACGCCCCGAGCUCCGCCAAUUUGGUCGGAUUCGAGCACGCGACAGACGCCGAACGGACAGUACCUCCCCUGUCCACCCAAGGCUCCAACAACAAGUAUAUUACAAGCAAGUCAAAGGAGAAUUGCGGAAUAUGCAAGGUUUGCACGAGGGCAAACAACAACACAAGUGAAGUAUCGAAACUAACUAAACAUCCAAUACAUGUCAUUUGAUUACAUUUGCAUCAAACACAAGUAGUUUAUACAUUUAUUUACAUCACGACUUUCUUUAACCAAGAUAUAAUUUACAUCACUUUCACAUUACUAUUUCAACAUACAACAGUUGAGUACACCAAAAGUAGGUUAUGCCUAUGUAACUCCGGGGUCGCUAUCUACGGCGCGACUCCCUUGCCUCGAUCCUCCGCCGCCCCACUCGCGUACGGAUCUGCAAGGUUAGUGGUAAUGAGAACUAGAACGAAGUUCCCAGUGGGUUCAGCCGCCGACCACGCCGAUUCGCCCACUAGGUCUAAUUCAGGCAUAUGUAUUUCAAUAAAGAAGAAUAACAAACCAACUAAUGCACUUCUAAUACAAUGCCUGCAAGAAAGAAUUCACAGAAAGAUAUUCAUAUUCAAAUACAUGAUUACUAUGCAUGCAUAUCCUUUUUCACUUUCCUUUGGCCUUUACCCAAUUCAACCUGGGGUGCUCCUGGUUUACCCCAACUCACAGUCCACAUAUCCAUCUAACGGGGAAGGCACAAGGCACUACCACUCGAAGGAUCUUCGCCGGGCACGUCCACCCGUGGUGCAUAUCUUCUCCGGAAUACACCGCCCGUGGAGGAGCGACCUCGCACAAGCCGGAACCAAUACAUGUGAGUAUGAUCCCAUCCUCAAAUUUUGAGGAGGUAAGGCCAACCUAUCACAAUUCUCACUGUCUCGAUGCCGCUGAAUGGUUAUUACCUAUUCAUGCACAUACUGUCACUUGCCAAUGUCACGGUGGUCCUGAUGCCACAAUACACAUAAUGUCACUCGGGUUAAACCUUGUUUAACUAUUCACUUAUCAAUGUCAAUCAAGUCACUAAUGUCAAUGUCACCUUUAUUUACUACGGUCACAGUCAUUUCUUACAUUCACAUGUAUAUAGGGUCUUUAACUAUCUUUGUUCACAUGGAUCUAUAUCAUCACAAUAAUCUUACGCAGAUAAUUGUCACAACCAACAUAUAUUAUUCAUUACCCUACAUGCAAGAAUGCUAUAGUAUCAGCAUGCUCAAAGAAGGGACAUAGACAUAGAAAGAGAUCCGGUGUUUCCGGAUAGCACCCCCCACCUUUGUGUGUCACAAGGAUGCCACGGUUCUGAUUCCACGAUUUUAGGACACGAUCGCCGCGAGCUACGACGAUCUGUACUAUUUCUGCUUGUCUUUCCAAUAUCUUCGCGUACGCUCGUCGUAUCGCCGAACCGAGCGCACCGAUGCGUUCGUAGACCUUGGGAGUCCAAAACUUCUCUUCAAAGCCUUGCUCUAGCUUGGUCUUCACCUUGGAGAGCUUCUUCUCCAAGCCUUUCUCCUCCAAAACCCUCUUGGUCCAAGCCCGAGAGAGAGAGAGAGAGAAAAGAAGAAAAGGGUUUUAGAGAGAGAGAGGGAAGUUUUGAGAGUGAGAGUGAGAACAAAUGAGUUCUCACUCAUGCCCUAACCCAUAUAACCCCUCUCAAGCCAUAUUUGCAUUUAAACCCCUCAACUUUUCAUUUUUACAAACAGCCCUCACUGGGCAUUUUCGGGCUCGGGGACCGGUCUCUCCCCUCCAGGGACCGGUUCCCGAGAGCUGUCCUGCAACCUGCGCAAAAUGGGACCGAUCUCCCCCUGAUGAAACCGGUCUCUGGGGACCGGUCUCCCGCCGAAGGACCGGUUCUCGAGAGCUCAGUUUCCAGGACUUAGCCGAUUUUUCCUUCUGCUCGAUUUACCAACGUUCGGGAACCGGUCUCUCACCCAAGGGACCGGUCCCCGAGAGCAAAAAUUCUGGAAAUUAUCUAGAAUUGCAGUUUCACUCUCUCGGGUCCCUUUAUAUUUCAUAUAUAGGCUCCAAUUCACUUUUAGCCUAUAGUAACUCAUUCCUUUCCGCGUUCCGCUCACUUCGACGGAACUCGGCACGAUUCACGGGGAAGUGAUAUGUUACAAACCUACUUUAGGUUUUUGCUCCACAAGAUCCUCUUUGUCCUUGAGCUUCUUCUCCACCAAAAUCCUCAAUUUCCAUCUUGAAAUCAACUUCAAAUCCACCUUGAGGGAAGGUUUCUAGUGAGAAAAGGAGAAUGAGAUGAGGAGGAGAAGGAGAAAACAAAGAUGUUCACUGCAUGGGAAGUACAGGUGUAGAGUUGGGGUAUUUAUAUAGGUCUCAACAAUUGCAAAUAAGCCCCAGAACUCACUCUCAACCUUCACAUUUUAGUCCCUCGCAGACUGGGUACCGGUACUCGGGUUGGAGUACCGGUACGCAGAGCUCCCAGUACAUGUACCAUCCACACAGUACCGGUACCAGCCUUCCAACCCGAAGGCUACGCAAUCUCUGAUCACCACACAGUACCGGUACACAUCCUCUCACAGUCCGGAUCCUGAGAGCUGUGCCAACACACCAUAAUUGGGUGCUAGUACCGCAUUGCUCUGGUAUCGAUACUCAAUGCGACUUUUGCACUUUGACAGCAACGGUGCUCUGGGGUCCAUUUUCGCGCCCGGUUUGCGCCGAAACACUUAAACAACCCCGAAACUCACUUCUAACCAUCCCCACGCCUCCUAGCAACUCGGGGACGACCUAUAUCAAGCUUGUGCCUCGCUUUGAUUAAUUCAGUCAAAGUUAGCAUCGUAACUCGGAGAUUCGGUAUAUUACAAUUAUUUAUAAUUUAAUUAUUAUUUAAUUAAUAUAUUAUUUAUAAUUAUUAAUAUUAAUUUAUUUUUUAUGUAAUAUUUUGAUGUUAAUUAAUUAGAUAAAAUAAUUUUAAUUUAAAAUUAUAACUCUUAUUCCCUUUGUUCCAAUCUAACUAUCCAAACACUAUUUACCUUAUUCCUAGGAAUAACCCAAUUUUCAUCCAAUGCAAAAUUGGUCUAAUUCCUACUUUUACCUAAACUUGUACCUAUCCCUGAAAUAAGCAGUUUUUACUUAUACCCGAACCAAACGCAGCCUAGGAGUCCUUUAGCUCUUAAUAUCCAAUUACUACUUGCGGCACUAGGUCAUGAACUGCACAAACUAAAGCCUCAGGAAAUGGUUUCUUUAACCGAUUUUCGAAUCACACCUAACUAAUGCCCAAAGCUCCAAAACCUCCAACAAAACCUUGGAGUAUCUUGUGACAAGAUGAAAGCCUAUAAGGACCACAUACUAUCCCAUAACACACCAAUUUAGGUGUUAGGAUAUUCGCAUACGAUGUGUGCACCACCUUAGACAUGACAUCAAGGCCGUGUCUCAAACCAGUUCUAACACACUCCAAUUCGAUGUAAGAACUAGCUGAAGGUCGAAAAAAUCACCUGUCAAUUCCACCAGCGAAAACUUUCCAACAAAAUCUAAGGAAUCGAAACAUUGAGUGGCCAUUCCAAAACAAGAACGAAAAAUAGUUAACGAGUUGAGCGAACUCCCGCUCGUACACCGACACCACAGCCGCCCAAGCAGCCGCUACUGAAACUUCGAGCUGCACUCUAGCAGCCACUGCAAUAGCCGCGACCAUAGCCGCUCCAUGUCGUCUCUGUAGAGAUGUCUAUGGUGGCUCUUGUACUCUACGUGGGAAGUGGGGCCUGAGCCAUAGCAACUGAGUCGACUGCAUCAACCCAGUAAAUACCGUCACCCGGCCCGUUAAGGCCGCCAUCAGUCAACAAGUAGCUAUACCUGGUGAAUCUCACCCUACCACUCGAUAUAUGCCUGAUAAAUCUCCACCAAUCCUAGUAGAAGCACAAGUCAGCACCAACAACGUAAUACAUACACAAGGUAGAGAAGCAACCAUAUACCUUGUCACGUCCCAAACCCGAGGCGUAACAGAUGCCGCAUACCUGCUAAAUUAGCAAAUAUGCAAGGCUACAGAAUCAGACAGAAACAAGAAAAAGAUUUUUACAAAUUUUUUCACUAAAUCCAAAGAAUUAAGAGAUGAGAUCAGCAAUUUAAAUUUCAACUAGAAUCAAAUAAAUUCUCACAUACGUAGAAUUCGAUUUUAUUACGAAACACAAACAAAAUUUCGAUCCAACAAAUUCCAUAAAUAACAAAAUAAGGUUACGUAGAAAUAACGAAACAAAAACCAAUAAACAAAUGAUCGUUUACGAAGUCCAAAACUCACAUCUAAAAAUACUAGAUAUAAAACAAAAGAAACUAAAAUCAAACACUAACUACAUCUAACGUUCACUCGGUCCCGGCCCUGCCCGGCAAAUCAGUCUCGGAACCUAGUAAGCAAUCAUACACCACAUUAGUCGGAUUAAGCAUACAAUACAAAUAAAUAAUUGAAUACAAAAAAUUAAUUCAAGCGACUGGUUUUUAAUUUACAAAAUUUCAGAAAACAAGAAUUUAUCAAAACUUAAAAUUCAGAUCGGAUCGAAACCAUAAAUUUACAAAGCAUUUCUCUUUCAGCAAAUAAACAAAAUAAAUAUUAAGUCUCCGGCAACUAACUAUAUCAUAUGAUCCGUGUCACGCCCCAGGACCGAUACCAAUUUGGCCCGACCCGAGCACGUCAAACAGACGCCGAACGGACAGAGUUUUUCCUAUCCGCCCAAGGCUCAUCACGCGUACAAAAUUCAAACAAGAAUUGCACUAGCGGAAACAUACACAAACGGCUUACACGAGGGUAAGCAAUAGCCAUUAGUGAAAGAAAGGAAAACUAAACAUUUGCUUGUAGUAUGAUUCAAUUUAGAUCAUAUACAUACAUCCAACUUGUAAUUUUUUUCGAAUUCCUUACAUUUCGUUUCAUCAUUUCUUUCUUACAUCACAUUUACCUCAAAAUACACAUUACAUUCUUUUCUUUACAUCAUUCAUCAUCAAGUACAAAAGAUGAAUAUGGGGUACUUUACUACAAAAUGAAACCCGACUUUGGUGGCCUCUGACUAAGGCGCGAUACCUUUACCUCGGUCACUCGCCGGCUCGCUCGGUCCCGGCUCUGUGGAAAUAGUGGGGUGAGAACUACAACAAAGUUCCCAGUGGGUUCGGCCUCAACAUCACCGACUUUCCCACUAGGACUAACUCAGGCAUAAUAGAAAGGAUAAGCUGAAAUAUAGUAACCAAUCUACAACAUGAUGCUAAUAUGCCUGAACAAUAAGCAAGGAAUAUGCUCAACAUUAACAUAUGCAGAUUAUGCAAGUUCUUUGUUCUUUACACUUUACUCUUUGUUCUUUAUUCUUUACACUUUGUUCUUUGUUCUUUGUUCUUUAAUCUCAAGGCUAACCCGGGGGUUUCGCCACAUUAACUUGCUUCACAUUAAGUCCAUCAUCGCAGGAACUCACCCGCUAGGACCGUCCUUCGGGUUUACUCCAACCCGUGAUGCAUAACUCCGGAGCGCAUCGCCCGAGGGGGAGCGACCGCCCUCGAGCACGGAACUCAUAGCAAGUAUGAUCAUAUCCUUAACUCAAAGGAUUUAUAAGUUCAAUCUUGACUUUACACUAGCUCUAGUGUUCUUUACAUCACUUUAUGUUGCAAACUCAUGCAAUUACAUUCUUUACAUUUCUUUACUCUUGCUAACUCUAGCAUUCUUGUUCGUUACAAUACUUGUUCUUAUUGCCCCACUUUACUUUACUUUACACAUUGUCAUUUUCAUCAUUCUUUUCAUCACUUUGGUUCUUUGCAUCACACUAACUCUAGUGUCUCUUUACUUUACAUUUUCAAAUGCCACUCGAUCUAUGUCAUUGUGUCACUCUGUUCUUUUGCUCACUUUGGGUGCUCACUUUUUCUCUCAUGCAUACACAUAGGGUUUUGACAUUUAUUUGGUUCUCUACCAUUAUUAUAAGCAAGUUGUACUCACAAUCAUGCUAUCAUCACAUUCUUAUCAUUACUUUACCCUAAUAUGCAUGCAACAAUAUAUAUUACAUAUGCUCAAAUGAAUGACACAUUAGGCAUAGAGAGAAGUUCAAUGAGCUUGAGAAGCACCACCCACCUCGUAGGCUUUCAAAGGUGCUCCGAUGAUUUUCUUGGAAUUUCUAGUCACUUCGUUCUUUACCUGCGGCAUAACGAAGCCAAAUUAGGCUUAUUUGGCCAUAACUUCACAUUGGCUUUUCGUAACGUAAAUCCGAGCGCACCAACGCGUCGGAAAUACCCCCAAUUAGGUUUCUAGAGGGUCAAUUGCACUUAGAAACCCUCAUGAGCAAAAGCCCCAAUUUGGGUGCCCUAGCUCCAAUGUAUAUCAAAACCUAGGGUUUGAUCUCUUUGGGAAGCAAAAGUAGCUUCACUAUACUCUAAAUAGUCCAUUAGAACCAUUCUUAGGCUUUCCAAAAUCCUAGUUUGGAUUUCACCAUGAGAGGUGGUCCAAGCUCACCUCCAAUGCAAACCAAGGUUUUGAUCUCUUUAGAAGCAAAAGAAAGCUUCAAAACUCUUUAAACAUUUCACUAAAACUCAUUUCUAGGUCAUUCAAACCCAUUUCUAGGGUUUUACUACAUUAGGGUUUAAAGCUUACCUUGUAAGCUUCCUUUUCUUGCACUAGAGAGGAAGAAGAUGAAGCUCCUUUGCUCCUUGAUCUUCUUCUUCACCCUCUUUUCCUUCUUAUCCUUAUUUUCUUCCUUUCUUCUUCUUCUCCUUUGUCUUCUAGAGAGAGAGAGAGAGAGAAGAGAGUGUGAGAGGGGGUGAAAUGAGAGAAAUAUCUCAUUUACCCUCAUAACAUAACCAUUGGACUGCAAAAAUGCUAAUAAACCCCUCAGCUUUUAUCGCUGUGCACUGCCUGGACUGGGCAGUUUUCGCAGGCAGAGACCGGUCUCCCCGAGCAGGGACCGGUCCCCGAAGGUCCACCCUGCGCAGCCAGAGCUGCCGCGCGCAAUGCAUCCGGUCCCUCCCUGGUGGGACCGGUCUCUGGGGGACCGGUCUCUCAGACAGAGACCGGUUCCCGAGAGCUGUCCUUCCAGGACUUAGCCGAUUUUUUGGCUGUCUCAUUCUGCACGCGUUCGGGGACCGGUCUCUCCCACCAAGGACCGGUCCCCGAGAGCUGAAAACCUGCAGUUUUGCAGAAUUUGAUUCUUUAGCUCUCGAAAACCUCCCGUAACUCACUUUUAAUCAUUUUAACACCUUCGGACUUUCCGAAGUGUACCAUCCUCGCACUUUGGUCAAUUUGACUAAAGUUCGAUAUUUAUUCUCCGAAUUUUCGGUAUAUUACAAUCCAUUGGCGAGAUCCAGAGGCACCCGAAGGCGGAAACAGAACAGAGUCACCCGAAGGCACAAACAGAACAGAGGCACCGAAGGUGCAUGUACAAAACAAAGGCACCCGAAGGCGCAAACAAAAGUAGAGGCGCGGAUAGGCGCAGGCACCCGAAGGCGCAAUACAAAGACGAAGCUCGCUUCUAUAACAAAAUACAUGUCGAUAUGGCCAACAUUAGCAUAGCAGAAUACCAAGAAACAUUAUAAUUUAAAAUUAUCCAGUCACUAACUUACAGAACAGAUUAUCAAAUUUCAAAAUUUUCUAUUAAAAGAAUCUUUCAAUCAUAGUUGAAACUCAGUUUACCGAAACAUUUAAUGUACGCUUAACCCUUAAUUUUAAAAUCUACAAAAUAAAGAUUUUCACACAAUCAAAGUAUUUCCUUAAUUAUUUUACGAAAAACUAAAAGGUGUCUGGUCGCUUACCUCAAAAGCGGCUUCUAAGCUAAGAAGCUAUCCAGUCGAAAAUCGCACAAAAAUCAAUCGUCGGAACCUAAAAUAGAGAUAUACGAUUCUCUAUAAGCUCCUCAAAAAUAAAGUUACAAAAAUAAUAUAUAUAUACAUUUAGAAGGCAAGCUUAAACAAAAAUCUGAAUUCGGAAAGGUUCACAUAGGUCGACAAUAUCGGCUACAAAUGUAUGCAAAAAGGUCAAGAUGGAGCACGAAAGAGAUUUAGAAUAAUACAUUCGACGAAACUCAAUUAGCAAUCAAGAGGAUGAUGAGUUUCGAGGAUUAAAAUAUUCAAAGAAGCAAGAUAAGAUGAAGGAAGUUUUAAAUAAUAAACGAAGAAUCUAAUGCUCGAAAAGAGGGUUUUCAGAUGUUGAAACAUUGAUAUGCAAAUCAAUAAUUAAAUAGAAUCAAGAUGGGAACAAAAACAAUAUAUGCCUUCUUUUAGGCAUUUUGUCGAACAUAUAACGGACUUUCAAUAACUAUAUAGAAUAUGCAGAAUUUAUAUACCUAGAUCUCGUAGAGAAUACACGGUAAAAAUUUAAUAAUACGAUCAAUCUAUAUUAAGGUAUAUGGAAAUCAGAUUUGAAUGAUUUUGAAAAUGAUCAUCAAAGAAGAACAUCUAACAACAAUCACAUAAUUAUCGAUAAAAUAUAGAUGCUUUCAAGAAUAGGUGUAGAGACGAAAAUGAAAGAAAUGAACCUUCUUAAAUAUAGAAACGACGACGAUGAAAUGUCGUCGAUGGCGAAUCAAAAAUGCCGAUGGAUGAGGAUUGCGGCGGUGGCCGAGGAUUGCGGCGGUGGCCGAGGAUUGCGGCGGUUGCCGCGGAUGACGGCGACGACAACGGUGAUCAACGGCGACAGCGUGCGUACGGGAAAGGGAAGAGAGAGAAAGAAAGGUGGGUGGGCGGCUGCUACCAAUAAGAAACAACAUGAAUUAGGAAUUAGGGUUAAUUAGGUACAAUAUACUGCUGAGUCCCUCAAAGAUUCGAAAUUACAAAAAGGUCCAACUUAAUAGGAAUAUAAGUCAAAACAAUAGGUUAAGGGUAUGGGGUGUUACAUACCUGUAGCAGAAAACACUGGGUAAUGAAAGAACCAUUGUCACGCCCCGACACCUGCCUAUUUGGUCGGAUUCGGGCAUGCCGACAGACCGCCGAACGGACAGAGUUUUUCCUGUACGUCCUAGGCGUCGCAAUCAAUACAAUUCACGAUGUUCCAAUCAGGAACAAAAAUCAAGCAUAGAUUGCAUAAGAAAUUAUCAAAAACAUAAACAACUAAGUUAUUACAAGCAUUCAUCAGCUUACAUUUUUACAUCACAGUUUCUUUUACAUUCAACUUCCAAAUUACAAUCUACUUAUUACAAAUUUAUUACAAGUUUGAUACAUUCUAGUUCUUUCCUUUCCCUAUACUCCUAAUCUAUGCUGGCACGGGGUACUACUAUCUCUGGUCUCUGGGGUAGAGCGCUGCCUACGGGGCUACGCCCUUUCCUUUCGCCGCCGCGCCGCUCACGUGCGAACCUGUAACACCUUAAAACAACGUAGGGUGAGAACCAACUCCAUGGUUCCCAAUAACUACGGCCACCCAAAGGAAGAGCUCGACCAACAGGUCCAAAGGAGACAAACACAUGUUAGUCCAAUAAGGAGAUAGAUAUAUAUAUAUAUAUUUAUCUUAAAUAUGCAACUAACAUUACCAUGCCUUGCCUCACAACUGUAACGAUGCCAUGCUAUAUGCAACAUGAAUAUAUAUGCAACAACUAGUAGAUCUAUUGAUUCUACAUUCAAUCUUGCUAACUUUAGUUCAUAUCAUCCAACUCUAAGGUUUCUAUUACCUUAGGUUUAUCACAUUUACGACUAGCCCUCAAGAUUCUAUCUACCUUAUUCCAGCUAGCCACCCGACUCGGCCUCGAGUCAAUCAAUUGCGGAUAAUCCGCGCUCUGCCCGGCUCGAGGUGAAGGAACUCUCACAUGCACCUCAGCCUGCAAACCAAGAACCACAUCGCCCAACGGUCCGCCCAAAGGUUCGUGCACCGUGGUCAGGGAUCCCCCGGUAGGAGAGAAACAUGCCGCAUACACCCGCAGUCGAGAUCCCCGAUAGGGAGAGAAACAUGCCGCAUACACCCUAGCGCUCUCUGUUCUUGCUCAGUCAUAAUCCUUGAAGUUCUUCCGGUGGGAGAGGAACAUGCCACAUACACUCGCAGCCCAGAACUAUCGAGCUCAUAUGCUGCACUAGCAGCCGCUGCACUCGCAGCCGGGAUUCCGGAAUCCACUUUACAUAACUCAAAGGUUGGUGUCAAACCCUAUAUUAUCUACCUAACCAGGUCCAAUGCACUUCCCACCCUAGGUCCAACUGACUCUAGGUUUAAUACCUCAAUCACAUAACCUAGGUUUACUUUAACUCUAGGUCCAAUUCACAACCUAUGUUCACGACACUAGGUCAAUGCCACACACCUAGUGUCACGACCCACGACCACCCGUCAAUUUGGCCGGGUCGCGGCGCCGCCGGCGGACCGCCGAACGGACAGAGUUUUCCCUGUACGUCCUAGGCGUCGCAAUCAAAACAAUACAAGUGGUUACAACCAGGAACAGUAUACAAUCAUAGAUUACAAAUGGAAAGAUAUCAACAACAUAACACAUCCUAUGUUAUUACAUACAUUCACAUUAGAUUCAUUUAUUUACAUCACACUUUGUAUUACAUUCAAUCUCCAAAGCAAUUAAGUUAUUAUAUCAUAGAUAUUACAAGUUUAAUACAUUUUGUUCCUUUCAUGUUCUAUACCCCUAAGCUACGUCGACGGGGUACUGCUAGCUCUGGUCUCUGGGGAUAGGGCACUAUCUAUGGAUCUACGCCCUUGCCUCGCGCCGCCGCGCCGCUCACAUGUGAACCUGCAACACCCUAAAACAACGUCGGAUGAGAACCAACUCCAUGGUUCCCAGUGGGUACGGCCACCCAAGGGAGGAGUUCGACCAACAGGUCCAAGGGAGGCAAAUACAAGUUAGUCCAAUAAUCAGAUAGAUAUGUAUAUCAUAAACAUGCAACUAACUUUACCUUGCCUUGCCUCACAACUACAAUGAUGCCAUGCUAUAUGCAACAUGAAUAUAUGCAGCCACUAGUAGAAUUAUCGGUUCUACAUUCAAUCUCGCUAACUCUAGUUCAUAUCAUCCAACUCUAAGGUCUCUAUCACCUUAGGUUUACACAUUUACCACUAGCCCUCAAGGUUCUAUCUACCUUAUUCCAGCUAGCCACCCGACUCGGCCUCGAGUCAAUCAACUGCGGAUAAUCCGCGCUCUGCCCGGCUCGAGGUGAAGGACCCUGUCACAUGCACCUCAGCCUGCAAGCCAAGAACCACAUCGCCCAACAGUCCGCUCGAAGGUCCGCGCACCGUGGUCAGGGAUCUGCCAGUGGGAGAGGAACAUGCCGCAUACACCCAUAGCCAAGAUCCCCGAUAGGGAGAGGAACAUGCCGCAUACACCCUAACGCUCUUUGUUCUUGCUUAGUCAUAAUCCUCAAAGUUCUUCUGGUGGGAGAGGAACAUGCCACAUACACCCGCGGUCCAAGAACUAUUGAGUUUUCAAUCCUAAGAUUCCGGAAUCUAUUUUCCAAACUUCUAGGGUAGUCUCAAACCCUAUUGUAUCGACCUAUCUAGGUCCAAUGCACUUUUCCUCCUAGGUCUAGCUGACUCUAGGUUAAAUGCCCUAUUUCACAACCUAGGUUUACUUUAACUCUAGGUUCAGUUCUCAAUCUAUGUUCUUUAACACUAGGUUAGAUGCCACACACCUAGAUCCCGACUUUAGGUUUACACUCAACCUAUGUUCUUUAACACUAGGUUAGAUGCCACUCGUUAUUCAUCCUAGGUUCAACAACGCUAGGUUCAAUGUCAUCUAUGUCCGACCUAUUUUUAUUAACACUAGGUUAAUGCCACUCGAUCUACUUGAUAUCCUAUUUGUCAUAUCGAGUCCAUAUGCACAUGCAUCUUAUCUAACAUGCUCACAUGAUGUUACAUGCACCUAGCAUACAUUUCCAAUGCACACAUACAUAUCAUUUGCAUUAUCACUAGCAUGUAUUCUAGCAUUUCUAUAUCAUAUCAUUUUGCGUGGAUCUACUUAGCAUUUGCAUCAUAUUAUUAACAUGCAUUAGCUACAUGAAUCAACCACAUACUUUAUUUAUAUUUAUAUGCAUCAUCAUGGAUUCUUAAUCAUCUUAGACAUAAAGGGCGACCUAGUCGCUUCGGUAAACACAACCCACCUCUAUUCGCGUUCCGAUUGCUUGUCGACACUUGCAAUCGGCCUCUCGCGGCACUCGGCACCCGUUUGGGCCCGAUCUCACAGUUGCUCUCCAAGAGCGCGUCGCUUCGCUGUUUCAAGAGUUAAAGGUCUUCGCCUUGCUGCUACGGUGCUCGGGACCCAAUCUCACGAUUUAUGGACGCCGCCUCGGCCUCCUAGACGGAAACGAAGCUCCAAAUGCCCGAUUCUUCAAUAUCUUUGCAACGGCUUGUCGGAUUGCCAAACCGACUUCGCCAACGUGUUUCGUUACCUACUAAUUAGGUUUAUAGAGGGUUAUUUGAGAUCAAACCCAUCUAUUUACAAAAAACCCCAUUUUGAACCCUAGUUUGCAACUACGGCAAAAACCACCAAAUACCUUCAUGAAUUAGGUAUCAUUCAUCUAGAUAGCAUGCUAGAAUUCCUCUAAAUUCAUUUAUAAGGUAUUUAAACCAAACCCUACAAAUCUACCAUGGAUGAGCAAGGAGGUUACCUCCAAAAGCUUACUCCAAAGUGAAGAAGAAGAAGAUGAUGGUGAUGAUGGUCCCUCCAAGCUUCUUCUCCUCCCUUUUCUUCUUUUCAUUCCUCUCCUUCUUCUCUUCUUCUUUUUCGUUUAGAGAGAGAGAGAGAGAGAUGAAAUGGUGAGGGAAAGAGAGAGAGAGAGGUAUUCUAACCCUCUCUAUACACUUAACCCAUGCAACAAUUGCAUAUAAAUCCCUCAACAAUGCCUCUCUUGCAACAGCCCGAACUGGGCAUUUUCGUGGUUCGGGGACCAGUCUCUGCAUGAGGGACCAGUCCCUGAGAGACCGGUCUCUCUGCCUGGGACCGAUCCCAGAGAGACCUCCAGCCCAGACUUAGCCAAUUUUCAGCUUCGUCCGUUUUCGCUCCGUUUUCGCUCGUUUUCGUUCGUUUGACCUCCGAUUCGUUUUAAAUCGAACCGAGACUCUCCAAACAUGUUUUCAAGCAUGUUUUCAUCAUCUUUUCAUUCUCGCUAAUGCCGGAUUUAGCCCACGGCCCAAUAUAGCCUUUCGGGUUCUAUUUUCGCGCCUACGCGCACCGAAACGCCCGAUUGCUCCCGAACUUCAGCAAACUUCACCGGAACCAUUCAAAUAGCUUUCCAACCAAAUGUACACCGUAACUUCAUGAUUUUAGAAGUCCGGUACCUUACACCUAGGUUUAGUUAACUCUAGGUUUAUUCUCCACCUAUGUUCUUUAACACUAGGUUAGGUGCCACUCAUGAUUCACCCUAGGUUCAACAACACUAGGUUCAUACCCGACCUAUGUUCCAUCAAUGAUGGUUCAUUAAUGUCCAUUGAUUUAGACUCCUUCCCCCUUCCUUUAUACGAAAAAGAUCGAGAGGGGCCCGAACCAAACCAAGAACGGAAACAGAAUUCGACUCACUCUCGUAUGGCUCGCCCUCGAGCCCUAGGCGGGUCUUUCCCUCUUGUUCUGUUCCCGCCACGAUAAAGACGCACGGAAGAGCUAUGGUAUGCCCAGCGCGUGGAGGAUCCGUUGAGAGUGUCCGUUGUCUCGGUAGGGAAGAGUACCUAUUGUCUUGAAAAAAAAAGGUCAGUGCUACGGUCCCCUAUUGUUUGAUCCAAUAUUGACCGGGGACGAGCCCCGACUUCCAUAGGUCCUUGGUUCGACCUCCCGUAGCGGUCCUUGCUUUUAUUUAAGAAAGCUCCGCGGGGCCAAUUUUUCGUACUUGCUCAGUCUGCCCCCCUUUCGUCGAGUGCCCCGCCCGGUUCACUGGGCUGUUGGCCUACCAAGCAAGCACUUGCCCGCUGCUCCUGCCGCCCGCCAAGCGGGCUCCGCGCUCGUUAUCCUGACUCUUCUCUCUGCAACCCUCCUAUUGCUCUAGCCAUAAGCUAUGGCAAUUCCAGCUCGCACNAGCACUUGCCCGCUUCUCUUGCCGCCCACUAAACGGGCUCCGCGCUCGUUAUCCUGACUUUUCUCUCUGCAACCCUCCUAUUGCUCUAGCCAUAAGCUAUGGCAAUUCCAUCUCGCACCCACUCAGGCCCACCCUGCGAGGCCUGAGUGAGCUCAGCGGUCAGCCCCUGACGUGCCGGGGGUCUUUCGCUUUUGCCAGAUCUAUAGAGAUAUUAUGAGUCCUCCGUCCCAGAUUCCCUCGCCGCGGCCAUCUGGUUCACCGGUACUACCAAAAAGUAUCAUGCUUACGUUAGUAUGACUGAUAUAUAAGUAUGAUCUCGGACCACGAAGACCCCGGUCGUGCUUCUGGUUUCCAUUCCCAUAAUCAUAUUGAAAGAAACUCCUCGUGCUCUGCCAUAAGAACUUGGAGUCCGUAUCAUGGUGGUAAGGCUGUGAUUCUUGCUCAAAAAACUGACCGAACACCUUCGAGUUAUUGGCUCGUACGACCCUGCAGCAUUCAUGAGUCGCUCGUUCAACUAUCCCUUGGAGACAGGGUCGAGAAGUGCCAUGCAUGGUCGCCCCCCGUCCUUUCUUUCUUUCGGUCCCACCCGGGCCCCUCUAGGGUAAUAAAGAAAUGGAUCAAAAAAGGGGACUGAAGCUACGGGCUAUGCCACCCAUUACUUAUGAGGGAAGUCGCAUUCGUCCCAUCGCAAGCACCUACAAUGUCAUGAUUACAUUGGUUUACCCUUUUUUGGUAGUUCAACAGACGGUCGCCCCUCCAACAAGAAAAGGUAGAAAUAUGGAAACUUCUCUGCCAUUUGGAUCGGAGAAUUUAUGAAGGAAAUCGGGUUUUAAAUUUCCAGAAACCGCACGAUUAUAUAGCCAAAGGGAAUAGGCCGCGCCUAAAAUCAUCCCAAGCGCUGCUAAUGUGGCUACUAAGCUAUUUCUUUGGAAAGCUCCUACUGAGAUUGUCCCCGAUAAAGCUGCUAGUGCCAGGUGAACUCAUAUUGGCCAAAGUGGAAGAGAAGGAAAUGGUAGGGAGAUUCGGCAUGGUGCUCACUGAACCUCCAUAAUAUCUAGCAAGUCGAGUCUUAUGUCGGUCAUAUAGAACACCAACACAUAAAAAAAGGGCUAGAGGAACCAGUCCAUGACUUGACAUCGGUAGAAUGCUACCUCCAAUUCCCUGUAUGUUCGAUAGAGCCUAAUAUUCCCCCGGAGUACGCCGAUUACCCCCCGAACCGUACAAGAUAGUUACCACCUAUCAUACGGCUUUCUAACUCCACUUCUUUUUCUAGUCGUUCCGCUCUGUCGGAUCUCUGGUAGUAUCAGAGAUCUAUAACCCCUAACAUUUUUGACAACACGCUUCCUGCUUCCGUUUUGAGUUGCGCAUCUUUCUCCCCGGGGCAUACUAUAGUAUCACAUCGUAGACCCCUACCCCAACUCUAUCUUCCUUAUCAGUGAACCGGAACAUAGUGCAUAGGUACUCUUCGAUGUUGCGAGGACGAGACGAGGUGACAUACUACGAUCACGUAUAGAAGAGAAGUUUUGCCCUUCGGCUCGGCAUAUGGAAUGUCACGCCCCGAGACCGCUAACAAUUUGGUCCGGUCCGGGCGCGUCGAACAGACGCCGAACGGACAGGACCUCCCCUGCCCGCCCAAGGCUAAGCCAACUGAUCAUGUAUAAGAAUUUAUCCAGAAAAUCAAUUCAUAGAUACACGAUCACAAGGAGCACCACCAGUGCUAACAAAUAAGAGCAAGAUACCAGUAUGAGACAUACAAGUAAGUAAAGAGAGAAAGUUCUAUCCAUUACAUUCAUUCAACUUAAUACAUUUAAUUCCAUCUUUUACAUUCUUCCAGAACAUAUGUACAAGCACUCUCAAACCUCACCCUAUACAACAUCUACUCUCAAACAUAAGUACAGGGUGACGGCUAAUGCAAAACGGUAGAUAGCUAAUGCAACUAGGGCGCUAGGCCCUUACCGCGAUCCUCGCGCUCGCCUGGGACACUCGAACUCGGACCUGAAAAGAGUGGGGUGAGAACUAUCUUCCAUAGUUCCCAGUGGGUUCGGCCGCCGACUCCGCCGGUCUCCCCACUAGGUCCAAGUAGGCACAAGUAGAUAAACAGAUAGAUAGAUAUGGAAAGCUGAAUAGUAAAGCUACACUACUAUGCCGGAAUCAUGUAUAUGUAGAAUGCAUGCACAACAAAGUAGAUAAUCAACUAGCCCGUCAUAUGCCCAAGAAGUAAAGCUAUUUACUUGUUCAUCAAUCUCGUAGCUCACUCAAGAAUUCGCCCACUACUCACAUGGCCAUCUCGACGCGUAGGGAGACUAACUCAAACUACGAAUCCGAGACCGUCUGCGGGACCCCACAUAGGCCAUCCCUCGGGACCCCAAAUAGGCCAUCCCUAUCCCACGGGACCCUAAAUAGGCUAUCCUUUGUGACAGACUCCGGAGCGCACUACUUGUGUGGAGUGACCAUCACAAGUUGGGAACAGACAAUGAGCAUAAUCCAAUUCUCCUACCUCAAGGGUACCCUAUCCUCUAGGGCUACUAUCACCAUAGUCAAUGGGUUUCAUAUAUGCUACGAUUCACUUAUGCCACUCGUUCUUUGUUUAUUAACAACUAGAUGCCACUCAUGCUUUUGUUUCAACCAUUGCAUUAUUCUUUCAUCGCUGCACUAUAGGAUUACAAGUCUCGACCCAAUCCUCAUCAAUCCACUAUAUCAAACAACUAAUACAUAAUAUGGUAUCAGAUAGAAAAGUAUAAAGAAAGGCAAUGCACAAUUAUCUUACAAUGCAUGUAAACACAAGAUGCAAGGUCUCAAAAUACUAAGACAUAAGAGGGAGCCCGAUUGCUUCGGGAUGGUCACCACCCACCUCUUGGUGAUGCUGCGAUGGUAGAAAACUCGAUCUCGCAGUCCUUGGUCGAUGCUUCGACUUCUCAGGUCGAUCCGAACCCUUAAGCGCUUGAUUCGGCGAUAUCUUCGCACCCGCUCGUCGUAUCGACGAACCGUCUUCGCCGGCGCGUUCCGUGACCUAGUAAUUAGGUUUACGACCUAUUAAAAUAGAUCAAAACCCUAGAUUUCCAAAAAUCUCGAAUCCGUGCCCUAGGUUGGCAACGAUGGGGAAAUCCGUGGUGCGAGCUUCAAAUGUGAGCUCAAACCAUCACCCUAGCUUCAAUAGGUUCCAUUCAAACCAUUUAUAAGCAAUAAAACCCAAUCUCAAGAAAUCCACCAUGGAUGGGUUUGAAGCUUACCUCUAUUCCAAGCUCCAAGCUUGCUCUAGCUUGAAGGAGAGAGGGAAGAAGAUGGUCUUCUUCUUCUUCUUGAUCUUCUCCUUCCUCUUCUUCUUCUUUUCCUUCUUUCCCUUCUUUUCCUUCUCUUUUUCUUUUCCUUUCGUUCAGAGAGAGAGAAAAAGAGCGUGAGAGGGAUAGAGAGCAAAUGAGAGGGAGAGAGGGGUCCCCCACCUCUCAUAUAGGCUAUUUUGCAAAUAGCUCCCUCAACUUUCCAUCCUCUGCAGCAGCCCUCACUGGGCAUUUUUGCAGUGAGGGACCGGUCCCAGGUCGGGGAGACCGGUCCCCGAGAGCCUUCUAUCUCGGGCAGAGGGAGUUUCGCGUUCGGGAACCAGUCCUUGCCUGAGAGACCGGUCCCCGGGAGACCGGUCCUUGUCCGAGAGACCGGUUCACGAGAGUUAGAUUUUCGGGACUUAGCCAAAUUUCGGCUAUUUUCGCUGGGAUAACGUUCGGGGACCGAUCCUCCCCUGCCAGGGACCGGUUGCAUCCUGGAUCCCCUGCAAGCCUAGCCUGAUGGGACCGGUCCCUUCCUGCCAGGGACCGAUCCCCGAGAACAAUUAUGCUCCAGUGCAGAUUUGCACUGCUGCUCUCGCGGACCUUUCCUUAAUGCACUUUAUGCAUUAUAAUCACUUUCGGACUUUCCGAAGCUUAUACACUCGACAAAUAGUCGAUUCUAAACGAAGUCUAAUCCUCGUAUUUCGAGAAUUCACUUCCUUACAUGGAACCUCUCAACUGCUCCCUUUAUGGGGUCCUAUCGGGAUAGGUAGGCCCAUCUCCCUCCCCUCGCCUUUCCCGAGAGGGGGCCGGGCUGUGUUUCCCCAGCAGCCACCCAGUGGCGGCAGAAAACGAAAAGGGGUGGGCAUGGUUCGCCUUUUAUUGUUAAGAGAGAGCUUGCCAUUCUCUUAUAGAAGCCCGCGUCCAUGCGGGUAAAGCCCAGCGUAAGCUGCAGGGAGCACUGAGCAAUGGGGGGAUGAGGGCUACUCCGCCCACGGGUUGGACCACACCAGAGGCAGAAGUCCUUCCACGACAAGAGAAGGGUGACCGGAACAAGAAAGGGGAGCUAGUCGUUGGAGGGAAGAUAAGGCUCGUUCUUACUUCACCUUGGUUAUGGAAAUGCUCAGCCAAAAGUGAUUCGAGGCAGCAGCAGAGAACAGACUUAUUUCAUCGUCAAGACCACACCACAGGAUCCGCAAGUCUCCCAUAUCCGCUAUGCGGACGAUGUGCUGGUGUUCGCGGAUUGCUCUAUUAGAAAUGCCAGAUCUUUGAAUAGGUUGUUGGAUGAUUUUCAGACUGUAUCGGGACUCUCGAUCAACAGGGCAAAAUGUUCCAUCACGUUUUCAGCCUCGGGAGCCGGAAUGAAGAGAGGCGUGUUAUAGAUCCUCGGGUUUCAAGAAGUUCAGCUGCCUAUCAAAUAUUUUUGACUGCAACUUAUUUCAAGCAGGAUAAAAUAUUCCUUCUAUUCACACCCUACUUGAGUUGUUUUUCAAAAGAAUUUGGAAUUGGAACGCGCGGUUUCUUUCGUACGCGGGCAGGAUGGAGCUGGUUAAAUCGGUCUUAUCUAGCUUCCUUAUAUAUAUAUAUUUAUAAAUAUAUAUAUAUAAUAUAUACAGGACUUAAGUUUUUAACCUCCCCUAAAAACAUAUCUUUAGCAGAACUAUCAGGAAGUUCUUCUGGUCGGGACCGGACCUAACUAAAAAAUCUCAUCAGCAGGUCUAAAACCCCGAAGGAUGAGGGUGGUUUUCGGAAAGUUUAAGAUUGGAACAAGGAAGCUAUGGCUAAAAGAUUUUUGAUGCUGGUUUUUGGCAAGGUAAUGCUAAUUAGUCGUCUUGGGUUAAGAGAAGAGGAAAGAUCUUCGCCGGAAUUCUCUUUGGCAGGUGGACACGCCUAAAUACUUGUUGGGGUAUAUAUUCUCCGAAUCAGAGAUGAUGUCAUGGAUGCAAUUCGCUAGCAAAUUGGAGACGGAACGAAGGGACGAGACAAAGUAUUAACGGACAGAACCAUUAGCUGCGAACAAGUCUGAUUGAAGAAGAAGAAGGAGUGAUGUGAUCUUAUCCGCUCUGCUCUUCUUAGCUCUCGAGGGGGGAAGGAGGUUCAAUGCAAUUGAAUUGAAGGUGCAAUGGAAGACGCUUGCCUCUAAUUAUCUUCUAAUUCUAUUGAAAUUUGAAUAAUUAGAAUUGAGAAUUCUAAAAUGAAAUAAAAAAAGAAAGUUCAGGUUGGAUGUAAUGAAAUUGCCAAAUAUUAGCAUUAAUAAAAAGUAAGAAAGCCAGGAGAGGAACAUAAAGCCUACUNUAUUCUACCUACUAGCAUACACUUUCAACGUCUUCUUAUGCAAUUAUCAACUAGCAUGGUUCUCAUAAUAUUAACAUGCACAUGCAAUUCACUUAGCAUUUCUAGUUCAUGUCUUUAUCUCAUGGUAAUUUAUACAUUUUUAGCAUCUAUCGCAUGCAUACAUUUCUAUCUAGCAUAUUUAUAUAAUGCUAACAUGCCCGUAUGCACAUACAUAUGCAUCAACAAGAAUCCAUAUUCUGCUUUGACAUGCGGGGCAACUGUAAGGUACCGGACUUCUAAAACUAUGAAGUUACGGUGUACAUUUAAAUGGUUCCGGUGAGGUUGUGGUGGAAUGUAACAUACCAAAUUUUGAGUAUAAAAGUGAAAAUAAAUAAAAAUAGUAUGAGAUACUAUUUUAUUGGGUUUAGAGGAGUGAAAUAUAGAUUGAAAAUGACCUGUGCUGAAAUCGGAGCGAAAACAAAAGAUUUAGAAUUUUUUGUGAGAAACGGGGCAGAUAAAUUAGCAGAAAAUGCAUAGUGUCAGAAAAUUAUGAAAACUGGAGGAUAUGUCAGAAAUAUUUUUAUGAGGCUAGAUUUAAAGUUUCAUACCAUUCUGACACCCGUAGAGUGAGAAAUAAAAUCCGACAGUUAUCUGAUUAAGAUUACAGUUCGGCACAGUUUUCGGUGACCAAACGGGGUCAAAACUGAAAACUUAAGAUACAUUCUUACUCAGUACGUUAAACUGAGCCUGCCUGUCAAAUUUGAGUGCAAACGGACGUUCAGAAGGGCUCCAACGACUCCGAACUACUAAACUGCUGCCCGAGGUAAAUAGUGUAAAGUUGAGGGGCUGAUUUGUAAAAAGGGAUUAAAUCCUUUUUCUUCUUCUUCCUCCCAGCCGAACACAACCCGCACACACACACAACACACACGCAUGGAAAGGAAAAGAGAGAACUUCCCUUUUUCUCUCUAAAUCUCUCCCAAAAUCAAAGGAAUUGGUGGAGAUUGAAGCUUGGAGAUGAAUCGUCUUCAUCUUCUUCAUCUUCUCCCUGGUUUGGAGCUAAUUUUGAGAUGACCUUCUUGAACCCUCUCAUGGUAGAUCUCUAGGAUUAGCUUUAUAUGCUCUAGAUAUGGAUUUAGUAGAAUGCUUAGAUGCUAAUUAGAGGUUUAUUGCUUGAUUCAUGAAGUUAAGUAGUGGAUUUAGCUAUAAUGGCAUCUAGGGCUUCAAAAAUGGCAUUUUUGCUAAUAGUAAGGUUUGAUCUCAUUUGACACUCCGUAAACCUAUUUGUUAGGCAAACGAACGCGUUGGCGAAGACGGUUCGGCGAUUCGUUGAGCCGGUGCGAAGUUAUUAAAGAAACGGACGUUUAGGCUUCAUUUCCGCAUGGAGGGCAGAGGCGACGUCGUAAAAUCAUGGAAUCGGAUUUGAGGUACCAUAACAACAAAACGAAGACCCUUUUUGCCCGAGGCUGCGAAGCGAUGCGUGGUUGGUGCGCAAUGGCAAGUUCCGACGGAACCGAGCACCGGAUGCCGCGGGAGGCCAAUUGCAAGUGUCGACAAGCAAUCGGAAUGCACUAACAGGUGGGUUGUGCUUACCGAAGCGACUAGGUCGCCUUCAUGUUGAAGAAAAUAUGAUUUCCUAGUUGAUGCAUAUAAUGGGUUAAAUGCUAUAUGAUGCAUAUAACGUAAUUGCUAGAUGUUGCAUAUAAUGUAAAUGCAUGAUGACAUGAGGCAUAUAUUAUAUGAUGUUGACAUAUCAUAAGAGGCUAGUUGAUAUAUAUAUACAUGAUAGGGUAUUGGAUAGUCUGUCACGCCCCGCCUCGAAACCACUACCAAUUUGGCACGGCUCGGCCGCGGCGGCGGACCGCCGAACGGACAGCAUCUCCCUUGUCCGCCCAAGGCUCAACGACAGGAAUGUGUACAAGAAUUUACCCAGGACUUUAAAUUCUAAACAUACACAUUCAACGAGGGCACAAACAGUGCCAGCAACAAGGAGAGCAAGUAAUCCACAAGAUAUACGAGUGAAAUAAAGAGAGUACUUUACUAACUAUUACAAUAGUUGCAUUCUUUACAUCAUUUUUCAUCCAAAAUACAUAGCUCUCCAAAUCCUCACCUACAAUAAAUCUCUCUCUAUACAUAGGUGACUAAUGCAAAAGGGAAAGUUACUAUACUACCACGGUCUCACUGGUCGGGCGCGACGCCCUUGCCGCGGUCCUCCCUCUGCAGCCCUGAACCUACCACUGGAAAUAGAGUGGGGUGAGAACUAUCUUCCAUAGUUCCCAGUGGGCUCGGCCGCCGACUCUGCCGAUCUCCCCACUAGGUCCAAGUGGGCACAAGUAACAACAGAUAGAUAGAUAGAUAGAUAUGUAUCUGAAAGCUGUAAAUGCAGUAGUAGGAAAACUAUGCUACUAUGCCCAUAAUCAUGAAUAUGAAUGCAUGCAUCAUAUAAUAAAGGUUUGCUACCAUGCUAACAAAUUCGAUCCAUGUUCGAAUAGUAAUGUUCAAUGACAUUUAUAAACCUUUAACCUUUUUCAUUUACCCAAUCUGUGGCGAGGCCCUAGGGCUCGCCCAUGACUCACCUUCAAAUCCCAAAGUGGGGAGGGAGCUCCAAGUGCACCCAAGCCCGGGACCGUCUGCGGACCUCCAUGUGGUCCGGACCUCCAAGUGGUCCUAGUCGCGCGACACUCCGGAGUACUCGACGACAAUCCCCUCCAUGUGGGGAUUGGAUGGCUAUGCCACCCUAAACGCAGACUGUGAGCUAGAUCUAUCCUCUCCAUGUGAGGAUACACUGUAACCAGGGUCAACACCCAAUCCAAUCCUCUCCAAGUGAGGAGGCUCUACAACUAGAGUCAAUAACCCAAUCGAAUCCUCUCCAAGUGAGGACGCCCUAUACUAGGGUCAACGACUAUCGCGGAAUCAUCGGUUCCCGACAUUCAUACAAUGCUAUUUAGUUUUCUAAAUUCAUUGUUCACAAGGCAUUUUCUAAGGGAUCCACCUAUCCCUAGGUCCAUCGACCUCUAGUGUUAUUUACACUACAUUAAUGCCACUCGUCAUCAUUUAUCAUUCGGAUGCCACUCGUGUUCUUUAACACUAUCCACUACUUCCUAUGUCAUCAAUACCCCCAUCGGGUUCAUCUCUUUUCUUUCGCACCAUAGGAUUCACGUCUCGACCCAAUCCUCACCUAUCUAAAUCACCAAGCGUUCCAAGUACACUAGGUUAUCAAUUAGAAAGCAUAAGGAAUGGAACUACUAUGCAAUCCUACAAUGCACAUGAAGAGAUGAGAUUAAAUGCAAUCUAAGACAUAGAAAGAAGUUCGAAAGUUUCGGAUGACACCCCCACCUUUAACCAAUGUAGAGGUUUCGGAAAUCUCUCUUAGCGAGCUUUACGAAGAGGCUUUAGCCUUCCUCGCCAGAAUCAACACUAGCCCGGCCCGAUUUUGUGGAGAACUUCACGUCGGUUCGCCGAAUGCCGAAAUCGACUUCGCCCCCGCGUUUUGGGACCUAUCAAUAGGGUUUCCAAGACUUCAAAUGAGAUCAAUCUCAUACUUUUACAAAAAUGUGAGAAUAGAGGAAUGUGACACUCAGACCCUUUAGAGAGAUAAGUUAAUCAUAACUUUAAUCCUUGCACUGAUUCGAAUAAUAUAAUAUCCAUGAUAAUAGUCGAAUGGUAUUACAUUUGAAUGAGUGGCAUGGCAACCAGUAAACAACCUUGCGAGUUCGGCCAUUAUGACUUCAGGGUGUCUUAAAAAAACACCCCUGUGCAUGAUGUCCUAUGCACAGGGAUAUUCUCUUUGGACACAGAUACUAGAAUCAUUCAUUGUCCUGUAUCCCAUCAUUGUAUGCUCGCUCCACACAAUAGUGCGGCUCAGAGUUAGUCACGGUGGAUGGCCAUAUUUGUGGGUUCGGCGUCGGGUAGGGAUGGCCUAGUUGGUCCCGACGGCAAUGGAUAUGUGGGGCGUCCGCAGUACGCGUCUUGGCAUUCGUAGUUUGAGUACCGAGGAUGGCCUAAUGUGGGGUCCGGAAGACGGCUCCCUACGAAUCGAGAUGGACUAGCCAGUAGAUUGGCGUAAGGACUCACAGAUUACUGCAAAGUGGGCCGAUGAGCCUAGGUAGUUCCGCAGUCCGUAGUAGACAAAAAGUGGACCAUUAGCUGAGGUGCGCAGGUGCAGACAGUCCUUCGCCUCCAGCCUGGGCUUGUAUUAUUCUUUUUUUGCGUACCUCGCGCAGAGAUUGACCACAAGACUGAGGUCCGGGGCGGUUAGCUUCUGUAAGGCGGUGCAUGAACUUUGAUGACACAAACGUGUACAAAGGAAGAAAACCUUACAAUCCCAAUUGGAUGAAAGUAGGAAUCGAUUGAAUUACUAGUUGGUUGUAUGUCUGCUUAUUGCGAUGACUCUCACUAUUGCAGUACGCAACUGCAAUGCAUUGUACUUUGUUAGGUGAGUAAUCUUUUACAUACUAUAUCUGUUUAUUGAAACUAACCUGCAGCUUGCCUUCUAGACUGUCCGCGGUCGAGCUUUUUCCGCCCUUGGGUGAGCGCGUACCCACUGNNNNNNNNNNNNNNNNNNNNNNNNNNNNNNNNNNNNNNNNNNNNNNNNNNNNNNNNNNNNNNNNNNNNNNNNNNNNNNNNNNNNNNNNNNNNNNNNNNNNNNNNNNNNNNNNNNNNNNNNNNNNNNNNNNNNNNNNNNNNNNNNNNNNNNNNNNNNNNNNNNNNNNNNNNNNNNNNNNNNNNNNNNNNNNNNNNNNNNNNNNNNNNNNNNNNNNNNNNNNNNNNNNNNNNNNNNNNNNNNNNNNNNNNNNNNNNNNNNNNNNNNNNNNNNNNNNNNNNNNNNNNNNNNNNNNNNNNNNNNNNNNNNNNNNNNNNNNNNNNNNNNNNNNNNNNNNNNNNNNNNNNNNNNNNNNNNNNNNNNNNNNNNNNNNNNNNNNNNNNNNNNNNNNNNNNNNNNNNNNNNNNNNNNNNNNNNNNNNNNNNNNNNNNNNNNNNNNNNNNNNNNNNNNNNNNNNNNNNNNNNNNNNNNNNNNNNNNNNNNNNNNNNNNNNNNNNNNNNNNNNNNNNNNNNNNNNNNNNNNNNNNNNNNNNNNNNNNNNNNNNNNNNNNNNNNNNNNNNNNNNNNNNNNNNNNNNNNNNNNNNNNNNNNNNNNNNNNNNNNNNNNNNNNNNNNNNNNNNNNNNNNNNNNNNNNNNNNNNNNNNNNNNNNNNNNNNNNNNNNNNNNNNNNNNNNNNNNNNNNNNNNNNNNNNNNNNNNNNNNNNNNNNNNNNNNNNNNNNNNNNNNNNNNNNNNNNNNNNNNNNNNNNNNNNNNNNNNNNNNNNNNNNNNNNNNNNNNNNNNNNNNNNNNNNNNNNNNNNNNNNNNNNNNNNNNNNNNNNNNNNNNNNNNNNNNNNNNNNNNNNNNNNNNNNNNNNNNNNNNNNNNNNNNNNNNNNNNNNNNNNNNNNNNNNNNNNNNNNNNNNNNNNNNNNNNNNNNNNNNNNNNNNNNNNNNNNNNNNNNNNNNNNNNNNNNNNNNNNNNNNNNNNNNNNNNNNNNNNNNNNNNNNNNNNNNNNNNNNNNNNNNNNNNNNNNNNNNNNNNNNNNNNNNNNNNNNNNNNNNNNNNNNNNNNNNNNNNNNNNNNNNNNNNNNNNNNNNNNNNNNNNNNNNNNNNNNNNNNNNNNNNNNNNNNNNNNNNNNNNNNNNNNNNNNNNNNNNNNNNNNNNNNNNNNNNNNNNNNNNNNNNNNNNNNNNNNNNNNNNNNNNNNNNNNNNNNNNNNNNNNNNNNNNNNNNNNNNNNNNNNNNNNNNNNNNNNNNNNNNNNNNNNNNNNNNNNNNNNNNNNNNNNNNNNNNNNNNNNNNNNNNNNNNNNNNNNNNNNNNNNNNNNNNNNNNNNNNNNNNNNNNNNNNNNNNNNNNNNNNNNNNNNNNNNNNNNNNNNNNNNNNNNNNNNNNNNNNNNNNNNNNNNNNNNNNNNNNNNNNNNNNNNNNNNNNNNNNNNNNNNNNNNNNNNNNNNNNNNNNNNNNNNNNNNNNNNNNNNNNNNNNNNNNNNNNNNNNNNNNNNNNNNNNNNNNNNNNNNNNNNNNNNNNNNNNNNNNNNNNNNNNNNNNNNNNNNNNNNNNNNNNNNNNNNNNNNNNNNNNNNNNNNNNNNNNNNNNNNNNNNNNNNNNNNNNNNNNNNNNNNNNNNNNNNNNNNNNNNNNNNNNNNNNNNNNNNNNNNNNNNNNNNNNNNNNNNNNNNNNNNNNNNNNNNNNNNNNNNNNNNNNNNNNNNNNNNNNNNNNNNNNNNNNNNNNNNNNNNNNNNNNNNNNNNNNNNNNNNNNNNNNNNNNNNNNNNNNNNNNNNNNNNNNNNNNNNNNNNNNNNNNNNNNNNNNNNNNNNNNNNNNNNNNNNNNNNNNNNNNNNNNNNNNNNNNNNNNNNNNNNNNNNNNNNNNNNNNNNNNNNNNNNNNNNNNNNNNNNNNNNNNNNNNNNNNNNNNNNNNNNNNNNNNNNNNNNNNNNNNNNNNNNNNNNNNNNNNNNNNNNNNNNNNNNNNNNNNNNNNNNNNNNNNNNNNNNNNNNNNNNNNNNNNNNNNNNNNNNNNNNNNNNNNNNNNNNNNNNNNNNNNNNNNNNNNNNNNNNNNNNNNNNNNNNNNNNNNNNNNNNNNNNNNNNNNNNNNNNNNNNNNNNNNNNNNNNNNNNNNNNNNNNNNNNNNNNNNNNNNNNNNNNNNNNNNNNNNNNNNNNNNNNNNNNNNNNNNNNNNNNNNNNNNNNNNNNNNNNNNNNNNNNNNNNNNNNNNNNNNNNNNNNNNNNNNNNNNNNNNNNNNNNNNNNNNNNNNNNNNNNNNNNNNNNNNNNNNNNNNNNNNNNNNNNNNNNNNNNNNNNNNNNNNNNNNNNNNNNNNNNNNNNNNNNNNNNNNNNNNNNNNNNNNNNNNNNNNNNNNNNNNNNNNNNNNNNNNNNNNNNNNNNNNNNNNNNNNNNNNNNNNNNNNNNNNNNNNNNNNNNNNNNNNNNNNNNNNNNNNNNNNNNNNNNNNNNNNNNNNNNNNNNNNNNNNNNNNNNNNNNNNNNNNNNNNNNNNNNNNNNNNNNNNNNNNNNNNNNNNNNNNNNNNNNNNNNNNNNNNNNNNNNNNNNNNNNNNNNNNNNNNNNNNNNNNNNNNNNNNNNNNNNNNNNNNNNNNNNNNNNNNNNNNNNNNNNNNNNNNNNNNNNNNNNNNNNNNNNNNNNNNNNNNNNNNNNNNNNNNNNNNNNNNNNNNNNNNNNNNNNNNNNNNNNNNNNNNNNNNNNNNNNNNNNNNNNNNNNNNNNNNNNNNNNNNNNNNNNNNNNNNNNNNNNNNNNNNNNNNNNNNNNNNNNNNNNNNNNNNNNNNNNNNNNNNNNNNNNNNNNNNNNNNNNNNNNNNNNNNNNNNNNNNNNNNNNNNNNNNNNNNNNNNNNNNNNNNNNNNNNNNNNNNNNNNNNNNNNNNNNNNNNNNNNNNNNNNNNNNNNNNNNNNNNNNNNNNNNNNNNNNNNNNNNNNNNNNNNNNNNNNNNNNNNNNNNNNNNNNNNNNNNNNNNNNNNNNNNNNNNNNNNNNNNNNNNNNNNNNNNNNNNNNNNNNNNNNNNNNNNNNNNNNNNNNNNNNNNNNNNNNNNNNNNNNNNNNNNNNNNNNNNNNNNNNNNNNNNNNNNNNNNNNNNNNNNNNNNNNNNNNNNNNNNNNNNNNNNNNNNNNNNNNNNNNNNNNNNNNNNNNNNNNNNNNNNNNNNNNNNNNNNNNNNNNNNNNNNNNNNNNNNNNNNNNNNNNNNNNNNNNNNNNNNNNNNNNNNNNNNNNNNNNNNNNNNNNNNNNNNNNNNNNNNNNNNNNNNNNNNNNNNNNNNNNNNNNNNNNNNNNNNNNNNNNNNNNNNNNNNNNNNNNNNNNNNNNNNNNNNNNNNNNNNNNNNNNNNNNNNNNNNNNNNNNNNNNNNNNNNNNNNNNNNNNNNNNNNNNNNNNNNNNNNNNNNNNNNNNNNNNNNNNNNNNNNNNNNNNNNNNNNNNNNNNNNNNNNNNNNNNNNNNNNNNNNNNNNNNNNNNNNNNNNNNNNNNNNNNNNNNNNNNNNNNNNNNNNNNNNNNNNNNNNNNNNNNNNNNNNNNNNNNNNNNNNNNNNNNNNNNNNNNNNNNNNNNNNNNNNNNNNNNNNNNNNNNNNNNNNNNNNNNNNNNNNNNNNNNNNNNNNNNNNNNNNNNNNNNNNNNNNNNNNNNNNNNNNNNNNNNNNNNNNNNNNNNNNNNNNNNNNNNNNNNNNNNNNNNNNNNNNNNNNNNNNNNNNNNNNNNNNNNNNNNNNNNNNNNNNNNNNNNNNNNNNNNNNNNNNNNNNNNNNNNNNNNNNNNNNNNNNNNNNNNNNNNNNNNNNNNNNNNNNNNNNNNNNNNNNNNNNNNNNNNNNNNNNNNNNNNNNNNNNNNNNNNNNNNNNNNNNNNNNNNNNNNNNNNNNNNNNNNNNNNNNNNNNNNNNNNNNNNNNNNNNNNNNNNNNNNNNNNNNNNNNNNNNNNNNNNNNNNNNNNNNNNNNNNNNNNNNNNNNNNNNNNNNNNNNNNNNNNNNNNNNNNNNNNNNNNNNNNNNNNNNNNNNNNNNNNNNNNNNNNNNNNNNNNNNNNNNNNNNNNNNNNNNNNNNNNNNNNNNNNNNNNNNNNNNNNNNNNNNNNNNNNNNNNNNNNNNNNNNNNNNNNNNNNNNNNNNNNNNNNNNNNNNNNNNNNNNNNNNNNNNNNNNNNNNNNNNNNNNNNNNNNNNNNNNNNNNNNNNNNNNNNNNNNNNNNNNNNNNNNNNNNNNNNNNNNNNNNNNNNNNNNNNNNNNNNNNNNNNNNNNNNNNNNNNNNNNNNNNNNNNNNNNNNNNNNNNNNNNNNNNNNNNNNNNNNNNNNNNNNNNNNNNNNNNNNNNNNNNNNNNNNNNNNNNNNNNNNNNNNNNNNNNNNNNNNNNNNNNNNNNNNNNNNNNNNNNNNNNNNNNNNNNNNNNNNNNNNNNNNNNNNNNNNNNNNNNNNNNNNNNNNNNNNNNNNNNNNNNNNNNNNNNNNNNNNNNNNNNNNNNNNNNNNNNNNNNNNNNNNNNNNNNNNNNNNNNNNNNNNNNNNNNNNNNNNNNNNNNNNNNNNNNNNNNNNNNNNNNNNNNNNNNNNNNNNNNNNNNNNNNNNNNNNNNNNNNNNNNNNNNNNNNNNNNNNNNNNNNNNNNNNNNNNNNNNNNNNNNNNNNNNNNNNNNNNNNNNNNNNNNNNNNAACUAUGGAGUUAGUUCUCACCCCACGUUGCUUUUGGGGUGUUACAGGUUCACACGUGAGCGGCGCGGCGGCGUAAGGAAAGAGCGUAGCUCUGUAGAUAGCGCCCUACCACAGAUACCAGAGUUAGUCGUACCCCGAGUCGACAUAUCCUAGGGGUAUAGAAAUGGAAAGAUCAAUGUAUCAAAAUUGUAAUGAAUAAUUGAUGUAACAAUUCGUAUUAAGAUGUACUAUACUUGUGAAUAAUGAUGUAGUAGCUUAGAUUGCAUUUGGUUGGAAGUAAAAGUAAAUUGUAAUUGAGAGGUAAAGUAUGAAUGAAUGAAUGUAAUAACUUAGGAUGUGUUUAUGUUGUUUGAUACCUUCCUUAUGCAAUCGUUGUAUGUUGAAUACUGUUCCUGUUUGGAACCUGUUGUAACUGUUUUGAUUGCGAUGCCUUGAACGUACAGGGGAGACUCUGUCCGCAGUGCAGGGAAAACUCUGUCCAUUCGGCGCUGUCGGCGCCGUGACCCCGGCCAAAUAGGCGGGUGGUCGCGGGCUGUGACAGCAACCUAGUCGUUUCGGUAAGCACAACCCACCUUAACUUAUUCUCUGAUUGCUCUAGUCACUUGCAAUCGGCCUCCCGUGGCACCCAUUGCCCGGUUCGGCCCGAACUCUCGCGCGACCACCCAAACGGCCUCCAAUCCACGAUCCGAAAAUUAAAGGUCCACAGUUAGUUGUCACGAGCUCACGAUUCCGUUUUCAUAAUUUUAGGACGUCGCCUCGGCCCUCCAGGCGAAAACUAAGCCAAAAAUGUCGUUUCUUCAAUAACUUCACGUAGGCUCGACGAAUCGUCGAACCGACUUUGCCAACGUGUCAGAAUACCUAGAAAUUAGGUUUACAUGGGUCCAAUUUAGAUCAAACCCCUACAUUUACAAAACUAGCAUUUUUAACCUUAGCAUGAAAACAACCCCAAAUAAUUCGAAAUUAAAUGGAGCGACAUACUAGAAACACUUUAGAGACCAUUAGAACACUAAACAUCAAUGAUUAAACCAAAUCCUAGAAGCUUACCAAAUUGUGAACGCCGAGUCGAAAGCAUGCCACGCAACCGGGUGCACGAAGACUCAAACCGACGCUCCGCACGCGUUCGCAAGCACGCUCUCGGCCAACGCCGCGAGUUUGAGGGAGAGAUCUUGUAAUAUACCGAAAAUUCAAAAAAUAAAUAUCGAACUUUAGUCAAAUUGACCAAAGUGCGAGGUUGGUACCAUUCGAAAAGUCCGAAGGUGUAAAAAUGAGUAAAAGUGCAUUGUGGGAGGUUUUCAAGAGCUAAAGAAUCAAAAAUCUGCAUUCUGCAGGUUUUGAGCUCUCGGGGACCAGUCUUUGGUGGGAGAGACUGGUCCCCAAAUGCGUGAGAAAUGAGAAAGCUGAAAAAUCGGCUAAGUCCUAGAAAAUCAGCUCUCGGGAACCGGUCCCUGCGGGGAGAGACCGGUCCCCGAGAGACCGGUCCCUCUGGGAGAGACCGGUUGCAUUGUGCGGGGACCCUAGUUGCCCGCGGGGAGAGCUCUCUGGUACCGGUCCCAGGUCGGGGAGACCGGUUCCCGAGCACGAAAACUGCCCAGUUUUGGCAGUUUAAUAAAGUGAAAGUUGAGAGGUUUAUUUGCAAUUAUGUAACCCAUAGAGCUAUGUAUGGGGAGAUAUGAGAUAUUUCUUUCAUUCUCACCCUCUCACACUCUCCUCUCUCUUUCUCUCUCUAGAAGACAAGAAGGAGAAGAAGAAAGAAAGGAAAAGAAGGAGGAAGAGAAGGAAGGAGAAGAAGAAAAAGGUGGAGAAGAAGAAGAAGGAGUGAAGUAACUCCCUCUCCUUCACCUCUAGCACAAAGAAAGGAAAGAUUUGAGGUAAGCUUUGAUCCAUUUCAUGGUAAAACCCUAGAAUGAGAACCAAAUGACCUAGAAAUGGUUUUGGUAGAACCUUUUGAGUAUUUGAAGCUUUCUUUUGCUUCCUUAAGAGAUCAAAACCAUAGAUUGGGUAUAUGUGGUGAAGCUUAGAGGUGAGCUUCAACCUCUCUCAUGGUAGAAUCCAAACUAGGGUUUGAAUUAAGCUAAUGAUGGUUUUUAUGGAACCUUUGGAUGAUUUGAAGCUUUCUUUUGCUUCUCUAAGAGAUCAAAGCCCUAAUUUUGUUGUGGGAUGAGCUAGGGCACCCAAAUUUGGGGCUUUUUCUUGUGAGGGUUCCAAAGUGAAAUUGACCCUCUAGAAACCUAAUUCGGGAUAUUUCCGACGCGUUGGUACGCUCGAUUUAAUGUUACGAAAAGCCUAUGCGAAGUUAAGAGCAAAAUGGCCUAAUAUGGCUUCGUUUUGCCGCAGGUAGCAAACUAGGCGGCUAAAAAUCCUGAGAAAUUCACCGUAGCACCUAAGUAAGCUUACAAGGUGGGUGGUGCUCUCCAAACUUAUUGGAAUUCCCUUUAUGUCUAAUGUUUCACUUCUUGAGCAUACAUAUAUAAUUGUUGCAUGCAUAAUUAGGGUAAUGAGAUAAUAAAUAUGUGAAUGCUUGCAUUUUGUGAGUUCAAGUGCAUCAUGAGAUGGUUGAGAAUCAAUGAGAAUGUAAUAACCCUAUAUGUGCAUGUAAAAAGAGAUAAGAGUAUAGUGAAGUUAAAGAACAAGUGACAUAAGACAUGAGGAUAAUGAAAUAUGAGAAUGAAAGGUAGAGUUAGCAUAAAGAUUGACAUAAAGAACACUAGAGCUAGUGUGUGGCAUCAAAGAGAAUAAACGUGUGGCAUUAAAGAAUGAUAAUUGCUAGAGUUAGCAACAAAAUGUGGCAUAAAGAACAAUGGCUAGAGAUAGCAUUAAAUGUAGGGCAUAAAAGAAUGCCAGAGUUAAUGUAUGACAUGAAUGAUAGUAAAGAAUGUAAAGAACACUAGAGUUAGUGUAAUGACAUGGUCGAAGAUAAAAAAAUGCAAAGAACAUAAGAUUGACACGAUGACAUACAACCUUAGAGCUAAGGGUCAUUUGUGCAUAAUUUCUUAGAGUUAAAGAACAGAUUGAACUGAACAUCCUUAGAGUUAAAGAUUGAUCAUACUCGCUAUAAGUCCUUGCUCGAGGGCGGUAGCUCCCCCUCGAGCGAUGCACUCCGGAAUUUGUCAUUACUGGGUUGGUGCUGUUCCCCAGAGGACGGUCCUAGCGGGAGGAAGCUGAGGGCCCGCGAUCAUGGAUUUUGAGUUAGUGAGUUAAUGAGGCGAUACCCCCGGGUUAGCCUUGAGAUUGAACGAAAGAACAAGAACAAAGAAUAAAGAACAAAGAACAACGACCACGCAUUCUUCAUGAGUUUAUAUUGAGCGUCUUUAUUGAUCACAUUGUUCAGGCAUAUUAGUUGUAUUUGUAUAGUUGGCUACUUAUCUGCUUAUUCUUUCUAUUAUGCCUGAGUUAGACCUAGUGGGAAAGUCGGUGAGAUUGGAACCGAACCCACUGGGAACUUCGUUGUAGUUCUCACCCCACUAUUUCCACAGAGCCGGGACCGAGCGACCCGGCGAGCGACCGCGGUAAGGGUAUCGUGCCAUAGACAGUGACUACCAAGUCGAGUUUUACAUUUUGUAGUAGCAUUUCCCUACUUCAUCUUUUGUAUUUGAUGAAUUGAGAUGUAAAAGAAAAAGAAUGUAAUGUUUAUCUCGAGAAGAAUGUAAUGUAAAAAGAAAUGAUGCAAGCAAUGUAAACAAUCAUAAAUAUGAAGCUUAAAUGCAAUGUAUGUGAUCAAAAGUUGUAUCAUAGUACUUGUGUAGUUGUUUAGUUUCCUUUCUUUCACUCAUGGCUAUUGCUUACCUUUGUGUAAGCCGUUUGUGUAUGUUUCCGCUAGUGCUUUUCUCUACUUGAAAAUGUACAGGUGAUGAGCCUUGGGCGGACAGGGGAAACUCUGUCCAUUCGGCGUCUGUUCGACGUGCCCGGGCCGGCCCAAAUUGGUAUCGGUCCUAGGACGUGACAGAUCUAGAGAGAUGAGAGAGAUAUUUAGAGAGAGAAAUGAAGGUUUCUCUCUCCUCACCAUGGUGCGUGUGAGGUGGUGGUGGUGGUCGGCUGAUGGAGAGGAAGAAAAGGGAUCAAAAUCCCUUUUAUAAAUAACCCCUGAAUACUAUUCACAUUACCAGUUUAGCCACGUCGGAGCCCUUCUGAAUGUCCGUUUGCGCUCAAAUUUUACAGCCAGGCUCGGUUUUCCUUACUAAGAAAGAAUAUAUCUUAAGUUUUCAAUUUCGACAACGUUUGGUCACCGGAAGCUCUACCAAACUGUAAUCUUUAGCAGAUAACAGUCGGAUUUUAUUUCCCACCUUUCCGAGUGUCAGAAUGUCAUGAAACUUUAAAUCUAGCCUUAUAAAAAUAAUUCUGACAUAUUCUCCAGUUUUCAUAAUUUUUUGACACUAUGUAUUUUCUGCUAAAAUAUCAGCUCCGUUUCUCACAGAAAAUUCUAAAUCUUCUGUUUUCGUUCCGAUUUCAGCACGAGUCGUUUCCGACUAAUAUUUUACUUCUCUAAAUCCAAUAAAAAUAGUAUUUCACAUUAUUUUUAUUUAUUUUUACUUUUAUAUCAAAAUCUGGUAUGUUACAACCAUAUAUCUUGAGAUUAUAGAAUCCCGACCCAAACACCGGGACUUAGUCCCAACAACCCCGAGCUCUCGUGUGCCUAUAAGCCUUAGGUUAUCCUAUGGGUAAUUCUAAAUCAUGGUUGAUUGUCGUCGACAUUUUGCUCUGAUACUAUCUUAAUAUGUCAUGCCCCGAGAUUCUUUUAAAAAUUCUUUUUAGGAAAACUAGUGGAAAACGUGUAUUUUUUUUUUUUUGAAUACCUCUGAGAACACCCUGCGGACGCGCACAGACCCGCCACAUAGACAAAGGAUCCCCUGUAUAGAUGGACAGAGUCUCCCUUGUACAUGCACGACAUAGCAACUCAAAUCAUAGUCAACCACACUAUAACCACACAACACAAAUAACAUAAAGUGUAACAUACCACAUCCCUCGUAAAUCGUGCCGAGUUCCGUUAAAAUGAGCGGAACGCGGAAUUGAACGAGUUAGGAUGGACCCUAAGUGCAUUAGAGUUCAUAAACGAAACUAAAAGGGACCCGAGAGAGCAAAUCUGAAAAUCUGGCUAAGUCCCAGAUUUUGAGCUCUCGGGGACCGGUCCCUGAAGGAGAGACCGGUCCCCGUACGCGUAGCCUCACAAGGAUCCUGAGGCAACCGGUCCUUGGUUGGUGAGACCGGUCCUCGGAAGACCGGUCCCUGACGGGCAGACCGGUCCCUCGCUGCGCAGCAGCCGAAAAACUCAAGAAGCCGAGCCCACUGGGAACUUUGUUUAGUUCUCACACCACUAACCCUACAGGUCCUAGCACGAGCGGGGCGGCGGAGGACCGAGGCAAGGGUUUGGCGCCGUAGGUAGCGGCCACCGGGGACUUUAUGCAUUUUGUAGUCAUUCCCUUUUGUUAUACAUGUAUCAACUUUAUUUUGUUGAUUUAGGAAUGAAAAGUGUAAACAAUCAUGUAUUUGGUGGAUGACUAAAUGUAAAAGAUAUGAUGGUUGAAUGGAAUGUAAUAGCUUUGUUUACUUGAAUUUGGUUUAAAUGAAAUCAAAUAUCAUGUGUGAUGUAUAUUUAGCUUAGAGCUUUCGCUUCCGUUGUUGCUUGCCCUCGUGCAAGCCUUGUAUUAUAUAUGCAAUUCUCUUGUUGAUUGCCUAUUUAUACAUGUUGUUAGAGCCUUGGGCGGACAGGGGAGGCUCUGUCCGUUCGGCGUCUGUUGACGUGACCCGAACCCGACCAAAUUGGCGGGGAUUGGGGCGUGACAUAUAUAAUGGUAUCAGAGCCAAGCGGAAAGUAAAAGUCUAGGGAUGACCUAGAAACCCUAGGAAAUUGGAGACCUUAGGAGUUUAGGAAACGUUUAACGUGGACUUGGUUUAUGCAAAAGCAAAUAAUUGGGUCAGGGGUAACACUUCUCUAGAAGGAAGUAGAGAUGGACUAGGAGGCUUAAUUGUUGUCUACUUAAAGGACCUUGUGGGGCGGCCGACCACAUAACACCGAAAGUGGAAAUAAUUAGGCUUGUGCUUUCGCUUAAUUGGGUAGCUACUUGGAACGUGUAAGAGUCACGUGUGUCGAGUGCUAAUGUGUGUGCAUUGCGUUGCAGGACGCGAUGGCACCACCAAGGAGAGUUACGAGGUCCACACCGGCGGAGCCUCGGGAGGAGCCCGGACAGUCGGGGUCGGACGAAGUACGCAAGUUGCGAGCCCAGGUAGCGGCUUUGGCCGAGGCUAUGCGAGAACAAGGGGAGCAGAUUGGACAGCUCCACGAGAUGAUGGCGCAACAGGCGGCAGCGGCAUCAGUGCCGAGGGAUCCACCCCCACCGGCUGCCCCUGUAGCACCACCUCUUGCGGUGGCGGCAGCGCUAGUGACGGCUGUUCCUCCGGCAGCAUCGAGUUCAUCGGUUACUAUUUCCGAUAUGCUUGAGGCCGAGCAGGAGCGUACGUUGGCGGCGCUGACGGCAUUCAAGCGGUUCAACCCUCCGACCUUCAACGGCGAUGUGAAGGAUCCGUGGGUGACGGAGAAUUGGUUGGCCGCGAUGGAGGCGUUGUUCGAGGAUAUCUAUACCCUCGAGAAGGAUAAAGUUCACCUGGCAGCUCAUUGUUUCGAUGGGUCGGCUCGGUUGUGGUGGAAUCAAGCGAAGAAAAAUCGCUCGCUAGGGCAUGCUCUUCUCACUUGGGAGGCGUUUUGGGAGAUGCUGCUUAUGGAGUACUUCCCCGAGAGUGACAAGAGGAAAAUCAAGGAGGAUUUUCGAAAACUAAGGCAAGGAAACCGAACUGUGCGGGAGUACGAAAGGGAAUUCAUGCACAUGAUUAACUGCGUGCCGGACUUGGUUCACAGCGAUAGGGACCAAGCGGAGGUGUUUGAGCGCGGGUUGCGACCCAAGAUCUUCAAGGUCAUUCAUGCAUUCCACUUGAAGACCUAUGAGGAGGUUCUUGACCGCGCGCUUUGGGUGGAGCGCGGAAAUGCCAUUGCGCGGGACGAACGCGAGGCAUUUGAGAAGGAUAAGGAAAGGGAGAAGACUAAGAAGCGACCUGCUGGUGGAUCGGCGGGGCAGUCGAGUUCUAAGCGACCCACGCGACCUCAGCGAUCACAGUGGCGGGGAGGUAGAAGUCAGACACAGGGCCAGAUUACCUACCCAUGCGUGAUAUGCGGCGGAGAGCAUAGAGCCACCAUUUGCCCGUAGUGGGAGGGGCGGUGUUACCGAUGUGACCAACCGGGACACAUGAGCCGAGAGUGCCCGGGCGGCGCAUCCCCAGCUCCGUCAUCAGCUUCAGUUCAGUACACUCAGCGAUAGCUGGCGGGACUGCCACCCGCGACAUCUGCUGGACGAUCGUCGGCACCUCAUCAGCCGGAGGCCUCUCGAGCACCUAGUGGGCGGGUGUUUGCCACUCAGGUGGAGGAGCCACCAAUCAUCGUUCCCGACGACGUCGUGGCAGGUAUUAUUCUGAUUAAAGGCACUAGGGCUAGAGCCAUAUUUGACACGGGUGCAUCUCAUUCAUUCAUAUUAGCAUCAUUUGCGCAAGCUCAUAAUAUAGAGAUCACUCAUAAUGAGGAGUAUUGGUCGGUGAACACUCCCGGACACUCGAUCGACGUUUACGAUGAGUGCUUGGACUGCCCAGUGCAAAUAGGCGAUUGGAUUAUGCCGAUCGACCUUCUAGUGUUGAAAGAAAUGUGGGGAUUCGAGGUAAUCUUGGGGAUCAAUUGGCUCUCCAAGUAUUACGCGGUUAUAGAUUGUGAAAGAAGGGUGAUCACGUUCCGUGAACCCAACCAAGAGGAGUUUGUCUACCGGGCGUGCAAGGGUAAACGCUUUGCAGCCACUAUAUCGACGGUGAGGGCGAAAAGGAUGAUCAAAGGCGGCUGUAAGGCCUACUUGGCGACCAUCGUAGACUCUCGAAAAGAGUACCCGGAAUUGGAGAGUAUUCGAGUUGUGCGGGAGUAUCCGGAUGUAUUCCCCGCGGAGUUACCGGGAUUGCCCCCGGAUCGGGAAGUCGAGUUUGUGAUUGACUUGAUUCCCGGGGCGGCGCCAAUUUCGAAGGCUCCGUACAGAAUGGCACCGGUGGAGUUGAAGGAAUUGAAAGCUCAGCUACAAGACUUGCUCGAUAAGGGCUUCGUACGGCCGAGCGUGUCCCCGUGGGGAGCUCCGGUGUUAUUUGUAAAGAAAAAGGACGGCACGCUUCGACUCUGCGUUGAUUAUCGCGAGUUGAACAGAGUAACGAUCAAGAACAAAUACCCGUUGCCAAGGAUUGAUGACCUGUUCGACCAGUUGCAAGGGUCAAGGGUAUACUCGAAGAUUGAUCUGCAGUCGGGGUAUCAUUAGUUGAAGAUACGGCCCAAAGGCGUGCACAAAACGGCGUACCAUACGCGGUAUGGCUAUUACGAAUUCACGGUGAUGCCGUUUGGGCUUACUAAUGCCCCAGCAGCAUUCAUGGACUUGAUGAAUAGAGUCUUCCGUCCGCUAUUGGACCGGUGCGUCGUGGUAUUCAUUGACGACGUAUUGGUAUAUUCUCGGACCGAAGAAGAACACGAAGAGCAUUUAAGGCUCGUGUUGGAGAUACUCCGGAAGGAAAAGCUUUAUGCAAAGCUAAAGAAAUGUGAGUUUUGGCUUUCGGAGGUUACCUUCUUGGGCCACGUUGUAUCCGGAGAUGGCAUCUCGGUGGACCCAAAGAAAGUUGAGGCGAUUAGAGAUUGGCCUCGCCCGACAAGUGUAGCGAAAAUUCGUAGCUUCCUUGGACUUGCAGGCUAUUACCGGCGGUUCGUGAAGGGGUUUGCUAAAAUAACCACUCUACUAACGUGCCUUACGCACAAAGGGGUGAAGUAUGUUUGGAGCCCCGAGUGUGAGCGAAGCUUUGAAGAGCUAAAGACUAGAUUAACAUCUACUCCGGUACUUGCUUUGCCGACGCCAGGAGAGAGCUAUGUCGUGUAUAGUGAUGCCUCGUACGUGGGACUCGGGUGUGUCUUGAUGUAAAACGGCCGAGUCAUAGCUUAUGCUUCGCGCCAACUGAAGAAUUAUGAAAAGAACUACCCGACUCACGAUCUUGAGCUAGCGGCGGUUAUAUUCGCGCUAAAAUUGUGGAGGCAUUACUUGUAUGGGGAACAUUGUGAGAUCUACACCGAUCAUAAGAGUCUCAAAUACUUGUUCACCCAAAAGGAGCUAAACUUGCGACAGCGGCGGUGGUUAGAGUUGCUCAAGAAUUAUGAUGUCACGAUCCUCUACCACCCCGGGAAAGCAAACAUCGUGGCCGAUGCUCUAAGUAGAAAGUCGGCGGAAAAUUUGGCGACGCAAGUUACGCCCCAACCGGCGUUGCAAAGGGAGAUGCAACGGUUUGGUCUAGAGGUUAUGGCGCCGGGGGUGCCGGCAACACUUGCCACCCUGGUUGUGCAGCCAACCUUGUUGGAGAAGAUUAAGGGAUUACAAGCGUCGGAUGAAUUUCUCCAAAAGAUGCGUAGUAAAGUUGAGAGCGGUAAUGCCGAUGAUUUCGGCAUUGGAACCGACGGCACACUACGAUAUCGAGAUCGUUGGUGCGUACCCAAGGACGACGACCUUCGGAAGGCGAUUAUGCAAGAAGCGCAUCAAUCUCCCUACAGUAUACACCUGGGCGGCACCAAAAUGUACCGAGACCUGAAAUUGCAUUAUUGGUGGCCGGGCAUGAAGAAGGAUAUAGGAGAGUUCGUAGCGCAGCGCCUCAUGUGCCAAUAGGUUAAGGCGGAACGUCGAUUUCCGGCGGGAAAGUUACAAAAUCUACCAAUACCCGUGUGGAAAUGGAAAAAUAUCGCAAUGGAUUUUGUGACGGGCUUGCCUAGAUCACAAGGUGGACACAACGCGAUUUGGGUAGUUGUGGAUCGAUUGACCAAAUUGGCACACUUUUUGUCGAUCCACACUACUUGGUUGGGAGACAAAUUGGCUCAAGUCUAUGUUGACGAGGUGGUGAGGCUUCACGGGGUUCCGGUAUCUAUUGUAUCAGAUCGGAACCCUAGGUUCACAUCUCAUUUUUGGAGGAGCCUGCAAGAUGCAUUGGGCACACGGCUUGAUUUUAGCACGGCAUUCCAUCCUCAAAGCGACGGUCAAUCGGAAAGGACUAUUCAAAUACUUGAGGAUAUGCUUCGAGCGUGUGUACUUGAUUACAAGGGCGGAUGGCACGAUCAUAUACCGAUGGCGGAAUUCACAUACAACAAUAGCUAUCAAGAAAGCAUUGCGAUGGCGCCAUUCGAGGCCCUGUACGGAAGGAAGUGUUGCUCGCCAAUACAUUGGAGCGACGUGGGCGAGAAAAUGGUUCUUGGCCCCGACGUGGUGCGAGAGGCGGAGGAGAAAGUCCGCUUUGCCCGACAAAGAUUAGUGACAGCGCAAUCAAGGCACAAGAGUUAUGCCGACAAGCGGCGAAAGGACAUUGAGUUCGCGGUAGGAGACCGCGUAUUUCUAAAGGUAUCACCGAUGCGGGGAAUUAAAGGUUCGGUGUACGCUGGAAGUUGAGUCCCCGCUAUAUCGGACCCUUCGAGAUUUUGGAACGAGUUGGUACGGUGGCCUACAAGUUGGCAUUACCACCGAGACUCGCGGGAGUACAUAAUGUAUUCCAUGUAUCCCAACUCCGCAAGUAUGUGUACGAUCCGGAUCAUAUUCUCUCGUAUAUACCGAUAGAGCUUCAAGAGGAUAUGACAUAUGAGGAAUUCCCGGCGUAUAUUGCCGAUCGGGAGGUGCGAAAGCUUCGGAACCGCGAAAUCCCGUAUGUUAAAGUUCAUUGGUGCGAACACGAUGACCGGGAAGAAACGUGGAGCUCGAAAGCGAAAUGAGGGAGCGUUAUCCUCACCUUUUCGAGGAUCCGAAGUGAGGUAAGAAAUUUAAAUUCCAAUCUUAGUAGUUUCGCGGAUGAAACUAAAUUCUAGGGGUGGAGAAUGUAACAUACCACAUCCCUCGUAAAUCGUGCCGAGUUCCGUUAAAACGAGCGGAACGCGGAAUUGAACGAGUUAGGAUGGACCCUAAGUGCAUUAGAGUUCAUAAACGGAACUAAAAGGGACCCGAGAGAGUAAAUCUGAAAAUCUGGCUAAGUCCCAGAUUUUGAGCUCUCGGGGAUCGGUCCCUGAAGGAGAGACCGGUCCCCGUACGCGUAGCCUCACAAGGAUCCUGAGGCAACCGGUCCUUGGUUGGUGAGACCGGUCCUCGGGAGAUCGGUCCCUGACGGGCAACCGGUCCCUCGCUGCGUAGCAGCCGAAAAACUCAAGAAUUUGGCUAAGUCCUGGAACACCCACGUUCGGGAACCGGUCCCUGGUCGGGGAGACCGGUCCCCGAAGGCGAAAAACGCCCAGUCUGGGCAGACCAAAGGGAAACAAGUGGAGGGGCUUAAAUGCAAUUGUCAUAAUACUUUAUAUGGACACCCCUCUCUCUCCCAUAGUCAUUUUCACCCUCCUCUCUUAUUUCCUCUCUUUCUCUCUCUAGAACUCUUGCUCUAGAGCUUGGAGAAGAAGAAGAAGAAGAAGCAAGGAGGAGCUAGAUUUGGUGGAUUUGGUGGGUUCUACAAGCUCUCCUACAAGAAGGACUUGGAGGGGCUUGGGGCUAAGGUGAGUUUUGGUACAAAUGAGUCUAGGGUUUGGAUUUUGGCUUAGAAAAUUGGAGCUUUGUGCUCCCUAGAGGCUUUAGAGGCUCUUUUGAGCCAUGUAUACCAUGGUACCCAUGAGAGCACUCCCAUGAGAGCUCAAAGUGCUCUCAUGGUGAAUCCUUGGAAGUAGUGUUUGGAGCCCUAGGAUUGGUACCAAAGGUCUAGAAACCUUACUAGAGUGCUUCUUAGAUGAUCCUAAGCUAUUGUUUGCUUAAGAUUGGGAUCGAUUCAUGGGGAAACCCUAAAUGACAAUAUUAGGGCUUGAAAAUUGGGGUUUUUGCCCUAAGAUUUUUCGGGGACAAAUUGACCCCGUGGAAACCUAAUUGGGGGUGUCCUAAACACGUGGGACAACUCCGUUUAACGUUGCGAAAAUGAAAGAGUAUAGUUCAUGUAUAAAAAGGCCUAAUAUGGCACUAUUUUGAUUAUAGGGCGCGGAAUCGACUUUCGUAAAGUGCGGGGGCCUUCAUAUUCUACACCCACACGACCAAUAGAGGUGGGGGGUGCACGCCGGAAUCGUUGGAUUCCCUUCUAUGUCUGUUUUCUCUAUUCUUGAGCAUAUAUGUUUAUAUAUACCCAUUCAUGCAUAGUAGGGUAGAUACAUGUGGAAUUUGGUUUGAUUUCAUUUAUAUGCUUCGAACGUAGUUGAACAUAGCGGAUGAUAGAACCAAAAUGGACAUGUGUGAUCGGACCCUCAAGUUGUGUGAAUGUGAGGUUGGACUUGGACAAUAGAAAACAAUGGUGACACUGACAUAGAAACAAAAUUGGCAUUGAGAGAUAAACCGUUAAACAUAGUUUAACCAAUUAUGACAUCGACAAAGGUAAAGCCUUGAGAGUGGCAAGAAUGAAUAGGUAGAGACCUAUCAUGACAUCGGCAUUGUGACUAGUGGCUAUGAAUCCUCAAGUUGAGGAUUGGAUCGAUACUCACAUUACGUCUUGGCUUGAGGGAGGUCGCUCCCCCUCUAGCGGUGCGCUCCGGAGUUGGUCACCACUGGGCGUGAUAAAAUCCCCCCAGAUGACGGUCCCUAGGGAGGUUCGAGUCCCCCGCUAUUAAGGGAUUUUCGGUGGUGAGUUAUUGGGGUUAACAAGGUUAACCGGUAAGAUUGGGUAAAAGCCAAAGCUUAUUUGUGAUUUGAGCAUGCAUGCAUUUCCUAUUAUCGCAUUGAGUAUUUGAAUCCACUGACAUUCUUCUGCAGGCAUAGUAUUAGAUGCAUUAGUACUGGUUACUUUUCUUUCCUUGAAAUACUUAUGCCUGGAUAGACCUAGUGGGUAAGUCGGCGAGGUCGGAUGCCGAGCCCACUGGAAACUUUGUUUAGUUCUCACACCACUAACCCUACAGGUCCUAGCACAAGCGGGGCGGCGGAGGACCGAGGCAAGGGUUUGGCGCCGUAGGUAGCAGCCACCGGGACUUUAUACAUUUUGUAGUCAUUCCUUUUUGGGUAUUCAUGUAUCAACUUUACUUUGUUGAUUUAGAGAUGCAAAGUGUAAACAAUCAUGUAUUUGGUGGAUGACUAAAUGUAAAAAGAUAUGACGGAUGAAUGUGAUAGUUUUACUUGAAUUUGGUUUAAAACUAAUCAAAUAUCAUGUAUGUUACUUAAUUAGCUUAGAGCUUUCGCUUCCGUUGUUGCUUGCUCUCGUGCAAGCCAUGUAUUAUAUAUGCAAAUCUCUUGUUGACUGCCUAUUUAUACAUGUCGUUAGAGCCUUGGGCGGACAGGGGAGGCUCUGUUCGUUCGGCGUCUGUUGACGUGACCCGAACCCGACCAAAUUGGCGGGGAUUGGAGCGUGACAUAAAGAUCGUAUGAAAACUAUGAUUCACAUUAUCAGUUAUAUUUAAACAUUGCUAGAUAAAGAACUUAACUAAUCUAACCAAAAGAUAGUAAACAUCAAUAACAGACGGAUAUGGAAUACAUCUAUCUAGUAUCGUCCUCAUGCACUGUCCCAACCCUUACUGUCUGCAUCACCUGAAAAAUGGUAGGGAGUGAGAACAUGUAAACACGUCUCCCCUCCCAGUGGGUACCGCAAGCUGACAAAGGCCAGCUGUACUCAUCGACAGAUGGAAGAGAUAACUAUAAUCAUGAACAGAUAUCAUAAGAACAGUAACAAUAGAAAAAUAACCAACAAUCAAUGUAAGGAUAACCGCUACUGUAUGAUAAAGUAGGAAUUAACAACUGAGUAUAAUCAACAUGUGUACCGAAAUAGUAGUAGCAAUGACUAGAAAGGAACUGCAACUACCAAUCAAUACAUAUAACUAUUCGCUACUAUAACGAACAACGAAAUAUAUCAAUGCAUCAAAUAGGUGAAUAGUUGUCACGCCCCGAGACCCUACCAAUUUGGUCCAGUCCGGGCGCGUCGAACAGACGCCGAACGGACAGGACCUCCCCUGUUCGCCCAAGGCUAACCAACUGAUCAUGUAUAAGAAUUUACCCAGGGAUCAAUUCAUAAAUACACGAUCACAAGGAGCACCACCAGUGCUAACAAGACGAGAGCAAGAUACAAGUAUGGGAAUAUACAAGUACAUAAAGAGAGAAGGUUUUAUCUAUUACAUUUUUCCAAAACAUAAAUACAAGCACUCACACCUCGCUAUACAUCAUCUACUCUUAAACAUAAAUAAACGGUAGAGCUAAUGCAAAAUGGGUGGAUAGCUAAUGCAACUAGGGCGCUAAGCCCUUACCACGAUCCUCGCGCUCGUCGGGGACACCCAAGCUCGAACCUGAAAAGAGUGGGGUGAGAACUAUCUUCCAUAAUUUCCAGUGGGUUCGGCCGCCGACUCCGCCGGUCUCCCCACUAGGUCCAAGUGGGCAUAAGUAGAUAAACAGAUAGAUAGAUAUAAAGCUGUAGAAACAGGUAGUAAAACUACUCUACUGUGCCCGAAUCAAGUAUAUGAUGGAUGCAUGCACAAUGAAAUAGAUAAUCAACUAGCUCUUCACAUGUCCAAGAAGUAAAGCUAUUUACCUGUUCAUUAACUUCAUGGCUCAUUCAAGGAUUUCCGCCUAUUACUCAUAUAGCCAUCUCGAUACUACAAAUCCGAGACCGUCUGCGGGACCCCACAUAGGCUAUCCAUCGGGACCCCAAAUAGGCUAUCCCUAUCCCACCAGACCCCACAUAGGCUAUCCCUCGUGACCGACUUCGGAGCGCACUACUUGUGUGGAGCGACCAUCACAAGUUGGGAGCAGACAAUGAGUAUGAUCUAAAUCUCCCACCUCAAGGGUGCCCUAUCCUCUAGGGUUACUGUCACCAUAGUCAAUGGGUUCCAUAUACGUUACAACUCAUACAUGCCACUCGUUCUUUGUUUAUUAAUAACUAGAUGCCACUCGUUCUUUUGUUUAGGUACCAUUCGUUCUUUUGUUUUAACCCUUGCAUCAUUCUUUCAUCGCCACACUAUAGGAUUAUAAGUCUCGACCCAAUCCUCAUCAAUCCCCUAUAUCCAGCAAUUAACGCAUAAUAUGAUAUCAGCUAGGAAGCAUAAGGAAAGGCAAUGCAUAAUUAUCCUACAAUGCAUGUGAACACAAGAUGCAAGAUCUCAAAAUACUAAGAUAUAAAAGGGAGCCCGAUUGCUUCGAGAUGGACACCACCCACCUCUUGGUGAUGCCGUGACGGUAGAAAACUCGACGCUGCGGUCCUCGCACGUCGCUUCAACUCCUCGGGGCGAAGCGAGCCCUCGAGUACUCGAUUCGGCGAUUUCUCCGCACUCGCUCGUCGGAUCGACGAACCGUCUUCGCCGACGCGUUCCAAGACCUAGCAAUUUGGUUUACGACCUAUUAAAAUAUAUCAAAACCCUAGAUUUCCAAGAAUCCUAAAUCCGUGCCCUAGAAUGGCAACGAGGGAGAAAUCCGUGGUGCGAGCUUCAAACGCGAGCUCGAACCAUCUAUUUAUCUCCUCUAGGUUCCAUUCGAACCAUCUCUAACCAUAAAAACCCCAAACCCUAGAAAUACCAUUAGAGGGUUUAGAGCUUACCUCUAAGCCAAACUCCAAGCUUGCUCUAGCUUGAAGGGAAGAGGGAAGAAGAUCUUCUUCUUCUUCUUCUUGGUCUUCUCCUUCCACUUCUUCUUCUUUUCCUUCCUCUUCUUCUUCUUUUUCUUCUUCUCCUUCUUUCCUUUCUAGAGAGAGAGAGAGGGAAAGAGUGUGAGAGGGCAAAAUGAGAGAAUGAGGGAGAGAAAGGGUCCCCCAGCCUCUAUUAAAGGCCAUUUUGCAAAUAGCCCCCUCAGCUUUUCAUCUCUUGGAUCAGCCCUCUCUGGGCAUUUUCGCAGUGAGGGACCGGUCCUUGCUCCGGGAGACCAAUCCCCGAGAGCUCUCCAUCUCGGGCAGAAGGAUUUCGCGUUCGGGAACCGGUCCUUGCCUGAGAGACCGAUCCCCGGGAGACCGGUCCUUGUCCGAGAGACCGGUUCCCGAGAGUUGGGUUUUCGGGACUUAGCCAAAUUUCAGCUAUUUUCGCUGGGCCAACGUUCGGGGACCGGUCCUUCACUGCCAGGGACCAGUCUCAUCAAAGACCCCCCCGCAGCCCAGCCUGAUGGGACCGGUCCCUCCCUGCCAGGGACCGGUCCCCGAGAGCAUUUCUGCUCCAGUGCAGAUUUUGCACUGGUGCUCUCGUGGACCUUUCCUUAAUGCACUUUAUGCAUUAUAAUCACCUUCGGACUUUCCGAAGCCUACACACUCGACAAUCAGUCGAUUCUAAACGAAGUCUAAUCCUCGGAUUUCGAGGAUUCACUUCCUUACAAUAGUACCAACAACCAAACUAGCUGCCAUAUUGGUCGAAAGACCUCAGGCUACUCGCCCACUCGGCAUAUAAUCCUAAUAGGCACCUUGUAGGGCUAACGGAUCAAAAGUACGACCACUUUUUCGUAAAAGAACGCCCUCUUGCUGUGGAUCAGACCGCUAGUGUACGUAAAGAUGCUCACAAGCUGUGAUAAUCGAUGCAAUAUGUUCAAUGCCCAACAUCGACAGGUAGCCGAGAGAAUAAACAUAAGGAGUUACCGACCAAUCAGGUCCAUCUCUAUUUAAGAGUGUCAUCGACCAUAAGGUAAACAAUGUCAAGUAUGCAAUAGACCACUAGAGAUGUCACCGACCACAAGAUCAACUAAUGUCAAAUCAUGUUAUGUACGAAUACUAGUGUCACACACCACAACAUCAAUUAAUUUCAUAUCAUAUACUAUGAUAAUACCGAAAAUAGAAGUUCCACCGACUACUAGGUCAACUAAUGUCAAUACAUACAAUAUGCUAUUGAGGGGUCACCGAUCACAAGGUCAACCAUAUCAAACCAUGGAACAUACAAGUAGGAGUGCCACCAACAUCAAGUCAACUAAUGCCACAAUACGCAACAUAUAUCUUGGAGUGUCACCAACCAUAUAGUCUACCAAUGUCAAAACACAAAGUAGAUGACUUUGAGGACAUGUUUGGUUCACAUAUUUCAGACUAUGGAAUCGGAAUGGAAUUCAUUGAUUUCGAUAGUUGUCGUUUGUUUUAUAGGAAUCGGAUUCCGAUUCCUAUUCCACUCCGGAAUGGGAAUGGCCAAAUCCAUUUAUGAUCCAAUCCAGCUUUGAAUCCCGGAUUGACUCAUUCCAAAGUAAACUAUUCAGAAUUCUCUUUUAUCAAUACCUACCUCCUCUCCCUUUAUCACUUUUCUCUCUCUUAAUCAAAAUCCUCUCUAAAAAAUUUUUAAUUUUCAUUCCAAUUUCCAUUCCAAUAAUGAACCAAACAUUUUUGGAUGAUUCGUCAUUCCAUUUUCCAUUCCAAAACAAUCCAAAUUCCAUUUCCCAUUCCUAUUCCAAUCAUGAACCAAACAUGCCCUGAGUGUCACCAACUGUGAAGUCAACUAAUGUCAAGGUAAUCUACUAUGAAUAGUAUAAUGGAUAACUCAAUCAUCAGGAACACCGCUCUACUACUAGAUCAUGACCAUAUAAAAUAAGAGUAAGUGUAGAGCGACUAACUACGAAGUCAAGUAGUAUAUGAAAGCUCAAACAACAUCAAAUAAAUGGAAGGAAAUAACAAGGAUAAAAAUCACCGAGUAGGCACUACUUUACCGACUUUGGAUCGAAGUACCCUUCUUAAUCUGUCAUGCCUCGGGGUUCUUUUGAAAAUUCUUUUUAGGAAUACUAGCGGAAAACAUGUAGUUUUUUUUUAGGGGCAAUUGCCUAUAUACCACUGAAAAGUUCCCGGUUUUCUUAUUUACCCCUCUUAGAAGGCUAAUAUUGAAAAUACCCUUCUUAUGUUCCAAGUCUUUCUAAUAUACCCCUAGAGUUUAGUUCCGUUAGUGAGCUAUCGUUAUCUCUGAAAAAUUACCAUUUUGCCCAUUCCAAUAUACUCUUGUACCGUAACUAACUUUUCUUAUAUACCCUUCAUAUAGUAAAUACUUUUCUUAUUUGCCCUUCAAAUAUCAAUUAAUUAAUUAAGCACGUCGGGAGCCAGCAGAUGAACGGAUAAGAUCGAUCGCAGCUAAACCAACCUUGGUGGCUGGAGGCAUAUUAGUUAAUUUGGAUUCAGCAAAAAUUCGGUACGGAUAUAAUUCGGAUAAAAUUCGUCUUUUAAUUUUUAAAUUCGUUGAAAAAUACGACUAAAAAACCGAUUCGGCAGUUAUUCGGAUACGUGAUUUAUACGGGUAUUAUACGUUCACCAAUUAAAAAUUCAGGAUNAUAUAUAAUUAGACGAGUUGAGCUAUGAUAGUUUUACAAGUAUCAUCAUCAUGGUGCUAUUAGGUUUUAAGCCAUUGGAUCUACUUUUUUAUUAUUAAUAGCCCUUGGAUUAAACACUAUUCCACCUACCACCACCUACCACCAUCAUCUCAACCUCACAUCUCUCCAUCCAAAGGCUAAAAACACACAAGCAUCACCCCUAUGAUACUUUUACAAGUAUUCUAGCCCUACUCUAAUUAGACUGGAAUAUUAUUAAUAGUAUCAAUAACUUUGUGCUAUUAAGUUUUCCGCUCUUAGAUUAAAAGAUGUGUGGUUAGGAUGAUGUGGGCCCUCUAGGGGUUUAGUAGGUGGUUGGUUGAAUAGUGUAAUCGAACGGAUGAAAAUGAUAAAAAAGAUAAAUCUAAUGGCAGAAAACUUGAUAGCACCAAAUGCUUAAUGCUAUCGAUAAUAUCCCAGUGGGACUAUAUAUAUAUAUAUAGAGUUGAGCUAGAAUACUAUCGAUAGCAAACGGACUCUGUUGCCACCAAUUUGUUUUCGAUGAUGGAGCCUUCAAAUCGACGAUCGGCACUGUUGAACAUGAUCUAUACCACUUAAAGUAUUUAGAAAUCAAAUUUUAUGUUUUUUCGAUAUUGUUCUCUUGGGCAUCAAGUGGGCGUAAAAAUGAACGGCUGAAAAUGAAUAUUCUUUAAAAAAUGAUGAUGGGAGUUUUGUAGUCAAGAUCAAGAGUAUAGAUCUUGUUUUAAACAGUUUAAAGAAUUUUCUAACAAAAAAUCAAUUGAUUUGGAUAUCUUUACGCCGUUAAACGAGAAAACACCUCAUAUCGACCUUUAAAAUUACAAAUUUUGAAACCCUUCAAUCAUUAGGUAAAUGAUGCCGAAAAGAUUUGAAAUUUGAUUUCUAAACACUUAAUGUAGUAUAGAUCAUGUUCAACGGUGCCGAUCGUUGAUUUAGAGACUCUAUCAUCAAAAACAAAUUGGUGUCAACGGAGCCCGUUUGCUAUCGAUAGUAUUCUAGCUCAACUCUAUAUAUAUAUAUAUAGAGUGCGGCUAUGAUGCUUAUGGAAGCACGGGGGGCUUCGUGCUUCCACUUUGUUUUCGAUGUUCGGACUUUCGAAUCGAUGAUCGGCUCCGUUAGACUUGAUCUAGAGUAUUUGAAGUAUCUAGAAAAUAAAUUUUGCGAUUUUUCGAUAUCAUUUGCCUAGUGAUCGAAAUGGCUCAAAAUCAACGGUUGAAAAUAAAAAUCUUACAAAUAUGAUGAUAUGACAUUAAAAUUUUAGAUCAAAGUUAUUGAUCUUGUUUUAUAUGGUAUAAAGAAUUUUCUAUCAAAAUUUCAUGUGAUUUGAAUAUUUCUACACCAUUAAACUUGCAAACGGCUCACCACGGCCAUUAAAAUUAUUGAUUUUGAGCCCCUUCGAUCACUAGGCAAAUGAUAUCGAAAAAUCACAAAAUUUAUUUUCUAGGUACUUCAAAUACUCUAGAUCAACUUAACGGAGCCGAUCGUCGAUUCGAAAGUCCGAACAUCGAAAACAACAUGGAAGCAUGGAGGGCUCCGUGCUUCUAGAAGCAUACCAGCUCACUCUCUCUCUCUCUCUCUCUCUCUCUCUCUCUCUCUCUAUAUAUAUAUAUAUAUAUAAUGAGAUGGAGGUCCACUGUGGACCUCCCUCUCAUUCGGUCCACGAGGCCAAACUGGCCUCGUGGACCGCGCAGGGACGCGUCGAGCUCCAGCAACCGCGUGGCCGAGCGAGCCCGGCCGUCGGUGAGCCCGUCCGGGAUGGCCGGGAAGUGGACUUUCAGGCUCGGGCUCGUGCUCGACCUCGGCCCCGGAAGUGAGUUCCUGUUGGAGUUGCAGAGGAGGCGGCGGUUCUCUUGCUCCCUCGGGCGAGACGGGAUCGUUGCCGCAGCCCUUUUGCUCCCGGCGCCGGCUAAGGCGACAGCGGAGGAGGAGGAGGACGACGACAAGAGCGGCGGAGGAGGAGGACAACGAGAGCAACGAAAGAGGUGGUGUUGGAGGUGGAGGUGUGGGAUGUGGUGGUUGUCUGGGAGGAGAUGAGGCGAGGUGGAGGCGGAGGAACCAGCGAGGUAGAGGCGGAGGAGCCGGCGAUCAAGUUGGAAGAAAAAGAGGAUAACUUAAGGGAUUAGCAUAAUAAGGUAGGGGUAAAAUAGGUAUUUUAUAUAGGUUUUAACUCUAGUAUACAUUUAACCCAUGUUUAACCCGAGUUAAGUUAACAGGGGAUAACUGCGCGGGGGUAUUUUGGAAUAACGGUGGAACAUAUGAGGGGCAUUUUAGAAAAAAAAAAAAGUAGGGGUAGAUCGGAUAUUUCCAGACGCAUGAGGGGUAUAUAGGCAAUUAUCCCUUUUUUUUUAGCACCUUUGAGAAACCCCUCGGACGUGCACAGACCCGCCACAUAGACAAACGAUCCCCUAUAUAGAUGGACAAAGUCUCCCUUAUACAUGCACGGCUUAGCAACUCAAAUCAUAGUCAACCAUACAUACAACCACACAACACAAAUAACAUAAAGAUCAUAUGAAAAACUAUGAUUCACGUACAUCGGUUAUAUUUAAACAUUCCUAGAUAAAGAACUAAACUAAUCUAAUCGAAAGAUAGUAAAUGUCAACAACAGACAGAUCUAGAAUGUAUCUAUCUAGUAUCAGCAUCACGCACUGUCCGAAACCUCACUGUCCGUAUUACCUAAAAAAUAGUGGGGGUUGAGAACAUGUAAACACAUCUUCCCUCCCAGUGGGUAUCGCAAGCUGACAAAGGCGAGCUGUACUCAUCGGUAGAUGGAAGAGAUAACUAUAAUCAUGAACAAAUAUCAUAAGAAUAGUAGCAAUAGAAAAAUAACCAGCAAUCAAUGUAAGGAUAACCACUACUGUAUGAUAAAGUUGGAAUUAACAAAUGAUUAUAAUCAACAUGUGUACUAUAAUAGUAACAGCAAUGACUAGAUAGAAACUGCAACCGCCAAUUAAUAUAUAUAACUAUCUGCUACUGUAACGAACUAUAGAAUAUAUCAAGACAUCAAAUAGGUGAGUAGUUCCAACAACCAAACCAACUGCCAUAUUGGUCGAAAGACCUCAGGCUAAACACAUUCUGCUCGCCCACCUGGCAUAUAAUUGUCAUACCCCAAUAAUCCCACAUCGGUUAGAAAUUGGGAUGUGAUUGGGUAUAUAAGAGACUUAGACACUAGUUCUAGUAAUACGAAAUACUGAACCUCUUAGAGCAGCGUGUGAUACAGUCCUUCUACCAUGAGUCCCAACUAAACGGAGACCAUGGAAUAGCUCGUCAAACCCUAUCGUCUACCAUAUGUCAAAUUUAUUCAACUUUAAUUUCUAAUAUAGGAAAUCCUUUCUGCUACUUGCUCUGCCCUGGCCAAGGUCCCUUUCGGUUUUAUAAAUAAUGUAGAACUAACACUUUUAUCUACCAAAGGAGAUAGAUUCAACAUAGAUGUACACCCUAUUCCUACAACGAACUUGCUGCAGCCAACACCCUAUUCCUAUGUAAUGAACUUGCCACAGCCAACAUGCACCACAGUGAUCCAAAUGGCUAGGGACCUAGUGUACAUACAGUCAAACUACAGUAACUUCAUUGUAAAUAGCCAAGGCACCGCAUUACACACUACUUGUAGCUUACUGAUGAGUGAGUAGAUAUCCAUAUUACUUCUCAUGUUGGUCAUGCUCGGUACUCUUAUUCUCUAACAAACACCUGCACAUUCGUUCCAGUGUCCCCCCACUGUUGACUCGAGACUUGUCUAUUAUAAAAGGGAAGUGACCUGUGCAUCGAUCUUACUAGAUCAAUCACUAUCCCAUGAUGAUCCAUCGGUCGGGAGCAUUUAGUAAUUAACCAUCAACGACACAUGUCUCAAAUUAUCAACUUUUGAAAAUGUGUCAUCAUCUUAUUAUUUUCUUGGACAAUUCAUAGACACAUACAAUAUGAAUAAAAAUAAAAAAUUCAAAUUCAUUAAUAAAAAGUGAAAUAUAAAUUUAUGUCUUAUAAAUAAUACAUGAAUGAAAAUUUUUUCUGACUGUUCCAUGAUCAACUAUUAAAACCUUCUUACUAUCCACCUCUUGCUUUGCUUUUUUUCUUUUUUUUUUUUUUUUAUAAAUCCUCCGUCCUUUUUCUCAUAACCUUAGCUUAUAUUUGCUGAGUUCUAUGUUAGGAAGAGAGGGGGAAUAUGAAACUAUUUAAAAUGAUAAAUUAUUUAGUCUUAAAAAAGACGGUAAAUAAUUUAUUAUCUUUUAGAAAAUUUAGAAUGUAGAAGAGAGAGGGGAUAUGAAACUAUUUAAAAUAAUAAAUUUUUUAGUCUUAAAAAAGACAGUAAAUAAUUUAUCAUUUUUUAAAAAAUUUAGAAUAUAAUGAAUCAUCCGUCGGCUUUUCGAAGAUGAUAAAUAAUUUACCACUUUCGGUUGAAUUUUUUUCCUGUGGCGCUGAAUUGGUAAGAAGAGGAUUUAUUCAACCGAAUACUUUUUUUUUUUAAGAAUUAUUUUAAUAAAUUAUAGAAUAUUUUAUAGAUUCAUUUGAAAAACGAAGUCUCAUCGCAUUGUUUUCUUUCUUUCUUUUAAUUCUCCACCCCCGGUGCGCAUCAUACAAUCGUACGGUUCUUCGUUUUAGGUAAGAAACGCGGUUGGUGACGACGAAAAUUCAGCAUGAGAGGGUGAGAGCAUAGGAUGAGCAUGACGUCGAGCAGCGGAUCGACCGCGGGAAGAGUGGAAGCGGGCGAGGCGGCACGCUCAGACAAGCAGCAGCAGACAACGCCGCCGCCGCCGCCGCCGCUGCCGCUGCCGCAGGCGAGGACCGGAGGUUUUCUUGGAAGGCAUCGCUUGUCGGCCGCCAUCACGCGCCUCGAUCAGGAGAUCCUCUCCCUUCAGGUCCUUUUUCUUCCUCCUCUCUUCGUGACUCCUCCCCUCUCAACUAAUCAAUUUUUAGUUAUUCCCCUCCUUUCUCCCUUCGCCUGCCACGAUUAGUAGGUCCCCUCUCGCUGCUUUCACGGGGAUUUACAUAGAUUCAGUGAAAAAUCUAGCUCCUCUUCUCAAGUUAUAUCAGAAGGCCAAAACGGACCGUACAUCUUUGUUCCCUUGUAUGGGAACGCCGCACGCACAAGAAAUUUGGAUCCUCUGGGGCUCCUAAUCUCCAGGGCUCCUCCUUGGGAUGGCGAGACUAAUAGGAAUCACCUUUUUUUGGGUACGGAAGUUGAAUUCUUUGUUUGAACCCCUUUUAUCGGUAGCAGAUGGAUCAGCUGGAGUCAAUCCUUAUUAAUAAUCAAUCGCCAACAGCGCCAUUUUAUUGACAAUCUAAGUUAAUAUGGAUUCAUGUCUAAUGGGGAAACAUUGUUGUGACUCAGAAAAGAGGUGAAAAAGUUGUUUUGGGGCUGGUUCUCAGGAGAGAAAGGGGGGAUAUUUUCUCUAUGUACUUCACCAUGGGUUUACCCGCUCAUUUAUAGGCUAAGAACGUGGUAAGCUUUCCGCUAAAUCUUUUGGUUCACCUAAACAUUUAUUAUUAUUAUUAUUAUUUUUUAUUAAAACACUUUCUCGCUUUAAUUGAAGCUUGAAGGAUUGUCUUUAUUCUAUACAGUAGGGGGGUUAAGAUUCUUUAAAUGUUUUUUUUUUUUGAGAGAGAGGUAGCAUGCUUCGUUUAUUUCAUUAAGAAAUAAACUUAUUUGGAAAUAUGAAUCAACUAGGAUACGAACUUGGGACCUCGGGUACCAACCACCAAGCCCUUUGCCACUUGCUCUAGGGACGGUCGGUCUUAAAUGUUAUAAUUACAUGAGUGAAAAAGAAGAAGAUUCUUAUAUGGUAAGGCCAAUGUUCUAAAAGGCGAUAUGCGGUAUCCCUGCAAUUUACCUAUAUCAUAGCGCAUAUGCGGUGUGCCGGCGCAUAUGCAGAUGUAUAUGCGGUCUAUCUUGUAAAAUAUUAAUAAAAUAUUUUUAGGUAUUAAAAAUAUACAUAAAUGCUUCCUAACAAAGCUAAAUAACUAAAAUACCAAUUCAGAAUUCACAUAUUAAAAUAAUUAAUUUUAAGUAAAGGACCUCAUAUGCUCACUUGUAUCUCUAAACUAACAAUUAAUAAUUUACUCUUAAUUGUUAAAUUAAUAAAUAAGUAAAAUUUUGAUGAAAAAUCGUAAAAAAUGUCAAACAAAAAAUCAAUAUUCUUAAAAGCGGUAUGCUAAAAUUUUAUGAAGAACAAUAAUUUUUUAAAUAAAUUGUCAUUCACAUCAUUUAAGAGGCCAACACCUAAAAAGAAAACUUACUAUAAUGGUAUCUAACAACUACAAAAUUAUUCUUUAGCAUUUAACUAUGUUCCAAAAAGCGGUCCAUGCAGCCGCAUAUGCGGUUCGGACAAUAAACCUAUGGAGUGCAAUAUGCGGUCAUAUUGCAUAUACGGCAAGCGCUCUGAUGUGGGCAUUACUUAGUUUUCAUAAGUCUUUUAAUAAAUUUCUGUCCUAUCAUCCUAUGUUUCAAUUGAAUAACUCGAGGUUAACCCAACUAAAAACAUACCUACACUAAACCCUUCUAAACCUGAACCGAAACCUGAAUUUUGAAAUUCAAAUAGGAGAGGAUUAAGCAACAAACUAGUCAGAGAAAUUGUAGCAACAACCUGAACUUUGAAGUUCAGAUUCAAACCAGACUGAUGCAGGGGAAAAGUUUUAGAAAUCAAAAUCUUAUGUAAAAGCAAAAUCUUAUAAAUUUGAAACUCUCUAUGGCAACUAUAUGCUUUGUCACGGCGAGACUUAAACACAGAUGCGUAAAAAUAAUUUAUGAAUAAUGAAAAUCAUAAACGGCGCAAUAAACCCCAGAUAAAAAGAUUGAAUUUAAAAUAGAGAACGAGAUGGAAAGUUGUACCGUCAAAAAAAAAUCCGCAGUCGAAUUAGAAAUCGCAAGCGCUGAACGAAAGUCGCCAAAUUCCUAAAGAUUUCUUCAACGCCCUUUUUCUACCGGAGUACCAUCAUGCAUCGGUCGAAGGCGCGAUCUCCAAGAGGUUGAUAUUAGGGCCGAGGUGAGCGUACGAUCGGAAGAUGAGAACGACGGCUAGGGCAAGCGGGGUCCGUAAACGUCUUUCUUUUUUUUUCUUUGACGUCUCUUUUUUUUUCCUUCUUUGACGUUUUUUUUUUUUUUUUUUUUUUUGGUUGAAAGACGUACGACGGAACUAAGGAAUAAGAAUCUUAAUGGACCGCGUUUUCGCAGGUUUGAAACCGUUAACAAAAGGAUCCAAUAAGCUUCUUUUUCCCGUUUCUUGCUCAAACAACGUCAGAAUUUCGCAAACAGAUAGUCGAUUCGAAGAGAAAUAAAAGACGGAUAGAAUAAGGGACUCACUCCCUACGGACUCACUCCGGUCGACGCGAAAUCGCGAAGGAAAACAUCAGAGAACCUUUCUCAAAAAAGUGGAAUUUCAUAAUAAUUAAUGUCUGUCUCAUACAGAUGGUCGGGGUCAAUUUAUAGAACUUUCUACUAACAACUUGAAACAAACUAAUAACCAACUGAUAACCGGUCUUAUCUAAUACCAAUAUUCAAGCUAAUCUAAAAAUCUAAAACAUAAAAUAAUAUCUCAAUAACUAUAAUAUCUAAACCUAUCCUUAUGCAAAUCCGGCUCGACCUCAAGUCGCACUCAAUGUUUGAAUCAUGGUGCGAUAUCGUCAUCAAGCCAGAUAUUGGGCCUUCGACGACGGCGACGGGUAUAAGUCUGAAAUGGGGCCCGGUCCGCAUCACAGACGUUUAUUGGGAUUUCAAGGAGAAAAUUCAGCUGUUAGAAAAACUGAAUUAGAUAGCUAUAAAAGAGGGGUGUUGGCUUCAAAUGAAGGACAGAUUUGAUAGCUCAAUCCUCCAGAAAAGGGACUUUUUUUGCUACCUCUUUGCUGCCCUGUUUGAGGUGCUAUCUUCUCCUCAAAUCUGAGCCUAGGUUGGCUCAUUCUCUUCUUCUCCACUUGAGCCUGGAUUAAGCCAUUCCCCCUCUUAUGACUGCUGCCAUUAUAGCCGGAUGUCUCAUUCUGAGUUGACAGUUGAAACGCCGGCUUUCACUAUUUCUUUAAAAGAUGCUUUGGCGUCCCUGUUCGAUGCUAAUUUGCUGUUGAAAACCAGUCCAGAACAAGAGAGGAAUGGAGUUAUUUGCAGCUGAAAGGAAAUUUGAGGCUUCUCAUGGUCUCAGGCUGAGGUAAUAGCUGAGAUAAUAGCUGAGAAAUCUUUCCAGAAACAAGAACCUAACCCAAAGCUCUCCACUCCCAUUUGAGCCUGCCUAAAUCCAUUUGAGACCCCUCGCUUGGCCUAAACUUUCACCCUGUGCUCAACAAUCUGAACUUAUGUAAUUAAAACUCUGGACUGAAGUUUAUUUUGAGACUAGUUAGGAAGUUCUCUUUGUUGUUUUGCCAAUGACUUGUUGCUCAAAAUAAGUUGUGAUUUUAUUUACGUUUGGCUUUGAUUCCAAUAAAUAUUUGUACAUUUUCUUGUGAUUUAAUUAACCCUUUCAGUUUCUGGUUCAGUUGAAUCAAGUUGGUCAUUUUAUUUAUAUCAAGUGGUUCUCCAAGUGGCUUAGAAAAAAAUAAAAAAAAAAAGGAAAAUAUUUUGUAUUCCAUCAAAUUGGUAUCAGAGCAAGUUCUGGUCCACCAGCUUGCAUUUACUUUCAUGAAUAUAAUUACACAGUUGCAUAUUCAUAUUUUUCUUACCUUCUCACCAAUCAAGGGUCACCUAGUAUUCAUAAAAGCUGCCAUGUCAACCUCCAAUUCUGGUCAAAACCAAAUUGGUAAUGACUAGGGAGUUGCUAUGAAAGGCAACAAGAAUUAAUCAUGCAACAUCAACAAUCUUUGAAUCGACUAGAAGCUAGUGUGGUUCAGAUCAGAAACAUGACCUGAGCCUUCCAAUUCAGAAACCAAACAGUCCAACAACCCCUUGGGGUGAUAGGCAAUCUAGGGGAGCUUUACUUGAAAAAAAAUUCGAUUGAAGGAUUAGAUAACCCAGACCAUGUCACAAAUGCCCAAAAUGAAUUCAACUGAAAGAAACCAUAGGACUAAAAACAGGUGGGAUCAGGGAAUUAGAGUUAACGAAUGUGACUUUGAGGGAAAAGUAAAUCCGGAGGCAAGGUUUAAAGUGCCACGGCACGGGGGCGUGCCAUUGUCUGCCUGGCACAGUACGGCGCCGGCACGCUUCCGUGCCGACACGUGAUACGCAUGAGUGCCGAUGGAUACGCACGACCUUCUACUGGCACGCUUUGGCACGGACUUAUUUCAAUUUUUUUGGUUCCAAUAAGCUCUUAUAAUGUUAUUUUAAAAAAUUUAAUCAAAUAAUUAUGAAUAUUUGCUAUAUAUAGCUUACUAUACUUAUCAAUUAACAUAUUUGUAAACUUUUCUGUAUGUAAAGUACAAUUAUAUCUAAUGUAGAAUAGAAAUUUUUACAGGUUAGAAUUUUUAAAAUGCAAAGACAUCUUUUUUUUCUUUUUUUUUGACCAUAUUACAGUCUUUAUUUUAUAAAAUACAAAAAAAAUUAAUUUUAAAAAUUAUUUGAAAAAAAUAUUUUAAAAAGUAUUUGAAAAUUUAUUUUUUUAAUUAAUUUUUUCAAAAAAUAGUAGAUCUAUCAAUAAAAUUAAGCAAUAAAUUAUAUGACAUAUAAAUUAAAUAAAUUUAAGUACGAAUUGAUUUAAUUUAGUUUUUAAUUUUAUCAGUAUUUUCAAUCUUUUAACACAAAAAUAAAAUUUUAUAUUUGAUGUGGCUCAAAUUUGUUUAUUGAGUUCGAUUUUGUUCUCUUAAUUUGCCAAAAAAUUCGCAGUGCGAUAAAUUUUAAUAAAAUAAUUUGUGAAGGAAAAAGAGAUAUCUGUGAUAGAAGCAAAAAGCUCGGACAAAUCUUUUGUCUGUAUAUUGAUAAACAAAAAAAAUUAAAUUAUAAUUUUUUUGACUUACCUCAUAAGUAAAUUUUCGAUUUGCAAUGUCAUUGGGGAGGGGCGUGGGGUAUCUAGAAUGCUUUGGAUAUUCCAAAGAACAAAACAAAAGAAAAAAAAAAACAAAAAGCAAAAAAAAAAAAUAGCAUAGUGCCGGCACGGCACUGUGCCGUGGCACGCUGCGCCGUGCCGCUCUAUCUCGUGCGGCACGGUGUUGCGUGCCGCGGCACGGAGGGGGGUCCGAGACCUCUCCUGUACCGUGCCACCUUCGGUACGUGCCGCCCCGUGCCGUACGGCAUGGGGCGGCACUUUAAACCUUGCUUAAAACCUUGCUAUCCAUCCUUACCUUCAUAUAGUAAAAGCUCGUAUGGCGAAUCCAUACCUUCAUAUAGUGUUUACACUGCAUACCCACAUUAUGAUUCUUCUAUUCCAUACCAUCCUUAUUCUUAUGAUGUUGCAGUCCAUAUGCCAGUACAAGUGACUGUUGUUUAUUAAAUCCACGAUUCAGUUGCAUAUGCAGAUUACGUAUGACGAUACAAUGAGAUGUACCAGCAAAUAGUGAUCGGGUCGUUGCUGCUCCAAUUGAUGUGGGAUGGAUUGAAAUUCAUUCUCAGUGCCAUGAAUUGAUGAAGUAGAAGAGUCAAAUGUAGAGUAUGCAUCAGCAUCGUAAUCGUAUCUUUCUCUAUUAAAACCAUGGUGAUGUGAGGGAUAUGAUGAUACCGAAGUACACUAUCAAACUGUGAGCACGUAUCGUCAUCCAUUCAUGGCUAUUCGAUUGACACCGGUUCCAAGCCCUCUCUCAUCUUCUAUAAUUUUGUUAUGAGGACCUAUUACCUGUUCUGCGAUCAUAUACCACUCCAGAUGUUUGACGUGGUUGAGACCUAUGAUCAGCAUCUCGAGUGGCAUGAGUGAGGUUUUGCUCUUCAGUAAAUAUAAGAACUUUCCCACCCUCCUGUUGUUCUGAGUAGCCCCAUUGCUAUUGGUGGUAUCAUCAUCAUCAUCAUCACUACACAUCUUUGGAUUGUGGUAAUCCAAAAUGUGUUGGUGUUGAUUUAUCGCUAUCAUUAUCAAGCGGGAGUGCACCACCUGCAUUUAAUAGAUCCACCGAUGUCAUACUUUUUCUACCCUUACCAGUUCCAACUGUUGUUGAAGGCUUGUUUACGAUAGACGAUGUCCUUUCUUUUUCGGAUUGACUUUUGAGUACAAUUAGGCAACCAUGUCCAGGUCUCAGCAUAAGGUGCUCAAAUUCUGCAUCAGAGUCAUCUACAAGAUUUUGGGAUUCUUCGCCUAAAGUUGCUUGUUCUUGCACAUCACCCCACUGAUUCUGAGACCUUCGUAUAUUCUCGUCACCCAUUUUUCUAUGUCACUAACUCUUGCUUUCUCAGCAAUUAUCUUGAAUGAUCGUGGUGGAUUAAUUCUUUCUAUUUUGUACCCAAUCAAAUGCGGGAUCUGAUUCAUCAUUAAUAAAGCUUGCAUCUAAAGGAUCAUUUUUAUUUCUUAUUAUACUCCUUUUGCAUGCAUCUUAAACGGAGCCUCAUAUUACAGUGGACAUAAAUUAGCUUGUCUAAUCAUGCAUAUGCUAAUUGAUUACACACUUUAGUAUGUAUCUAUGCGAAUGUACUCCAGUUACAUUUUGCAUCCGCUAGACGUUGUUUGAGAUAAAACACGCACAUCAAUCUUCUUUAAAUGCUUUGCUGAUCCACCGUAUUGUAGCCACCAUUUAGAUUUCCAUUUAAAAAUUAAAAUCGUAUCAAAUUAGGUUUGUCGUUAGAUAUAAAAUGUCUAAGUUAUUGAGUUACUGGGAUCGGUGUUGUCUCUCGUUAAUUGCACCCGUUUCGCCAAAAGUACCAGAGGAUUCAUGAAAUAUUUUUUCUUUAUUAUGAUAUUAUAAUAAUGAGCAAUCAGUAUGUUAAUAUAUAAUAAAUUAAUAAUACAUUGAAAAAGCAAGUGUACCUUAUUUAUGGCUUGGAUUCCUCUCCAAUCUAUUGAUGACAUUUAAUGCCCUCCAAAAUUCAUCAUCAAACCCAUGAUUAUAACGAUGGUGGUAUGAUGAACUAAUAUAAUAACCUAUCAUUAAGAAAUCACUCCACCAAUGCAAAAAUACAAUUGAACAAUCACUAACAAAUAGUUUUGUUAUAAUUUUGUAGCACACUGAAUCUUAGCAAAUUGCAAGGUUUCAGUGUAGGAAUAGUGUUUUGAACUAUUCUGGAAGUUUUGAGGGUUGUCUGGAGUGUGUUGACUUGUUUUUGGAGCUAAGUAGGCGCGAGAACGGGUUUUCGACAUCAAAAUCUGUAAAUUACAGAUUUUUGGUGUUGAGUACUGGUACUGAUUUGAGGUACCGGUACUCAGUAGAGUGCCGAAAUGGGCAGCUCUCGGAUUUUGCGGAACCAGGUUGUGAGUACCGGUAUAAAGCCGAGUACCGAUACUACAUCGGGCAGGUACCAGAACGUAGUAAAAACUAGAAUUUUCAAUGUUCGGGUUUUGCGGAACUAGACCCCUGAUAUCGGAACUGCCGAGUACCGGUACUCCAAUUCAUGUACCUGUACUCAAUGUUGCAGAGUCUAAUUUCGUGUAGUAUGCAAUUUCUGAGUUUUUGAGGGACCUAAGGGAGAUUGUUACAUAAUGUUGUAUAACCUCUCAUCCCCUCACUUGUUUCCUCUUGUGCUCAGGCUAGAGAGAGAAGAAGGUGAGUGCUCACUCUCUCUCUUGAAUUUCUUCCUUCAAACCCCCAAAUCUUGGGUUUUUAUCUCUUUUUUUCUAGCUUCUUCAUUGAAGCUUGCAUCUUGGACCUAGAAGGGAGCUUGGAAGUGAAGAAGAAGCUUGUUUUAGAAUUAAACUCCAACCCUAGCAUCUCAUAGCUUGGUUUGGAGCUCUUAUUGAGGUUAAUAGUCUUCUUGCAUCAUCUAAUUGUGUGUUUUGCAAGAAUUUUGGAAGAAAACAUAGUUUGGAAGAAACUAGGGUUUAUUUGGGGUUUCUUUAUUUUGAGCUUUUGUGAUUGAAUUGAUGGAUGUAGAACCCUCUUUUAGGUUGGAUUUGAAGCUUCUUAGCUUUGGUUUGGACCUUGGACAAGUUUUACUUGAUCAAAGGUAAUUUUCAUCUAUUUUCUACUUGAUUUUUGGUGAAUUUCGUGGCAAGCUUUUUAGAAGUUUGUAACCCCUUAAGAAUUUUUCUUAGGGUGCUAGAAGUUUAGUGGGCAACUUCGUUUGAAGAAACGAACAAGUUUCAAAGAGUUUCUGGUGGGUUUGACCUCACCUAAAUGGAUAAACUCCUUCUAUGUCUCCUACAUGGUUUUAGGACUUAUUUGAUGCAUAUUUACGCUAAUCAUGAUAUGAUAGAAUUUUUGGAUACAUGAUGCAUAUAGGUUAUGUAUGAAAUUUUGUGUACUCUAUAUAGUAGAAUAAUGCCAUAUUUGAUGCUAUUUCCCACGACCACCAUGCUGUCGACAUAUAAUAGCAAAAUACGGAAGCUCCCGUCAUCGUAUUCGUAGAAAUAUGCACAAUAAUCCACCUCAAGCUUAUCAAAACCCAAACUCAAAAUAAGGGAAUCAAAUUGCUUGUACCAACAACUUGGUGCCUGUUUCAAGCCAUACAACGAUUUGUUCAAGCAACAAACCAAAUGCUCCCUGCCUCUUUCGACGAAGCCUUCUGAUUGCGACAUAUAUAUUUCCUCCUCCAGGUCACCACGCAAGAAAGCUGUUUUUACAUCCAUCUGCUCGAGCUCCAAAUCCAUGACUGCCGCGAUUGCCAAAACGACAUGAAUAAUAGUAAGCCAAAUCACUGGUGAGAAGAUCUCAUCGAAGUUGAUCCCUGGCUUUUGAGCAUAACCCUUCACUACCAAUUUGCCCUGAACCUCUCCACAUUCCCAUCCGCAUCCUUUUUCACCUUAAUAUCCACUGGCAUCCAAUCGCGUUCCUUUCCUUCAGCAAAUCAACAAGUUCGCAGGUCCUAUUCUUCCGAAGUGACCCUAUCUGCUCCAUCGCGCAUUGCCACUUUUCGGCAUUGGUCGACUCACAAGCCUCCUUAUAUAAAGUUGGCUCAUCUUUCUCCACCAAAGUAACAUAUGCACUAACAUGAUUAGCAGGAGUAAAUGAAGUAAUAUAGUCAUCAUACCUCGUAGGAGGUCUAAUGACCCUCCUAGGACGCCCGGAAUCCGCUGGUGGCUCCACCAGUGAAUUUGUAUCUUCAGAUGAUUGCGGAGAUUCCAAGUCUGGUUCAUUAUCAACCACCUUAUCGUCUUCCUGUGCUUGCUAAGCUUGCACCUCAUCGCGUGCUUCAAAGAACUCAAUUGGAGCCAUAGCCUCAUCAUCUUGCUUUUCCUUGGUUCUUUGAAAGGACCCUUCGUUGAAGACAACGUCACGGCUUAUGACGAUCUUGUGGGUAGUAGGAUCCCACAAUUGAUACCCCUUAACACCUUUCGCUUAGCUGAGAAAUAUGCACCUUCGAGAGAUCUUAUCCAAUUUUGACCUCUUCUCCUUCGGUAUCCACGCAUAACGUCACAACCAAAGACACGAAGAUAGGAGUAGUCAACGGGCUUGCCGCUCCAGACUUCUUCAGGAAUUUCCAAACCAAGUGAUUUUGUUGGCGUUCGAUUGAUCAAGUAACAAGCCGUGCUCACGACUUCCGCCCAAAAUCUCUUGUCGAGUUUUGAAGUACUCAACAUGCUCCUGGCCCUCUCCAUGAGUGUUUUAUUUAACCUCUAUGCUACACCGUUUUGCUGCGGUGUAUCGGAUACUGCGAGGUGCCGCUUAAUUCCAUGUUCACUACAAAACUCAUCAAAUUCUCUUGAACAACACUCCUCUCCGUUAUCAGAAUGUAGGCACUUAAUUUUUAAACCCUUUUCAUUCUCCACAAGAGCUUUAAACUUCUUAAAAGUUUCAAACACGUCGGACUUCCUCUUUAGGAUAUACUCCCAAGCCUUUUGAGAAUAAUCAUUAAGAAAGAGAACAAAGUAAGAACACCCGCCCAACGAAAUAUCGGGCGACUCCCAAGUAUCUGAAUGAAUCAACUCGAGAUGUGACUUGCUUUUUUGAUGUGAUAGAGAGAAGGAUAACUUUCGUUGCUUCCUGUAGAUGCAAAUUUCAAAGAAAUCCAAUGGCGCGGACUUGUAACUUGGAAGAAGUUCACGGUUAGAUAAUACCUGCAAUCCGCGCUCACUCAUGUGUCCCAAACGGCGAUGCCACACCGUCGGAGACUCCACCUUCACGCUUGCAGCAACCGCUUCUCCUACUUGAGUCUCGCCCACAAAUCUAUAUAGGCCAUCUAUUUGCUCUCCUUUAAUCAACACCAAACAUCCUUGAGAUACCUUCAAAUGAUCCUUCUCGCCGACGAGCCUAAGCCCUUGUUUGCAAAACAUUCCAAGUGAUAGAAGACUUUUCCGAAGUGCAGGAACAUGCCGAAUAUUAGAAACCGUCUGAACAACACCAUCAAACAUCUUGAUUCGAACAUCUCCUACUCCAACCACCGGACAUGUCGUGUUGUCACUCAAAUAGAUAACUCCACCAUCCCAUGGUUUGUAAAUAUGAAACCAUUCCCUAUAGGGAGUUAUGUGGAAUGACGCCCCCGAAUCCAAGAUCCAAUGAUAAAUAAGAUCGGAUCUAUCCAAUGCGGACAAAGCAUCUCCGUUCUCUGAACUAGCCGACUUAGCAUUCGUUUCGGCUACAUUACCUUGGAAGUUGCUUGAAUCGGAUUUAUUAUCAACUCCUUUAACCUGGCAAUCCUUCUUCAUGUGCCCCAAUUUUUCACAAUUCCAGCACUUUACUUUCUUUUUGUCCUUGGACUUUGAUCUUGACUUCCCUCGAUCACCACGCUCCCUCUCAAAGGGUCUUUCCCGUGCUAUUAUAGCCUCCCCCGAAAAGCUUCCUUGGCUAGACUUUCGCCUCAUCUCCUCCGUAAACAACGAUGCAACAACCGACUCCAUCUUAAGGGUUUCAACAUGGUUCAAGUUCAUAAUCAAAUUAUCCCAAGAUUCCGACAUCAAACAAAGUAAAAUAUUUGCCUUUUCUUCUUCAUCAAUUCUCACGGCUCACUAUGGAGUUGAAUGAACUUAGAUGUUCUUGUACGGGUGCCCCGUCCUUCAUCUUUAGACUGUACAAUUGCCGCCUUAAGAAGAUUUUAUUCACCAAUGACUUCCCUUUAUAGAGAUUCUUCAAUUUAUCCCAAAUCCUUUUGCGGUAGUCUUGGUCUCCACAUUUCAGCACCGAAUCAUCUAGUGCCAAAUACAGAUUUGCCAAAGUCAUCUUGUCUUUCUCUUCAAAUAGCUUAUCCGUCAUCCCUUCCGGCUUUUUCUCCUUUCCUUGCAGGGCGAUCUCACAAAUAUCUUUAAUCAAGACUGCUUGCAUCUCAAGUUUCCACAAUGCGAAAUUCGUUCCAUCAAAUCGAAGAACCUCAUACUUCGUCGCUUUAAUUUUUUUCCACCAUUGUUUCACCGUUAACGUACUACAAAGAACCAAACGCUCUGAUACCAAUUGAACGGACUGGCCGUGGGGUUACGACCACACCUCAAACCCACACGGCACGGGCGCAUCCGAAACAGGAUCUUUCGUAGACGUAAGAGAUGAGAGCGAUCGUAGAAAAAAUAAGCACGAGGAUAACAAAGCAAUAAAGAAAAUAAGAGAACACAAAAACAUAAGAUUUACGUGGUUCGGUCAACCAUGAGUCGACCUACGUCCACAGGAAAGCCACCUCAAUGCUUUCUUCGAUUAAUCCACGGCACAAAAGUACAAAGGAGUAGAUUGGAUUGCAAAAAAUUCUCUCUCAGGAGCUUUCCACGUUUUCCUCUCAACUAGGGUAUUUUCAAUGAAGCUUAUAAUCUAAAAGCUUAAUUACAAGGGUUUAUAUAACCCUAAAAUCCUAAUUCUAGUAAGAAACAAUUUUCGCCUUCUAUCCAAGUCUGAUUCACAUGUAGUCAUUGAUAUCCUUUUAGGAAUACUCUUUAAAGUGAUUUUGGACUAUUCUUAAUCUUUUGGAACAAUAUUAGAUCCAAUCAGAGUCAAACUCUGCAUAUCGACUUGGAACAUGGCAGAAUUUAAGUGUCAUGGCACGCGGUCGUGCUGAAAACUGGCCGGCAAGGUACAACACGAUGCGUUACGGGCGGUGCCGAUAUGUGCCGGUCGCAAAAAAUACAUGCAUGCCUACACAUAAUAGUAUGAAAUAUUUUUUUUCUUUAGCACCAAAAUACUCUAAUUGCUUAUUAUGUAUCUAAUUAAAUCUUUUGAACUUUAUUGAGAAAAUUACUUAUUUAAUUAAGCUAUGUCAUCGGCAUAGGGACUAUAUCGUGCUAAUAUUUUGUUGGCACGAUACGACACGGUACAUACAGCCCAUGCCGAUGUGUCAGAGUCCUUUUUGGUUGUCAACGGCCCUGACUUUGUCAAUAGCAUUGAGUCUGUAAAGAGUCUGUAAAUGUUUUGUCGGGCACGACGUCGACAUAGGAUUUUUCUUGUUUGGGAUGGGCAUUGCUUGUAAAUUGGCAUCCGGUUGGCUACCCGCGGGUUCGCUCGUGCUACGCAUCCAAGGGAACAUAGGUAUUUCGCUAACAAUGGCCGCUUAUGCAACGGAUUGAGCCGGAUGCGUGUCGGACAUGGGUCGGCGGCCUAUUUUCCCAUGGGUGUGCGGAGGGGGGAAAACGUACCCCUCGGUGAGCACCUUUGUACCCUCGGGGUGCCAAAGGGGUGGAUGCCAAUAUGGGAUAGUACGGGAAGGUUGGGUGAUACGUAUUAAGUGAGCCGGCUUCGCUAGAUGCGGAGUGUCUUAGUGAUCAUUUUGCCUUCAUCGGCCAUGCCCGACCAAGUCGAGUCGUGUGCUUUUCGCUUGUAGUCCAACUUUUCGUUAUCAAUAAAAUACUCGUUGUUUGUACCAAUUUGCAGGACCCCUUUGUGUGCUUUCUCUCAAUUCUCGGUCGUUGACAAUUUGCGAAAUUGUGCCUCGGGACAGAUUGGCUGGCUCGUUUGUGCAGGUGACGAACGAGCGCCGCGCGGGCUUUUCGACAAGAAGUCAUUAGACCUGUGUUAGAUGGGCACUUAAAUCCUUGUGUAUAACUAUAAAAGCUAUAGAGAAUUAUUUCAUUUACAGAAAACUGUAAAUGAUAUCAGUGUUAAGCUUACAGCGCAUUACGUGCUUCACGAUCAUUUAAAAUGACCUAUGAAGACCUCAUCAUGCUCCAUUAUAUAGGAUUUGUUCAAUUCCGAUGUAAGAUGCCACAAAGGGGAGAUGGACAGAGAAUGACCAAACAAGAAUUCAUUGGCCUUACACGCUGGAUGAUACUGCUGACUAUAGUUGGAUGCAAAUUGAUUUAUAUAUCAGACUUUUGUAUCUAUGGCAUGUUAUCCCUGUCAUUAUAUUUAAUUUGGAAAAGGAUGCAAGAAAACUGUGUUGUAUAUCUUUUUUAAUCUGCUAGCAAAGGGAGUUACUCGUACAUUUUGGCUUGAAAUGUUAGUACAAGGUUUACCAUUCUCUCUUAUGGUUGUUCAUUAGUACAAAAUUGGAGCACUAAAAUAUCAAUACUGAUUUCACGACAUGCAUAAUAUGGCAGAUAAGUUCCAUCAUGAGAGUUUGUCACAUAAUUCCUGGUGUCCAAACUAAUAUAUGUUGCCCUUAAUUAUAUAAUAAUGGAGAUGUUAACUUUUCUUCAAUAACUGUGAUUUUAAAUUUCGAGUCGUCCUUCAAUUACUGUCUCGGCUUCAAGUUUCAUCUCUUUUUCUCUGCUUUUAAUGUAGGAGGAAAUAAAUGAACUUGAGACCAUGGACCCCUCAUCUGCUGCAUGCCAAGAGUGAGUAAAUCUGGUUUUGUGUACCUGAUGUUUUAUUUCUAUGCAUAUUCUCAGUGCUAACGAGGUAAGACCUUAUUCUUGAUUUUGUUUGUAGAGUUCUCUUAAGUAUGGAAGGAAAACCUGAGCCGCUCCUUCCUGUGUGAGUAGUAACUUUCAAUAAUUCUGAUGAUCUUAGAAAAAAAAGCCAUUUUGAAAAAAGGAAAUUGGACAGCAGAUUAUCAGUAUACAUGUUUUUUUUUCCUCGCACUGUAACAAUGUUGGUAAUGCAUUGGUGAUCUUAUUGAUAUUUUGUCAGCACCAGAGGUCCAGAAGAUGUUUCGUGGGAUCGGUGGUUCCAGCGUGUUCGUAGCUCUCGUGGUCACAAGUGGUGGACACACAAAGGUUCUGAUUUUUCUUAAUGUCUUGCAACAAAUCAGGUCACAAGAACUUCAACUGCUUUCACAUAUGGCUAGUUGAGAGAGCACAUUUUGUAUGAUAGUUUUGGCAACUACAUACUUCUGUAAUGUCGAUUUACGGCGGCUCUAUGUUUAGUGUAAUAUUGCACGAUCGCUUUUGAGUCUGGAGUUGUUAUUGGUUGAAAUAUGUGUGACAAGCACUCACAGUGAUUUCUCCUGGAAAAGUUAGUUGAUUCACAAGGCUAUCAAAUGGGAUCUACUAUUCAUAAUUGCUUGUGUUGUCGCAUGUUUUACAGGCUUUGUCGGAGCGGCAAAUGAUAUGUAUCUUGUGUAUUUAUUUCUUACAAUUCAUUUGUGUUGGCUUAAAACAGCCAGCAUCCUAUCUUAUGGGGGGAGGCCAAAUUAGGCCGAGUCAUGUUAGAAAUGACGAAAGGCUCGUUGGGCUGAGACGCUCGAGAUUCGUGAACGUUGUAGCUGUAUAUUUUAAGUGUAUUUGUUGCAUAUUUUUUAGUAGCUCGAGUUUUUGAAAUUAAUGCAAAUUUUUGUAUCCGAGAAUAGUUCUCUGGUCUCUGGAAUAAAUUGAUAUAACCUGGUAUAAGUGUGGAAUUGUUGUUCUAUCAUUUUUCCUAGAACAAGCUUGUUCCCAAAUGGGAACAAGAUUAAUUAAAGUUUAAAUUUAAUUUUAAUUAUGAUAUUAAAUCAUUAAUUAAUCUAAGUAAUAUAUUUAAAUCAUUAUCCAUUGCUUAAAUAAUAAAGUAACUAAUUAAUUUAUUACUUGUAAUUAAUUAGCUAAUUAAUUAUUAAUAAUUUAAUGUGUUUAUACAUAAACUAAUAUUUAUAUUAAUCAACCGUUAAUGUUUUUAUUAAUCUAAUUAAUUUUUUUACUAAUUAUCAGACAAAUAAUUUACUAACUAAUUAAAAUGUUAAAUUAUUUUUUAAUGUUAAUUAAUUAAUAAAAAUAUUUUUAUUAUCUUAUAUAAUAUUAUAGUUAAUAAAUUAUUAAUUUAUUAAAUUAUUUUAAUUAAUAUUUUGAUAUUAAUUAAUUUGAUAAAAUUUUCUUAAUUUAAAAUUAUAACUCUUAUUCCUCUUGUAUGAAUCUAACCAGGUAAAAUACUAUUUACCUUAUUCUUAAAAACAAUAUAAUUAUUUUUUUCGAAAUGCAAAAUUAAUCUAAAUUCUAUUUUUCAUCUGAAUUUGUAUUUAUACUCGAACCAAAGGCAAAUAAUAACUUAGUUAGUUGAGCCGUUCUAGAAGCACUAGCAAAUUUUCUGUCGAGAACUCAUUUUACAAUUCCCCAGGCCCACGGGCCUACUUGGUAGGCUUAGUGCAUCAAUAGUAUGCUGCCAUUUAGCAUUUGUGACCUCAACGUCACACAGGAUAAAGGACAUAUUUGAGCCGGCUUCCAGGCAGAGAUGUCCCGAACCCGAAUCCGAACCCGAACGGAACAGAUUGAUUUUGGAUAUGAAUAUCAAAAAUAAAAAUUCGACGGAUAUGAAUUCGGAUAUGAUUUUGAUUUUACCAGACCCGAACCUGAACCCAACCUUGAACUUGAUCCGAACCCGAAUUUAUUUUAUAUUAUCUAUAACAUGUAGAUAAAAAUUUAAUGUUAUAUUUGAAUUUGUAUUUUAAAAGUUUUGAUUUAAUGCAAUAUAUUUUGAAAUAUUAAAAAGAGAAAUAAUUAUUUCGGGUUCGGAUUUGGAUUCGGGUUUCGGAUUUUUGAUCGGGUUCGGAUUUGGAUAUGAAUUUUUAAAAUCCAUCGGGUUCGGAUUUCGGAUUUGGAGUCAGGUUCCGAUUUGGAUUUUUAAAAAUCCAUCUCCAAUCCGUCCUGUUGGCAUCCUUACUUCCGGGGAAAGAAAUUGGUUUGUGCCCAGGGCUAACACAGAACCGGUUAGAGCCCUGGGCUCGAAGAUGCACAUAUAAGGAGCCAGACCAUCUCGUUCCGGCCACCCAACACUCCAAUGAUCCCCGAGAAGGUGAGCAUUGUUCACCUCGUGUCCAGUAAGGUAAGACCCCAUCUUGGUUUUGAACUAAUAGUCCCCGAUUGCCUAGUUAGGGUUUGUCGUCUCUGUAAGGCUUCAAACCUUGGUUCAAAUUGCUCCAAAUCACUUGGUUGGCGUUUGUGCUCCGAACAUGUGAGGACUGAGAUUUUUCUAUAUAUGUUUAAUAUAUUUAAAUGUUAUUGUAAGGUACGGACUUCUAAAAAUAUGAAGUUACGGUGUACAUUUAAAUGGUUCCGGUGAGGUUGCGGUGUAAUGUAAUAUACCGGAUUUAAAUAUAAAAAUAAAAAUAAAUAAAAAUAGUAUGAGAUACUAUUUUUAUUGGAUUUAGAGAAGUGAAAUAUAGGUUGGGAAUGACCUGUGUUGAAAUCGGAGCGAAAACAGAAGAUUUAGAAUUUUCUAUGAGAAACGGGACAGAUAAAUUAGCAGAAAAUGCACAGUCUCAGAAAAUUAUGAAAAUUGGAGGUUAAGUCAGAAAUAUUUUUAUGAGGCUAGAUUUAAAGUUUCAUAUUUUUCUGACAUCCGUAGAGUGAGAAAUAAAAUCCGACAGUUAUCUGAUAAAGAUUACAGUUCGGUACAGUUUUCAGUGACUAAACGGGGUCGAAACUGAAAUAUUAAAAUUUCUUUGGACUUAUUAAGUAAAACCGAGCGUGCCUGUCAAAUUUGAGCUCAAACAGACAUUCAGGGAGUUCCGGCGAAAGAUAUCAGAUUUCAAGCUGCCUGUAAGUGAAUAGUGUUGGGGUGUAAUUAAAUAGAAGCUCUUGGCUUCUUCUUCCCCAACCAGCCGCACACACACACACCCACACGCCACACAACACACACGCAUGGAAAGAGGGAGAAAGAGAAACCUUCCAUUUUCUCUCUCUAAAUCUCUCCCAAAGUGGAUGGAUUUGGUGGAGAUUGAAGCUUGGAGGUGAAUCGCCUUCGUCUUCUUCAUUUUCUCCACCUUGAGGGCAAGCUUGAGAGGUAAGCUUUUGCUACCUUUUAAUGGUAGAUUCUUAAUAGUUGGUUUAAAUACCUUAUAAAUGGAUUUAGAGGAAUCCUAGCAUGCUAUCUAGAUGAAUGAUACUUGAUUCAUGAAGGAAUUUGGUGGAUUUUUAUCUAGUUGCAACUUAGGGCUUCAAAAUGGGAUUUUUGUAAAUGUGAGGGUUUGAUCUCAUUUGACCCUCUGUAAACCUAAUUGAUAGGUCACUGAACACGUUGGAAGCGACGGUUCGGCGAUUCGUCGAGCCGGUGCAAAGUUAUUAAAGAAACGGACGUUUAGGCUUCGUUUCCGCCUGGAGGGCCGAGGCGACGUCGUAAAAUCCUGAAAACGGAUUUGAAGCAUCGUAACAAGAAACCGAAGACCUUUAAUUUUUGGAUCGCGGAUCGGAGGUCGUUUGGUGGUCGCGCGCGGAUUGGGUCAAGCCGAGCGGCGUGCGCCGCGGGAGGCUGAUUGCGAGUGACGACGAGCAAUCGGAACGCGAUAAAAGGUGGGGGGUGUCUAUUCCGAAGCAACUGAGCUUCUUCCUAUGUCUUAGUACUUUAUCAAUUUGUAUAAAGUAUAUUGUAUGUUGCUACGCUUUAUAGGAUGACAAUACAUGCAUUCCUAAUCCUUGUAUGAUGUUUAUGAUCAAUAUAGUAUUAUGAUAUGGAUAUAUGAUGUAAUGGACAUAAGGAUUAUGAGAUGACAUCGGUAAACCUAUGAUGCUAAAUGAAAUAAGAACCUAGUAUUGUAUUUAAAGACAUAGUUUACAAGUGGCAUUGAACUCAUUGUGCUAAAAACACAUAUGACUUGAACUUAGUAAUGGAUUGGUUGUUGUACUAGAAACUCUAGUUAACAUUGAUCAAGUUGCAUAUUGGGAUAUUGCAUUAUAGGGUACUAGUUGGCAAUUGUUACAUGUCAUGGCAUGCUAGUGGGAGUGUAGUGUUACUUGAUUAAUAUUUGUACCUAGUAUGCAUGAGAUUGGGACUUAGUGUGGUGAAACCCUAUAAGGGCAUGAUUAAUGUGGAUUAAACUUUAGUUGAGUACAUUAAUCGAUCAAGUUGCAUAUUGUAUUUAUUGCAUAUAGGUGCUAGAUGAUUAUGGUUAUUGCUUAUAUUUGCAUGCUAGUAGCUAUACAUCUUGAUGAUUGAUCCAUGAUCUAGUAUGCAUGAGAACCUAGACCCUAUAUGUGAUGAUUAAUAUUUAUGUGAUUAAAGAAUUAGUAUGACGAAACUAGUGUUAAAAGUGGCAUCUAGUUUAGAAAACUAUGACAAGUGGCAUCUAGUCAUAGAAAACUAUGAUGUGAGGCAUAUGAUUGUUGAUGACCUUGACAUGAGAACAUUAGUGUAGUUGUGACAUUAUGAGAUUGGGUACAAGAACACCUUGAUUCCAUGAUGAGAUUACCCUUAGAGGGUAGGUUGCUGAUGUUCGUGAGUUGAUCGUGCUCACAUAGCCUGUCUGCGCUUGGAGGGGUCGCUCCCCAUAAGCUGUGCACUCCGGAGGUUGGUCACUAGAGGGACAGUCAGUGUGCUGUCUGGACGGUCUGUGUGCUGUUCGCAGGCGGUCUCGGGAAAUAGUUCAGUGAGACUUUCCCCUAUGAGACUUACACGUGAGAUAUGUUCGUGAACCCCGAGUUCACCAUGAGAUUUGGUUACCUAUUGAGUCAUACUCAUUAUCGUUGUUCAUGAUAGCUCGUUUCCAUAGUUGUUGUGUUGUUCAUAGUAGCUUACUAGUGUUCAUAGUAGCUUACUUAUUGCUCAUGCAUUCAUGAUAUACUAUUCCUUCACCUAUGAGAUUUGAGUGGAGUAACCUUGUACCUAGUAGGUCGAGAUGUGAGUCGGGCAAAGUGCGGGGUAGCCUUUGCCUAGGACUUUGAGAUGUGAGUCGGGCAAGGAGUGGGGUAGCUCUUCGCCUAGGACCUUCGAGAUUGAGUCAGACCUUGAGAUGUGAGUCGGGCGAGGAGCGGGGUAGCUCUUUGCUCAGGACCCUUAAGACAUGAAUCGAAUAAGACAAGAAUGAGGUAGCUUUUCACCUACUAGAUUUGAGAUCUUAGGCAAAGUAGCCUAGUGGAUUGGGCAAUAAUGUGAAUAGCAUAAGUGGAUUGCAUUCAUACCAUGAUUAGACAUAGUGCAUUGCAUAACUAUGUUAUAGUUGUAUUCAUUUCACUGUUGAGGCAUAUUAGCAUGAUAGUAGAUUGUUGCUAGAUGAUAAUCCAUACACUUCUUUCAUUUGAUGGCAUAGUAGAUAUAGUAGCAGUUUAUUUCCGUAUAUCUUUCUAUCUAUCUAUCUGUGCCAGCUUGGACCUAGUGGGAAGAUCGGCGGAGUCGGCGGCCGAACCCACUGGGAACUAUAUUUAUAUAGUUCUCACCCCGUCUGGUUUUAGGGUACAGGUACAUACGAGAGCGGACCGGCAGAUGAUCGCGGCAAGGGCUUAGCGCCCUAGUGCUAGUUGGUAGUUUACUUUCCUAUUUUGCAUUAGAGUUACUGUGAGACUCCAGAUAGUCCUAUAUAUAAGAUAUAAUAGGGCUAAACUCUUAACCCGGCUUAAGCAUUUUGGGUAGUGGCUAGACCCAUGAGGUUAAGAGAGUUAAGCGUGCUAGGACGGGAGCAGUCCUAGGAUGGGUGACCCCUGGGAAGUCGCGGCGUCACAGAUGGUAUCAGAGCCAAUUACCAGCCGGAAGUGUGAGAUGAGUCUCGGCUGAGUCAGGGUCUGGAUGACGGGCUAGCGAGACGAGUCUCACAUCGCCUGGUACUUGUGAGUCUGAGCCUGACGAGGACGUCAGGGCUUAAAGGAGGGGAGAUUGUGAGACCCCAGAUAGUCCUAUAUAUAAGAUAUAAUAGGGCUAAACUCUUAACCCGGCUUAAGCAUUUUGGGUGGUGGCUAGACCCAUGAGGUUAAGAGAGUUAAGCGUGCUAGGACGGGAGCAGUCCUAGGAUGGGUCGUUCCAAAUUCACACUCUCGGGGCAUAAUCGAACAAUAUAAUUAGGUUUUGCUCCUUAUUCGAUUUAAUGAGAAAAAGUACUUGUUGCAAAGUUAUACUGUUUGGGUGCAACUGAGUAUUGUAAUAUUGUUCAGGUUUUAGUUCUUGUGAACGUUGACAUCGAUUCGUUCCAAAUAUACACUCUCGGGGCAUAAUAAAAGAAUAUAAUUAGGUUUACUCUUUGUUCGAUUUAAUGACAAAAAAUACUCGUUGCAAAGUUAAACUGUUAGGGCGCAACUGAGUAGUCUAACGUUGUUCUGGUUUUGGUUCUUGUGAACGUCGACAUCGAUUCGUUCCCAAUUUACACUCUCGGGGCAUAAUAAAAUAAUAUAAUUAGGUUAUACUAUUUGUUCGAUAGAAUGAGAAAAAGUACUCGUUGCAAAGUUAUACUGUUAGGACGCAAUUGAGUAGUCUAAUGUUGUUCCGGUUUUUGUUCUUGUGAACGUUGACAUCGAUUCAUUCCAAAUUUACACUCUCGGGGCAUAGUAGAACAAUAUAAUUAGCUUUUACUCUUUGUUCGAUAAAAUGAGAAAAAGUACCCCUUGCAAAGUUAUACUGUUAGGGCGCAACUCAGUAGUCUAAUGUUGUUCCGAUUUUUGUUCUUGUGAACAUUGACAUCGAUUCGUUCCAAAUUUACUCUUUCGGGGCAUAAUAGAACAAUAUAAUUAGGUUUAACUCUUUGUUCGAUAGAAUGAGAAAAAGUACUCGUUGCAAUGUUAUANNNNNNNNNNNNNNNNNNNNNNNNNGAUUUAAUGAGAAAAAGUACUCGUUGCAAAGUUAUACUGUUUAGGCGCAACUGAGUAUUGUAAUAUUGUUCCGGUUUUAGUUCUUGUGAACGUUGACAUCGAUUCGUUCCAAAUUUACACUAUCGGGGCAUAAUAGAGCAAUAUAAUUAGGUUUUACUCUUUGUUGGAUAGAAUGAGAAAAAGUACUCGUCGCAAGGUUAUACUGUUAGGGUGCAACUGAGUAGUCUAAUGUUGUUCCGGUUUUGGUUCUUGUAAAUGUUGACAUCGAUUCGUUCCAAAUUUAUACUCUCGGGGCAUAAUAGAACAAUAUAAAUAGGUUUUUCUCUUUUUUCGAUAGAAUGAGAAAAAAUACUCGUCGCAAAGUUAUACUGUUAGGGCGUAAUUGAGUAUUCUAAUGUUGUUCCGGUUUUGGUUCUUGCGAACGUUGACAACAAUUCAUUCCAAAUUUAUACUCUUGGGGCAUAAUAGAAUAAUAUAAUUAGGUUUUACUCUUUGUUCGAUAGAAUGAGAAAUCGUACUCGUCGCAAAGUUACACUGUUAGUUCGCAAUUGAGUAGUCUAAUGUUGUUCCGGUUUUUAUUCUUGUGAACGUUGACAUCGAUUCGUUCCAAAUAUACACUCUCUGGGCAUAAUAGGAGAAUAUAAUUAGGUUUUACGCUUUGUUCGAUAGAAAGAGAAAAAGUACUCGUUGCAAAGUUAUGCUGUUAGGGCGCAANNNNNNNNNNNNNNNNNNNNNNNNNCAUCGAUUCGUUCCAAAUUUAUACUCUCGGGGCAUAAUAGAACAAUAUAAAUAGGUUUUUCUCUUUUGUUCGAUAGAAUGAGAAAAAGUACUCGUCGCAAAGUUAUACUGUUAGGGCGUACCUGAGUAUUCUAGUGUUGUUCCGAUUUUUGUUCUUGUGAACGUUGACAUCGAUUCAUUCCAAAUUUACACUCUCGGGGCAUAAUAGAAUAAUAUAAUUAGGUUUUACUCUUUGUUCGAUCGAAUGAGAAAUAGUACUCGUCGCAAAGUUAUACUGUUAGUCCGCAAUUGAGUAGUCUAAUGUUGUUCCGGUUUUUGUUCUUGUGAAUGUUGACAUCAAUUCGUUCCAAAUUUACACUCUCUGGGCAUAAUAGAACAAUAUAAUUCGGUUUUACGCUUUGUUCGAUAGAAAGAGAAAAAGUACUCGUUGCAAAGUUAUACUGAUUGGGCGCAACUGAGUAUUGUAAUAUUGUUCCGGUUUUAGUUCUUGUGAACGUUGACAUCGAUUCGUUCCAAAUUUACACUCUCGGGGCAUAAUAAAAGAAUAUAAUUAGGUUUACUCUUUGUUCGAUUGAAUGACAAAAAGUACUCGUUGCAAAGUUGUACUGUUAGGGUGCAACUGAGUAGUCUAAUGUUGUUCCUGUUUUGGUUAAUGUGAACGUUGACAUCGAUUCGUUCCAAAUUUACACUCUCGGGGCAUAAUAGAGCAAUAUAAAUAGGUUUUUCUCUUUGUUCGAUAGAAUGAGAAAAAGUACUCGUUGCAAAGUUAUACUGCUUGGGCGCAACUGAGUAGUCUAAUGUUGUUCCGGUUUUGGUUCUUGUGAAUGUUGACAGCGACUUUCCAAAUUUACAGUCUCGGUGCAUAAUUGAACAAUAUAAUUAUGUUUUUCUCUUCGUUCGAUAGAAUGAGAAAAAGUACUCGUUGCAAAGUUAUAAUGCUAGGGCGCAACUGAGUAGUCUAAUGUUGUUCCGGUUUUGGUUCUUGUAAAUGUUGACAUCGAUUCGUUCCAAAUUUAUACUCUCGGGGCAUAAUAGAACAAUAUAAAUAGGUUUUUCUCUUUUGUUCGAUAGAAUGAGAAAAGUACUCGUCGCAAAGUUAUACUGUUAGGGCGUAAUUGUCACGCCCCAGACCGCACCACCCGAAAACGGUACCAAUUUGGUCCGAUUCGAGGGCGGCGUGCGCGACCGCCGAACGGACAGAGUCUCCCCUGUCCGCCCAAGGCUAAGCAUCGGAUUGUGUACAACAAGUCCCCAAGAAAACAACUUGCAUUCAUACACAAUCAACAACGAAACGAAAGCACAAACAGUGCUAUAACCAACUAGAGCAAGCGAUACAAGUAAAAUCGUACAAGUAUACAAAAGAGAGAAACUUAACUAUUUACACAUAUUUGAAACAUCAAACCUCUUUCGAUAUCAUUUAAACUUUAAACAUUUAAUACAACUUGCAUUCUUUUUCCAAAUGAAUAUACAUCAUAAACUCUCCAAAACCUCACCCUAUACAUCAUCUACUCUCAAAGCAUAACCAAAAGUACAGGGUAUAGAGCUAAUGCAAGUAGGUGAAGGAAACUAUCUAUCAAAGCUAGGGCGCUAUGCCCUUACCGCGAUCCAUCGACGAAGGCCCGCUGUCCUGUGUACCUGUACUCCCAAAACCACACGGGAGUGAGAACUACGAAUAGUUCCCAGUGGGUUCGGCCGCCGACUCCGCCGAUCUACCCACUAGGUCUCAAGCAGGCAUAGAGAGAUACAUAUGCAAUAGACAUAUAAAACUGAACUAAACAAAAAGCGGUAGGUAAACAACUAUAUCAAGCUAUGCCUCAAUCUGGAAUCAUGAAUGCAUGAACAAUAAACAAGCUGGGUAAGUAAGCUACUAUCAACAUCUACAAUAGCUAUCAUAGUAACUAUAGAAUAUGCUACUAGGUAAGCAAGUAAGCUGAUAUGAACAAUGAAUAGCUACUAUGAACAUCAAUCAUGGGUAGGACUCAAUAGGUAACCCAAUCUCCACAUGAACACAAGGUUCACAAGCAAGNNNNNNNNNNNNNNNNNNNNNNNNNNNNNNNNNNNNNNNNNNNNNNNNNNNNNNNNNNNNNNNNNNNNNNNNNNNNNNNNNNNNNNNNNNNNNNNNNNNNCUCUCUAAGCCAAAAUUCACACUUUUUCAACUUGGCGUAGAGCUUCUUUUCCCGAAGCACUUGAAGUACAAGUCUCAAGUGUUCCUCGUGAUCCGUGUCACUCCGGGAAUACACUAAGAUGUCGUCGAUGAACACCACGACAAAUCUAUCUAGGUACGGCUUGAAAACACGGUUCAUUAGAUCCAUAAAAGCUGCCGGGGCAUUAGUAAGCCCAAACGGCAUAACCGUAAACUCAUAAUGUCCAUACCGUGUUCUAAAAGCCGUCUUCGACACAUCCUCGGGUCUGAUCCUCAUCUGGUGAUAUCCCGACUGCAAGUCGAUCUUGGAAUAUACACAAGAUCCCUGAAGCUGAUAAAAAAGAUCGUCAAUCCUCGGUAAUGAAUACUUGUUCUUAAUCGUGACUUUAUUAAGUUCACGAUAGUCCACACACAAACGAAGUGAUCCAUCCUUCUUCUUGACAAACAAAACCGGUGCUCCCCAAGGUGACACACUCGGUCGCACAAAUCUCUUGUCUAGCAGAUCUUGCAACUGUGCCUUCAGCUCCCUCAGUUCCGCUGGUGCCAUCCUAUAGGGUGCCUUCGAGAUCGGAGUGGUCCCGGGAACGAGAUCUACCACAAACUCAAUCUCCCUAUCAGGAGGCAUGCCUGGUAGCUCCGCUGGAAACACAUCUCCAAACUCCCGCACUACGGGAAUAUCCUCAAUCCUAGGGGCGUCAUCCACACCCCGCAACACAACAGUAGCCAAAUAGGCUACGCAGCCUCUACUAAUCAACUGCCGAGCUCGAGAAGAGCUAAUCGUCAUCGCAAACAGCGAACUCUGGCAUCCUCGGUACACAACCUCCGCCUGCCCCGGCUCUCUAAAUGUCACCGUUCGAUCCUUACAAUCGAUAGUGGCGAAAUACUUAGUCAACCAGUCCAUGCCCAACACUACGUCAAACUCUCCGAGUUUAUGUAACGCUUAUAAGUCCACGGGCAUGAUCCAAUCUCCAAUCCUAACAGGGCAACUGGGGCAAAACUCCUGAAUGUCCAAGGAAUGGUCGGGUACAACGACUCGUCCCGGGUGCAACAAAGAUACAAGUGGGAUGCCAUGCAACUCGGCAAACAGCCGGUCAAUGAAUGAAUGCGAUGCACCGGUAUCAAACAAAGCUCUAGCUCGAAUACCAUAAAGUAAAAUGAUACCUGCGACCACAUUCUCGGCUGCCGCCGCCUCCUCNNNNNNNNNNNNNNNNNNNNNNNNNNNNNNNNNNNNNNNNNNNNNNNNNNNNNNNNNNNNNNNNNNNNNNNNNNNNNNNNNNNNNNNNNNNNNNNNNNNNNNNNNNNNNNNNNNNNNNNNNNNNNNNNNNNNNNNNNNNNNNNNNNNNNNNNNNNNNNNNNNNNNNNNNNNNNNNNNNNNNNNNNNNNNNNNNNNNNNNNNNNNNNNNNNNNNNNNNNNNNNNNNNNNNNNNNNNNNNNNNNNNNNNNNNNNNNNNNNNNNNNNNNNNNNNNNNNNNNNNNNNNNNNNNNNNNNNNNNNNNNNNNNNNNNNNNNNNNNNNNNNNNNNNNNNNNNNNNNNNNNNNNNNNNNNNNNNNNNNNNNNNNNNNNNNNNNNNNNNNNNNNNNNNNNNNNNNNNNNNNNNNNNNNNNNNNNNNNNNNNNNNNNNNNNNNNNNNNNNNNNNNNNNNNNNNNNNNNNNNNNNNNNNNNNNNNNNNNNNNNNNNNNNNNNNNNNNNNNNNNNNNNNNNNNNNNNNNNNNCAGUUCAAACUGCACGAAAUCUGCCUCCUUGUACCGGUACACGGGCUCUUGUACCGGUACAAGGCCGACGAAAUUGCAAACCCGAGGCUCGGGUCGCGCGGUCUGCGGCUCUGUACCGGUACAAGCCCGAUGGCUGUACCGGUACAACCAUCAACCCUUGUACCGGUACAAGGCCAGUCUUGUUCCGGUACAAGUCCUGCUGCAGGCUACCCGAGAGCUGUCCAAUGAAUCCAAUUUUGGAAUUUUGGUGCCAAGUCUCACUCCAACAUCCUCGGGAUGCGUGCUAGGGGUCGGAACACUAUCAACGACCAUCCAAAAACAGUGGAAAGGCUCCACACACAGAUCAAACACUCGAAUCUUGCAAUUUGCUAAGAUCCAGUGUAUUACAUAGUCGGAGUGGUAAAGCAAUCCGGUAAGCAACUGGUCCAACACGCUCCAAUACCUCAAAAGGGCCAACGAAACGUGGACUGAGCUUUCCAUGUACUCUAAAUCGGUGAAUCCCUCUGGACCGCGAGACAUUAAGAAAAACAUGAUCUCCAACCUGGAACUCCAAAUCUCGUCUCCUGGUAUCGGCGUAGCUCCUCUGGCGGCUCUGGGCUGUCAAAAGGUGUCGUCGAACAACUCUCACCUUUUCCUCAGCCUCUAGCAAAAUCUCAGGCCCAAGUGUCUUCCUCUCACCCACAUCACUCCAAAACAACGAGGAUCGACACCUGCGUCCAUACAACACCUCAAACGGAGCUAUCUGAAUGCUCGUUUGAUAGCUGUUGUCAUACGCAAACUCUGCCAGUCUCAAGUGUCAAUACCACCCUCCUCCGAAGUCCAGGGCACACGCCCUCAGCAUGUCCUCUAGAGUCUGAAUGGUCUGCUCCGACUGACCAUCCGUCUGUUGGUGAAAUGCUGUGCUAAAAUGUAACUGAGUCCCCAAAGCUGUCUCUAAACUCCUCCAGAAAUGCGACACAAACCUCGGGUCUCGGUCUGAUACAAUCGAUACUGGCACAGCAUGUAGCCUGACGAUCUCAUUCAAGUAAAGCUCCGCGAGUCUCUCUCUGGACCAGAUGGUCUGAACUGGUAGGAAGUGAGCAGACCUGGUCAGUCUGUCCACUAUCAUCCAAAUCGCAUCGAAGCCACCCUGUGCUCUAGGCAACCCCACAACGAAAUCCAUCGUGAUCUGUUCCCAUUUCUACUCGGGCACUGACAGACUCUGAGGCUUGCCAGCAGGUACCUGAUGCUCGGUCUUUACCUGUUAACAAGUUAAACGCUGAGCUACAAAUCUGCCAAUGUCUCUAUUCAUCCCAUUCUACCAAAACUGUGCCUUCAAAUUCUUAUACAUCUUGGUUCCCCCAGGGUGAACCGUAUAAGGUGUACAAUGAGUGUCACGCCCCGGGACCGGCAGAGGCCCUCCCGGUAGCGUGCCCAGACCCGCCAUAUGUCUACAUAUAUAAGGCGUCUACAAGAAAAGCGGAAGUAAAAGCAAGAGAUGGAACAAAUAAGAGAAGUGAAAUAACAAGCAAUUAAUGAUAUCAGAGCGAGUAAAGUUCUAAACAUCUAUACUCAUGGUAACAGAACAUAACUAAUACAUAAAAGUAAACAUAAGUUAUACAGUAUCAGCCUCUAAUACAAAAAUGGUGGUCUCUAGUACACUGGUAAAACUCUCAACCUCUCACAAAAAGAAAACACGAGAGGUAGACCACCUAUCGAACGAUACCUCGGUAAGCGCGCUAGCCCGAGGCGAUACCCUUUCCGCGAUCCCUGGCCUCACCCUGAGUGGAAGGCUCUGAAAAACAUCGAGAAAAAGAGGGCGUGAGAACUAUAAUUUAUAGUUCCCAGUGGGCAAUUACUGACCUCAGCUCCUGCUCCACUAGGCCCCAAAAAUAAGGGUAAGCAACGAUAAUAAUAAUAAGCAAUAAAAAGGAGCAUGUAAUAAACUGCUGAAAGAGAGAGCAUAAGUAAAAUGCUAUACUACUAUAUCCCUCAUAAGCACGAUGUCAAAAUGUUGUACAUCUAUUCUAUCAUAAGGAAAAGUAACCAAUGGCAAUAGUUUACUGUUACAACCCUUUAUUCAUACAUGAUGUAUAAGCUCUAUCAUGGCAACCAAGUAUACUGUGAUGAAAUAGGUAACUGUCAAGUAUACUACAUGUCUCAACCCUAUGCUAUAUGCAUGUAAAUGUAAUCCAACUACUAAGCCUAUCUAGUAGUGAUUGUUCAUUCUCAAACCGUGUCGAUUUCCAUUUCCAAUUAAGGACCUACCCAAGGUAGUCCAGCUUGUGCCGCCUAAGUGCCUGUGGUAGCCCAACAUCCCUACUCUUGGAAUGUGUCUGUCCCACUCGACCCCGUAGGCUUCUCAAUAUCGCACGAGCGAACAAAAAUCGCAUAGGCCAACUCCGGAGUGCCGGCUUGUGGGGAGCGACCCUCACAAGCAUGUGCGAAUGAGCACAAAUGGCAAACAAGCAAGGUCACGGUCUCAAGUACCCAAUCCUCAUGUCUCUAACAUGGUAUAGUCACUAGUAUCCCAAAGAUCUAGUUCAAGUCAUAAUGUGAAGUCCCAACACACACUUGCUUAGUGCCUCUUUAUGACACUUAAGCUCCACAACUAAUCAUGUUCCAAUUAAGACAUUAACAUUAAUGCUCACUAUGCCCCGGGCCCCAAUGCCUCUUCAUGACAUUGGCCCAAUCUCACAUAUCAUCUAAGUCCCUAAGCCUCUCUAGGCUUUCAAAAAUCCCUAAUGUCACAUCUGGUAUAUGGUUUGAAUGCAUGAAAGCAAGGUUCGUUUUCAUAAUAGGGAUUACAAUUUCAAAUCGCAACUAGAAUGCUAGGCCACACAUGCAUGCUCUCUACUAUAUAGAGGUCCCAAAAUUUACUACACAUAACCUAUGCAUGUUAAGCAUUCUAAAAUUCAUAAUAAAUACAUAUAACAAGAAUAUGCAUGCUUUUUCAUUUAACGGCACAAAGUUAAGCACAAAUGAGAAUUUCUCAUUGUGUGGCUAGGUCAAACCCACCGAACCGUCGCGUAGGGUCUCGAUUCGCCGAACAAAGUUGUCCACGAGCCUCAAGAUAACCUAAAAGUGAUCAGCGACAAGAUACACGGGCAUUACGAUCAUCGCAUAAUAUCAAACUUUAACAAAUUUAGCAAAAGGGCUAAAACUCACCCAACGCGUGGAAAAACUCUCUCAAGCUCCAAAUGGGAGCUAAAUCCCUUCCAAUCCAAGCCCAAGGAAGGUUCUAAUCCAAUCAAUUUAACCCCAAAAGCCCUAGAUCAAGAAGCCCCAAAAAUCAACCCUAAAUCUCAUUUCUAGGGUUCCAUCUACCAAAAAGCCUCAAAUCAAGGUCUAGAGGGAGGGAAAGAGCAACAAACCUCUAAGAAGCUCCAAUCCAAGCUCAAAGGAUGAUGAUCUUCCCCUUUGCAAGCUCCAAGUCCAAGCCUUCAAGCAUCAACAAGGUGAGAAGAGGAAAAAAGGGGGCAAAGAAGUGCUCCAAGUCCACCAAAACCCUUUCCUUCUCCUUCCUCUCCUCCUUCUUCUUCUCUUUCUCCUUCUCUCUCUAGCAAAGGUGUGGGAAGAGUGUGAGGAGGGGAAAUGAGAAGAAGAGAGAGGGAAUGGGUCAUAUAGACCCUCUAUUGUAACAAAAUCCCAAGAGGCCCCUCAAAAAUCCAAAAUUGCAUCAGCCCGGUCUGGGCAGUUUUCGCCCAGAGGGACCGGUCUCUCCCCAGCAGGGACCGGUCUCUCGCUGCGAACCCGAAAAUCCAACGUUCGGGAACCGGUCUCUCUCUGCGCGGGACCGGUCUCUCACUGCGAAGACGCGUUCGGGAACCGGUCUCGCUUGCCAGGGACCGGUUGCCUCAGGCUGCCUCAACACUGCUCACUGGGGGAACCGGUCUCUCCUUCCAAGGACCGGUCCCCGAGAGUAAAAACUCUCAGGACUUGUCCAAAGUUCCAGAUUUCGAACUUUUCGGGUCGGGAAACAUUCUACAAUCCUCCACCAAGUGUGGAAAAGCUCGAAACACAUCCAAACACUCGAACCUCGCAAUUUGCAAAGGUCCAGUGUGUUACAAUGAGCCUCCCUCAAGAUGUCCUCUCGGAUCUCUGAAUCCACACACACACACAGUCAGUCCGUGUACCGCAGUACUCCUGAACUAUCCAAAGCAAAACCCUCAGCCUGUCCCCUAAUUAACUGCUCUCGAAUCCUCAACAAAUGCGGAUCUCCACUAUAUUUCUCCCGGAUCUUAUCCAACAGAGUGGGCUGCAAGACCAGAGAUAUCAGUCUUGCAGUAGACCCAGGGGACACUACCUCAAGCCUCAGCCGCUGUAGCUCCUCAAGUAGCGGUCUCUGCUGAGUGAUCAACAAUCUCAAGCUCUGCACUGCCCUCCUGCUCAACGCAUUUGCCACUACAUUCGCCCUGCCGGGAUGAUACUGAAUACUAAUGUCAUAGUCCUUUAGUAGCUCUAGCCACCGGCGCUGCCUCAGAUUCAAUUCCUUUUGAGUGAACAGAUACUUGAGACUUUUAUGAUCGGUGAAAACCUCGCAGUGCUCGCCGUACAAAUAAUGCCGCCACAACUUCAAAGUAAAGACUGCCGCUGCAAGCUCCAAAUUAUGCGUAGGGUAAUUCUUCUCAUAAUCCUUUAAUUGCCGUGAAGCAUAAGCAAUCACCCUACCAUGCUGUAUCAGCACACAACCCAAUCCGUUGUGCAAUGCAUCACUAUAGAUCACAAAUCUUUCCCCCAUCACAGGAAGGGCAAGGAUAGGAGCUGUCAUCAAUCUCUGUCUCAACUCGUCGAAGCUCCUUUGGCAGUCCUCACUCCAAACAAACCGAAUCUCCUUUCGUGUCAACCUGGUAAGGGGUGUGGAAAGCUUCGCAAAGCCCUCCACAAACCGACGAUAAUAUCCUGCUAGUCCCAGAAAACUACGCAACUCAGUCACCAUCGUCGGUCUGGGCCAAUCCCGAAUAGCAUCAAUCUUCUUAGGGUCUACUGCCACUCCCUCUGCAGAAAUUACGUGGCCCAAGAAAACAACUUCCCGCAACCAAACCUCACACUUUUUAACUUGGCAUACAGCUUCUUCUCUCACAGAAGCUGUAGCACAAUCCUCAAGUGCUCCUCAUGCUCAGCAUCACUAUGGGAGUAAAUUAGAAUGUUAUCGAUGAAGACUACUACAAAUUUAUCCAAAAACGGCUUGAAUAUCCUGUUCAUCAAAUCCAUGAAUGCGGCAGGGGCAUUCGUCAAUCCAAAAGGCAUGACCGUAAACUCAUAAUGCCCGUACUGAGUACGAAAAGCCGUCUUGGAAGUAUCCUCGGCCCUCAUCCUUAGCUGGUGGUAACCGGACUGAAGAUCAAUCUUUGAGAAGACGAAGGAUCCCUGCAACUGAUCAAAUAAAUCAUCAAUGCACAGCAGUAGAUACUUGUUCUUGAUGGUCACUUUAUUCAGCUCCCGGUAAUCCACACAUAACCUGAGCGAACCAUCAUUCUUCUUUACAAAUAACACCGGCACUCCCCAAGGCGACACACUGGGUCUCACAUACCCCUUGUCCAUCAGAUCCUGAAGCUGCGUCUUUAGCUCUCUCAGCUCUGCCGGCGCCAUCGGAUAAGAUACCUUAGAGAUUGGUGCAGUUCCAGGAACUACAUCAAUCACGAACUCAAUCUCCUUCAACUCAGGGGGAAACACAUCCGGGAACUCGCGAACUACAGGAAUAUCCUCGAGUCCCGGCGCCGCCGUAGGUACCUCUACUACCGUCGCCAGAGUCUGUCGACCGAAAUUUGAGAUACGUGCUCUUAUAUAUACUAGAUUACUAGUUGAGUGUACGUGCAAAUGCACGUAACAAUUAUUAUAAUUUAUUUCAAAUCGAUAUAAAUUUGUACAUUAUAUAUAUUCAAAAUUUUACAAUAAAAAUUAUAUUUAUAAAUAAAUAUGUUAUAUUUUAUUAGAAAAUAUUUACAAUAUGUUUUGUUUUUUAUAUACAUCGAACAUUUUUAUAUAUUUUUUGAUUUUUUAUUAAUCAAAUUUAAAUAUGUGUUUUAAACUAAAAGUAUCAAAAUUUAAUUCACAUUUACUUUAAAAUUUAAAAUUUAAUUUUGAUCCACUUAAAUAAAAAAUUAAUUAUUAAUUCAAAUUUGAUAUCAAAAAAUAAAUUUAAUUCAUAAUUUAAACUCAAAUUUUAAUUUUAAUGUAAAAUAGAUGAAUAGGAAUGCUAUUUUUUUAACAAAUUGAUCAUAACACUUUGUUUUUAUUUGAAAUAUUUUUUAACAAAUUGAUUAUAAUCAUUCGUAGGAUUGAAUUUACAAAUAGAUAGGAAUACUAUUUUUUAAUAGAUUGAUCAUAACUGUUCUUAUUUGAGAUUUUUUUAACAAAUUGAUCAUAACCAUUUGUAGGGAAUAGAUUUUUAUAUAUAGUAGAGAUUUAAUAGAUUGAUCAUAACCGCUCGUUUUUAUUUGAGAUAUUUUUAACAAAUUAAUCAUAAUCAUUCGUAUGAAAUAUUAUUUUAUAUUUAAUAGAUUGUUCAUAAUCGUUCGUUUUUAUUUGAGAUAUUUUUAACAAAUUAAUCAUAACCAUUCGUAGGAAAUAUUAUUUUAUUCUUUUUGGAUUCCGUCUGUCAUUGUUGGAAUUCCUAAUAUACGCUUUUAUAUAUAGUAUAGAUUUGAGAUAUUUUUAACAAAUUAAUCAUAAUCAUUCAUAUGGAAUAUUAUUUUAUAUUUAAUAGAUUGAUCAUAAUCCACUACAACAGAAUUAGGUUAUAGGGACACAUGUUUGGGACACUUUUGAGUAAGUGUCUCAUUUAUGCUAAAACAUAAAAACACAUCUAUUAAUGCCUAAAUAUAAAGCCCAAUCCAAUCAAAAAUAAAAGAUUACUCUACUCAACCCACCACACCCAGUCCAUUUGGCCCGAUUACAAACAGAAAAGAAAAAAAAAAAAUCAAUUACCAUCUUUUCUUAUCUCUUCACUCAAUCCACUGAAAUUCUAGACGAAGAGCCUUUACUGUCGUCCUCCUCCGCUACCGCAGCCAACGAGAUAGAGUUUCGGCGGUUGCUAAAUGUUUAAAUAAGUGUUGGUAAAUUAACAGCACUCUUUUAGGUUAUAGUGACACUCUUUAACUGUCACUAUAUACCUAGCGACCCCACAUAUAGCAACACUUUUUAAAAGUGUCGAAAUUUUAGCCUAGCUAGAUUUUUGACCUAUGUCCUAUCAUUUUAAAUGGUCGCUAUAGACCGUUUUUGUUUAGUAUAUCGUUCGUUUUUAUUUGAUUUUUAACAAAUUAAUCAUAACCAUUCGAGGCGAUAUAUUUUUAUUCGUUUUGGCAUUCCGUUGAAUUCCAUAUAGCGCUUUUUAUAUUAUUAGUAUUAGAUGAUGUAUAGUAUAGAUAUAGAUUGAAUGCCCUGAUUUUUAAUAGAUUAUCAUAACGCUUCUUUUUAAUGAUAAACUGUUCGUUUUUAACUAUUUCGUUUUUUAAUUGAUCAUAAUUCGUUGUGUAGGCCUCGAUAAAAUUAAAUUGUUACAGAUUUUGAUCAUUAACCGUUCGUUUUUUAAUUGAUGAAAACGAUGAAUAAUUAAAUUUGUAUCCAAUUAAUUUAUUUACGACUUUAAUUUUUUUUUAAUUAAAUUUAUAAUAUAAUUUAAUUUUGAUUUAUAUUAAAUUAACAAUUAUCAUAAUCGUUUCAUUUAUUAAUUGUAUCAAACACAUUCAUAGAUUGAAUUUAUGCUGAUAAGAAUCUCUAACUUUUAGCAGAUUGAUCUAACCGUUCAUUUUAAUUGAUACAACCGUUCUGUCGAUUGGAUUUAUAGAUGGAUAAGAAUGUUAUUUUUUAACAAAUUGAUCGUUCUUAUUUAGAUUUUUUUAAUAAACUGAUAUAUCUGUUUGUAGGUAAAUAUAGAAAAAUAUUUAUUUUAUCCUUUGGGAUUCUGAGAUUAUAUCGAUAGUACCAAGAUAGAAACUUAUAAUAUCAUAUACGGGAUAUAGGAAAUAUUAGUUUAUUCACUUUUAUAUAUAUAUAUAUAAAUAAAUAAUAUAAAAAUAAUAUUAUAUAUAUAUUAUAUAUAUUAUUAUUAUAUAUAUAUAUUAUUAAUAUUAUAUAUAUUAUUAUAUAUAUAGUAUAUAUAUAUAGUAGAGUCAGGUUAAUCAUAUAAAUAGAAAACUAUUAUUUUAUUCUAUUUUGGAUUGUGAAGAUAAUAUCGGAUAGCACCAAGUAGAAAACUAUAAUGAUAUGUCAUAUGGGCAUAUAGGGAAUAUUAUUUAUUCAGCUUUAAGUAUAUAGUAUAAUAGAUUCCGGUAGAUACUAUCCGGAUAGCACAGAGGCGGCUCACAUCAUGCCUAAUCAUACAUUUUUCAAUCAAAGGCUAAAGAAACUAAUAGCACCAAUAGCUUUGGAGCUCAUGAUAGUAUUCCAGGCCUAUUAUUAUUAUUAAUAUAUUUAAUAUAUAUAAUAUAUAUAAUAUAUAUAAAUAUAUAUCAUAUUCAUAUUUAUAGAGUCCAGGCUAUGUGCUUGUAAAAUACAAGUCCACUUAGUGCUUGUAAAUUUUUACCGUUAAUCUACUCGUCGGAUCAUUUUCAAUCAUUAGAUUAUAUAUUCAACCACCACCAUUCAACCUGAGGAGCUCCAAUCAUCCUAACCGCAUAUCUCUUCAAUUAAUGGUAAAAAUCUACAAGCACUUGAAACUUGUAUUUAAAAGCAUAGGAGCCAAUUACUUAUAUAAUUAUAUAUAUAUAUAUAUAUAUAUAUUAUAUUAUAUUAUAUAUAUAUAUUACUAUAUAUAUAUAGGUCUGGUACUUAUGCUAUGCAUGCACGAACAUCUUGGUGCCUACCAAGUUUUUCACCUUGUAGAUUUACCAUUUUUCAUCAUUCACCUGUUAGCAUUCAUACUAUUCAACCAACCCUACUCAACACCAGGGGCCCACAUCAUCCUUGAACGCACAUUUUAAUCCAAUGUGGCCAAAAACUUAGUGCACCACAUAACUUGGUCUAUAAUAGCAUAGUUAGUAUAUUGUAUAUAUAUAUUAUAUAUAUUAAUAUAUAUAAUAUAUAAUAGAGUAGAGCCUAGUGCUAGCCAACCAGAGAGCCUGUGCUUGGCAUUUGUACUGUGAUCGCUCGCCUCGAGAUCCGGCCGGCAGUAAAAGGUUGAACUAAGACGGACGCAUAAAUAGUCGCCUUACUCUCUCUCCUCUCUCUAACGUGAACCCUCUCUCUUUUCCUCUGGCAGAUCCACCCUCUCUCUCUCUCUCUUUCUCUGCGUCCCCACCAGAUCUAUAUAUCUUGUUUUUUUUUUUUCUUUUCUCCCUCCAAUCUUCUUUCCUCUUUCCCUUUCAUCACCGGAGCGCCCUCUCACGACGCCUUCCGGGCCGCGGCGCAUAAAGUGGCGUCCUCUCUCUCUUCUCCCUCUCUGGUUCCCAAACCAGACCAUUUUCCCUUUUAUUUUUUUUCAUUUCUCCCUCCAUCUCUCUUCUCUUUCUCCUUCUUGAUCGUGUGGUCUCACGCGACGCCUUCCGGCGUUGCAGCGCUACUCAUCCGGACGCGCCUACGCCUUCCGCCGACGCCUUCCAGCCUUCUAGCCAGCGCGCUAUUACGAUCGCUCCGGCCGCACUGCGCUCCCUGGCCGUGAGAGUGAUCGAUCCCGAGCAACGAUCUGAGGAUAGUUUUCUCAACCUGCGCAACCAGGUAUAUUAUAUUUAAGUGAAAAUGGCGUCUUCCUGGUGUGAUGGAAGGCACUACCAUUGUCCAUGCAUUAAAUUAGAUUAAGAGGAACUACCAUUAAAAGGACUUACAACUUGUAUUAUUAAGAUGCAAAUAUUUUUGUUGCCAUCAUAAAGGACUAACAUCAGGUGAUCUGCACAUUGUAUUUUGUUUGUCGAAAAUUGCAAUAUAAGUAUUACUCCGCCACAUAUAUACAUCAAUAGAUUUAAUUCUGGAUUGUUUAGAUGCCCAGAACUUAAUAUAUUCAUAUUAUUCUUCUUUUAACUUAUUUAACUCUUUCAUUAUUUGUUCAUUAGGAUUUAUUGGCCUUCCUACAAAGCAGCUAAGUAAACAAGAAAUGACCUUACACAUGACGAGAAUCCUACAGAGAGAAAUAAAAUCGGCUGUGCUAUUUGUCUGAUUUCGUGCUUCAUUUAUUGAAAUAAACUAUCUCUCAUUUAUUUACAAAAAAGGAGAAUGCCUGACACCAUGUUAAUUUAAUUAUUUGCGCAGUUGAUUUGAUGCAUCUACUACAAAUUUUCCUUGAAGAAAUAAACAGUUCGUCAAAUUAAUAAUAUAGCUUUUAUAAGACUUCACAGCAAGUUAGAAGUAAAGAAAUUUUUUGGAUGUGAAAUAUGGAAAGUAUAACGAUAAACUAUUGUGAUUUUUUUAUGUGGUGCGAUAAAGUGAAAUCCAAAGAACUUUUAGAACAAGAAAGUUCUACUCUUUUAAAUUUGAAGGAAAGUGUAGACUCUGAACUAGCAGCAUAUUCUCUAAAAGCUUCAAAUGAAGAGAUGCUUCAAUGUAUAAACUGUAAGUUGUCUAGUUUGGUUGAGCAAAUGGAGAAUCUGAAAAAUGGAGUUGAAGAAGCGUCUAGAAGGACAACAGCAAUGGUGGAAAGAAUUGAAGCUGAAAGAAAAAUUUUUAUUGUAUUCAUUUUAGUAAUUAUAUGUGUUAAACUUCUAUUCGUCUAAAUGUAAUAUGAUCCACUGUGUUCAUUUGAGGUGUAUGUAGGAUAUUUGCCUCACUUUUAAUUUAUGAACCAACCUUGACAAUUUCAUGUGAUCACUCGAUGAUGUGGUGCAGCUUCGUCUCAAUGAAUCCACUGAUUCAUCUGUGUUUAUAAUGUACUUCAAAAUUGUGUAUGCUUACAUUAAACUGCAUCUCCCAGUACUUGGCUGAUCAACUUGUCCGCAAUAAGAUGACCGAUCAGUUAGCUAGUCUACAACAGUUGGCUUGCAUGCCCAUCAGCCUUCAUGAUUUAGCAUUUUCCAAUUUUUUAGCUUAAUGUUAAUUACAAUUAUUUUACAAGUCCAGUUCAUUUCCAAUUUUUUGUCUAGUUCAUUUCCAAUUUCAAACUUUCACACAUUGAUUCAUUUAUGCUUCCACAAUGUCCGAAGAGGUCGUGUUCAAUGAAGUCUAUGCUAAAAAAUGCUCGGUUAAUAUAUCACAUUUAAAUCCCCCAACAACAUCUCUUUGAAGCAGAAGCACAAGCUCCGAAUUGGAGCUCUUGGUUUAGGGGCUCAGAAUCUUCAUUCAGCUUCUUGCCAAAGAAAAAGCUUCAGACUUCUCUAUUAACAGCAAAAAGAGAUAAUAUCAUCUAUUUUUAUCAAACAAAAACAUUGAACAAGGAAGCAUGAAACAGCAAAAAGAGAUGAUAUAACGAAACAAAGGAGCUAGCAAAGAAUACAGAAGGAAAAGAAAGAUUUUGCAUGAAGAACACAAAAAGUGAAAGUGCUCCCAUACGAGUAGUUUCAGUUUCUUAGUCCACAGACAAGGACUAUCUACAAGCAAAAGUCGAGGAGAUGAGCUUCAAUGAUUCAGAACAAAAAACGGACCUCGAAAUAACAAAAUGAAAGCAAAGAAAACGGUGAUCUAGAAUUGUUAUACAUAUCCAAAACAAUAAGCACAAUAAUGUUCAACAAUCUGCAAAUAAGUUGUGUGCACAACAAUCUGCAAAGUAAAGUCAGGUACAACACUGAUUUAGCACAACAAUCUCCAAAAACUUUGGCACAACAAUCUGCAAAGGUACAACACUGAUUUGUUCUUGCUUUUAAGUCUCUUCGUCAUCGGUUUCUUCAAGCCUCUCGCUAAAACUUGGAUCGUUAGAUGGCACUUCAUCAACAAUCUGCAAAUAAUAUUAAUAUUAGCAUAUUGUGAAUAAUAAGGAAUGUAAAAAUAUAUGAAGAAAAUAAAGAAAAUGGAAUUUAUUAUACCUCCUUACAAGUCCUAAUGUUGUGUCCUUUUUUACCACAUUGCUUGCAAGUUCUUGGCACCCUAAUCUUUUUUUCAAUGGAAGGCUUAAACCUUUGUGGUUUUCUCUUUCCUUUACAUUGUGAUUGAGGAGGAUCUUUAAUCGUGCAUUCUGAUGCAAGCAUAUUUACUUGGCUUGAUUGUGAAAUUACGAUUCUGUGAAGACUAAUUGAAGGCUCCUUGAUUGUCGCUUCCUCACUUUCAAACAUUUGAUUAAUUGAUGUUAGUGUAUCAAUUCCUUCUCUAAUUAUCUGACAUGCAGUUUCAUGUGCCUUAAGAUUUUUUGAACCUUCAAAGAUAAAUUUUUGCAUUUCUAAUGUAAGGGAAUCAAACCUUCGAGAUCUACAAAACGAGGAACCAUCACUCAUUUCUGUACUAUUGCUUGGUAUUCUCUUUUUUGCAUUCUUAGUCCACCUAUUUAAUAUAUAAUGAGGUGGGAUGUUAUAAAUCUCAAUAUAAUGCAUUACUUUAAGCGCAUGAGCACAUAAGAGGCCAUAAAAUUCAAACAAUUUACAAGUGCAGGAUACCAUAUUUUCGGGCCUUACAACAGUCACUAUAUAUGUGCACAUCCAUUGUCUUGAAGUGGACGAGUGUGAUAUAGAGCUGAUCUUAUAUAGUGAAUCUUUUUUCAACUCAAUCAACUUAUAACCCGUCGUCGCUCUUAAUUGAGUCUUAAAUUCUGAAAAAAUAUUUCUUGUGUAUAUGCGGCGUGCAUCUUUCUCAAUUGGAUCAUCUGACCAUAAACUGGGCUCUCUAUCCUUUGUCAUAAAAUCCUCUAAAUCCUCUCUCUCAUAUUGAUUAUGUGUCAUUUUCUCAAAUUGCAUGACAAACUUGAAUAUUGAUGUAUGUGCAUCUAACCAUAUUUUUGCAACGGCAUUCAUACUUUCACUACGUUGUGACGUAGACAUAUUGGCAAAGAAAGUAUCUCGAAAAUAUGCAGGAAUCCAUUGAUGUCGAAUAUUCCAUAGCAACCGAAGAUGGUUAUUUUCAUGCAAUUCAUAUUUAUCAAGCAUUGUUAUCCACGCAUCCUCAAACUCCUCAAUGCUUAAACUACAAUUUAUGCAUUCUUUCAAAUCAUUUUCAAAGCCAUCCUUAGUGUUAUAAAGCACACCAAAAUGCUCCUUUGCUUUUCUCAUCACAUGCCACUGACAACACCUAUGAACAGUGGUUGGAAAGACUUCCUCAAUGGCCUUUUUCAUAGCAGGAUCUUGAUCAGUAAUAAUAGCUUUUGGGUGUCUACCAUACAUGGCUUUAAUCCAUGUUUCAAACAACCAAGCAAAUGUAUUAGCAGUCUCAUCUCUAAUGAGAGCACACCCGAAAAAUAUAGACUGCAAAUGAUGAUUAACCCCUAUAAAAGGAGCAAAUGGCAUACUAUAUUUAUUCGUCAUAUAAGUUGUAUCGAAAGUGACAACAUCGCCAAAAUGCUCAUAUGCUAAUCUUGAUCUUCCAUCUACCCAAAAUAUGUUCCGAGCCCGCUGUUGGUCAUCAACAUCAAUAGCAUAGAAGAAUAACGGAUCUUUAGAUUGAAGCUCACGAAAAUAAUUAAGCGCACUUGCUACAUCUAUUCCAAUAAGGUUUCUAUUUUUCUCAGCAACUUUAUUACUUAAAUCUUUUUUACGAUGAAAGUGAAAUAUAUGUCUUCUCCUCCCCUUGCUUGCAUAAAGCCAUAAUUUUGUGAAAUGGAAAUAUUGUUCAUUCAACAUAUGAAUUAAUUCUUUUUGCCUCCUUGUAAUAGCACGAUGCGACUCGAUAAAAUCGAUUUUAGAAAGCUGAAACGAUUAAUUUCAGAUUGUGUUCGUUGUCGCCGACACCGACAGUAAUCACCCCAUUUUCUCAUGAUCAUCUAUCCUCAUACAAUCUGACCUUUCCACCACUCUCGUCGAGUUAGAAAAUUGCUUUUUAGGCUAUUGCUACCUUCUGAAUUUUUGGCAUGAACUUUUUCGAUAGUUGGGAUUUAGAAGACUGCUUUGAGAGAAUACAAUAGUUUAACAGAUUGAUGCAACAUGCUUUUUUGCACUUAUAAUGGUAUGUUUUUCUUAACUAAAACCACCCAAUUUAAAAGCAAGUCAUCAUGUGAACUUUUUAAGCAUCUUCUAUAGAGUUGAAUUCCAAACAAACGUGCUCUCAAGCGAUUGUAGUGUUCAUUCACAUGAUCUGUUCAGCAGUAGCAAUUUGUUCACAUUCUCAUCUAAGCAUCAUUUUCAACAUACAAUAUGUGGGCAAGCCGAGAAAACAAGAAGAAGCAAUUAGUCAGGAACCAUAUUCCGCUCAUUUAUUAACCUCCUAUAGAUAAAUCAAAUUAUAUUACUAUAAAAUAGCUCAAAUAAUAGAAAAAAAUUGAUAACUCUACAUUUAUAAUAAUGACGAAAUGAGUAGAAUAAAAUUAGAUAGCUAUCAAGUGACGGACAAUUUUUAUUUGUCGAUAUGCUGCACAAAUUUAUGCUCAUACAUAUUUGAGAAUACGCUCAACAAAAGAAUGAUUUUUUGCUUUCUAGAGGUGCUUCAACCUCAUAAUUCAUUUCUCAUGUAAAAAUGAAUACCUUAUGUAAAAAUGACAUAAUGACUAAUCCCAAGAACUGAGGAUCCAUGAGAUUAAAACAACAUCCCCAGCCAAAAAGGUAAUUUCCAAGAGCACUUCAAAAGAAAUGCUUCAUCUAGUUGACUCAAUUAUUCAUGUAUUUCCAUUCGUCACCAAACGAAAAAAUUAUCAAAAACCAAAUCAAAACGACAACAAAAACAAAGAUCUAGGCGAGAUGCUUACCUUCGAGAUUGCCGAACGGCGUAACGGACGAGGUGCGGGAACGCCACAGUGGAGAACAAAUCUCAGAUCGAUUGCCGCGGAUCGAAUCGCGAGUAGCUCACGGGCCGAGUGCCGCGCUCGUCAGGGAGCUGAUAUUGUAGCCGCAGGCCCGGGAAGGCGCGACGGCGGAGGGGUCUUCCGGGAUGAACUUUAGCGCGCGGCCCGGAAAGCUUCCGCGCGAGUCGGGUCGCGUCCAUCGAGAAUUGUUAGCGCCGCGGCCCGAAAGGCGUCGGCGCGGCAGGUGGCAGACUUACUUCGGCGAUCGUACGAGCGUCGAUAGGGAUAGAUGACGCACCAACGUAAGAGGGAAAGAGAAGAAUAUGGGAGAAAAAAAGAAUAAGAAUAGAUCUGGUGGGGAACUCAGAGAGAGAGAGGGAAGAGAAAGACGGGGGUUGUAGAGAAAGAAAAAAGAGAGCAGAAGUUGGGUUGCAGAGGGAAAAGAGAGAGGGGUUCCACGUCGUAGAGAGCAGAAAAGAGAGAAGAAGAGAGUCAAGCGCCGUUAUUUGGGCCUGCGUCUUAGUUCCACCAAUAAUAUGCGCGGAUCUCGAGCGAGCCGAUUCGCAAUGGUGAAAAAGUCCAACGCAUCAAGAGCUCGCUGUGACUUUUAAAAGCACAGGAGCUGCUACUCUAUAUAUAUAUAUAUUAUCUAUAUAUAUCUAUAUAUAUAAGUAGUAUACUAGAAGUGAGGCUACCUAUGGCUAUCGGAAGCAAGGAACUUCGAUGCUUCCCAGUUCGUUUUCGAUGUUGCGACUUUCGAAUCGAUGAUCGGCUCCGUUAAACCUUGAUCUAGAGUGUUUGAAGUACCUAGAAAAUAAUUUAGAUUUUACGAUAUUAUUUGUAGUGACGAGGGGCCAAAAUCAACGCUUGAAAAUAGAAAUCUUACAAAAUGUAACAAUAUACGACAUAAAAUUUUAAUAAAGAAUACUUGAUCUUGUUUUUAUAGUAGAUAAUAAGGAAUUUUCUAUCAAAAUUCUCACGUGAUUUCGGAUAUUUCUACACCAGUUAAAACUCUGCAAACGCAUUCACUACGGUCAUUGAAAUUCUGCUGAUUUUGAGUCCAUUACGAUCACUAGGCAAAUGAUAUUGAAAAUAAUAAAUCUAUAUUUCUAGGCACUCCAAUACUCUAGAUCAAGUUAAACGAGCCGUCAUCGACGAUUUAAAAAGUCCAACAUCGAAAACGAACUGGAAGGCACGAAGGCUCCGUGCUUCCAUAGCAUAGUAGCCAUUCACUCUAUAUAUAAAUUAUAUAUAUAUAAUAUAUAUAUAUAUAUAAUUUAGAAAUGCUAUAUACUAUCAUAGUCCAAGCGCCUUGCUACUCUAAAUUUUGGCCGUCGAUAAAAGAAUGUGCGGUUAGAUUGAUAGUGAUGCCGCGGUUAAAUUAAUAGUGGUCCCUAGGGUAGUGGGUGUUGUUAAUAGUAUUAUCUACGAUGGAAGAUCAAAGGGGAUAUUUUAAUGGUAGGAAACUACAAAUAGACCAAACGGUUUGCUAACUAUCAACUAUAAGAUGGUAAAAAGCGGACUAUAUAUAUAUAUAAUAUAAUGGAGUAAAAUAAAUAGGCUUAAAUGAACUAUGUCCUCAAACUAGAAUCAAGUAAAGUUUAGUCCGCCAAAUUUAAUUUACUUUAAUUUCUGACUUUACAUUUAAAAAAAAAUUUAUGCUAUCUAGUUUAUUCUUUUUUAGAAACAAUUUAACUAAAUAUAUUUAAUAAUAUAUAUAGUUUCGAACUUGAAGAAACUACAUACAACCACAAUUUGUGCACUUGCUCUAAAAUGGUUGGUAACUUUUCAUAAAUUAUGUAAAUUGUUUAUACAUUAUUGACUAAAUAUAAUGUUCACUGAUAUAAAUAAUUAUUAUAUAUAAUAUAUAUUAUACAUUAAUAAUUGAUAUGUGAAAUAUUACUGCACAGUCUGGCCGCAUGCUAUAUUAAUCAAUUAGAUGGGCAAUAUAUGAUAUUAUUAUAAGCAAUCAAAAGAAUCAACAUCAGAAAUAAAAAUUAAAUUUAAGGAUCAAAAUGCAUUAGAUUUCUAGAUUGGGGAUGGAAAUCUGGCAAUUUAGCCGUACAAUAGCUACUUGGUGGCAUUAGGGAAAUUGGAAUUUUCGUUCAAACAGCUUGAUGCGAUGAGUAGAAAAAUAAUAGUCACUUAGAGUUAAGCGUAAAAUGUCAAUAAAAUUGUAAAAUUAAAGCCACUUUAAAAUGGCACCAAUUGCAUUCUCUUUUUUUUGAAAUUAGCCCUUAAACAUUUUGUUAUAUAAUUGGCAUAUUCACUCUUGAACUUUUUUCACUUUAAUGCUGGUCCUCUAAUUUCGAAUUGUUUUCGUUAGGGAUAUUCGCCUCUGGCUUCAUGGUUGACCUUAAACUUUUUAUUUUAAUUUAACUUUUGUUAAGAAUAUAAUUGACGGCAUCCCUUAGAGCAAUGCAAAGGCUUGACGAUGGUACUGGAGGUCCUAGAGUUCAAAUACUAUGGAUUCACAUUCUUGCUAAGUUUAUUUAAAUGAAAAACAAGCGGGUAGCGUGCAAUGCUAGUUUCUCAGAAAAAAAAAAAAAUAAAAAAAUUUGUUAGAUAUAAAUUUUUUUUUGUAAUUAGAUUCCAAUGUUUAAACAACUCAUUCUAGAGCAAACUAUGUGGGCCAUACUAACAUAAAAUAAAAGUGGAAGAGCUGAUUUUUUUUUUUUCAACCCUACAAAAGAGCUUUACAUUAAAUAAACUAAACUUCGAAACCCAGGGGGGGGGGGGGGGGGGUGGGGGCGGGGGGGGGGGGGGGGGGGGGGUGGGGGGGGGGGGGGGGGGGGAAAAUAUAAUUAAAGAUUAAGGGCUGUGUUUUGGAUUCGCUUUUUUUUUCAGCAUCCUGAAAAAUCGGAAUCGGAAUGGAUAAUCCGUUGUGAGUAGUUUGGUAGGCGGAGUCCAUUCCGAAUUCCGAUUCCAAGAGUGAAUGUGACAUCCCAAUCACCACUUUUCAAUCCGGCCAUAAGAGACUGAUUGAAGUUGAAUCCGACGGAAUGGAUAUUAUUCGAAUUAAUUUUCAUUUUUCAAUUUUUUAAUAUAUAAAUGAUUAAAAUUUAAAAUUAAAAUAUAUAAUUUUAAAUAUUAAUUUAAACCUAAAUUAAAAAAUUAAAAUUUAAUCAAAGUAUUUCGAUCUAACUUAUGAAUAUUGAAUUUAAAUUAAUUUUAAUUUUAUAUAAAAUUUUAUUCAAUUUUAAUUUUCAAACUUAAAUUAAAUUUAUGGAUUCAAUUAAAAUUUAAAUGUAAUUUAAGUUUGAAUUGAAUCAUUAAAAUUUAGUUUCAUAUUUGAAUAUCCAUCAACUCAAAAAUUAUUUUUUUAAAAAAAUAGAUUUAAAAUUGACAUUGUUUCAAAAUUUUGAUGUAAUUUAAUAAUUUUAUUCUAUGAAUCUGAAUUUAACGUAUUAAUAUAUUUAUAAGAUAUGUUAGUAUACUAAAUUUGAUUACUUUUUAUAUCCACCUGAACCAAACACUGGAUAAUGGGAAUGAUAUUCGAUUCGAAAUUCGGUGAUGAACCAAACAGAAUUAGAUAAUUAAGUCAUUUGAUCCGAUUCAUCUUAUUUGAUUCGAUUCAUAUUCCGACUCCAACUUCGAACCAAAACCCUAACUAGUUGCCUCUCGCUGGCGCAGUGAAAACAUUUCCUGAGGGUAAACCAAACACUUUAGGUGAACAUAAUAUAAUGCAAUAAAGGGCAAUUAAUGUUUGGAGACGUAGCACAAACUUCAAUCAAAUUCGAAUCUCGUAAGCAAAUUAAGUAUGAUCCUCUUUACUGGAGGCUAUCAAUGGAAAGCAUUCUAUGCGAACUCACUAGCAAGUUAUAAAAAAGGAGAAGGAUGAUCCAUCUUACUGGGGAGGCCGUCUCAGUUCCCAAACGAGCAUAAGCUUCUUCAUUACUAUCAUGCUGUAAAAAGCACUUCUGCAAGGCUUGAAAAAGUAGAGCACAACAUCCAACAUGGGUAGAUAAGUUUCGAAAGAGAAGAAGUUUUCAUUAAAAAAGAGUUUGCAUCAUAGAACUUAAUGAAUAGCAACCAAUUACCAGAAGGCUCAAAAUUACCAUUUACUAAGGUAACAAGCGCAAAAAAUGAAAUAGUACAAAGCCAAAUGAACCAAAAAACUUCCGUUCCACCCCCAUCUAAUAAGGCAUACUUUUCGAAAAUAUUGCGGCAAUAGUAUACUUCACUCUGCGAAUGUUCUGUAGUUUUCUUAUACAUGAAAAAUAGUAUAAGGGAUCUAUUGUAAAUAAUUCUACAAUUUUCCACCCCGCGCCGUAAAAGUGAAAUCUGAGAACAACGAAUAAAACCUUUAAUUGUUAUCCGUCGCGUAAGAGGAGUAUUCUCAACUUUAACAAAGAGACAAUUAUAAACUGGUCGGUGCAAGGUGGACAAGUUUAUAGCCUAUUUGCGACCCCCAACCCCUGAUACACAAUGUAACAUACGGUUUCUUCCCGUCUGUUUAGAAUAAAAAGUUUCAGGCUUUCUGAAACUCCACGCAAUAUGUAUACUGUUUGUGAACGCAUCUCUCAUAUUCUACAUAAACAAGAGCAUUACAAAGCUAAAAAAGAAAAUCUCGUACACACAUGUGCAUAGAAUAAAAGGUUAUAAUCGUCAAAUGCAAUAACGGUAGAACCCUGCAGAUCAUCUAUCAACAUAAUAACCCAUAUAAUCAGAAUUUUAAUUCUCUCCCCAGAAAUCUGUUGCUCUUCAGUUAGUAACGCAUUUUUUUAGUGGGGGUGUCAUCCAAUUUCAUGUUGAGAAAGUUGGUUUUAUAUUAAGCAAAAACUUCUCUAUUGGGGACUUCCUGUAAAUAGAAAGGAUACAUGAAGGGUAAACGAUGUAUAAAAAUUCUCAUUUUGCAGGAUCUAUGUGUGAACGGAUCUGUCUAUCUCAAAGAAAACUGCAAAAAUACUAGAAGACAAAAAUAGCACACCGUUCUUGGUUUCAUAAUGUUGCAGCAUAGCUAUGAGAGGACUUCAUUUGUUGGUUCUGUAUAAAGAACUGAAUCAGAAUGAAAUUCCCAGAAAAUAUGAAGUAUUUUUUGCAAUUUAGUAAAAUUUCGAAUGACUUACCACCAAAACAAGCCUCUGGAUGGACAGAAAGAAUUGUUCUGCAAUGCAUACCUGAAGACCACAUGUUACAGAUGAAGCAAAAAUGAAUUAAUUGGUAGGAAUAGGUCCAUGUACCAUAAUGGCAGGGGGAUUUCCUCUGUAUUCAAAAAAAGUAAUAUUAAAUAUCAACACACCCUCUAUAGUCUAUAGUUGUAAAUAACAGACACCAGACACACCGUUUAUAACAACAUUUCCAAGUGAAAUGCCUUACCAUGCAUAAUCCAUUAAAAAAAACUAAAUUAAGCCUGUUAAGCAAUGGUUCAAUAUGGAAUUUCAAUUUGCCCUUACUUGAUUUAUCUCAUCAUGUACAGUAAGUCUCUAAAGGCUAAAGGGGUAAGCUUUAAAGCAGUUGUCAGACAUAGAUGGCCUCUUACACUAAAGGGACUUAGAAUGAUUAAAGAUAUUUACAAGGGAAUAAUCAUAAUUUCAACUUCAGGAGGGUAAUAUGAUAUUCUCUGGUAGGAUCCAGAGUUUACUAUUGUAAGUUUGAUAUACUAAUGGUAAAAUCAAGCAGCUGAAAGUAUAAGAAUAUCUAGGCAAAUUACUGCAUCAUGUUCUACUUGAUGAAGCAGGAGUCUCAAACUUACCACUGGAGGCUUAAACGGAUAGUCAAAAGAAAACGCAGCGAUUAGCUUUGUAGGUUAAACCUUCAUAUGGGAUUCCUUGCUCUUCAAUAGUACCGAAAAAAAAAGAGAAAAUGUUCUGCUUCAGAAACCGCUGAUACUCUGCAUCUAUCAUCUGUAACGCAGAGAAGACAAAACUAGGAAAAGACUACAGAAUAAAUUCGAAUAACAGAGAAGAGAAGUGAGCCAUGCUGAUUUUAUAUUUAGACAUUAAUAAACAUAAAAACAACAUUAACAUCAAACUAUAAAGGAAAUGUUAUUCUUUACAAUAUAAUUCUACAACAAUAAUGACAAAAUUACGGCGGUUUAGAAUUUUUCUGUGCCUUGUGAAUACAAACAAUCAACUCGUGAAUUGAUACAUUUUAACGGCAUUAAAUAUAGCACCUCUUGUGAAAUUUGCUGUAAUAUAAGCAUUACUCAAAACUAUAAAUCCGUACACGAAUUCUCCAAUUAGAUGAACCAAUUCAAGAGACUCCUAAUAAUAUAUAGAGAACCAAAGCACCCAAGUUAAGCAAAGUAUCUGGUUAUGUUCAGAUGAUGAAUAUUUGUUCAACAUAUUCUGCCUUGUUUACUCAAAGGGACACUGUUAAUAAUUGAUUUCGACAGGCUUGUUUUUCAGAACGAAUAGCAUGAUUCUUUUCUCGUAGCUGCUACAAAUUACCUCAAGGUACUCCUUAAAAAGAUCAGGAAACUAAGGUUUCACAACACAUAAGACCAAGAGCGUGCAUGUUAAUCACACAAAAAAAUCUCAUAAACACCAAGUAUCAUACGCUAAACAUUUUCUAAGUACCAAACAGAUAUACUACUACUGAGGCAUUUUCUUUUUCAAUUAUGUAAACUUUUUAAAUAAAUACCAUUAACUAUAAAGAUUAUUAAACAAGGAACUACGAAUCAAUAACACAAAACAGCAUAACAAGGGCUACCACCGCACUUUGCACGUGAUUCCAAUCCCAAUAAACGAUAUGAUAAAUCUCAUCUGUAAUAUUAACCAGAAUAAAUGACAUAAUUCAGACUGCUAAGGUUAUAUCAGUCUGGGUUUCUCCGUUAAUUCGCCUCUAAAAGGCAUUCGAAUGUUUUAACCUAAAUUUAACGCAUCUCGUCAAAUCCAUCGAGGCGAGCCAGAUUUACAAAAAGCACGCAUGACGAGAAAUCAAAACUUCCUUUCUGGGCCUGCAACGAGUUUGAAUCGCGGAUCCAAAAUUGAGCCCACAAAACGAAAUUCAAAAAAAUAGAAAAAAGGGUGCGACGCGAUCGAUCCGAUCCGGAUUCCCGAACCUCUGGAGACGGAGCGGCGUCGACGGGUUGUCGAGGUUCUUGCUGCUCGGCGCGACGCGCGGCGCCGCGCGCUCGGCGUGGCGUUCCGUACUCCAUCUCCGGUCUCCUCCUGCGAUCGAAUUCGAUCGAUCCCUCUUCGAAUCGGGAUUAUAAUAGUAUGAGAAGUGUAAAUGAUCUCGAGAGAAGCGCUUAAGAUGAGAUUGAGCCGAGAUCUAUCGAGAGAGGAUCGAGAGAGAGAGAGAAAGAGAGAAUGGGAUUGGGACAAUUGUCGAGUAAAGAAAAGCACGAGGAAAUGAGGGAACGGAAAAGUAAGAACGUGGUUCCACGUGUUUUACCUUAUCCUUUCUUUUUUCUUUUGUCCAAUUGUCGAAAAUUUUUUUAUUUUUUUUGGGUACUUCAUAUAUCAAUCUUGGUAUUAGUUUUUUUUUAAUUAUUAGCUAUGUGAUGUUAAAAUAUACUCUUUUUUUUUUCGUCAGCUUUUUUUAUUAAUAUUUAUUAAUUAUAAAUAUAUAUAAAAAAAUUUUAGAUAACAAUCCAUUUAGAUUUACCGGAAUAUUCCUUUAAUAUUUUCUUAGUUUAACUUUAUCACUGAUUUAAACAAAAAAAAAAUCUGACGACAGAAAAAAAAUAAAUAUCAUAGAAUAUUAAAUUAAUAUAUUUAAACGCAUAUAAUACUAAAAUGAAAAAGUACUAAACACAUAUUGGUAUUUAAAGUUUAUUUAUUUUUUAAAUAACCAACAGUACUAAUGCCGGUUUUGUUCAUUAUAAGAAAUAAUACUUGAGGUAAAAAGAAAAAUAAAAAAAAUAACAGCAAUAAAGAUACAAAUCAAUCAUUUGGAAUCAUCACCAAUGUAAUUUGCCCUAGUUUUUGAGAGGAUAUAUAAACCAUAUUGGCUCUUACAGUUUAUCAGGAUGAGAAUAGUUUUUUUUAUAAUUAUUGUAUGUAGUGCUGUGUGUGUUUACAAUAUUGUGCAGCAUAUUAAAAUAAGGGAUAAAUAAGAUAGAUGUAGAUUUUUUUUAAAAUAAUAUAAUCUUUAACAUCUUUGGCAUGGGACUGGUAUGUAUAUCAAAAAUAAAAAAUACAUUGCAACGUUGUUAUAAAACUAUAAUAUUGUACUCAGUUAAACGCGAAUCGAUAUUUUGUUAUCAAUAAAUUUGCACUAAGUUAAAUAGAAUCGAAUCAUCAUAAUCUGACUUGAUUCCGACGAUUAUUAUAUUAUCUAAUUAGACUAAACUUAAUUUAUUUUCAAUUAAAAAAUUAAUUAGAGAUAUAUUCGGCCCUAAUAUUUCACUUACCUUCUAUAAAUUAAAUUUAAAAUUGANNNNNNNNNNNNNNNNNNNNNNNNNAAACACGUGGUCUCCAACGGCAAACUCUAUAUCUUUCCUCCGUUUGUCGGCAUAACUCUUUUGCCGAGAUUGCGCCGUAGCAAGUCGUUGGCGAGCAAGACGAACUUUCUCCUCCGCCUCCCGUACUACAUCGGGGCCAAGACCCGCCCUCUCGCCCACAUCGCUCUAAUGAAUUGGGGAGUGACACUUCUUUCCAUAAAGAGCCUCGAAUGGCACCAUCGCGAUACUUUCUUGAUAACUGUUAUUGUACGCGAACUCUGCCAUCGGUAGAUGAUCAUGCCAAUUGCCCUUAUAAUCCAGUACACACGCUCGAAGCAUAUCCUCAAGUAUUUGUAUCGUCCUCUCCGAUUGACCAUCACUUUGAGGAUGAAAUGCCGUGCUAAAGUCGAGCCGCGUGUCCAAAGCCUCCUGUAGGCUCCUCCAAAAGUGAGAGGUGAACCUCGGGUCCCGAUCAGACACGAUAGACACGGGCAUCCCAUGAAAUCUCACAAUCUCGUCGAUAUAUACUUGAGCCAAUUUGUCCCCCGACCAUGUAAUAUGAAUCGGUAGGAAAUGCGCCGACUUCGUCAACCGGUCCACUAUAACCGAAAUUGCAUCGUGCCCACCUUGAGAUCGUGGCAAUCCGGUCACAAAGUCCAUAGCGAUAUUCUCUCAUUUCCAAACGGGUAUAGGUAAGCUUUGUAAUUUUCCCGCCGAAAAAUGCUGCUCCGCUUUUACUUGUUGGCAAGUAAGGCAUUGCACCACAAACUCCCCAAUGUCUUUCUUCAUGCCCGGCCACAAAUAGUGCAACUUCACAUCUUGAUACAUUUUGGUGCCGCCCGGGUGUAUACUAUAAAGGGAUUGGUGCGCUUCUUGCAUGAUCGCCCUGCGGAUGUCCUUAUUCUUAGGCAUACACCAACGGUUUCUAAACCGGAGUGCGCCGUCGGUCCCAAUGCCAAAAUCAUCGGCAGUACCGCUCUCAACUUUCCCGUGCACCUUUUGGAGAUAUUCAUCGAAAGCUUGCAACUCUUUAAUCUUCUCCAAUAGUGUCGGUUGAACAACCAACGCCGCAAGUGUCGCCGGCACUCCCGGCGCUACUACUUCCAAUCNAGAGAGAAAGAGAGAGAGAGAGAGGGUGGAUUGCCAGAGGAAAAGAGAGAGAGUGGGUUCACGUGUAGAGAGAGGAGAGAGAGGAACGGCGCUAUUUGCCGUUCCGUCUAGUUCACCCUUUUACUGCGCGCGGAUCUCGAGGCGAAGCGAUCCAACGGUGCAAAAAUGCCAAGCACAAGAGCUCCUGUGCUUUUAAAAGCACAGGAGCUCUACUCAUAUAUAUAUAGAGUCCGGCUGGGAUACUAUCGAUAGUACCAAGGGCUUAGUGCUAUCGAAUUUUCCACCGUUAGAUUUAACCAUUUCAUUAUUUUUACCCGUUAGAUUAUACUAUUCAACCAAUCACCCACUCAACCCUAGGGGGCCCAUAUUAUCCUAACCGCACAUUUCUCAAUUCAAGGGCUAAAAAACAAAUAGUACAAAUAGCUUUGUGCUAUUGAUAGUAUUCCAGUCUAGUUCUAUAUAUAUAUAUAUAUGUGUGUGUGUGUGUGUUAAAACAUUUUUCUAUUAUUUCAUAAGGACUUUUUUAUUUUCUUUCCAGUGCAAUUUUUCUGUGUUUAUAUUUAUUUUCUUCUCUUUUGAGACAAUCAUCUUUGCGUUGUACUAUUAUGUUCAUUUUUGAAAGAGUUUUUAAUAUUUGUACAAAUGUUUUUGUUCACGUUAUUAUGAAAGAUUUUUUAUUUUUUAUUUUUUUAUCUAUCUUCGAAGGAUUUUUAAGAUUGUUCAAAUUUUUUUUAAUAUUUUUGAAGGAUUUUUGAAAGAUUUAAUUUUUUUUUAUUUUUAGUGUUGUGUUUAAUAUUUUUGGAAGGUUUUUGAAAAAUUUUAAAUUUUGCAAAUAGAGCGCUAAUCUUUCGCAUCUAUAGAAUUACUAUAUUGUUCGAAUUUAAAGUGCAAAUCUUUUCAAAUCUAUAGGAUAUUUUAUUUCUUUCGGAGUGCUAUUUUUUAUUUUCUAUUUAUUUUUAUUUUCCUUUCUUUUGACCCAAUCAUCUUAUGUUGUAUUAUUAUGUAAAUUUCUGACGAAUCUUUUAUGUUGUUUGGAUUUUACUUGUUUACAUUAUUUUGGAAUAAAACUUCUUUUUUUAUAUGUUUCUUUUCGAAGAAUUUUUAAUAUUGUUUAGACUUUUAUAUAUUUUUGAAGGAUUUUUUAAAAAAAUUAAUACUUCCUCAAGGCUGAGACAUGAAACACAUCAUGUAAUAGAUUAUGUUCUACUGGAGGUGACUGAGGAGAUGAGCUUACUGAGCAACUGGUUCGAAUUCUUGCACGAAAGGUAAAAAAAUUGCGAAACCGAGUUAUUGCUUAUGUGAAGGUAUUAUGGAGUUAUCAGGCGGAGUGAGAGGCGACAUGAGAAUCUAAGCAUGCGAUGCGAGAAUCUUCCCUACUUAUUUGAGCAGCUAACGUGAUAUACAUUUUAAGUUUCAAGGACUAAACUUUUAAAGGAGGAGAAAUAUAAUGAAUCUUAGCAAAUAGACAAGGUUGAAGUGUCAUUUUUUUUAGUCAGUAUUUUUCUACAUUAAUGGAUUAAGCUUGCUCGGCUCAUUAUGAGUUCGAGCCGAACUUUACUUAAAGCUCGGAAAAUAAAACAAGUUCGAGCCGAGUAAAUUAAAGCUCAGUUCGAGCUCGCUCGGCUUAUAGCUCGGCUUGUGCUCAGCUUGCGCUCGGCCGAGCGAGCAAACGGUCGGGAUAAAGGCUGAGAGAGAGAGAGAGAGAGAGAGAGUUAGUUCUACUGUUUGCUCUUCCCUAUACCUACCUCGGGUGCACCUGACGAACGGAAUUUCUAUCGUUUUUUACGUUUUUUCGGGGAGUUUUGAUACAUAAAGUUGAAAUUAGGAAAUGUUAAUUUAGAACUCAAAAUUUCUAAUAAAAACACAGAUAAAGCUCGGUUUUGCAGAGGUUGAGUUAGUUCGNCUUCCUCGGUCCGAGAAUAUACCAAUACGUCGUCAAUGAAUACCACGACGCACCGGUCCAAUAGCGGACGGAAGACUCUAUUCAUUAAGUCCAUGAACGCCGCCGGGGCGUUAGUAAGCCCAAACGGCAUCACCGUGAACUUAUAAUGGCCAUACCGUGUACGGUACGCCGUCUUGUGCACAUCCUCGGGCCGUAUCUUCAACUGAUGAUACCUCGAUUGAAGAUCAAUCUUUGAAUAUACCCUUGACCCCUGCAACUGAUCAAAUAAGUCAUCGAUCCUCGGCAACGGGUACUUAUUCUUCACUGUGACCUUGUUCAACUCGCGGUAAUCCACGCAGAGUCGAAGUGUGCCGUCCUUCUUCUUAACGAAUAGCAUCGGAGUUUCCCAGGGUGACGCACUCGGCCUCACAAAGCCUUUGUCGAGCAAGUCUUGCAACUGUGCCUUGAGCUCCUUUAGCUCCGCCGGUGCCAUUCUAUACGGAGCCUUCGAAAUUGGAGCCGCCCCGGGUACCAAGUCGAUAACGAACUCGACCUCCCGGUCCGGUGGCAAACCCGGUAACUCCGCCGGAAACACAUCCGGAAGCUCACACGCCACCCGAAUACUACUAAGUUCCGGGUGCUCCUUCUGGGCUUCUACCAUGGUCGCCAAAUAGGCCUCACAACCACCCUUUAUCAUUUUCCUCGCCUGUGCCGCCGACACGGUCGCCGCGAAAAGCGAGCUUUUUGCUGCCUGAUACACUAGCUCCUCUCGAUUAGGCUCAUGAAACGUGAUCACCUUACUUUCACAAUCUAUCACGGCAUAAUACUUGGAGAGCCAGUUGGUCCCCAAGAUCACGUGAAAACCCCACAUUCGGUUUAACACCAACAGAUCAAUCGGCAUGACCGAAUCACCUAUCUGCACUGGGCACGCUACACAUUCUUCAUGAACAUGGAAAGUAUGCCUGACCGAAUUUACCGUCCAGUAGUCAUAAUGAUGCAUGAUCUUAAUGCCAUGAGUCCUAGCGAAUGAUGCAUUAAUGAAUGAAUGCGAUGCACCUGUGUCGAGUAAAGCUCUAGCUCUGGUGCCUCUGAUCAAGAUAAUACCUGCCACGAUGUCGUCGGGGACAGGAAUUGGCUCCUCCUGCACCUGAGUGGCAAAAACCCGCCCACUCGGUGCCCUCGAUGCCUCCGGCUGACGCGAUGAAGACGAACGCCCAGCCGACAUAGCCGGUGGUAACCCCGCCUGCUGUCUCGGGAUAUAAGGAACUGAUGCCGAGGUAGGCGCAGAUGAACCCCAGCUCGGGCACUCUCGUGACAUGUGCCCGGGCUGGCCGCACCUAAAGCACUUUCCCUCGCGCUGCGAGCAUACCGGCGGCCGAUGAUCACCGCCGCAAAUGACACAACGGAACGGCCUGCCACUCUUCGACUGCUGCCGGGGAUACCGAGGGGGUUUCUUUGUGUUUGACCGGCCCUCGGCACCGCCCGCCGCCCGCUUCUUCCCCUUGUCCCUUGACUCCGCCAUUGCCUCGCGCUCCUCUCGCAUGUGGGCGCUGCUGUGCUUCGCCCACAGGGCUCGAUCAAAGACCUCCGCAAAGGUCGUCAACUUGAGGAUUUUCACCUUCUCGUAAAUCCUCGGUUGGAGUCCUCGUAAGAACCAAUCAGCCCGGUCCGGGUCAUCACGAACAACCUCCGGGACGCAGUCGAUAAGGUGGGAGAACUCCUGCUCGUAAUCUGCCAUAGAGCGGUCCCCCUGUCGCAACUUGCGGAAUUUCUCUUGCAACUUCCGCUUCACCGUAUCGGGGAAGUAGUUGGCGAACACCGCCCUCCAGAACUCCUCCCACAACAUAGGCGGAAGAUCGGGCGAUCGAUCCCGCCUAACACGCUUCCACCACACCUUCGCCGCCUUCUCAAGGCAAUGUGUGGCGAGGUACACCUUGUCCUUCUCCAAGGUGUUAAGAUCCUCAAANAUAAGCUCGCUCGAGCUCGGCUCGUUUCCACCCCUAGUCGGAAAGGCGGUUGCGCGGGAAAAAAAAGAAAAAAGAGAGAGAGAGAGUGAGGCGAGCUUGGUUUCAAGCAGCGAGUCGAGCAUGCGUGAGUGUGUCUUUCGGUGUUUCGAAGUCCGGUUAUUAUCAUAAUAUUUUUAUUAUUAUUAUUUUCAUUUAGACUAUUUUGAUAAAUUUUGUAGAAAUUGAGAGUUCAAAAUUGAUUUCUAUAUGUUUUAAGAACUGAUUUCGCGUGAUUUUGACGAGAGAUUUUUGAGCUACUCUAGGGUGUUGUCAUUGUUGUUCAAGCUAGGAGAGCAGUAGUGGAUCGCCUUGCUAUUCUGAUAACUGUUCCGUUCUAUGAAUUUGCGAUAUACAUGGAUUCCAUAUUGUCAAAAUUGGUGAACUAACUUUUAUAUCCAUAUUAUAUUAUUUAGCUUAUGAGAUGAACUAUUGACAUAGUUGAGAUAAAGUAUUUUGACACCUACUUGUAAAGUAUAUUAAGAUAUGCAUAUUUUUAGGAGUGGCAGAUAGAGUGAGAUUAUAACUGUAUUUGGGAUACUAUAAUAGUAUUGUCAUGAUCUAUUUAAUCAUCGCAUUUGACUAUAGCCUACAUAUUAUUUUGAGCUUGACAGUGAUAUUAUACUCGGUUAGGGUAGCGCUCCGCGAGUGCACUCCGGAGGUUAGGUUAUGAGAUAUUAUUAUGGUAUGGACUAGAUAGUAGCUUGCGUGAUAGUGGACCACUAUAGGUGGAUGCUGGACACGAGGUGAUGUAGGCUAGACCUAACUGUUAAGUCAGACACUAUAAUUGGGUAUUUUUGCAUUAUUUUUUUCAGUAUCUAAUCAAUUGAUUAAUGAAAUAUAUAAUUCAUAGUUUUUAGUUAUAUUGUAGAGACAUGAUAGUAGUAUUUGCUUUUAGCAAUUAUUUAUAUCAGUCCCUUCUUUUUUCUACUGCUUAGUUAUUUACUAUUUCUACCUCUUAUGAACCUAGUGGUGUAGACCAUCGGCAAUGUCGACCAUACCCACUAAGGACUAUGGAUUAUAGUUCUCAUAUCUUUCUUAUUAAUAUUUUAUUUCAGAGCCUUCAGCACCAGUGACUGAUCGACAUAAGGAAAUUACGGAUAGUUAGCAUCUUUUACCCAGUUUGUGCGUGUAGCUGGACAAUCUAACAGUGUAUAUAGCAGUUUGUACAGUAUUUUAAGGUUAAAUUUAUUAGAGAUGUUGUACCAUUUUGAGAACUUGUAUGGUGAUAAUUGUAUAUUUAUAGUGUUGCUAUAGUACAUAUUUUUUAUUUUACUUUGAUACCUACUGUUGUUAGAAUUUAGUUAAUUAUUUUUGGACAAUCUCUGUUGACGCUUCAUAUAUAUAAGAUGUAUCCUUAUGCAUGCAGCAGAUUUGUUGAUGUAAUUCAGGCUUUCGCUGUAAUCCGGGACGUAACAAAUUAUAUGUUUAUUUUUGAAGAAUUUUUAAUAUUGUUUGGAAUUUUACAUAUUUUUGAAGGAUUUUAAAAAAUUUCUAAUUUAUGUUUCUUUUGAAUAUUGUGUUUAAUAUUUUUGAAAGGUUUAUAAAAACAAGUAUUUUGAAUUUGGGUUUGUGGACAAACCCCUUUUUUAGCAGGAAAAGAAUAUGGCCAAUUUGCAUAAAAAAUUCACUAGUUUUGUGCUUUUACAAAAGUAGGUCACCUAUUUUGAUUUUGCAGAUUCGGGCCGGAUUUUCAGCCGCUUGACCAAAAUGCCCUUCGUCUAUAUUCGCGUCUCGUGUAUUCCCUGAGAUACGUAUACUCUAACGUACGGUCCUAGCGGACAUUAAAUACGCCCCUUGCGCUUUUCGCAACGUCACUCUCAUCGAAACCCGAACCAAAUCAGCCCCGCUAUUCGCCAGCCCCGGUAUUUGCUGUUCAGCUUUAAGAAAUUAAAUAGUUGACAAGCUACAUGGCAAGAAAUACGCUGCCGGCAACAGGAAUAAUAGUGCAACGCUAAGAAGCAACGCGAAGAAAAAUGGUGGAACAACACUUCUAACAGUGCACCUUUCGGCAGGUACCAAUGCGACGUUGGCGUUCAAUCUUCUCCCUCACCAGGGCAACAUCCCACUCCCUUGGAAGGCAGUCAAGCAGUCUUCUUCCUAAACUGUAAGAAGCAUAGGGGAGUUUAUUCCAGCACUCGUUUGCAGAGGAGAAGUGGAAGAAGCGUGGUCGAGGGACAUGGCUUUAGGGUUUGGAAGUGGAGAAGAGAUGAAGGAGGAGGGGGUUCCGCAAAGGUAGUAGUGCAAAAAAAAAGGCUCUAUGUGGUGUAACAUAUUCCUAAGUAGUGCAAUGGUUUUAAGAAAAUGGUGCAACGAGUCUAUAACCAGAGAAAAAAAUUCUUAAAUUAGGUGUAAUAUUAACAUUAAUGGUGCAAUAUUUGGCAAACAUUAAUACUGCAACAAGUCCUUAUGUCACACCCCGAACCCGAUCCUAUUUGGCCGGUUCGAGCGCGUCAAACAGACGCCGAACGGACAAAGUCUCCCCUGUCCGCCCAAGGCUCAACAUCCUAUACAAAUAGAGUAUGNUAGUCCCUAACCACAUUAGAGACAUAUUACAUUAACCCAAUCAUAAGCUUUCGCUAUACAUUGUUCAACGUCACUCACGUUUCCUAGGUCCUUAAGGUCUUUCCAUUCCUAAGGGUCUCUAGGUCCAUCCUAUACUUUCACCUUUUGGCUCUUUACGCUCUGAUACCAUCUUAUCUGUCACGCCCCGAACCCGAUCCUAUUUGGCCGGUUCGAGCGAAUCAAACAGACGCCGAAAGAACAAAAUCUCCCCUGUCCGCCCAAGGCUCAACAUCCUGUACAAAUAGAGUAUGAAUUUUGCACCAAACGGAAGCAUACAUAAUGGCUUGCACGAGGGCAAGCAAUAGCCAAUAGUGAAAGAAUCUACUAAACAUCAUACAGGUAUUUGAUUAAAUUUAAAUCACAUACAUGCAUCCAACUAUAAUCAAGUUCUUUCACAUUUUUGCAUCAUUUCUUGUUACAUCUCAUUUCUUCCAAAGUAUAACUUUUGACAUUUAAAAUAAAUAUCCUUUACAUUAUUCAUUAGAGCAAGUUCAUGAUACUAAAAUCAUCAAAUACAAAAGAUGAUAGUAAGGGUAUGCGACUACAAAAUGAUAACCAUCUCGGGCGGUCUCUACCUAGGGCGCGAUGCCCUUACCGCGAUCAUCAGCCGGCUCGCUUGGUCCCGGCUCUGUGGAAAUAGUGGGGUGAGAACUACAACAAAGUUUCCAGUGGAUUCGGCAACCAACCACGCCGACUAUCCCACUAGAUCUAAUCAGGCAUAAUAGAAGAAAGAAUAGAUAAUAACCAACUAACAAAUGCAGAUAAUAUGCCUGAACGAUAAGUAAAACUAUGCUCGAUAGAAUGCAUAUGAUGAAUGCAAAAUUAACUUUUCAUUACCCAAUCUCAUGGCUAGCCCGUAGGUUUCGCCCUCACAAACUCACCAACCCAAAUUCCUAUUGUCGGGGAGAUAACCGCUACGACCCGACGGGACCGCCCUCUGGGGAGAUAACCGCUACGACCCAGUGAUGACAACUCCGGAGCACAUCGCCCGAGGGGGAGCUACCGCCCUCGAGCAAGGACUAUUAGGUGAGUACGAUCAAUCCUUAACUUUAAGGAUUCCAAAUUCAAUCCAUUCCUUGACUUCAAGGAGAACCAUGUUCAUAUGACCCUUUAACUCUAAGAUGUAUAUGUCAUAUUGUCUCUAACCCAAUUUACUUGCAUCCUCUAACCUCAACUAGUGUCAUGUACACUACUUAUUCUUGUUCCUGGUCAUUGACGCCACAAUUAUUUUCUAAGUGCUAUAUUCUUGUACUCAUGCCACACUCUAUGUCUAUGUCAACAUGUCACAUUUGUUUACUAACCCUUCUAGGUUCUUGUCCCUUGUUAUGCAUAUAUAUAGGGUUAACAAUUCUCAUUCAUUUACCAUAAUUUCUCAAGCAUUAAAACUCAUAUCAUGCAAUGGAAGCUCUCAAUUAACCCUACUAUGCAACAUGCUCAAUAUAAAUACAUAUGCUCAAAUAUGACACUUUAAAUAUAAAGAGAUUUCCGAUGUCCUUGGAAUGCACCACCCACCUUAGAUGGUUACCAGGAUGCUAUGGUGAAUUUCUUGGAAUUUUUGAAACCCUAGUUCGCGUGCUGCGGCUAUCUGUACGGAAAAUGACGUUUUUGUCAAUAACUUUGCGUACACUCAUCAGAUUGCCGAACCGAGCGUUCCAACGCGUUUAAAAUACCCUCAAUUAGGUUUCUACAUGAUCAAAAUAGAUCAAAACCCAACUUGGGCAAAACCCCUCUUUGGGAUGCCCUGACAUGUCAUUUUUGUAUUUUUCCUAGAUUGAUCUUGUCGCUAAGCAAAGAAUAGCUUAGAAUCACUUGGGAAGCUCUCUAAUAAGGUUUCUAAGCUUUUAGAAUCAUCCCUAGGGCAUCUACUUUGAGCCCUAGUGAUCCACCAUGAGAGCUCCUCAAGAAAGCCAUGCUUUCAUGGUGUUCUUGGCUCUAGGAGGUUUCUAAAGGAUAAAACAAGCUCAAAACUCCUAAACAUAGGGCUAAAACCCAAACCCUAGACUCAACUUGCAAAGAGACUCACCUUUGCCCAAGCCCUAGCAAGCUCCUUCUUGUUGGAGAGCCACAAGAUCCUCUCAAGCCUCCAAAACCACCUCUUCAAGCUUCUUGUCCACCUUCUCCACCAAACCCUAGAGUUAUAGAGAGAGAAAAGAGAGGGAAAAUGAGAGAGGGGGAUGUGGGUGGCUGUGGGAGGGAGAGAGAGAGGUGUUGGGUUGUUAACAUGUUGCUACAAUUGCAACUAGGCCCUCCAACUCUCUAUUCUGCAGCAGAUUCAUCCCUGCUGCCAAAACUGCUGUGUACCGGUACGCGGGUUUGUGUACCGGUACGGACCUGCGCAGAGGCCCAAACCCGAGAGCAAACUCUCUCGGUUUCGCAGGGUGUGUACCGGUACACGGGGUCCCGUACCGGUACACCACCCAGGCUGCCCAAACCCAAGAGCAGCCUGUGCUCGGGUCGCUUGCUGUACCGGUACAACCACCAUGGUAUACCGGUAUACAAUGCUCCAGAAUGCUGUUUUGGUUUCGACCCGACUCUACUUCGCAUCGUUCGAUGCCAAAACCAUUCCAACACUUCUUUAACUCAUUUUUGCCCUUCCAAACUUGUUGGAAUGCAAAAAAAAUGAAACUCACCAAUUCAUUUCUCUCGACACUUUAACCAAUUUGAUUAAAGUUCGAUUAUCGUUUUUCGGGUUUCGAUAUGUUACAUUCUCCACCCCUUAUAUUUAGUUUCGUCCGUGAAACUAGUUUAAUUUAAGCCCGAACUCGACUCGUACCUUAGUUCAGCUCGUCGAAGAGAUGAGGGUAAUGCUCCCGCAUUGCGCUCUCGAGCCCCCAAGUAGCUUCCCGGUCGUCGUGGUUACACCAACGAAUCUUUACGUACGGAAUCUUACGAUUUCGUAGUUUUCUUACUUCUCGAUCGAUGAUGUACGCCGGAAACUCCUUAUAGGUCAUGUCCUCUUGAAUCUUGGACGGUUCAAACGAGAGAACAUGAUCGGGGUCGUGAACAUACUUGCGGAGAUUCGACACGUGGAACACAUCGUGCACUCCUGCAAGUCUUGGUGGUAAUGCUACUCGGUAUGCCACCGCGCCGACCCGUUCCAGUAUUUCGAACGGUCCAAGGUACCGGGGACUUAGCUUCCCACGGAUUCCAAACAGCUUAAUCCCUCUCAUCGGCGAAAUCAUUAGAAACACGUGGUCUCCAACGGCAAACUCUAUAUCUUUCCUCCGUUUGUCGGCAUAACUCUUUUGCCGAGAUUGCGCCGUAGCAAGUCGUUGGCGAGCAAGACGAACUUUCUCCUCCGCCUCCCGUACUACAUCGGGGCCAAGACCCGCCCUCUCGCCCACAUCGCUCUAAUGAAUUGGGGAGUGACACUUCUUUCCAUAAAGAGCCUCGAAUGGCACCAUCGCGAUACUUUCUUGAUAACUGUUAUUGUACGCGAACUCUGCNAUUCUUUGCUAAAUAGUGUAACAAGUUCGUAAAUAGUCCAAAUUUUUCUCAACAUUUGGUACAUCUAGCAUUUUUGGUAGAAAAUAGAAACCAAAGAAUAAGAAGAUUAAUGAAUGAAAUAGACAAUGCACUCUCUAUUAAUCUGGGAGCAAGGAUUACAUUUUCUUUGAUGCAAAUUACACGAUUUUAUAGUACUUUGUAAUAUACAAGACAGGAUUUGCAUACAAUAUACCAUUUUCUCUAAACAAUUAAGAAAACAAUAAAGAUCAUUUGACCUUUUUUUGCGCUUCCAUGCACAGGGCGAUGCUAUUUUUUGUCAAGGAGGUGAAGGCGACGAAGGGCGUUCCCUCUAAACACAGCCGAUGCGGCCGUGGGGGAUGUGGCUCGUGCCUUCCUCGUCCUUAAUUGCUAUGGCGGCGGCGGCGGCGGCGGCGUCCGCAGCUCUUCCUCAUCGCGUUUGUUUCAGUGGUCCAGCCAGUGAUUACGGGGGGCAAAAAUUAAAGUCGUCGUGGUUGGUAGCGGUGGUCAUGCCGACGACGGCCGCGGCAGAAGGGGACUGAGGCGAAAGAGUGGUCGAGGAGAAGGAUGAUGUUGGAAAGUAUAGGACCAAGCAGAUCGACAUUAAGAUCGACUCGCACUACCUGAAGCGCUUCAGCUACUCCGAGCCCUUUGGAUCUCCGCUCUUCUAUGGUCGGAAAUAAGCUCACCGUUUAGUAAAAAAAUAUAAAUAAAUGAGAAAAUAAAAAAAAAAAACUGAAUAAAUGUUCGAACCUUUAAGAGAAGAGAGCUAAUGGGCUCGCGGCAAUUGAAGCACUCCAGAAAGUGGUGGUCAAUCUAAACCCCGACGUGCUAGAUACCCUUCACAAUAGUUGCCUCCUCGUCAACGACUGACUCGGUUCUCGCCCUUUCCACCACCGCCGCCAUGGGGACUACCCCCGCCGCCGGCAGCCAUGACGGCUUUAAUUUCCUCCUCCGGAACAACCACCUGCGGUGCCAAAACAAAUCUGAAGACANCCCGCUGGCGCUGCCGCAGCCACCACAGACAAGGAAAACGCUAGCCACAUCCCCCACAGCCGCAUCGGCUGUGUUUAGGGGGAACGCCCUUCGUCGCCAUCACCUCCUUGAUGAAAGGUAGUGUUGCCUUAACCUCCUUUUAUACUUGUUGGAUGUAAAAAAAAAAAAAAUACUUAUACUAUAUAUACAGGAAAAACAAUCCUAAUCAUAAUCAAAACCGGUUAGAUUCGGGCUCAUACAAUCCUAAUAGAUCUCAUGUUAACCAUGAAAUUUAAGGGCCAAUAGUUAUAAUUUAAAUCCACAAUAGACCCAUUAAUGAAUGUGAGUUGGUGGGCCUUAUGAAAGCCCGUUAAAAUUUUAAGCCUAUGGAAUAAUUCGGGCCUUAUGAAUAUUAUUAUUUGUGCCAAACAAUUUUCAUCAAAGUGGGAAUCAAUGACGGUCCAUAUCCACAUCCUAAAAUUCAAUAUCCAAUUAGAAAAUAUCUUUCAUCCAAACAAGCUCAUUCAAAUUUCAAAUCCCAACCAACUCUCAAAAUAUCUCCAAUUCAAAUCCCCAACCAAUUCCCAAAAUAUCUCCCAACCAACCAACCAACUCCCAAAAUAUCUUCCAACCAACCACAACCAACUCCCAAAAUAUCUCCCGUUCAAAUUCCGAACCAACUCCCAAAAUAUCUCCCAACUAACCAACCAACUCCCAAAAUAUCACCCAACCAACCACAUCUAUUCAAAUUUCGAAUAUUUAUCCCUCCAACUACUGAUUCAAAAUUCGAUUUCGAAUUUCGAAUCCCUAACCGACUCAAAAUAUCUCUCGCCUAACCCACAAAUCUCUCCGACUCCUCAAAUCUCCCCUUUUAUUAUAAAUGUGAGAAUAAAAAAAGAGGAAGGGAUACACACAGAAGAGAGGAUAAAUAGAUAGAGAGAGACGAUAGCGAUACGGAGAGAGACGACGAUACAAAGAGGAGAGAUAAUAACAUUUCCACUCCUUGCUACACGCAUACAAAAAAUUCAAAGGAGGAGAAUUUUUCGACCGCACCGCCGUGCCGCUUCAUCCAGCCCGUCAUUUGAUCAUCAGGUAAAGAUAAAAAAAAAGAAGAAAGAAAUAAAGAAAGAAAAUAAUAAUAAUAAUAAAGCAUAUCAAAAAAAUAAAAAAAAAUGAUCUCUUUUCCUUCCUCCCUUUUCUUUUUUUUUAGAUCCUGCUACCGUAGUCAUCCAUACCAUCUAAACGGCUUCGAUGGGAGAGUGGAGGGAAGCCAAUGGCUUUCUGUUUCUUCGGACCUCUCGAUACCUCAUUCGAAGCCGUUAAUUGAUGAAAUGGAUGAUCUACAUUGCUGCGACCAUCUCCAGCAUCGUCGGUUCGGUAUUUUCGAAAGAAGAGGGGAGGGGAAUUAAAGAUUCCCCGUUCUUCGGACCCUUCAAUCUCUUUUGAAAAUAUCGAACCAAAUUUGCCGGCCGAACAAAUCCGCACCACCGUCAUCAUCUUCACCGCUGUCAUCUCCAGUAUCGCCGGUUCAGUAUUUUCGAAAGAAGAGGGGAGGGGAAUCAAAGAUUCCCCGUUUCUUCGGACCCUUCAAUCUUUUUUAAAAAUAUCGAACCGAAUUCGCCGGCCGAACAGAUCCGCACCACCAAUCAUCUUCACCGCCGUCAUCUCCAGUAUCGCCGGUUAGGUAUUUUCAAAAGAAGAGGGGAGGUGAAUCAAAGAUUCUCUGUUUCUUCGGACCCCAAACCAAAUCGAACUGCAAAAUCAAAAGGGGAUUUCGUCGAAUCCCAAAUCUAAUUGCAAAAUCAAAAGGGGAUUUCUUCGAACCCCAAAUCGAAUUGCAAAAUCAAAAGGGGAUUUCAUUAGACCCCAAAUCGAAAUCAAAAUGGGAAUUUCCUUGGACCCCAAAUCAGAAUCAAAACGGGGAUUUCUUCGGACCCCAAAUCAGAGUCAAAAUGGGGAUUUCUUCAGACCCCAAAUCAGAAUCAAAACGGGGAUUUCUUCGGACCCCAAAUCAAAGUCAAAAUGGGGAUUUCUUCAGACCCCAAAUCAGAAUCAAAACGGGGAUUUCUUCGGACCCCAAAUCAAAAUCACAAGAAAUCAAAACGGGGAUUUCUUAAGACCCCAAAUCAGAAUCAAAAUGAGGAUUUCUUAGGACCCGAAAUCAGAAUCAAACUGGAGAUUUCUUCGGACCCCAAAUCCAAAUUGCGAAAAGGAGAUUUUUUCCGACCCCAAAUCAAAAUUGAAAUAAAUUAAAAGGGGAUUUCUUUGGAACCCAAAUCGAAAUUGCAAAAUUAAAAAGGAAAUUUCUUCGGACCCCAAAAUCGAAUUGCAAUAAAAUUCGAAAGGAAAAUUCCUCCGGACCUCAAAAUCAAUUUGCAGUGAAUCUCAAAAAGGAACUUCUUCAGAUCACAAAUUCAAAUUUGGAUAAGUCUAAAGAAGCCUUCUUCGGACCUUAAUUCUAAACAAAAAUAAAUACAGCCAAACCCACAAAUAAAAAACCCAAACCUAACCCCAAACCCAAAUCAAAUCCAGUCCACAAAUAAAAACCCAAACCUAAGCCCAUAAAUCCCAAACUCAAAUCCAAUCCGGAUCACAAAUAGAACCCAUACCAGACUUUCAACUUGGAUUCAUGAACCAAGUUCAUGAACCAAAUCCCAUAAACCAUGAACCAAGUUCGCAAACAAAACACCACGAACCAUACCCAAGUUCAUGAACCAAAUUCCAUAAACCAUGAACCAAGUUCAUGAAGCCAAAACAAGUUUGUGAACCAAACACCACGAACCAUACCCAAAUCCCAUAAACCGUGAACCAAGUUCAUUAAGCUUACCCAAGUUCGUGAACCAAACACCACGAACCAUACCCAAAUCCCAUAAACCAUGAACCAAGUUCAUACACCGAGUUCAUGAACCACAAACCAAGUUCAUGAACCAAAUGAACCAAGCUCAUGAACCAUGAACCAAGUCCAUAAACCAAGUUCAUAUACCAUGGACCAUAUCCAAGUUCAUGGACCAAAUCCUAUACACCAAACCCUAUGAACCAUACAUCAAGUUCAUGAACUAUAUAAACCAAGUCCAUAAACCAAGUUUAUAUACCAAAUCCAUGAACCAUUUCUAAGUUCAUGAACCAAAUCCCACAUGUCUAACCUCAUGAAACAUAAACCAAGUUCAUGAACCAAAUGAAUCAUGUUCAUGAACCAUGAACCAAGUCCAAAAACCAAGUUCAUGAACCAAAUGAACCAAGCUCAUGAACCAUAAACCAAGUUCAUGAACCAAAUGAACCAAGCUCAUGAACCAUGAACCAAGUCCAUAAACCAAGCUCAUACAUCAAAUCCAUGAAUCAUAUCCUAGUUUAUGAACCAAAUCUCAUGAGUCAUACACCAAACCCCAAUGAACCAUAUACCAAAUCUUAUGAACCAUACACCAAGUUCAUGAACCGUAAAUGUAACAUAUCGAAACUCGAAAAUGAUAAUCGAACUUUAAUCAAAUCGGUUAAAGUGUCGAGAGAAAUGGAUUGGUGAGUGAUUUUUGCAUUCCAGCAUGUUUGGAAGGGCAAAAAUGGGUUAAAGAAGUGUUGGAAUGGUUUUGGCAUCGAACGACGCGAAGUAGAGUCGAGUCGAAGCCAAAACAGCAUUCUGGAGCAUUGCGUACCGGUACACCAUGGUAGUUGUACCGGUACAGCAAGCGACCGGAGCACAGGCUGCUCUCGGGUUUGGGCAGCCUGGGUGGUGUACCGGUACGGGACCCUGUGUACCGGUACACACCCUGCGAAACCGAGAGAGUUUGCUCUCAGGUUUGCUUCUGCGCAGGUCGUGUACCGGUGAUACCAACCCGUGCACCGGUACGCGAAACCUCUGGCAGCAGGGAUAAGUCUGCUGCAGAAUAGAAAGUUGAAGGGCCUAAAUGCAAUUAUCACAAUAUGUUAUUUGACCCUAGCCCUCUCUUCACAGCAGCACACACCCCUCCUCUCUUUCCCUCUCAUUUUCUUCCCUUUCUCUCUCUAGAAAGCUUGGUCUAGGGCAAGGAGAAAGUGGAGAAGAAGCUUGGAGAGGAGAUUUUGGUGGGUUUGAAGGCUUUGGUGGCUCUCCAACAAGGUGGACCUUGGUGAGCUCGUGGACAAGGUGAGUUUAUUGCAUAAGAGAGCCUAGGGUUUGGUUUUAAACCUUGGGAUUUAGAGUUUUGAUCCUCUAAUUAACCUAGAAAUCCUCUAGACCAUGACUCCAUGAAAAACAUGGUUUUCUUGAAGAGCUCUCAUGGUGGAUCACUAGGGCUCAAAGUAGAUGCCCUAGAGAUGGUUCUAAAAGCUUAGAAACCUUAUUAGAGAGCUUCCCAAGUGAAUCUAAGCUAUCUUUUUCUUAGGAAUGAGAUCAAUCUCGGAGAAAUGCAAAAAUGACAUGUUAGGGCAUCCCAAAGAGGGGUUUUGCCCAAGUUAGGUUUUGAUCUAUUUUGACCAUGUAGAAACCUAAUUGAGGGUAUUUUAAACGCGUUGGAAUGCUCGGUUCGGCAAUCUGACGAGUGUACGCAAAGUUAUUGACAAAAACGUCAUUUUCCGUACAGAUAGCCGCAGCACGCGGACUAGGGCUUCAAAAAUUUCAAGAAAUUCACCGUAGCAUCCUUGCAACCAUCUAAGGUGGGUGGUGCAUUCCAAAGACAUCGAAAAUCUCUUUAUGUCUAAGUGUCAUUUUUUGAGCAUAUGUGCAUUUUUGAGCAUCUUGCAUAAUAGGGUUAGUUGUGAGAUUUUUAUAACCUAAUGUAAAUUCAAAUGCAUGUUAAAUGUUUGUAAGAAUGUGAGAAUGAUGAUCCCUAUGUAUGCAUAAAUGUGACAAGAACCUAGAAGGGUUAGUAAACGAAAAGUGACACUUUGACAUAGAUCUAGCAAGUAACAUCGACGAGUCUAGAACCCUUAAUAAACAAGUGUGGCAUUUGGCAUGAGAACAAGAAUCUAGCACUUAAAGAACAAGUGUGGCAUGAGUACAAGAACUUGAUAGUGUAUAUGACAUUAGUGAUAGUAACGAAUGCAAAGGAAAGAAUGAUUGAUAUAAUAUGACAUUUCAACCUUAGUGUAAGGGUCAUUUGAGCAUGGUCUUCCUUAAAGUUAAGGAAUGGAUUGAACUUAGAAUCCUCAAAUGUAGAAUUGAUCGUACUCACUUUUAGUCCUUGCUCGAGGUUGUGGUAGCUUCCCCUCGGGCGAUGUGCUCCGGAGUCGACAUCACUGGGUUGUAGCGAGUAUCUCCCCAGAGGACGGUCCCAUCGGGUUGUAGCGAGUAUCUCCCCGAUUAUUGGGAUUUUGAGUUUGUGAGUUUGUUGAGGGCGAAACCUACGGGUUAGCCAAGAGAUUGGGUAUUGGCACUAUGACCUUGCAUUCAUCAUGAGCAUUACAUUGUGCAUAUCAUUUUAUAUUGUUCAGGCAUAUUAGCUGCAUUAGCUAGCUGGUUACUUACUUUCUUUUAUUCUAUUAUGCCUGAUUAGACCUAGUAGGAUAGUCGGCGUGGUUGGUUGCCGAACCCACUGGGAACUUUGUUGUAGUUCUCACACCCCUAUUUCCACAGAGCCGAGACCCAGCGAGCCGGCGGACGAUCGCGGUAAGGGCAUCGCGCCCUAGGUAGAGACCGCCCGAGAUGUUUAUUUACUCUAGUUGCAUACCCCUUUUACUAUAUCAUCUUUUGUACUUGAUGAUUUGGUUAUUAAAGAAAAGAAUAUGUAUGUUGUAAAAGAUCCUUACAUUUAAAUGCAAGAAUGACAUUUUGAGAUCCUAUGAUGUAAAAGAAAAGAAAUGAUGCAAAGAUUGUAAUCCGUUCAUAAGUGUAGUUGUUUACCUUCACUCUUGGCUAUUGCUUGCCCUCGUGCAAGCCAUUGUGUAUGCUUCCGCUUAUGCAAUUUCUAUACUCUAUCUGUACCUGUUGUUAAGCCUUGGGCGUACAGGGGAAGCUCUGUCUGUUCGGUGUCUGUUCGACGCACUCGAACCGGCCAAAAGGAUCGGGCUCGGGGCUUGACAAUAAACCAAACCUCAUGAACCAAAUCCCAUAAACCAUACACCAAGUUCAUGAACCAAAUCUCAUGAACCAUGAACCAAAUGCCAUAAACCAUAUCCAAGUUCAUCAACCAAAUCGCAUGAACCAUAUCAAAUGCCAUAAACCAUAUCCAAGUUCAUGAACCAAAUCUCAUGAACCGUGAACCAAAUACUAUAAACCGAACCGUGAACCAAUUCCAUAAACCAAGUUUAUAAAUCAAAUGAACCAAAUUCAUGAACCAUGAACCAAGUUCAUACACUAAACCAGCGAAUCAUAUCCAAGUUCAUGAAUCAUAUCCCACAUACCGAACCUCAUGAACCAUACACCGAGUUCAUGAACCAUAAACCAAACCCCAUGAACCAUACACCAUGUUCAUGAACCCAAUCCCAUAAACCAUGCCUAAGUUCAUGAACUAAAUAUCAUGAACCAUACAUCAAACCCUAUGAGUCAUAAACCUCAUGAACCAUACACCACAUCUCAUGAACCAAAUCCCAUACACCAAACCCAAUGAACUAUAUCCAAAUUCAUGAAACAAAUCCAAUACCUAUGAACCAUACAUCAAGCUCAUGCCCAAAGUUCAUCAUGAACCUUUUCUUUACUCUAGCUCGUAUACCUAGAGUAAAAAAUCAAAUGCAAAAUCGACUACCCCUAAUAUAUAUACUUAGAGCUAAAUCAAUCACCUUAGUACAUAUAACUAAGGCAAAAUCAUCUCCAAAUCGACAGAGUUCUAAGUUAUAUAUUUAGAAUUCAGUCAACUGUACCAGAUUUUAAUAUAAAAUUAAGUGUAAAUAAAAGUAGUAUGAGAUACUAUUUUUAUUGGACUUAAAGAAAUAAAAUGUAAGUCUGGAAUGACUUAUGCUAAAAUUGGAAUGAAAAACAGGAGAUUUAGAAUUUUCUGUGAGAAACGGGACUAAUAUUUUAGCAGAAAAUGCACAGUGUCAGAACAUUAUGAAAAUGUAAGAAUAUGUCGGGAUUAUUUUUAUGAGGCUAGAUUUAAAAUUUCAUGCUAUUCUAACACCGGAAAAGUGAAAAAUAAAAUCCAACUACUAUCUGCUAGAGAUUAUAGUUCGGUAGGACUUUCAGUCACCAAAAAAUGGUCCAAACUGGAUAGUUAAGAUAUUUUAUUUUUUAUUAAGUAAAACCGAGCCUGACUGUCAAAUUUGAGAGAGAACGGACAUUCAGAAGAGCUCCGGCGAAGAGGAACAGAUUCUGAGCUGCUAAACUGCUAGUGUGAAUAGUGUUAAGGGGCUAUUUAUGUAACAGGACCCUUCUCCUUCUCCCUCAACCGAGCACCACCAGCACCAACUCACGCACAAAUGGAGGGAGAGAGAAAAUCUCCCUUUCUCUCUCUAAAUAUCUCUUUCAUCUUUCUAGAUCUCUCCCUCAAAUUCACGGCGUUGGCGGAGAGCGAGCUUGUGAACGCGUUGGAAGCAACGGUUCGAGUCUUCGUGCGUCCGGUUGAGCAGCGUGCUUUCGACCCGGCGUUCGCAAUUUCGGUAAGUGUUUAGAAUUUGGUUUAAUUCUUAAUGCUUAGUAUUCUAGUAGUCUCUAGAGUGUUUCUAGCAUGUCGCUGCAUUUAAUUUUGGAAUAUUAGAAGGUUAAUUGCAUGCUAGGGCUAUGUAAUAUACCGAAAAUUCGAAAAAUAAAUAUCGAACUUUAGUCAAAUUGACCAAAGUGCGAGGAUGGUACACUUCGGAAAGUCCGAAGGUGUUAAAAUGAUCAAAAACGUGUUAUGGGAGGUUUUCGAGAGCUAGGGAAUCAAAAAUCUGCAAACUGCAGCUUUUGAGCUCUCGGGGACCGGUCCCUGGUGGGAGAGACCGGUCCCCGAACGCGUAUGAAAUGAGACAGCCGAAAAAUCGGCUAAGUCCUGGAGGAUUAGCUCUCGGGAAUCGGUCUCUGUCUGAGAGACCGGUCCCCCAGAGACCGGUCCCACCAGAGAGGGACCGGAUGCAUUGCGCGCGGCAGCUCUAGCUGCGCAGGGUGGACCUUCGGGGACCGGUCCCUGCUCGGGGAGACCGGUCUCUGCCUGCGAAAACUGCCCAGUCCNNNNNNNNNNNNNNNNNNNNNNNNNGGAGACCGGUCUCUGCCUGCGAAAACUGCCCAGUCCGGGCUGUGUGAAAUAGUGAAAGCUGAAGGGUUUAUUUGCAUUUUUGCAACCCAUGGGUUAAGUGGAGGGCUGAGAGAGCCUUUUCUCUCAUUCUCCCCCUCACACACACUCUCUUCUCUCUCUCUCUCUCUGUAGAAGACAAAGGAGAAGAAGAAGAAAGGAAGAAAAGAAGGAGAAGAAGGAAAAGAAGGUGAAGAAGAAGAUCAAGGAGCAAAGGAGCUUCAUCUUCUUCCUCUCUAGUGCAAGAAUAGGAAGCUUACAAGGUAAGCUUUGAACCCUAAUGUAGUAAAACCCUAGAAAUGAGUUUGAAUGAACCUAGAAAUGGUUGUAAUGGAUUGUUUAGAGUUUUUGAAGCUUUCUCUUUGCUUCUUUAGAGAUCAAAACCUUGGUUUGCUUUAGAGGUGAGCUUGGACCACCUCUCAUGGUGAAAUCCAAACUAGGGUUUUGGAAAGCCUAAGAAUGGUUCUAAUGGACUAUUUAGAGUAUAAUGAAGCUACUUUUGCUUCCCAAUGAGAUCAAACCCUAGGUUUACACAUGCAUUGGAGCUAGGGCACCCAAAUUGGGGCUUUUGCUCAUAAGGGUUUCUAAGUGAAAUUGACCCUUCAAAAACCUAAUUGGGGGUAUUUCCGACGCGUUGGUGCGCUCGGAUUUACGUUACGAAAAGCCAAUGUAAAGUUAUGGCCAAAUAAGCCUAAUUUGGCUUCGUUAUGCCGCAGGUAAAGAACGAAGAGUCUAAAAAUCCCAAGAAAAUCAUCGGAGCACCUUUGAAGGCCUACGAGGUGGGUGGUGCUUCUCAAACUCGUUGAACUUCCCUCUAUGCCUAAUGUGUCAUUCAUUUGAGCAUAUAUAUAUAUAUGUUGUUGCAUGCAUUUUAGGGUAAAGUGAUGAUGAAAAUGUAAUGUGCAUGAUUGUGAGUACAACUUGCAUAAUAUGAUGAAUGAGAACCUUAUGAAUGUUAGAACCCUAUAUGUAUGCAUGAGAGAAAAGUGAGCACCCAAAGUGAGCAAAAGAACAGAGUGGCACAAUGACAUAGAUCGAGUGGCAUUUAAAAACGUAAAGUAAAGUGACACUAGAGUUAGUGUGAGCCAAAGAACCAAAGUGAGGUAAAGAAUCAUGAAAAUGACAAUGUGUAAAGUUAAAGUAAAGUGGGGCAAUAAGAACGAGAAAUGUAAAGAACAAGAAUGCUAAAGAUGGCAAAAGUAAAAGAAAAGUAAAGAAUGGGAUUGCAUGAGUUUGCAACAUAAAGUGAUGUAAAGGACACUAGAGCUAGUGUAAAGUCAAGAUUGAACUUAUGAAAUCCUUUGAGUUUAGGAUAUGAUCAUACUUGCUAUGAGUUCCGUGCUCGAGGGCGGUCGCUCCCCCUCGGGCGAUGCGCUCCGGAGUUAUGCAUCACGGGUUGGAGUAAACCCGAAGGACGGUCCUAGCGGGUGAGUUCCUGCGAUGAUGGACUUAAUGUGAAGCAAGUUAAUGUGGCGAUACCCCCGGGUUAGCCUUGAGAUUAAAGAACAAAGAGCAAAGAACAAAGUGCAAAGAACAAAGAACAAAGAACAAAGAGUAAAGUGAAAAGAACAAAGAAUUUGCAUAAUCUGCAUUUAUUUAAUGUUGAGCAUACUCCUUGCUUUAUUGUUCAGGCAUAUUAGCAUCAUGUAUAGAUUGGUUACUAAAUGCAGCUUAUUCUUUCUAUUAUGCCUGAGUUAGUCCUAGUGGGAAAGUCGGUGAUGUUGAGGCCGAACCCACUGGGAACUUUGUUGUAGUUCUCACCCCACUAUUUCCACAGAGCCGGGACCGAGCGAGCCGGCGAGCGACCGAGGUAAAGGUAUCGCGCCUUAGUCAGAGGCCACCAAAGUCGGAUUUCAUUUUGUAGUAAAGUACCCUAUGAUCAUCUUUUGUAUAUGAUGGUAAAUGAUGUAAAGAAAAGAAUGUAAUGUGUAUUUUGAGGUAAAUGUGAUGUAAGAAAGAAAUGAUGAAACGAAAUGUAAGGAAUUCGAAAAAUUACAAGUUGGAUGUAUGUAUAUGAUCUAAAUUGAAUCAUACUACAAGCGAAUGUUUAGUUUUCCUUUCUUUCACUAAUGGCUAUUGCUUACCCUCAUGUAAACCGUUUGUGUAUGUUUCCGCUAGUGCAAUUCUUGUUUGAAUUUUGUACAUGUGAUGAGCCUUGGGCGGAUAGGGGAAACUCUGUCCGUUCGGCGUCUGUUUGACGUGCUCGGGUCGGGCCAAAUUGGUAUCGGUCCCGGGGCGUGACAGGCUAGAAGAGGGAUUCUUGUAAAUAUAAGGGUUUGAUCUAAAUUGGACCCAUGUAAACCUAAUUGCUAGGUAUUCUGACGUGUUUGCGAAGACGGUUCGGCAAUCCGUCGAGGCUACGCAAAGAUAUUGGGAAAAUGGACCGUUUGGCUUCGUUUCCGCCUGGAGGGCCGAGGCGGCGUCCAAAAAUUACGAAAAUGGAUUCCUAGCAUCGCGGCAUCUAGAUGAAGCCCUUUAAAACUCGAGGCUGCGGAUUGACGCAUGGUUGGUGAUUAUUUGCAAGACCAGGCCGAACCGGACGACGAGUGCCGCGGGAGGCCGAUUGCAAGUGUCGACAAGCAAUCGGAGAGCGUUGCAAGGUGGGUUGUGCUCACCAAAAUAUUUAGUUCGCUUCCAUGUCGAAACAAAGUGAUGUUUAUUAUUGAUGCAUAUAAUGGUAGUUAAUUGUUAAACAUGUAAAGGCAUGAAAUGCUAGAAGAAUACAUGAGAUCAAUGCUAUGUUAGACUACCAUGAUACUAUAGGAAUGCAUGAGAUAUUAUAUGAAUGCAUGUCAUUUAGGUUAUAUGAAUGCAUGAAAAUGAUACUAUAGGAAUGCAUGAGAUGUUAUAUGAAUGCAUGUCAUAGAGGUUAUAUGAAUGCAUGAAAAUGAUACUAUAGGAAUGUAUGAGAUGCUUGACUACCAUUAGAUGACAAAAACAUAUACAUGUUAACAUAUUGUGGAUUGACAUAUUGUGGAUUAUGUUAAUUGACAUAUGCAUGUUGAACUUGGGUCGAAAACUCUAGGUUGAUUAGAGAGUUCGACAUUGAAAAAUAAGAAUAUGAAAACUGUGAUACUCGAUGUGGACUAGUAGAUUGUCAAGUAGAUCGAGUGGCAUUUGGACUAGUGUAGUAGAGACACUAUGACAUGAACAUAGGGAUAGAUGAUUUCCUGAGUCAUGGAUAUGUGCCACAUGAAACUAGUAUAGUAGAGACACUUGUGACAUUAUUGUUGGGAUUAGUGGAUUUCUCGUGUCGUUGUUAAACCUAGUAGACAGGGUAUCCUCGAGUAAGAGGAUUGGAUCAUACUCACUUAGUCUGUUUUUACUUGGCAUGGUGACUCCACCCAAGCAGUGGUCUCCGAAAUACUUCACGAUAGGGAUAGACGUAGUUGUCACGCAAACUGUCUCGGUGUACGAGUGCAGAUUCUCCUCACCUAUGAGAUUUUCAAAGUGAGUCGGGGUUUAACCUUUUGGUCAGCCAGUGAGAUUGGUGACAUUUUUAUGAGCUAUGGAUGAAUCCCAGCAUAGUGGAUUGGCAUCGCAGUUGGUAUCCCAGUUGAGUGGAUUUAAGGCUAAGGUGCAAGUGAGAUGUCCUUUACUUUGAGCCUGGCUUUGCGCGGUAUUCCGCGGAUGAUUGACUCAAGACCGAGUCGAGUGGAUAGCUUUGUAAAGGUUGAUGAAACCUUGUGAGCAACAGUAAAGAUAGAUGAAACCUUAUGAGCAGAAUUGUAAUUGACAUGAAUCCAAAAUAGGGAAAAACUUAGAUGUCAAUUCGAUGAGCUGUGAAUAGCGAGUAGAAUUAGUAGAUCUACUUACCUCAUUGCAUAUUGAGUUGCAUGAUUUGUAUUGUUGCAUGUUGCGAGACAUGAAUGUGAUAAAUGUUAGUUGCAUAAAAUAUUUGAUGAAAUAUAUAUAUAUAUAUAUAUCUGUGGAUACUUGUUGGACUAACAUGUUGCAGUGCCUCCUUCGGACCUGGUGGGUCGAGCUUUUCCCUUGGGUGGCCGUACCCACUGGAAACUAUGGACAAUAGUUCUCACCUCCGUGUUGUUUUUGGGGGUACAGGUUCACACGUGAGCCGCGCGGCGGUGCGAGGACACGGCGUAGCUUCGUAGAUAGCGCUCUACCACUGAGACCAAAGAUAGCGGUACCCCGAGUCAGCCUACCUAGGGGUGUAGAAAAGAGAAGGAAAUCAUUAUUUAUGUAAUCUUGAUUGUAUUUGGGAGAAAGGAAAAUGAAAAUAUAAUAUGUAAAAAGCAUGUGAUGUGAAUGCUUGUAAUAGCUUAGUUGUUUUAUGUUUUUUAUACCUCCUUAUGCAAUCUCUGCGUGAAAUCUAUUCUUGGUUGGAACCUCGCCCUUUGUAUUGAUUGUGACGCCUAGGACGUACAGGGGAAACUCUGUCCGUUCGGCGGUCUGUUAGCGGGCCCCGAAUCCGACCAAAUAGGGGGGUCUCGGGGCGUGACAUAUACACUCAGGAAUUAGCCAUUCUCUACUUUCGGGUAAUAUCAAAUCUGACCUACCUCAAUACAUAUACUUGGGGUAUGGUCACAUCUCCACCUUAGAAUAUACAACCAAGGUGAAUAUAAUCGGACUCUAAGACAUAUACUUAGAGCCAAUUAGACUCUAAUACAUAGAGUUUAAUAUCGACUAGAUCUUAACACAUAUACUUAAGACCUAGUCAAUCUCAAAUCCAACUGAAUCCUAAUACAUAUGCUUAGGAUUCAAUAAACCAAGAUACGAUUCAUUCAAUCCCACCUAUAAAGGUCUCUUAAUCGAAUGUGCCCCAAUGCGACGGGGGUAAUUAACACUAGAUGCUUGCAUCUAUUGAAAGCCAUGGAUCCGCGAUACCUGAUACCCAUAUACAUAUAAAUACUAAUCUGAAUCAUGAAUACUACCCCACGGCCAAAUCCAUCGACCGUGCGAGGUGCGUCAUUCGUGGUGGCAGACAAUACUAGGGAGGAACCGUAAAUCCAAAAAGAAAACAUUGUAUCAAACAAUACGUCAUUUGUACUUAAACGAUUGAAUUUCAUACUUAAAUAGACGAUUAAAACUAAUAGUCUAUAAAUGGUGCAACUUUCCUUGCAAUAGGUUAUUUUAUUGCAUUAAUCGUUCAAAACUGAAAGCAAUAGUGCAAAUGUUGUGUCAGUAGAAUCGAAAAUAGUGCAAUCUCUACGCUGAAGAGUGCAAAAUAUUUGUAGAGAAAUGCAACGGAGAGGAGCUGUAAGCGGUGGGUAAUACGUUCAAGAAUCCUGCCCUUGGGGUGUGUAAUAGCCACUUUCCCUUCCCGAGGAAAGCUCUAAAUUCGUGGGCAUUAAAUGACCGUGAUCGUGGUUACGCAACCUCCCAGUCCUCGGUUGGUGAACCAAAGAGGCCACGCUAUUGGCUAGCCCCGGUGUUUGCUGUAUAUUAUUUCAAAUUUUUACAUUUUGAAGAUAAAUGUGACCCGUAUCAGGAAUAAUGGUGCAACAAGCACCAAAAUAAUGCACCAACCCUUAUAAAGGCGCACCUACGACCACAUAAUAGUGCAAUAUUGGUCUCUAAUAGUGCAACUAUGUGGCAAUCUGUGCAAGACAGUUUCAAUGAGUGCAGCGUCCCACUUCCCUCCAUGCAAGCCGUGAGUUUUGUCUACUUUUGUCCGUCUCGUUCGGCGUUUGCAAAGGAGAAGUGGAAGAAGCGUGGAUGAUGGACAUGGCUUUAGGCUUAUGAACUAGAAGUCGGAAGAUGGAGGAGGGGGACAAGGUGGUGACCAGUAAGGCGCUACGAAACUGCUGAGCAUCAAAAUAGUGCAACAUUCUGUCCUAAAUAGUCUAAGUAGUCCCUAACCAGUGCAAUUUUUUCUCUGUAUUUAGUGAUAAUUUGAAGGUAAUAGUGUAACGUAAAAAGCAAAUAAUAGUGAAACUUGGAGAAAAUGGGUGCAACAAAGCUUGUAAGUGUGCAGUGCAGUUGUAAUACUAGUGGAACAUCCACCGUAAUAAUGCAAUGCUAUUCAAACCAGUGCAACAUAAGAGUGCAACACUUGCUGAAUUAAGUAUUUGGCUAAAUUACAAAAAACUCCUUUGUCAAAACCCAAUUUUUUACUUUUCCUCCCUGUCAUUUAAAAACCUACACUUUGCCCCCUUGUAAAAUGAAAAAUGUUUACUUCACCCCCUGCCGUUAGUAAUCCGUUAGGGUUUCGUUUAUAAAAUAUUAUUAUAUAUUUUUUUUAUGCCAAAAAUACCCUCAGCCUUCUCUCUUGUUGCUAAAAAUGGUGGGGGGCCAAAUGGUCAUUUUGUCAUCACAAUUUACACCGUAAGUCCCUGUGACCAUUUUUUAUUUUAUAAGGGGGCAAAGUGUAGGUUUUUAAAUGACAUGGGGGGAAAGUGAAAAAUCGGGUUUUGACAGAAGGGUUUUAUGUAAUUUAGCCUAAGUAUUUUAAAACUUAAAAGUGUAACCCAAUAUUAUAUGGUGCAAUAUACAGCUGGAGCUUUAGCAAGUCUUCACUAACUAUUGAAAAGGCUUUCUUUAUUAAUUUUGUACCAAAGAUUAUAUUGUCUUUGGCGAAAAUGCAACACAAAAGACACGAUUUGCAUACAAUACCAGGUUCUAUUACAUCCACUGUAACAAACUCCUCAAAAUAAUUAUUUAACAAAAGUAAAAUUUUUUCCAAAAAUAUCAAAUCAUCUAACCUUUUUUUGCGAUUCCACGCGCACGGAGCUAACACUACUUUUCGUCUAACAAGUAUAGGCGGCCAGGGAAGAGAGCCGAAGGAGACUGCGAGGAGGCAGCAGCUCGCUCGGAAGGGUACGAUCCAACAACGAGGUGUUAAAAUAGAUCCGCACUAUUUGGAGUGUUUUAUUUGCCACGAGUGCUUUGGAUCUCUGCUCUACCAUGUUCGAAUAUAGACAGUACAAUCAGUAAAAUAUUAGAAUCGAUCAAUAAUAAUAAAAAUUUGCAAGAAUUUAAUAACCUGGAAGAGAGGAGGGCCAAUUGGCUCGGGGCAAAUAAAGCACUCCAGAUAGUGCGAAUCAAUCUUAACUCCUCGUUGUUGUAUCGUACCCUUCCGAGUAAGCGGCCUCGUCCUCAAACUCUGCUUCGGCUCUCUCCCCUCAUCACCUAAACCUCCAGGACGAACAGUACUAUCGUUGCCGUUACCUCCUUCGACUCUGGCACCUUCCGUCGCCACACCGGUUGCCCUCGUUCGCCUUUACGUCCUUUUUAUAUGUAGCAAUGCAACGGAGAAUGCAUCUGAAGAACCAUUUUUUAAAAAAUGAAAAGUCGUUUGAAAAGCCGCUUUCCCUUCCUGAGGAAACUUCGAUAUGCCCACUGGUGUCUCUUCGCCUCACAUAAUCGAGGAGAACGUAUACGUUACUGUACGACCUUUUGUCGCGAGCAUUAAAUGCAACCUGUGCAGGAAACGCAAUCUUCGAAAUAUCGCUAUGCGAACCAAUUUUGCCAAGCUACUCGCCAGACCCAGUGUUUGCUGUUCAGUUCUCUGAAAUUUGGAAGAAAACACCACCGACGAUGGGAAUAUUGAUGCAAAUGGAAGUGAAAUAGUGCAACAACCUUAUAACAGUGCAGUGCACACUUUAUAUUAGUGCAACAAUGUGGCAAACAAUACACUAUUCAAACAAAUAUUUUCCACAGUAGCUAUAAACCAAGCAACAAAAGAAGGAAAGAUGUUCAGCUUUUCCCCUGUUAGGUCGCCCCACUUUAAUUCAAAUUUUCUCGACAAGGAUAAAUGGUGCAGAAUUUUUCCUGCUCUUUGCACUGUUUGCCACUGUGUUGCACUAUUUGCCACGAUUUUGAAUAUCUUUUGUCAUUGUACGCUGUUGGCUAUUUGGUGUGCUAACACGUCAGGACAUUUCUGGAUUCUUACGCUGUGUGAUGAAUAGGUUGUCCUAAACGAGCAUCCCACUAGCUAUCAACCGAUGGUUGCUCCCAUUACCCUAUUCUAACCCUUUACGUACUAUCCACCGCAUUAUACCUCCUAUUACCCUAUCAACCACUUUACUGUUUGUAACCACUAUCGUCUGCUUCGAAGCCCAGUGGCCGCUACACUCUCAAUCUACGUUUCUUGCAAUGGUGUUGAAGUCGUCACAAUCUACUAAUUCAUCGUCUGACGCCACCCGAAAGGAGCUGUCGCGGCCAGUUACCGGUGGCCCCGACGGUAUAUUCAUUGUGAAUUCGAGGUGUUUCAUAGGAGCGUAUAGGAAGAUUUACACGUCGGUCGUGAAGCCCCAUCAUCUUCCCGUCAUCCACAAUGCCACUUUCGCCAAUAUCUUACACUUUCCCGACAUCACCUCAGAUAGGCCCAUACUGGAGUUCAUCCUCUGACAUUGGAAUGAGUGUGUAGAAUUCAAAAUAGGCUCGCAGAUCAUAUGCUUCACGCUCCAAGAGGUUGUAGUUCUGCUUGGAUUAUCCAUGUCGGGUCAAAUAUUAGACCUAAAUAUGAAAGUUGAAUGGGAUAUUCAAAAUCGUUACCAUGGAGGGAAAAAGGUCGACCGCAAAAACCUCGAGGUGGUAUUGAAGGAGAUGUCACCCAAGGAGGAUGAAGACGACAUUAGCGACUUCGUGAAAUUACUUAUUCUCUACUUUUUUUGUUGCAUUAAUUUCUUUUCACAAAUACCAACAAUCUCUGCCCCAAAGGUUUGGUGGCUCUUGUCGAUGAUCUCCCCGCUCUGGGAUGCUACAAUUGGCUGGAGGCAGUACAUCGGCUUAUCAUUGACAGGCUAUGUUUCGCCACCAUUAAAUUGCAAGUUAAUUCGAAGCAGGUGGGAUAUGUUCUUGGAUGCACCUCCUCUUCUCCCAAUAAGUGUAUAUUGUGAAAAAAUAUUCAGGUAUUUAUCAUAUUGCAAAGUAGAAGAACAUUUAGGACAUCUCGCAAGUAAUCGUGCAAAAGAACUCUAUUGUAUAUGUCAAUCGUGUAAUUUUGUGAACUAUAGUGUAAUAUUGUGCUGAUUAGUAGUAUAAUAUUGUCUUUGCAAUCAGGUGUGGAUAUAUGAACACACUGGGUACUGAUGUCCUCUACCUUUCCGUCGUGCAAUAUUUUUUCAUGUCCAAAGAUAGGAUACAAUUAGAUGGACUCAGCGUUCACGGGGAUCGUCGAGAGUGAAGGAGGAUUUUAACUUCACUAGGUACCAACGCAGGCUCGACCUCUCCCCAGAAGAACAACGGCUGCUCGGGGUCGUGGCUGAUGUUCCAUAUCGCUAGUGCCCCAGGAAUGAGGAACCUCCAGGGGACUAUAAAGAGGUGAUGGCAGCAAUUGCCCGUCUAGAUGGCGUGGUGUACAGUCUUGCCACCUCCGUGGCCGCCAUACUAAGCAAUCCGCUCUUCUACCAACACCAACAUCAUCACUUGGAAGUAAAAAGAUUAAAAAGAGGCACAAAAGCGUGCAAGUACCAACCCCCCCCCCCCGGGGUCUAAAUCCUAUAGGAGCUCCUCACAGUGUCAAAAAAUAAAAGUUAGCACCGUCCAUCUUGGCGAUGCCCGCAGCGAUACGGCCAAUAUCGUGAAGCCAGAAUUCGUGUCAGAACGAAUGCGGAGUUCAUCGAAAUUUAAAAAGGAUGGGGCUCGCCAAAAACUACGGAGUCUACCUAGAGUUCCCCAUGAGUGUCGUGAGAAGCGCACGUCGAGGAAAGGCAAGUGAACUAGGAACCCGUACCUCCUCCGACUGCUCUGGGGAUGAAAGAAGAACAGCGACGACCUAAUUGCCGACGGAUGUAAUGCGCUUAUUAAUUUACAUUCUCAGUAAUAGUAUGAUUCUUAUGUUACAUUCUCAAUACUAGUGUGAUUGUACUACACUGAGUUUAAUAAAAGUAUAUUUUAAUUGUUUAUUGGUACAUAUUGUAAUAGUGCAUUAUUUAGUCAAGUAGUGUAACAUACAACCGCAUCAAUUGUAUGCAGGUUGUGCCACCGAGAGAGAGCGCACACCUGCGGCCGCCGAGAGAGAGCGCACAUGCGCGCCCGGUCAUUUUAUUUGACGAACAAGUCGAAAAGAUGACCGUACAAUAGUUGGUCUUUUCGCCGGCGACGUAGUUCUGGAAUGCGACGAAGUAUGUAAAUGUGUAAUCGUUGCUGAAAUAGUGUAAUUUCUAAACUAAUAGUUCAAUUGACUCCAAUUUUUACAACAAAAUUUCAGCUGCAUAACGUCGUCAUCCAAGUAUGUCACGACUUCCAACCAUUAUCUUCGCUACCAGAGGCGUCGGAACCCUCAUUGCCGAGAGUGUCGAAGUUCGGCGAGGCGGGGGAACUGGAGGAGGCGGCGGACCUGGAGGCGGCGGCGGGGGAACCGGAGGUGGCGGCGAAAAAGGCGGCGGUGGCGGCACCGAGGGUGGCGGCGAAACUGAAGGCGGCUGCGGAAAUGACGGCUGGGGCGUAACCGGAGGCGGUGGCGCCGGUACCGAUCUAGGUGGCGAAACCAGAGGUGGCGUUUGACGGAAGAGGAGAAGCCCGCCGAGGGGGCGGCACCUGCAAUAGCGGAUGCGCCGAAGCCUGCAAAGAUGGCUCGUACAACUAAAAGGGUAACUAAAUAUUACGCCGAUACUCUUUAAUUAAUGUAAUAUUUUUUCUAUUUGUGUAAUAGUUCCCUACUUGUUGCACUAUUUUAUUUUCCUAUGAAGAGGCGGCAGUUUUUAUUGACAACCCCCUCCCGGCGGAUACUCGCAAGUCGAAGAGACUCCAGGCUCGUGAUGCACCGGCUUCGAAGGCAACUGUGUAAGAAGCAAUGUUUGCCAAGCCGGAACCCAGUAAUACAGGGUUAUGUGAAUCUUGCAACGAUACUUUUAAAUAAUGCGAUAUUGCUUCUAAUAGUGUAAAAACGUGCAGCAAUGGUGUAGUUUCCUAAAUGUUACACUCUUUGAUUGAUUUGUGAACAGCCUCUGGUAACCAUCGACAUCCCCCACUCGGAAGAUACAUGCAAAACCAAAAUAGGCCAAAAACUAUAGGUCGCAAAAGCGACAUCGCCCAAGGAAUUAAAGUACUAUGGUAAAGAAGUGCUAUCACAAGAGGAUCGGGAGUUAAUUGAAAAAUUCCUUACAAGUGGCACCCAAGCGAUAAGCGUGCCUUCGAAAAACAUUAACAUUGGUCGGAAGGACUUCGUCGACCUUACAAGUUACAUGGUCUUCGUCAGCUUCGAUAUUAUUGACUCCUACCAACAUCUACUGGAGGAGACAGAUGGCCAGAGGUGCAUAUACUCCACAAGCAUCCUUUGCCAGACCAUUAGUACAGAUUUCGGUUCGGAUAUAUUUAUAACGAAUGUGACCAACGGGCGAUUAGUGACACAAAUUAUUGGUUUAUCCCGCUCUUCGACUUCGAGCACUGGUACUUGCCAGCGGUCGAUCUCCAAGAAAGGAAGUGCCUCCACUUAUCGUCGAUUAAAAAUGUUAAAUAUAACGCUGGAUUUGAAAAAGUAGUAAAUAUUGCCUUAAUAGUGUAAUAUUGUGCUAGGAUUAUUCUAUUAUCUUCUCUAAUUAGUGCAACAUUCCCUUAUGCAGUGUAACUUUGUAGGAAAAUUUUGGAACAAAAUUUUUUCAAUUUGUUUUGCCGUCGCGCCACUCGUUCAACGGGGAGAAUAUCAACAUGAAAGACAUCCCGAUACAAGAUCAGUUAAAUAACUGCUCUAUCUUCCUUUUGGCAUACGAAGAAUACCUGCAGAAUGGAUGGAACAUGAACUUCUCCCAAAAGGAUGUGACGAAGAAACACAAUGAAAUAGCAACAGAAUUUUUGCGGCAUUUUUACUCGCAAUGAUUUGAUUAAUAUUUUUUUAUUUUUUUCUAAUUUUUUUUUCACAUUUGAGCAUUUAGUGUAAAUUUUUAAUUUUUUUCCCUAUAAAUAUAUGACCCAAAAUUUCUCUGUAAUAGUGUAACACAGCAAGCAAUUGCACAAAUUUGUUCAAAAUAGUGUAAAUUUGUAUAUCUAGGAGCCAAGCAAUGACCGUUAAGUUUUGUUAUGGAUAAAUCUAACGGUACAAUAUUUGUCAGUAUUAGUGUAGAAUCGUCUUUAAAAUUUUCCUUAAUUGUGUAACAAAACAAACAAUUGCACAUAUUUGUUCAAAAUAGUGUAAGUUUGUAUAUCCAAGAGCAACAGAUUGACUCUACUGUGGGAAAUAUUUGCUUGAAUAGUGUAGGCUUUUGUUUGUGCACAUUUCACUAUUAUCGUUCUUGCAUAUAGAGAGCAUUUGCACUGGUUCUACCCAAGCAACCUACGGCGAUGACGAUGAGAACAUACGGUGGACUACAAAAUAACCGAGUUGCACUGCUUAGAGAAUGAUUACACUAGUUAUCAAAGAAUGUUGAACUAUUUUCAUUUUCGUAACACCAUUUACACACUUGUUUGCACUACUACCUAAGCAUAAACGUGCCUACUGAUGUCGUCGCGCACUACAGGACCUCCAGAGGCUGCUUUCCUCUGGCCAGAGGAGGGUUCGUGCAUGACCGUUUGUUGUACCCCCACCUUGGCAAUUCCUGCACCGCUUCUUUUCUAGGCCGUUAGAAAUUGACUACUUCCGUGCAAUCUUCCUUCUCCCCGAUUGUAUGCGCACGUUUGGCGGCCGCGGCGGCACAACGGUGUUUGGUAUAGGUGGCCAGUGCUCUUUGCCUCUGGUGGGAGGGACGUAGUCGUUGUAGGUUACGUGAUAAGUUGUGGUCUUGAACCAGUCAUCGAUAAAAUCAUAUGGAUCUCGCAGCCUACAUGAGAUUGCUCCUAUGGCGUGCUUAUAUGGGAUGCCAUCAAUGUCCCAACGCUUGCAGAAACAUGUCAUUUUAGAAAGAUCCACGACCUCCAUACUGGUUGGUGUGAUUGCCUGUUAAGGAAAAAUAUAAGCCAUAGGCAUAAGUGAGUCAAAUAAUGCAACGAGUAGUGAAAUAGCACAUAAAAAUUUCACAAUAAUACAACGUUAUGUGAUUUCAUAUAAUAUGUUUCGACAUUAGUGCAACAAAUGGUUAAAAUAGUGCAAAUAAUUAUUAAAAUGGUGCAAAUUAGUCAAUAAGACCUGAAAAAGCACAUCAGUCGAAGAGUUCAGGGUGUAAAAGCGAGACGCUUCCCUCGAGCUCUCUAUUAUCUUCUCUUCAUACGGUGUUAAAACACUAGUCAUCUUCUCCCCAGCAUUUUUCCUCUGGUAAAAAUACCACGCCGUUUUCUUUCGUGUUUCCUCUACUAGGUAUGUAAUUGGAAUGCCCUUUAAAUGUCGUAUAACACUGUUUAUCAUCUUGGCACAGUUGGAAGUGAGCAUUGAAUAACGCCUUCGAAGGAACCAAUGGAUAGCCCCCCCUAUGCUGAGGAAGCUUGACUACACACUUGUACUGUUCCGGGUUCAAAUCAUUCAUCUUCUCUAUUAUUUCGUUGAACUCCGCGACAGUGUAAGCAUGCGUCGCCGCCCAAAAUCUUCUCCACGCAGGGGUAUUUUUUGUCGCGUGCGGGGGAUUGGUAGACAGGUGGUAUAUGCAAUAACCAUGAGCUGCAUCCGGAAAAAUAUCGGCAACAGCUUCAAUAAGACCUUUUUAUCUGUCGAAGACAAAAAUAAGUAUAUAGUUUUGUCUGCGGACCUCGCGUUCACCAACGACACCAUCCUGCAACUGUUCAAGAAACCAGUGAAUAUCGAUUUUCACCGUCAACAACUGUCCACACCAAUGGCAGGAAAUAGUUAUUUUCAUCGAUACAUAAAACCGUCAGCAGAGUCCCUCUAAACUUAUCCAUUAGGAAAGUACCUGAAAGUAAUGCAAAACGUGUAUAUUAGUUCAUAAUCGUGCAAACUAGAUUAUUUUGCAUCGUUGUAAUAUACAAUAGUGCAACCGAUUUAUAUAAUGGUGUGAAAUUUGGCAUAUUGGUGCAAAAUCGUACCAUCCAGUUCAACUAGCGGCCUGCAGUGCUUCCGAAAUGCACGAAUUGAUGCACCAAAUGCCCAGAUGAAUUGGUGGAAACGACCCUCGUCCUGGUAAAGUAGUUGAAGUCAUGCAUCCGCGUCACCCAUCCUCAGCUCUCGCAUGUAUGACAAAAAUGCAGCGAACGAGCCCUCAAAAUCUUCGCGGAUCUUCUGAAGGAUCCUUUCUCUGGCCCGGUAGGCAUUCCAGUAAGAAAUUCUGACGUCAUGCUGGCGCAAAAUCUUAGUCUGAACCAUCUUUGGCAUGUAUUUCUCGUUCGCCACGACCUGCUCCAUAACAAAAUAUGCGAUAAACUCCUCAUCGCAAUUCCUGUGGCUCAAAUCCCCUAUUGCUCGGCUAUAAGUGUGUUUCGAAAUAAAUUUCUUCACCCACCAUUGUGUAAGUCCUGGUAGGUAAUGCGCCUUUAUUCUCCACGGGCAAUCUGCGACACGACAUCUCGUGGUUAGCUUAAGGUCGUUGCAUUUGGUAGGGGCGUACUCGAAACCUCUUUUCAUUGUGUAAGCUUUGAGAGCUCUUUUGAAGUCGGCUUGCGUUUUGUAGAGCUGGCCCUCGUGGACAUCGUCCACAUCUGUGAUGGUUCCAACUGACUCCAGCGUAGUGCUGUUCACAAUGAGGUUUUCUUCCAUCUCGUCGUUGUCGAAUUCCUUAGCCAAAAGUCCCACUACGUCACUUUGGUGCAAUGGGACACAUCCAUCGUGUUGUACGUUCGAUGAAAUUCAUUGGAAGAGAAGGCGACAAUAUGGAUGCUAUCAUUGGAAUUUAUCUCGUUUUUCAUAUCAACGAUACAAGUACCUCCAUCACUGUUUGCUGCGUCGUCGAUGAGAAUAGGAUGUCAAGAUCUGCAAUAUCAGUGUAAAGCAAGCAGUGUAUUGUAAUGAGUUAGUAGUGCAAAAAAAUGAAGUAGUACAAUCGUUCAAUAUAAAGUGCAUUCGGGUGCAACAGUUACAACUUAAUGGUAAAAGAGUAGCAAUAGUGCAACUUAAGAGCCAACUAGUUCAAAACUUGGCGGCUGAGGCGUAGAUGCAUCCGUGGACCGGAUACUAAUCAACAAUUCCAGCCGUUCGUUGGUAAGCGCCUCAUCUAUCUCAUCGGGAUCACAUGUAGGAACCUUUUUCUCAACUACGUUCCUCACGAUGUUGUCACGCCCCGGGGCCCAGCGGAAGCCCGCCCAGUGCGUGUCCAGACCCGCCAUAUGCCUACAACAUAUAAGACGUCUAUAACAAAGCGAUAAUUAAAGCAACGAUAAAUAAGCAUCUAGAGAUAUCAGAGCAAGAUUACAACUAAAUUCUAAUAGCAAGAGGAAAUAAAAGAACUAACAUAAAAGUAGAGAUAGAUACAACAAGAUCCAAAUAGAGGUGCUAGAUAUACAAAAAUGGUGGUCUGUACAUAAAGGUACAAAACUCUCAUUCUCUCAAACAUAAACAAAAGGAGAAAAUGAACCACCUAAAGCAAGACCCCUAGGUAACUAGCUCGAAGCGACACCCUUGCCGCGGUGUCACGCCCCGGGACCCAGCAGAAGCCCGCCCGGCGUAUGCCCAGACCCGCCAUAUGCCUAUAACAUAUAAGGCGUCUAAAACAAAACGAUAAAUAAAGCAAUAGAACAAAGGGAUCUAACGAUAUCAGAGCAAAAUAAGUAACUAAGUUCUACAACAGAGUGAUAAGUAUAAAACUGAAAUCCACUAAUAAAGCCAUAAAGUAGUACAAUGGAAAUCCCAAAUCCAAAAGCUAAACAUAAAGAGUAUAUAGGUGGUCUCUCUAUACAUGGUACUCAAAAUCUCUCUCUCUCACAACAACAAAAGAAAGAAGAAGGAACAACCACCAAGGAGCAAAACAAGCUCCUCUCUAUCUAGUUAGGCGACACCCUUGCUGUCACGCCCCGGGACCGGCGAAGGCCCUCCCGGUAGCGUGCCCAGACCCGCCAUAUGUCUACACAUAUAAGGCGUCUACAAUAAAAAGCGGAAGUAAAGCGAGAGAUAGAACAAAUAACAAGAAGUAAAAUAACUAGCAACUAAUGAUAUUAGAGCGAGUAAAGUUCUAUCAUCUACACCAAAGUAAAGAAAUAAAGCUAGACAAUAAAAGAAAUCAUAAGUAGUACACUAUCAGUCUCAAAAGUACAAAAAUGGUGGUCUCUAGUACACUGGUAAAACCCUCAACCUCUCGCAAAAAUAAAAUAUAUAUCGAGAGGUAGACCACCUAGCAACUCGACCUCGAAGGAAGCUAGCUCGAAGCAACUCCCUUCCCGCGAUCCCUGGCCUCACCCUGCGUGGAAGGCUCUGAAAAACAUCGAGAAAAAGAGGGCGUGAGAACUAUAAUUUAUAGUUCCCAGUGGGCAAUUACUGACCUCAGCUCAUUGCUCCACUAGGCCCCAAAAAAAAAAGGGGGGGUAAGUCCAACAAUAAUAGUAACGAGUAAAUUGCAUAUAAGAAAGCAUAAUUAAGAUGCUAAGCUACAACUUGCAAUUAAACAUGGCAUUUAUAAUGCGACUUUAUCUUGUCAUGGAUAAUAUAUAUCUACAUGUUCACAAGUAAUAUCAUGAUUUACUUUAUACAGAUAUGAAAGUGAUACUUUGUCAUGACUACAAUGCAUAUAAGGAUGCAAUAAACAACAUCUCCUAGCAUACUACAUGUAUGUAUGAAUACCCAAAUGUCCACAUCUAUGCUAGAAGCAAGUCCAAGUAAUCCAGCUACUACUCUCUGUCUAGUAGUGAUUAUCACACACUCAACAUUGUGUCGGUUUCCAUUUCCAAUUAGGGACCUACCCAAGGUAGUCCAGCUUGUGCCGCCUAAGUGCCUGUGGUAGCCCGACAUCCCUACUCUUGGAAUGUGUCUGUCCCACUCGACCCCGUAGGCUUCUCAAUACCGCACGAGCGAACAAAAGUCGCGUAGGCUAACUCCGGAGUGCCGGCUUGUAGGGAGCGACCCUCACAAGCAUGUGCGAAUGAGCACAAAUGGCAAGCAAGCAUAGUCCAAGUCUCAAGUAUCCAAUCCUCAUGUCUCUAACAUGGUAUAGUCACUAGCAUCCCGAAGAUCUAGUUUAAGUCACAACAUGAAGUUCCAAUACUACUAAGUCUUGUGCCCCUUUAUGACACUUAGACAUUUUAAUGAACAAGUAUAUCCAACUCUCUCAAUGGCACUAUCCACUAGGUUCACACAUGACCCGAGCUCGAUGCCCCUUCAUGACAUUAGCCCAAUUAUUCACAAAUAGCACAAGUCCCCGAGCCUCUUUAUGGCUUACCAAGAACCUUUAAGUUCAAUAUAGGAAUAACUUUAAAUGCAUGCAAAAGAUGCUCAUUUUCACAAUAGGAUUUAUGAUUCCAAGUCUCAAUAGGAUGCCAAACAUAUGCGAGUACCACAUGCUAGUUCUCUACUAUAUGGAGGUCCGAACUUUCCUUACACAUAACAUAGGCAUAUUAAGCAUCCUAAAAUUCACAAUAAAUAUAUCUAACAUGAUUAUGCAUGCUUUUUCAAUUAACGAUACUUAAUUCAUCACAAAUGAGAAUUUCUCAUUGUGUGGCUAGGUCAAACCCACCGAACCGUCGCGUAGGGCCUCGUUUCGCCGAACGAAGUUGUCCACGAGUCUCAAAAUACCCUAAAAGUAUUGAGCGAAGAGAUACACGGGCAUUACGAUCAACUAUAAGAUCAAACAUUAACAAUUAUAGCAAAAGGGUUAAAACUCACCUAAGGAGUGGAAAAUCUCUCUCAAGCUCCAAAAGAAGGCUAGGAUCCUUCCAAUCUAACCCAAAGGAGGGUUCUAAUCCAAGAAAUCUAGCUUCAAAAGCCCUAGAUCAAAAAGCCCCAAAAUUGAACCCUAAGUCUCAAUCUAGGGUUUCAUCACAAAAUCCUCAAUAAAACUCUAUUUUAGAGGAAGAGAACAAGUGGAUUACCUCUUGGAAGCUUUAAGUCAAGCUCUAAAUGCUCUAAGUCCCAAGUUCUUCCCUCAACAAGGCCCCAAAUCCAAGCUCUUGGCUUCAACCAUGGUGAAAUAGCACCAAAAGGGAAAAAAGAGAGAUUAAUCCAAGAAAAAUCCAAAAGAGAGGGACCAAAUCACCAAGAGAGCAAGGAGGAACUCCCCUACCUCAAAUCCCAGAGUUCUCAGCUCAGGGGAAUGCCCUAGGGGCGUGGGGGUUCUAAUAGAAGUGCUACAAAAGCAAAAAUACCCCUGCAGUUUCGAACUGUGCGAAGUCUGCCGCCUUGUACCGGUACACGGGCCCUUGUACCGGUACAAGGUCCACGAAAUCCAAACCCGAGGCUCGGGUUGCUGGGCUCUGCGGCUCUGUACCGGUACAAGCUCCGAUGGCUGUACCGGUACAACCAUCAACCUUAUACCGGUACAAGCACAACCUUGUACCGGUACAAGCACAACCUUGUACUGGUACAAGCCCGCCAGAACUCAAUCCGAGAGUCAGCCAAAUCCCCUUUUUUCGGAUUUUGGUGCAAGGCUUUGUACCACAAAUCUCGGGACACGUGCCAUAGGUCGGAACACAGUCAACGACCCACCAGAAAAUCUGAAAAAGCUCAGAACACAGCCAAUCACUCGAAGCUCGCAAUUUGCAAAGGUCCAGUGUGUUACAUUCACCCCUCCUAAAAGGGAGGUUCGUCCGCGAAACUCAAAACAAACAAAAUACCUCAAGCCUCCAUCUGAAAAAGAUGGGGAUAUCGCUCCCACAGUGUGCUCUCCAACUCCCAAGUGGCCUCGCGCUUGCCGUGGUUGCUCCAAAGCACUUUCACGUAGGGAAUUUUCCGGUUCCGCAAUCUUUUCACCUCGCGAGCCAAGAUCCUUAACGGCUGCUCCUCGAAGCUCAAAUCAUCCCUCAGCUCCACAAGCGUAGCGUCCAACACGUGAGACGGAUCAUGGAUGUACUUCCGAAGGACCGAUACAUGGAAUACGUUGUGUACACCCGAUAGGUUUGGCGGUAGAGCGAGUCGAUACGCUACCGGGCCUACACGCUCCAAAACCUCAUAUGGUCCAAUGUAUCGGGGGCUCAACUUGCCCCGGAUUCCAAAUCGUCUAAUCCCCCGAGUCGGCGAGACCUUCAAGAAGACAUGAUCUCCAAUCUGAAACUCCAACUCUCGUCGACGCUGAUCAGCAUACUCCUCUGCCUACUCUGGGCUGUCAACAGUCGCUCCCGAGCAAUGCGAACCUUGUCCUCUGCUUCCUGGAGCACAUCUGGGCCUAAAGCCAAUCUCUCGCCAACUUCACUCCAAUGAAGUGGCGAUCUACACUUCCGUCCAUAGAGUGCCUCGAACGGUGCCAUCUUGAUGCUUGCUUGAUAACUAUUGUUAUAAGCAAACUCUGCCAUCGGUAGAUGCUGCGACCAUCCUCCCUGGAAGUCGAUCACGCAGGCUCGAAGCAUGUCCUCAAGUGUCUGUAUAGUACGCUCCGACUGCCCGUCACUCUGGGGGUGGAAAGCAGUGCUGAAAUCCAAGCGCGUACCCAAAGCGUCCUGUAGGUUCCUCCAAAAAUGGGAUACAAAACGGGGGUCUCGAUCCGAUACUAUAGAAGUAGGUAUCUCGUGCAGUCGCACAAUCUCAUCCAAAUAAACCUGUGCGAGUCUUUCACCAGUCCAAGUAGUGUGGAUAGGUAUGAAGUAUGCCGAUUUCGUCAAUCUGUCCACGAUCACCCAAAUAGCAUCAUGCCCGGCCUGAGAGCGAGGCAAUCCCAUCACGAAAUCCAUGGUGAUCUUUUCCUAUUUCCACACUGGAAUCGGUAGGCUCUGCAGCUUUCCCGCAGGAACUCGGUGCUCAGCCUUCACCUGUUGGCAAGUUAAGCAUCUAGCAACAAACUCACCAACACCUUCUUCAUCCCGGGCCACCAAUAAAAUAACCUCAAGUCCUUGUACAUCUUGGUACCUCCCGGAUGUAUAGCAUACGGUGCUCGGUGUGCUUCUUGAAGAAUGUCCUCUUUAAUGCCCAAGUCCGUCGGUACACAAAGUCGUCCGCAGAAACGCAUCAAUCCAUCACCAUGUAAAGUGAAGUCGCCGGUGCAACCAUCAACCAUCUUAGCUCGUAUCUUUUGCAACUCCGAGUUGGAAGCUUGCUUUUCUUUAAUCCUUUCCAAAAGGGUAGGUUGCACCACGAAAACUGUCAGCCUCAAGGGUGUAUCAGGAGCCACCACCUCCAACUCCAACCGCUUUAUCUGCUCGAUUAACGGUGGUUGAGUAACCACAAGCAUCGCUAAGUUCUCCGUCGAUUUUCGAUUUUGCGCAUCCGCCACCACGUUAGCCUUGCCCGGGUGGUAAAGUAUCGUCAAAUCAUAGUCCUUGAGUAGCUCCAACCAUCUGUGCUGCCUCAAGUUCAACUCCUUCUGAGUGAAAAGAUACUUUAAGCUCUUGUGAUCCGUAUAUACUUCACACCACUCGCCAUAUAAGUAGUGGCGCCAUAGCUUCAAUGUAAAGACUACGGCCGCCAACUCCAAGUCGUGAGUGGGGUAAUUCCUUUCAUAAUCCUUCAAUUGGCGAGAUGCAUACUCGAUCACUUUCCCGUCCUGCAUCAACACACAGCCCAAUCCAUUAAAGGAAGCAUCACUAUAAAUCACAUAUCCUGCUCCAGCAGUUGGCAAGGUUAGGAUCGGGGCGGUCGUCAAUCUCUGCUUCAACUCUUGGAAGCUUCUUUCACAGGCAUCAUUCCAAAUAAACUUGGUGCCCUUAUGCGUGAGCCUCGUGAGGGGGGUAGAUAACUUUGCAAAUCCCUCAACUAACCGUCGAUAGUAGCCGGCCAAACCAAGAAAGCUCCGAAUCUCCGUGACACUCGUCGGCCUUGGCCAAUCCUUGAUAGCCUCAAUUUUCCUCGGGUCCACGGCUAUGCCUGAUCCUGAAAUCACAUGGCCCAAAAACGCCACCUCUCUAAGCCAAAAUUCACACUUUUUCAACUUGGCGUAGAGCUUCUUUUCCCGAAGCACUUGAAGUACAAGUCUCAAGUGUUCCUCGUGAUCCGCAUCACUCUGGGAAUACACUAAGAUGUCGUCGAUAAACACCACGACAAACCUGUCUAAGUAAGGCUUGAAAACACGGUUCAUUAAAUCCAUAAAAGCUGCCGAGACGUUAGUAAGCCCAAACGGCAUAACGAUAAACUCAUAGUGUCCAUACCGUGUUCUAAAAGCCGUCUUCGAUACAUCCUCAGGUCUAAUCCUCAACUGGUGAUAUCCCGAUUGCAAGUCAAUCUUGGAGUACACACAAGAUCCCUGGAGCUGAUCAAAUAGGUCAUCAAUCCUCAGCAAUGGAUACUUGCUCUUAAUUGUGACUUUAUUGAGUUCACGAUAGUCCACACAUAAGCGACGUGAUCCAUCCUUCUUCUUCACAAACAAAACCGGUGCUCCCCAAGGUGACACACUCGGUCGCACAAAACCCUUAUCCAGAAGAUCCUGCAACUGUACCUUCAGCUCUUUCAAUUCUGCUGGUGCCAUCCUAUAGGGCGCCUUUGAGAUUGGAGUAGUCCUGGGAACGAGAUCUACCACAAACUCAAUCUCCCUAUCAGGAGGCAUAUCUGGAAGCUCCGCUGAAAACACAUCUCUAAACUCCCGCACUACGGGGAUAUCCUCAAUCCUAGGGGCGUCAUCCACACCCCGCAACACAACAGUAGCCAAGUAGGCUACGCAGCCUCUACUAAUCAACUGCCUAGCUCGAGAGGAGCUAAUCGUCAUCGCAAACAACGAACUCUGGCAUCCUCGGUACACAACCUCCGCCUGCCCUGGCUCUCUAAAAGUCACCGUUCGAUCCUUGCAAUCGAUAGUGGCGUAGUACUUAGUCAACCAAUCCAUGCCCAACACAACGUCAAACUCCCCGAGUUUAUGCAAAGCUAACAAGUCUAUGGGCAUGAUCCAAUCUCCAACCCGAAUAGGGCAGCUGGGGCAAAACUCCCGAAUGUCCAAAGAAUGAUCAGGUACAACAACUCGUCCCAGGUGCAACAAGGAUACAAGUGGGAUGCCAUGCAGCUCGGCAAACAGCCGAUCAAUGAAUGAAUGCGAUGCACCGAUAUCAAACAAAGCUCUAACUUGAAUACCAUGAAGUAAAAUGAUACCUGCGACCACAUUCUCGGCUGCCGCCGCCUCCUCAGUCUGGGCCGCAUACAUGCGCCCGCUCCGGGCCUGUCGUGACCCCUCCGCCUGCCGCAGAACUGGCGGCCGCUCUGCCUGGUGAUGCGCAAAAGAUGUCCCCUGACUGAGACCUGGCGAUGCUGGUGUAGAUGCCGAAGAUGGCGCUGGCAAUGGACUCCUCGGGCAGUCCGACUAAAAGUGGCCCUCCUGGCCACACAAGAAGCACCUACCCCGGCUGCGUGAACACUGCCGCGAGUAAUGAGGACCGCCACAAAUCACGCAGCGGGGUCCUGGCGACGAUCGGGUCCUCCUCGCUGAGUAGACUGGCCCCGUCCUCGAGACUGGCUCCUACUCCUGGGAUGCCUCGGCGGCCUCUGUGAGUGCGUCCGACUCGUACCCUCAGCCGCGGGCCUCUUUCCCUUGCCCUUGUCUAGGGCCUCGCGUCGCUCCUGAAGGUCUGCCGCUCCAGCCUCCACAAUAAGUGCACGGUCCACAACCUCCCGGUAGGUUUGGAGGUUAGAGGACUGCACCAACCGAAAGAUCGAAGACCGCAAUCCACGCUAAAAAAUGCGGGCCUUGUCCUCGUCAUCUCGCACCACAAAAGACACACAAUGGAGUAGUCGAGAAAACUCCCUCUCGUACUCGGCCACGGACCGCUCAUCCUGGCGCAAGCUGCGCAAGUCCUGCUCCAUCUUCCUCUUAACGCUGGUCGGGAAGUAGUGCGCCAGAAGAAGCUCCUUGAAUCGCGUCCAUGUGAUCGCUGUCAAGUCGGUGCUGGGAUUGUCCUGGAUAUCCAACCACCAACGAUAGGCCUCGCCGUCAAGAAAAUGAGUGGCGAGCCAAACCCUGUCCAUCUCCUCAACGAAGGUGUCUCGAAACAGCUUCUCCAUAUGCAUCAACCACUUCUCAACAAUCCAGUGGUCGACGUUCUCGCCAUCAAACAUCCUCGGGCUGCACCUCCUGAACUCACUGAGGCGCUCCAUGAGCCGAUCCCGCUCGGCUCCCUCGGCCAUCACGGGGAAUGCCGCCCAUGUCGCUGGUCUCUGAACUGGGGGUACCGCAGCCACCUCCUCCCGAGGUGUGGUCGCCGGCGCCGCACGGGAAGAACUGGGCGCGGGGGACUGCGCUCUCGGUGCGACGUCCACCACGGGUGCUGGCGGUGUGAGAACCUGGGUCUCCCUCGAAGCUGCUGCCUGCUGAAGUAGGAGGUCCUCAAGAUGCUUCAUCUGCGCCUCUUGCCGCUGAGCUACCUCAGCCUGUCGCUGCGCCGCUGCCGUCUGCUGCGCCAACAGGUCAGUGAGAACCGCAAGCUGGGCCCUCAAGUCACGGACCUCACUAGAUCCGGAAGUAGCGGAGGUCUCGACCUCCUCAGGGUGUGCCGCAUCAUUCGCCCCAGCAGACUGGGAGCGUGUAAUCGGCAUCGUCACUACAUAACAUAAAAGCGCAAGUUAGUAACCCACGCUAUCGCAUCCCCGCUCAAAUAGAUAAAACCCAAAUCAUGCGAAAGUAAGGAAGUGUCCUUCACUACUAACUCCGGAUGUUACGUUGUCGGCCGCCAACGUAACCCUCCGCGAAGUUAGAAACCAUACACUCCGAUCAAACUUUAACUUUUUAGAGUUGUCAUAAACCUAAUCAUAAAACUUUCGCUCACAAGUCAAUUAGACCUCGUCUCUCACGAGCCUAAUUCCUAUAGUCCAACCGGCCUAAGGUUUGCUAGGUCCUCUAAAACUCAACCCUAGGCUCUGAUACCAAAUUAAUCUGUCACGCUACGGGACCGGCGGAGGCCCUCCCGGUAGCGUGCCCAGACCCGCCAUAUGUCUACACAUAUAAGGCGUCUACAAUAAAAAGCAGAAGUAAAGCGAGAGAUAGAACAAAUAACAAGAAGUAAAAUAACUAGCAACUAAUGAUAUCAGAGCGAGUAAAGUUCUAUCAUCUACACCAAAGUAAAGAAAUAAAGCUAGACAAUAAAAGAAACCAUAAGUAGUACACUAUCAGUCUCAAAAGUACAAAAAUAGUGGUCUCUAGUCCACUGGUAAAACCCUCAACCUCUCGCAAAAAUAAAAUAUAUAUCGAGAGGUAGACCAUCUAGCAACUCGUCCUCGAAGGAAGCUAGCUCGAAGCAACUCCCUUCCCGCGAUCCCUGGCCUCACCCUGCGUGGAAGGCUCUGAAAAACAUCGAGAAAAAGAGGGCGUGAGAACUAUAAUUUAUAGUUCCCAGUGGGCAAUUACUGACCUCAGCUCAUUGCUCCACUAGGCCCCAAAAGAAAAUGGGGGGGUAAGUCCAACAAUAAUAGUAACGAGUAAAUUGUAUAUAAGAAAGCAUAAUUAAGAUGCUAAGCUACAACUUGCAAUUAAACAUGGCAUUUAUAAUGUGACUUUAUCUUGUCAUGGAUAAUAUAUAUCUACAUGUUCACAAGUAAUAUCAUGAUUUACUUUAUACAGAUAUGAAAGUGAUACUUUGUCAUGGCUACAAUGCAUAUAAGGAUGCAAUAAACAACAUCUCCUAGCAUACUACAUGUAUGUAUGAAUACCCAAAUGUCCACAACUAUGCUAGAAGUAAGUCCAAGUAAUCCUACUACUACUCUCUGACUAGUAGUGAUCAUAAUAAACUCAACACCGUGUCGAUUUCCAUUUCCAAUUAAGGACCUACCAAAGGUAGUCCAGCUUGUGCCGCCUAAGUGCCUGUGGUAGCCCAACAUCCCUACUCUUGGAAUGUGUCUGUCCCACUCGACCCCGUAGGCUUCUCAAUACCGCACGAGCGAACAUAAGUCGCGUAGGCUAACUCCGGAGUGCCGGCUUGUAGGGAGCGACCCUCACAAGCAUGUGCGAAUGAGCACAAAUGGCAAGCAAGCAUAGUCCAAGUCUCAAGUAUCCAAUCCUCAUGUCUCUAACAUGGUAUAGUCACUAGCAUCCCGAAGAUCUAGUUUAAGUCACAACAUGAAGUUCCAAUACUACUAAGUCUUGUGCCCCUUUAUGACACUUAGACAUUUUAAUGAACAAGUAUAUCCAACUCUCUCAAUGGCACUAUCCACUAGGUUCACACAUGACCCGAGCUCGAUGCCCCUUCAUGACAUUAGCCCAAUUAUUCACAAAUAGCACAAGUCCCCGAGCCUCUUUAUGGCUUACCAAGAACCUUUAAGUUCAAUAUAGGAAUAACUUUAAAUGCAUGCAAAAGAUGCUCAUUUUCACAAUAGGAUUUAUGAUUCCAAGUCUCAAUAGGAUGCCAAACAUAUGCGAGUACCACAUGCUAGUUCUCUACUAUAUGGAGGUCCGAACUUUCCUUACACAUAACAUAGGCAUAUUAAGCAUCCUAAAAUUCACAAUAAAUAUAUCUAACAUGAUUAUGCAUGUUUUUUCAAUUAACGAUACUUAAUUCAUCACAAAUGAGAAUUUCUCAUUGUGUGGCUAGGUCAAACCCACCGAACCGUCGCGUAGGGCCUCGUUUCGCCGAACGAAGUUGUCCACGAGUUUCAAAAUACCGUAAAAGUAUUGAGCGAAGAGAUACACGGGCAUUACGAUCAACUAUAAGAUCAAACAUUAACAAUUAUAGCAAAAGGGUUGAAACUCACCUAAGAAGUGGAAAAUCUCUCUCAAGCUCCAAAAGAAGGCUAGGAUCCUUCCAAUCUAACCCAAAGGAGGGUUCUAAUAAAAAAAAAUCUAGCUUCAAAAGCCCUAGAUCAAAAAGCCCCAAAAUUGAACCCUAAGUCUCAAUCUAGGGUUUCAUCACAAAAUCCUCAAUAAAACUCUAUUAUAGAGGAAGAGAACAAAUGGACUACCUCUUGGAAGCUUUAAGUCAAGCUCUAAAUGCUCUAAGUCCCAAGUUCUUCCCUCAACAAGGCCCCAAAUCCAAGCUCUUGGCUUCAACCAUGGUGAAAUAGCACCAAAAGGAAAAAAAGAGAGAUUAAUCCAAGAAAAAUCCAAAAGAGAGGGACCAAAUCACCAAGAGAGCAAGGAGGAACUCCCCAUACCUCAAAUCCCAGAGUUCUCAACUCAGGGGAAUGCCCUAGGGGCGUGGGGGUUCUAAUAGAAGUACUACAAAAGCAAAAACACCCCUGCAAUUUCGAACUGUACGAAGUCUGCCGCCUUGUACUGGUACACGGGCCCUUGUACCGGUACAAGGUCCACGAAAUCCAAAUCCGAGGCUCAGGUUGCUGGGCUCUGCGGCUCUGUACCGGUACAAGCUCCGAUGGCUGUACCAGUACAACCAUCAACCUUGUACCGGUAGAAGCACAACCUUGUACCGGUACAAGCCCGCCAGAACUCAAUCCGAGAGUCAGCCAAAUCCCGUUUUUUCGGAUUUUGGUGCAAGGCUUUCUACCACAAAUCUCGGGACACGUGCCAUAGGUCGGAACACAGUCAACGACCUACCAGAAAAUCUGAAAAAGCUCAGAACACAGCCAAUCACUCGAACCUCGCAAUUUGCAAAGGUCCAGUGUGUUACACUUGCCGCGAUCCCGUGCCGAAGGCUCUGAAAUAAAACCAUAAAACAGAGGGCGUGGGAACUAUUAAAUAAUAGUUCCCAGUGGGCAAUUACUGACUUCAGUGAAAUGCGCCACUAGGCCCAAAAGCUACAAAAGAGGGUCAGUAUAAGUAUAAACGAAAGCAAAAUAAUGAACAAGUAUGGAAUCAUGAGUACUAUUCUACCAUGAUAUCUCUACUUAGCAUGAACUGCAUAAGUAAUAAACCAACUACAACAAGUAUGUACAUGAGUGUGACUAACAUAUAUAAGCAUGGGUAUGCAACCAACACAAUGUCCUCGAUGCAAAUAGUAAAGAUAUCAUUAUUUACUAUUCUAGUCAAUGUCCACUUGUCACUUAACUGUUAAAAGUUUAAUCUUAUAAAACCCACUCGAAGGCUGUCUGGCAUGAAGACCCACCCGAAGGCUGUCUGGCCUGUAAGACCCACCCGUAGGCUGUGUGGCUGGUGCCGUGCCUAAUGGCCCCGUGGUAGUCAACAUCCCUACUCUUAGGAAUGAGCCUUUCCCACGGCAAUUCACAUCGGCGCCCAAUUCCGCACGGCGAAUAUGUAUCGCGAUGGCUAACUCCGGAGUGCCGGUUUGUAGGGAGCGACCCUCACAAGCAUGUGCGAAUGAGCACAAUGGCAAGCAUGCGUAUAAGUCUGUCUCAAGUCUCAAGUCCUCAUGUCUAUGAACAUGGAAUGUAUCGAAUAUCACAAAGGCCUAUCACUAUGUCUCUUUGUUGCAUUUUCAUAGUUUACUACCUUCAAGUACCCCUUUAUGACACUUUUGUUCAACGAGUCCAAGCUUGAUGAUUAUGUUCAUGAAUACAUAAUUCUAACCAUUUCUAGCAUAAGAGACAUGUUCUCAACUUGAAAAGAUGCACACCUUUCACAUGCAUGCAAUCUACACAUAUAGCUCUACUAUAUAGAGUGAUAUUCAUCUUACACAUAGUACAUGCAUUUCAAGGGUUCUAAAAUUUUCAUAAAUCAUAUCUAGUAUGGAUUUACAUUCAAAAAGACUUUACGACGAGUAUGUAAUGCAUAGGGGCUAUUUUGCCCUAAUUUCAUGAAGUCAAACCCACCAAAAAUCGAAACUUUUCGUUUCGCCGAACGGAGGUGUCCACAAGUCUCCUAGCACCAUAAAGAUGUAGGAACAAGAGUUACACAAUCGAAACGAACAUCGAAAAGCUCAAUCUUAACCAUCUAAGCAUAGAGGGCAUAACUCACCUCUUGUGAUGAAAUCCCUUCCCAAGCUUCCAAAGAGAGCAAUAACCUUUCCAACCCAACCUAGAGUAAGGUUCUAAACCCAUCAAUUAGGUCUCUAAGCCCUCAAAUCAAAAAUCCCCAAAAUAAACCCUAAAAUCCAAAUCUAGGAUUUCAUCUCCCAAAAUCUACCAAAAAUAGGUCUAGAGGGGAGAAAUAAGCAACUAACCUCAAGAGAAGAUCCAAACCAAGCUCCAAAGGCUCUAGGGUUGUAGAUUGAUCCUCUACCGAGCUCCUAGCCCAAGCCCCAAGCCUCCAAAAGUGAGAGAUGAGGAAGAGGGAGAUGCUCCAAAGCCUCCAAGCUUGCUCUCCUUCUCCUCUUCUUCUUCUUCUUCUUCUUUUUCUCUCUCUAGAGGAUGUGAGAGGGUGAGAAAUAUGAGAAAGAGAGAGGAGAAGUGGCUCUAAAAGCCCCCUCAUGCACAAAAUCCACCUAGGUCCCCCAACAUUUCAAUCCUUGCAUCAGCCCGGACUGGGCAAUUUCGCCCAGGGGGGCCGAUCUCUCCCCGCAUGGGACUGGUCUCUCAGGUCGAACCCGAAAAUCCAACGCUCGGGAACCGGUUUCUCCCCGCCAGGGACCGGUCUCUCGGACCCUUCACGCAAAACACGCGUUCCGGAACCGGUCUCUCCCAGCCAGGGACCGGUUGCCUCAAGCCCUGCCGCAGCACUGUUCUGAGGGGACCGGUCUCUCAUAUCAGGGACCGGUCCCCGAAAGUGAAAACUCUCAGGACUUGCCAAAAUUCUAGAGAUCGAACUUUUAGGUCGGAAUACCAUCUACGACCUUCCACCAAGUGUGGAAAAGUUCUGGAUACAUAUCAAACACUCGAACCUCGCAAUUUGCAAAGGUCCAGUGUGCUACAUUCACCCCUCCUAAAAAGGAGUUUCGUCCGCAAAACUCAAACGACAACACAUACCUCAAAGCUCCAUCUGAAAAAGAUGGGGAUAGCGCUCCCGCAGCGUGCUCUUUAGCUCCCACGUGGCCUCCCGCUCCCCGUGGUUGCUCCAGAGAAUCUUCACAUACGGAAUAUCCCGAUUCCGCAGUUUCCGUAUCUUGCGAGCCAAAAUCCUCACUGGUUGCUCCUCGAAGCUCAAGUCGUCCCGCAACUCCACAGGUGUAGCAUCCAACACAUGAGUCGGGUCGAAGACAUACUUCCGAAGGACCGAUACAUGAAAGAUGUUGUGCACGUCCGAUAAGUUCGGUGGUAGAGUAAGUCGAUACGCUACCGGACCUACACGUUCCAAGAUCUCAUACAGUCCAAUGAAACGGGGGCUCAACUUACCCCGAAUCCCAAAUCUCUUGAUCCUUCUAGUCGGCAAGACCUUCAAGAAAAUAUGGUCUCCUACUUGGAACUCCAAGUCUCGCCGUCGUCGGUCGGCGUAGCUCCUCUGUCUACUCUGCGCCGUCAAAAGUCGCUCUCGAGCAAUUCGAACCUUGUCCUCAGCUUCCUAGAGCACGUCAGGGCCUAAUGCCAAUCUCUCGCCGACUUCACUCCAAUGAAGUGGCGAUCUACACUUCCAUCGAUAAAGUGUUUCAAAUGGCGCCAUCUUGAUGCUUGCUUGAUAACUGUUGUUAUAAGCAAACUCAGUCAUAGGUAGGUGCCGCGACCAUCCUCCCUGGAAGUCUAUCACACAUGCUCGAAGCAUAUCCUCUAAAGUCUGAAUGGUGCGCUCCGACUGUCCGUCACUCUGAGGGUGGAAAGCAGUGCUGAAGUCGAGUCGGGUGCCGAAUCAAUAGUUCCUAGUGGGCAAACCGCUGACCUCAGCGAAAUACUCCACUAGGCUAAAGAGGCGAAAGUAGAAAGAGAACUAUAAUAAACAAUAUGUAUGUGAAAUACAACAAUUAACAUGGCAAUGCUACUAUGCCUCAAGUUUAGCAUGAUAUUAAGCAUGAAAAUUACUAAUCUAUCAUAAUCGAGUAUAUCCAAGGAGUAUACUAGUAUACUCUAAACAUGAUCAUCAUAAAUAUAAAUAUGCACCAAGCAUGGUUCACCAAUAUACCACUAUGUCCAACUACUGUAAUAAUGUGCCCAACCAAUACCUACUAUCAAGUAGUAAAUGUCACUUAGUUGUUUCAUUGUCAUUUUCCAUUCCAAUCUAGGAACUACACAAGUGUAGUCCUGCUUGUACCGCCUAAUGGCCCCGAGUAGUCCAGCAUUUCUCUAGGAAUGUGACUGUCCCACAGUGAUCCAGUAGGCCCUCAAUCGCACACAGGCGAGCAUAUGUCGUGUAGGCCAAGUCCGGAGUGCCGGCUUGUCGGGAGCAACCCUCACAAGCAUGUGCAAAUGAGCACAAAUGGCAAGCAAGCAUAAUCAUCAUCUCAAGUCCAUGAGCUAACCUUUAACCAACCCAACAUUAGAUCAAAAUUCACCUUGUAUGGUGUAGAACUCUUCCAAACUCCAAAUGGUGGCUAGGAUCCUUCUAAUCCAACCUAAAUUGAAGUUCUACACCGAUCAAUUUAGCCCUAAAGGCUACAAAUCAAAAAUCCCCAAAUAAAACACUAGAUUCUACAUUCUAGAUUUUCUACUCAAAAAUCCCCCAAAACAAGAUCCAAAGGAAAGAUCAAGCCUACUAACCUCUCUUGAAGCCCCAAACCAAGUUAGGAGUGAGCUAGGGUUGAAGAUCAUUCCUCCAAUGAGCUCGAAACAUCAACUCUAGGGCUUCUCCAAGGUGGGAGAACCAACAUGAAGUAAAAAAGGAGCAAAAAAAGGUGAUCAAUCCAACAAAACCCAAGCAAAAAGAGGAGAAAAAGCAAAGAAAAUGAAAACGAAACCCACCUCUCCUCCGUCUCUGGUUGCAGCACAAGAGCCCCUGCCCAAGGGGUAUGGGGUAUAUAAAGUGUUGGGAUAAUUACAAAAAGAACCUCCAAAAACUGGCAGUCUGCGGACUGUACUGCGUACCGGUACGCGGGCUGGAGUGCCGGUACCCCGCAGCCGAGCUCACCAAACCCGAGCCUCGGUCAGGCGAGAAAACACGCUGCGUACCGGUAUCCGUGCAAUGCAGUACCGAUACUAGGUUCAGUAUCGGUACUAGUAUCGGUACUCGGGCAAUACAGUAUCGGUACUCUGCCUCGCAGAGCUCAAACUCGAGAGCACUCUUCUCGAGUGCGCGAUGCCGUUCUGGUACCCCUUCUCUAGUACCGGUACCAGCAUCCCAGAACCUACAGUUUGAAGGUUUUGGUGCUAAGUACUCAUCCUCGCUCCUCAAGACGCGAGUAAUGGGUCGGAACACAGUCAACGACCCACCAGAAAACCUGAAAAAGCUCAGAACACUAAUCAAACACUCGAACAUUGAAAUUUGCUAAAGUUCAGUGUGUUACAGACGUACAGUUCCAUCAGAAAUGCAUGGUUUUUAUACAGUCUUGACAUGUUUUGGACAUCAUCGUCUCUACAAUAUCGAUGAGUUUGUUGAUUUUCCCACUGUAGCAAAGUUUAAUUUCGAUCUUGCAGCUCUCCGGUAAAGUGUUCAUGAAUUCGAAGAUCCGCGCUCGCAGGGAAUUAAAACGCUCACCUUGCCCGAUGAAAGCGAGCCGGUAGGAUCCUCCUACAUACUUGACAUUUCCUUCAUCUUCUGAAAAGAAGCCAUUAAAAUAGCAGUGCACUGGAACUUCAACGUUAUCCAUGAGUUGGAAGCAAUACAGUUAGAUGAUAGUAAUGCAAUGCCACUCUUUUAUAAAAAUAUAAUCCAGUUAACUUGCAUAAAUUGGUAAGUUUUGAAAAAUGCGGAAAACAGUAGGUCCAUUCCUGCCAUAAUUCAUUUCCGACAUCUCUGCAUACAACGUUGGCAUAGCCUUCGAUCAUCGAUAGUUGUUAAUAAAACGGCGCAUCGCUUGCACCAUUUUGGUGGAUUAUUACAAUGCUUGCAAGCAUAUUACACUAAUUGCGAGUAGUAUUACACUAUUUUGUUAUACAUUGCACCAAUAUUUCAAAUUGUCGUGCUGCAUUUCUGUUUUGGUAUUAGCGCCAUUUUAUAUUUUUUCAACAGUACCUCAACAAGAAAUAUCAUCAGCAACAUCAUUCAGAUUACGUUCUGUCCUCGAGAUACAUCAUAAGGGGAAUGUCAAAAGGCUUUUCUCCUCGGGAAGGGAAAGCGGCGGCUACAGAACCCAAUGAUUACAAGCGCCUUUUCGCUUUAUAGCCAACGGUUCUUCAGAUUCAUUCCCCGUUGCAUUACUACAUAUAAAAAAAAGGACGUAAAGGCGACGAGGGCAACCGGUGCGGCAGCGGAAGGUGCCAGAGCCGAUGGAGCUAACGGCGACGAUGCUACUGUUCGUCUAGGAGGCCGAAGCAGAGUUCGAGAACGAUGAGGCUCGCUUGGAAGGGUAUGAUACAGUAACGAGGGGUUAAGAUUGAUUCGCACUAUCUGGAGUGCUUUAUUUGCCUCGAGCCCAAUGGCCCUCCUCUUUUCCAAGUUCUUAAAUUCUUGCAGAUUUUUAUUGUUAUUGAUCGAUUCUAAUAUUUUACUGACUGUACUAUCUGUUUCCGAACAUGGUAGAGCGGAGAUCCAAAUGGCUCGUGGCAAAUAAAGCACUCCAAAUAGUGCAAAUCUAUCUUAACGCCUCAUUGUUAGAUCAUACCCUUCCGAGUGAGCCGCCUCCUUCUCGCAGUCUCCUUCGGCUCUCUCCCGUGGCCGCCUAUACCUGUUAGCGUCGGCUCCGUGCGUGUGGAAUUGCAGACAAGCUUAGAUGAUUCCGUACUUUUCUUAAAUAAUUAUUUUGAGAAGUUUGUUACAUUUGAUGUAAUAGAAUGUUGUGUUGUAUGCAAAUCGUGUCUUAUAUAUUGCAUUUUCAUCAUUUUUGCUAAAGACAAUGUAAUAUUUGGUACAACAUUAAUAAAGAGAGCAUUUUGUUACAGUUGAUAUAAUAGAAUCUUAUAUUGUAUGCAAAUCGUGUCUUAUAUGUUGCAUUUUCGUCAAAAAAAUAUAAUCUUUGGUACAACAUUACUAGAGAGAGCAUUUUGUUAAAAUUGAUUUAAUAGAACCUUAUAUUGUAUGCAAAUCGUGUCUUAUAUGUUGCAUUUUCAUCAAAGUUGAUAUAAUCUUUGUUACAGCAUUAAUAGAGAGAGCAUUUUCAAUAGUUAGUGCCGACUUGCACUAAUUAUAGCUGCGUAUUGCACCAUUUUAUAUUAGGUUGCACUAUUUAGUUUAAAAAAAACUUAAUUCAGCCAGUGUUCCACUUUUAUGUUACACUCGUUGGAACUGCAUUGCACUGUUACGGUGAAUGUUGCACUAGUAGUAAGAAGCGCACUACACUCUUACAAGCUUGGUUGUACUCGUUUUCUCCGUAUUGGACUAUUAUUCGCGUUUUACGUUGCACUAUUAUUGUACGGCUAAAUCAAGCAAGUAAGCAUUUUUAAGAGUUGUUGCACGAUAGUUUUUAAUCGUUUAAGCGUUAUGCUGCACAGCUCAAACGCCCCCCCGUGGCGCCACAGCAACUGGGGACGAGAAAUACAACGACCCUCCACCGCUUCGUCUGCAUUCGCGGUAAAAUAAUUUACGGACUUAUUUGCACUAUUAUCUUCAUAUUAUAUCAACAAAUAGAGAGAAAAAUUUGAACUAGUUACGGACUAGUUACAUUGCUUAGCAAAGAAUAUUGCACUGUUUUGAUCUCUGUUACGCCAUUUACAAACUUGUUUUCUCUAUUACCUUCUUCUUAUCACCAAAUACAGAGAAAAUUUUGCACUAGUUAUGGAUUCGUUCACCAUUUCUGUAAAAGUUAUGGACUUAUUGCACUAUUUGCGUUAAAAUAUUGAACAAAUUGCACCAUUUUCUUUUAUUUAUUUGCUAUCGAUAGCAUUCCAACUCAACUCUAUAUAUAUAGAGUUGAGCUGGAAUGCUAUCGAUUGCAAAAGGGCUCCGUUGCCACCCUUUUGUUUUCGAUGAUGGAGCCUUCAAAUCGAUGAUCGGCAUCGUUGAACAUUGUAAUAUACUGAAACUUCGGUAGAGUACUCUGGACUUUAGCCGAAUUGUCUAAAGCGACCGAUAGAAAAAGUUGGAUAAAGUCAAAUUAAUAUUUCAACAAUGUUGGAAGGGUUAAAAAUGAGUUCUAAAAGAAUUAGAAAGGUUUUAAUAUCGAUCGGCGCGAAAUAGAAUCGAAAAAGAUGCAAAACUGAAAUUCUGGGACUUUUGUUACCGGUUUAACAUCGAGUUAGUAUCGGUACUGCAUUGUAAACCGAGAGAAACAGCUCUCGGGUUUGCCUCUGCGAAACCUUGUAACCGGUGACAAACUGAUUUAGUACCGGUACCAAGUGUAUUAACCCGAACGGAAUGCUCUCGGGUUGGUUCUGCGAAAUCGUGUAACCGUGACAGAUUGGGCCGUACCGGUACCAAGUCUGCUUCGCAGCAGAAUGAGAUUUGCUGCAAAUAUGAGUUUUGGGAGGGUCUAAAUGCAAUUGUAGCAUCUUAUAAAAGCCCCCAACACUCCUCUCCUCUGGUCCACAACAGCAAACACCUCUCUCCUCUCACCUCUCUCUUUCUUUCUCUAGAAAUCUCUCCAAGGAGCAAGAAGAAGAAGAAGGAGAAGGAUUUUUGUAGGAGAUUUGAGGUUUUUGGAGGUUUGGGUCUCUCCUACAAGGUGGACUUUGGAGAGCUUAGGGCAAAGGUGAGGUUUCUUUGUGAGAUUAACGUUAGGGCUUGAAUUUUAUGCCCUAAAUCUUUGGAUUUAAGCUUCUUACAAGUGUAGCAACCUUCUAGAGGCUAUAGAACACAUGAAAACCCAAGGUUUUUCAUGAGCUCUCAUGGUGGAUUUCUAGGGCUCAGUUUGUAUGCCCUAAAAAUGGUUGGAAAGGCUUAGAAAAGGUUCUAAAUUAGUUCUUAGGAGUUCAACAAGCUUUCUUUUGCUUGUUUUACAGAUCAAACCCAAAGAUUGAGCAAAUAGCAUUGUUAGGGCACCAAAAUUUGGAGCUUUUGCCCUAGGAUGGUUUUGAGGCAAAUUGGCCUUAUAGAAACCUAAUUGGGGGUAUUUCUAACUAGAAUAUGAAAUCGGUUCGGUGAUUCGACGAGUGUACGCAAUGAAAUUAAUAAAAAAGUCUAUUUUGGUACAGAUUGCCGCAGCACGCCAAGUAGGCGCCCGAAAAUUCUAAGAAUUGAACCGUAGCACUCUUGCAACCAUACAAGGUGGGUGGUGCUUUCUGAAAUCAUUGAAUUUUCUUUUAUGUCGAAAGUGUCAUUUUUGAGCAUGUGUAUGUAUUGAGCAUUGUGCAUAGUAGGGUUGCUUUGAGAGCAUAUGUUGCAUGUUGUGAGGACAAAUGCAUGAGAAAUAAUAGUGAAAGAGUAAGAACUUGUGUAACCCUAUGUAUGCAUGAUCAAUGACAAGAACCUAGUUGAGGUAGAGAACAAAAGUGACAUGUUGACAUAAAUGUAGAGAGUGGCAUUGAUGAGUCUUGAAUACUAGUGUUACAAUAGUGACAUUACUGAGACAAGAAUGCUAGAGUUAAACACUUAGAGGACAAGUGUGGCAUUAGUAAAUAAAUACAAAGAACAAAGUAGUGUAUAUGACACUAGUGAAAGUUAAAGAAUGCGAGUAAAGAGAGAUAGUGACAAUAUGACAUAACAACCUUAUAGUUAAGGGUCAUGUGAACAUUGCAUCCUUAUAGCUAAGGAUUGGAUUGAAUUUGGAAUCCUUAUAGUUAAGGAUUGGAUCACACUCGCCUAUUAAUCCUUGCUCGGAGGGUGGUAGCUCCCCUUCGAGCGAUGAGCUCCGGAGUUGUCAUCACUGGGUCGUAGUAGUCUCCCCAGAGAAUGGUCCCAUCGAGUCGUAGUAGUCUUCCCGAUGUUUGGGAUUUGAGUUGGUGAGUUAUGGAAUCCGGCAGGAGGAAGUUGAGGGCCUGACGGGUUAGCCACGAGAUUGAACGAUGUAAAGUAAACUUGCAUUCAUCAUGAGCAUUUCAUUGAGCAUAAGAUUGAGUAUAUAUUGUUCAGGCAUAUUAGCUGCAUUUGUUAGUUGGUUACUAUUUAUUCUUUCUUCUAUUCUGCCUGAUUUAGACCUAGUGGGACAGUCGGCAAGGUCGGCGGCCGAACCCACUAGGAACUUUGUUGUAGUUCCCACCCCCCUUUUUCCACAGAGCCGGGAUCUAGUGAGCCGGCGAACGAUCACGGUAAGGGUAUCACACCAUAGACAGUGACCACCCGAGUUGGUUGUAUUUUGCUAGUUACAUACCUUAUAUAUCAUCUUUUGUAUUUUGAUGAUUAGAGAUGUUUAAAUAAAAGAACAUGAAUUUAUGGUUAAUGUAAAAGCUUAUCUUUUGGAGGAAAUACACUAUGUUCAUUUUGGUGAUUAUGUGUUGUAUAAAAGAAAUGAUGCAAAGAAUGUAAAGGAAUUGUAUUAAAGAUGUAUGCAUGUAUGUGAUUUAAAGUUAAUCAUAUUACUUGUAUGUUGAUUAGUUAAUACUUUCACUUUGGCUAUUGCUUGCCCUCGUGCAAGCCACUAUGUUUGCUUCCGCAUGUGCAAAUUUUGUACUCUAUUUGUACUUGUUGUUGAGCCUUGGGUGGACGAAAGAGGUGCUGUUCGUUCGGCGUCUGUUCGACGUGCUCGAAUCAGCCAAAUAAGACCGGGUUCGGGGCGUGACAAACAUGAUCUAUAUCACUUGAAGUAUCUAGAAAUCAAAUUUCAUGCUUUUUCAAUAUUGUUGUCUUGUUCAUCAAGUGGGCGUAAAAAUAAACGGCUGAAAAUUAAUAUCCUCUAAAAAGUGAUGAUAUGAAUUUUGUAAUCAAGAUCGAGAGUAUAGAUCUUGUUUUAAAUAGUUUAAAGAAUUUUCUAAAAAAAAUUCAAUUGAUUUGGAUAGUUUUACACCGUUAAACGAGAAAACGCCUCAUAUUGACCAUUAAAAUUAUAAAUUUUGAAACCCUUUGAUCAUUAGGUCAAUGAUGUCGAAAAGAUUUGAAAUUUGAUUUCUAGAUACUUCAAGUAAUAUAGAUCAUGUUCAACGGUGCCGAUCGUCGAUUUGAAGGCCCCAUCAUCGAAAAUAAAUGGGUGGCAACGGAGCCCGUUUGCUACCGAUAGCAUUCCAACUCAACUAUACUAUUAUAUAUAUAUGAGUAGGGCUACUAUACUAUUAUGAGUAUUGGGCCCUUCGUACUCAUAAGUUAUUUUCGAUGAUGGAGCUUCCGGAUCGACGAUCCACUCUGUUAAAUAUGAUCUAGAGUAUUUGAAACUUCUAGAAACUAAUUUCGUAAUUUUUCGAAAUCAUAAUAAAGUCCAUCAAGCAGGCAUAAAAUGAACGGUCAAAAUCGAACGAUGUCUUAAAAAGGAUGAUCGGAUCCUUCAAUUUAAGAUCGGAGUUACUGAUCUUUAUCUAGGUAGUGAAUAGAAUUUUCUAUUAAAAAUUCCACCUAUUCCAAUUCUUUUACACCGUUAAACUAGUAAGUAUCCCAUACCAGCCAUUAAAAAUUGUCAAUUUUGGUACCCCAUAUCGACCGUCCCUAGAGCAAGUGGCAAAGCGCUUGGUGGUUGGUAUCCAAGACCGUUGAUUCACAUUUCCAGCUAAGUUUAUUUCUAAAUGAAAUAAACGAAGCAGGUAGCGUGCUACCUAUCUCUCAAAAAAAAAAUUUGUCAAUUUUGUGAACUUUUGAUCGUAAGGUAAAUGAUAUCGAAAAAUUUAAAAUUUGAUUUCUAGAAGUUUUAAAUGUUUUAGAUAAUGUUUAACGGUAUGGAUCAUCGAUUCGGAAGCUCCAUCAUCGAAAAUGAUUUAUGAGUAUGAGGGCGAUCGUGUACUCAUAAGAGUAUAGUAGCCGGACUCUAUAUAUGUAACAUACCGGAUUUUGAUAUAAAAGUAAAAAAUAAAUAAGAAUAGUGUGAGAUACUAUUUUUUAUUGGACUGAUAGAAGCAAAAUGUAAGUCUGAAAUGACAUAUGCUGAAUCGGAAUGAAAACAGAAGAUUUAAAAUUUUCUGUGAGAGACGGGGCUGAUAUUUUAGCAAAAAAUGCACAGUGUCAGAAAAUUAUGAAAAUUGGAGAAUAUGUCAGAAUUAUUUUUAUGAUGUUAGAUUUAAAAUUUCAUGCCAUUCUGACACCCGAAAAGUGAAAAAUAAAAUCCGACUGCUAUCUGCUAGAGAUUACAGUUCGGUAGGGCUUUCGGUGACCAAACAGGGUCGAAACUGAAAGAUUAAAAUUUCUUUCGUUAAGUUAAGUAAAACCGAGUAUGACUGCCAAAUUUGAGCUCAAACGGACUUUCGGAAGGGCAAGCGAAAAAUAUCUGUACCUGAGCUGCAAAACUGAAUGUAAAUACUGUAUUGUUGAGGGGGCUAUUGUGUAACAAAAGGAGUUUUUCUCCUUUCUCCUUCAACCGAGCAACACCCACACCACACACUCACACGCAAGGAGAAGGAGAGAGAGAACCUCCCUUUCUCUCUCUAGAUCUCUCCUAAAAUUUAAAGGAUUUGGUGGAGAUUGAAGCAAAGAAGGUGGAGCUUCAUCUUCUUCAUCUUCUUCCUUGUGUUGGAGUGAGCUCUUGAGGUGAGCUUCAUGAACCCUAAUGGUAGAUCUUUAGAGCUUUCUUUAUAUGCUCUAGGAAUGGGUUUAGAGGACUCCCUAGGUGAUAGCAACAUGCUAUCUGCUUGAAUCAUAAAUCAAUUUGGAGGUUUAUUGCAAUAGUAGCAUGUUAGGGUUCAAAAAUAGAGUUUUUGUAAAAUAUUUGGGUUUGAUCUAAAUUAAUCCUACGUAAACCUAAUUGCUAGGUAUACGAACGCGUUGGCGAAGUCGGUUCGGCGAUUCGUCGAGCCUAUGCGAAGAUAUUGAAGAAACGGAUGUUUCGGCUUCGUUUCCGCCUAGAGGGCCGAGGCGGCGUCCAAAAAUCAUGAAAAUGGAUCCGGAGUAUCGUGGCAUCAAGUUAUAGACUUUUAAUUUUCGGAUUGUGGAUUGGUGGCCGUUUGGGUGGUCGCGCGCGAGUUCGGGCCGAACCAGUCAACGGGUGCCGCGGGAGGUCGAUUGCAAGUGACUACAAGCAAUCAAAAAAUGAUUUGAGGAGGGUUGUGCUCACCGAAGUUAUUAGCUCGCUUCCAUGUCGAAGCGAAGUGAGAAUUGUUAUUGAUGCAUGUAUGGUAGUUAGUGAUAAAACAUAUGAAUGCUAUGUUAAACUACUAUUGGAUGCAAGAAGAUAUAAUGAAGACAUACUAGAUGAAAAGUAUAUAUAUGUAAUUGGUAGGUGGCCUAUGAUAAUGUGGAUGCAUGAAUCCUAUUAUGCUUAAUGUUUAUUACCUACCAUUGAGAUGAAAGCAUGAUAAACAUAAUGUAGAAACAUGCUAGAUGAAUGCAUGAUGUACAUGUUGUAGGAUAUGUGAGAAGAAUGCAUGUUGGCCUAAUGUGAUAAAUGCUAAAGAAUGCAUGUGAUAGAUGCUAAAUAACAUGAGCUAGAUGUAUGAGUUAUGGGAUAAAAUGUAUAUUGAUUGCUAUAUGAUAAGAACGUAUGCAUAUGCAUGAAAUGCUAAAGAACACAUGUAUGUUGACAUAAUGUGAGACUAUGUUAGAUUUGUUUGAAAGUGAACUUGGAUCGAUAACUCUAGGUUGAUAGAGAACUCGACAUUGGAAAGUAAGGACAUAUAGACUACAUCCUAGAUAUGGAUAACUAGGAAGGUAAGUACAUUGAGUGGCAUGUCAGUUAAUAAUUCUGAGUGUGAAUAACUAGGAUAACAAGCAUUGUGAAUGUUGGACCUAGUGUUAUUGAACAUAAAUAAAUGAUGAGUGGCAAUGAACUUAGAGUUAAGUAAACCUAGGUUAUGGCAUGAGUGACAUUGAACCUAGAGUCAAGUGAACCUAGGUAGUAAAGAACAUCGGACCUAGUGUUAUGGAACCUAGGCAAUGAACAUAGUGACAUGGGAUCUAAUGUUAGUAAACUUAGGUCGAAUAAUGGCUUGAACCUAGAAAGGUUGACAUAGGGUCAGUCCAACCCUAGAGAUGUUGAAAGUGGAUUCCGGAAUCCCAGGUCUUGUGGCCUUAGUGAACAUGGUAUGCUCAUGGUUAUGGAUUGGAUCAUACUCACCUAUAAGUCCAUACUUGAGGGUGGUCGCUCCCCCUCGAGCAAUGAGCUCCGCAGUGAUUAUCACUGGGUUGGAGUUUCCCCAGAGGUUGAGCCUGUCGGGUCGUAGCGAGUAUGUAACAUAUCGAAAUUUCGGUAGAAAAUAUUGGACUUUAGUCAAAUUGACUAAAGCGUGCGAAUGAAGUGGUUGGACAAGUUCCAGUUAGCAUUCCAACAAGUUGAAAGGGUUAAAAGUGAGUUCUGAAAGAGUUAGAAGGGUUUUGGCAUCGACCGGCGCGGAAUAGAAUCAAAAUGGAGCAAAAAACCAAGUCUGGGCAAAGUGUACCGGUACAACCAUCGAGUUGUAACCGGUACAGAAAUUGUACCGGUACAGCAUUGAAAGUGUACCGGUACAAAUGCUACGAAACCGAGAAGCAACUCUCGGGUUUUGUCUCUGCGCAAUCGUGUUACCGGUGACACGAGGAAGUGUACCGGUACACUUUGGGCAGACAGCACAGAUUUGGUCUGUUGCAAAUAAGAAAUGUUGGGGGGCUAAGUUGCAAUUGUUGCACACCAUAUAUGAUCCCAUCUCUCCCCUCUCUUCACAGCAGCGAGGAGAACCCUUCUCCUCUUAUUUUCUCUCCCUCUCCCUCUCUAAAUGCUCUCUAUAAGGUGGAUUAGAUGUGGAUUUGGAGGAGAUUAAGAGGAGAUUUGGACUUUAGAGGGGAUUAGGUCUCUCCAACAAGGUGGAGCUUGGUGGGCAUUUUGGCUAAGGUGAGGUUUCUUGUAAGAUUAGGAUUAGGGUUUGGUUUUAAACCCUAGAUCUUCGGUUUUGAUCUUCUUACAAGUGUAGAACCUCGUAGUAGCCGAAGAACACAUGAAAACCAUGUUUUCUUCGUAGUGCUCUAAUGGUGGAUUUCUAGGGUUUGUUCUAAACACCCUAAGUAUGGUUCGAAAGCUUCUAGAUGAGCUUCUAAAUGUUGAACAAGCUUUUGCUUGUUCUAGAGAUCAAACCAAGACAUUUUGUUAUAUGUCACAUUAGGGCACCCAAAAGAAGGAUUUUGCUCAAUUAGGGUUUUGAUGUAAAUUAAUCCUAUGCAAACCUAAUUGCUAGGUAUAUAAACGUAUUGGCGAGGACGGUUUGACGAUUCGUCGAGCCUAUGCGAAGUUAUUGAAGAAACGGACCGUUAAAGCUUCAUUUCCGCCUGGAGGGCCGAGGCGACGUCCAAAAAUCACGAGAUCGGAUCCGAAGCAUCUUAGCAUCAAGUUAAAGACCUUUAAUUUUCGGAUCGGGGAUUGUGGCCGUUUGGGUGGUCCCGCGAGAGUUCGGGGCGAACCGGGUCAUGGGUGCCGCGGGAGGCCGAUUGCAAGUGACUACGAGCAAUCGGAGAGUAAGUUAAGGUGGGUUGUGUUUAUCGAAGCGACUAGGUCGCCUAUAUGUCUACGACUAGUGCUUACUAUUGAUGCAUGUAAUGGUAGCUAGUGGAAGAACACAUAAAUGCAUAAGGUGAAAUGCUAUGUUAGGCUACCAAAUAAUGCAUAUGGUCAUAAUGUCAGAAUGCUAAGUAAUGCAUAAUGAUAUAGUGUAAAUAAUGCUAAGUGGAAAGCAUAAAGUAAAUGACAUAUGUUAGUCAUGUUGCUUGUAUAGAAAUGCUAAUGUAAGAAUGCUAAGUGGAUGCAUAUCGAUAUGAAAUAAGAAUGCUAAGGAAAAUGUAUGAUAAGCAUGUUGUAGAGAUGCUAAUGUAAAAAUGCUGAGUAAAGGACAUGUACUUGUGGACAUAUACAUAUACACAUAGAUCGAGUGGCAUUGAACCUAGAGUCGUGAUCCUAGGUUGAACAACAGUGAUAUUGAACCUAGUGUUAAUGAACAUAAGUUAAAAAAGAAUGGCAUUAAACCUAAUUUUCGACAAUAUAGGUUGAGAAUGAACCUAGAGUUAAGUCAACCUAGGUUGUGGUUAAAGAUAAUGAACCUAGUGUUAAAGUAAAUCUAGGUUAUGUGAUAAAAGUGUUAAACCUAAAGUCAAGUGGACCUAGGAUGAAAAGGAUAAUGGACCUAAGUAGGUCGAUACCAUAGAGUUAAGACCAACCCUUGAGUUAUGUGGAAAUGGAUUCCGGAAUCCCAGAGCUUAUAGAGCACCCAAGGUGGUGUUGGGCGUGUGCGACGAUUUCGCCGUCCGGGGCUAUACCAUCGACGUGGCGUGUGCGACGAUUUCGCCGCCGGAUGGGUGAGCCGAAUUGUGGUUUAUACCGGUUGAGCCGGGUUGUGGAUUAUACCGCUGGUUGACUCGAACCACUGACGUGGCGUGUGCGACGGUUUCACCGCCGGGUGGCUAGGUCAUAAAGUGUGGUGAGCUGUGGAAGGCUGAGGUGUAAGUAAGAGUUCCUUCACCUCGAGCUUGACAGAGUGCGAAUUAUCCGUAGUGAAUUGACUCAAGACCGAGUCGAGUGGCAUAGUGUGACUAAGGUAAGAGUAACCUUAGGUAAGAAUGACAAAUGAGUAUAAUAUGGCUAAAGUGUGAGUACCCUAGUAAAGAAUAAAGAAUAGCUAAUGAAUAAGAAUAGCUAAUAAAGUAAAAACGGUUACAAGUAAAGAAUGGCUAAUAAUAUGAAGUAGAAUCAAUUAAUCUACUUCCAUAAGAUACAGGACUUGUAUAUUGCAUAUUGUGAGGUAUGACAUGUAGUUCAAUAUCGAGUAAAUGUAUAAAUACCUGUUUUAUGUUAUUGGACUAACCUGUUGCAGUGCCUCCUUGGACCUAUUGGUCGAGCUUUUCCCUUGGGUGGCCGUACCCACUGGGAACCAUAGAGUUGGUUCUCACCCCACGUUGUUUUGGGGUGUUACAGGUUCGCACAUGAGCGGCACAGUGACGCGAGGUAAGGGCGUAGCUCCGUAGAUAGCGGCCCUACCCCCAAGACUGAGAUAGCUGUACCCCGAGGUGGUCUAGCUUAGGGGUUUGAAGACAAAUAUACCAAACUUGUAAUUAUUGUAUUUUGGAAGUUGAAUGUAAAAAAAAAUUGUGAUGUAAAAUACACCUAAGAUUAAUUUUGUAAUAACUUAGUUGUUUUAUAUUUUUGAUACUUCCUUAUGCAAUCUUUGGUUAAAUUCGGUUCCUGGUUGGAACAUCGAGAAUUGUAUCGAUUUCGACGCCUUGGACAUACAGAGGAGACUCUGUCCACGGUACAGAAAAACCCUGUCCGUUCGGCGGUCUGUUGGCGUGUCCGAACCCGACCAAAUAGGCCGGGCACGGGGAGUGAAAAAUAAGAUGGUAUCAGAGAAUAAAGUAGAGAAUGGGAUGGCUUAAGUGAACCUAGGAGACCCUAGAAUAGUGAAACCAUAGAGGUUAAGGCUCGUGAGAGACGAGGACAUGUGACUUGUGGCGAAAGGAUUAUGGAUUUGGUCGUGUUAUAAACCUCUAAGACGUAUAUUAGAGGUAGACUCGAGGUGUCGCUUAUUCUCAACCGAGAGUGUUCAUGUUGGGUCGACACAACAUGAAACCGAGUGAUGAGAAUAGACGCCCUUGCGUGACUUUCGCCCGAUUGACUCUUGAGUCGUUGUUGGUUGUCUCGUGUUCGACCCAAGAUGGUCAAGAACUAAUCGAGUUGUCAUGUUUCAUGAAACGAUGGCACCGCGUAGGCGAUCUUCAUCUAGAUCGGCGCGGGAUGGAACGAGUGGUGCUCCUGAGCAAACCGACGCGAGCGGAGACUCAGAGCUUCGUGAUCAGUUGGCCACACUCAUGGGAGUGAUGAGGCAACAAGCGCACUUGGUGCAACAGCAGCAGGAGGCUACCAUGCGCCAGGAGGAGCGAAUGAAAAGACUCCAAGAAAUGGUGGAUCGGCUGGUGACAGCACCAGUUGUGGCUCAUCGUGAACGGCCGGGAGUUGCGGAGGAGAUGUUUCCUUCGAGGUCGGGUGAUCCGACUCCUAUUAGUUCAGAGGUAGAGGCAGAGAAGGAGCGACCUUUGGCGGCCCUUAUGGCUUUCAAGAAGUUUGAUCCGCCUACUUUCGAUGGAGAGGAUACAGAUCCGUGGAUCGUGGAGAUGUGGAUUGAUUCCAUGGAAACACUCUUCGAGGAUCUGUACACGGUGGAGCGGGAUAAGGUAAAUCUAGCCGUGCACUACUUGAAACAGUCGGCGAAGGUGUGGUGGAAGGGCAUUAAGCGAGAUCGAUUGCCUAAUCUCCCUCCUAUGGCUUGGGAAGAGUUUCAGGGAUGCUAUUCUCUGUUUAUUUCCCCGACAGCGAGAAAAUAAAGCUUCAGGAAAGGUUCCGAAAGCUGCAGCAAGGAGGCCGCUCGGUCAGGCAAUACGAGCGGGAAUUUUUCUGUAUCGUGCAUUGUAUCCCGAACGUGGUACUGGGUGAUAAGGAUAAGGCAGACUGCUUUGUGCGUGGACUUCGGCCAGACCUUUAUAAGGUCGUGCUUGUACUUAAGUUACAGACUUUUGCUGAAGUCCUGGAUCAGGCCCUGUGGAUAGAACAAGGCAACGCCAUUAUACAGGAGGAGCGCGAGUCAUAUUACAAGGAAAAGGGAAAAGGACGACCAACGAGUGGAUCCGCUGGUCAGUCAAGUUCCCAACAGACUUCGACGAGUUCGUGCUCGCGAUCCCGAGCUCCGGGGACAUACUACAUUCGAACCUCGGCGAGAUAUGUUAUUGGUGGAGGCCUUCAUUUUCCACAACAGUGUGGGCAGCGUGAGGGCAAGUGCUUCAAGUGUGGGCUGCCGGGUCAUACGCGGGACGAGUGUCCGCAAGGUGACGGCCAGGCCUUGAUGCUGGCAACGGCCUAUUCCUCUCUGGGAUAGCCUCCAGGUGUGCCACCUGCGGCAUGGUCAGGAGAGCGGCCGUUGAGGACGAUGCAACCUGAGUGUUCGCGGCGAGUACCAAGUGGCCAUGGAUACGCGACCCAAGUGGUGGAAUCUGCCGCUGCUGACGACAUCAUGGCAGGUAUGAGUUAGUUAAAGCAAACAUAUGCUCUGCAUGAUGUUGAAAUUGGUGCAUAGCAUGUAUUUUAUCGAAUGGUUAGUUGCUACUAGUUAUGCAUUAGCAUAGUAGGGACCGGUGGACGAGUAAAGGUAGAUCCCCGAGCAUGCUUGCAUUGUGAUAGUGUGGCGCCUGCUGGAGCAGGUAGAGAGCCGAGUGGCACUAGCAAAUGGCUAGUAAUGAUUCUUGGACAAGAAGUAGGACUCGUGAUAAAGAUGAGAUGGUGAAGCAACUCUCAAGGCAAUGGAUAGUAGAUUGCGAGAGUUGAGCUAGGAUACGUGAGGAUACCCGAGUACUCCGAGAAUUUCGGAUGUCGUUCUGAUAGAUCGAACAGUGAAAGUGAAUCACUGUUGAGAGAGCAGUUGGUUGAAGCCAAGUUUGGCCUGUGGGUCUAGUAGUACCUCGAGUUGAGGUGAAUGAGUCGUGCCUGUGUGGCUAGUUGCAUAGGCAGGAUUGCCUAAUGCUUGACAUAGUUGGAACGCUAUAGAGGCGUGUAGAGCGCUCGAAUAUAGGUACUCGUGGUGUGCGGUAUUGAUUCAGCUGGGAGUGUGUUGGCAGUAGCACUUUAGCCUUGCUAAGUGUGAAGCGGGCCAGGGAUCACUCAUGGGGCUGAUGGCUCGCACUAGAUGCUUAGGAGCCGGUAGUGGUACGUGACUCGAUAGAGUAUGUCGUGUAGGACGACGACGGCGGGUAGUGCUUGGGGACGACCCGUGCCUAGACCAUGUGUGUACUGUGGAGCCUGGACCCAUUGGGCAGGCGCAGUCAGCUGUGAGUGACAGCGGCCCGGUACCUACGGAUAGGGUUUUGGUCAGGGCGGUAGUCCGAGCUUAGACCCAGUGACGUGGAAUGCCACGUGAUAGAUCACGAGAUCGAGGAUGCACCGAGUGUGUAGUGACCGAACUCGUAGACUUGACGUGGUUUGGGGUCUUGAUUACUCCUGGUUGGAGUGUGUGCGAAUUCUCAAGUGAGAAUUUCGCCCGAAACGUUGAUUCGGUCUGCGCCUGCGAGCGAGAGACGUUGCAUGUAUCGAGACAAGUUAGGCAGUAGGCCUACGUAGGGUUGGCGGUCUAUGGACCACUUAUGGAAAACGAGGGAAGCGGCUUGGCCGGUAACUCUGUUGAGGAGUUGGGAUUAGAAUUCACGAGCGGAGUCUUCGCGUGUGUCGAUUGCGACAACGAAGACGAGCUAGUCGUGGCUUAUGAUGGCAAGGGAUGAAGUGCUCUUAUGAGGCAUUGAGCUAGUGGAAGCCACGUGGGAAUUGGAGUUUAGGAUAAUACUCUUUUAUGGACUAAGUUGGAGAUAUGCCGGAGUGUGCCAUCUCGUGAUGGAGCAAGGAUCCGGUUGGGAUUGGAGCACUCACGAUAGAGCGAUGCACCAACGAUAUUGCUUCUGUGCAAUACCAGUGAUCGAAUCAGAGUGAACUCCCGAUUGAGUGUGUAAUGCAAAGAAUGGUUCUUUACAUGAUGGAAUGCACUUUUAGAGUUAUACGUGGUAAAGACGAGUGAGUUUGGUCUCACAUCCCCCGUAAUGGGUCUUGAAGUUGGUUCAAAAGGUGAAAAGCCUUACUAGAAUGGAAAUGCAUUAGUACCCUCAAUUGCCCGAAGAGCUGAAUUGCGGGUGGAUUGAAUUUUGCGGACGGAAUUCUUUUAAGGGGUGGAGAAUAUAACAUACCAAAACUUCGGUAGAAAAUAUUGGACUUUAGUCAAAUUGACAAAAGCGUGUGAAUGAAGUGGUUGGGCAAGUUCUAGCUAACAUUCCAACAAGUUGGAAGGGUUAAAAGUGAGUUCUAAAAGAGUUAGAAGGGUUUUGGCAUCGACCGGCGCGAAAUAAAAUCGAAACGGAGCCAAAAACCAAGUCUGGGCAAAGUGUACCGGUACAACCAUCGAGUUGUAACCGGUACAGAAAGUGUACCGGUACAGCAUUGAAAGUGUACCAGUACAAAUGCUACGAAACCGAGAAGCAGCUCUCGGAUUUUGUCUCUGCGCAGUCGUGUUACCGGUGACACGAGGAAGUGCAACGGUACACUUUGGGCAGACAGCACAGAUUUGGUCUGUUGCAAAUAAGAAACGUUGGGGGGCUAAGUUGUAAUUGUUGCACACCAUAUAUGACCCCAUCUCUCCCCUCUCUUCACAGCAGCAAGGAGAACCCUUCUCCUUCCAUUUUCUCUCCCUCUUCCUCUCUAAAAGCUCUCUACAAGGUGGAUUAGAGGUGGAUUAGGAGGAGAUUAAGAGGAGAUUUGGACUUUGGAGAGGAUUAGGUCUCUCCAACAAGGUGGAGCUUGGUGGGCAUUUUGGCUAAGGUGAGGUUUCUUGUAAGAUUAGGGUUAGGGCUUGGUUUUAAACCCUAAAUCUUUGGUUUUGAUCUUCUUACAAGUGUAGAACCUCGUAGUAGCCGAAGAACACAUGAAAACCAUGUUUUCUUCGUAGUACUCUAAUGGUGGAUUUCUAAGGUUUGUUCUAAACACCCUAAGAAUGGUUCGAAUUGUCACGCCCCGGGACCGAUUCCAAUUUGGGCUGGCCCGGACACGUCAAACAGACGCCGAACGGACAGAGUUUUUCCUGUCCGCCCAUGGCUCAUCACCUGUACAUUUUCAAGUAGAGAAAAGCACUAGCGAAAACAUACACAAACGGCUUACACGAGGGUAAGCAAUAGCUAUGACUGAAAGAAAGGAAACUAAACAUCUGCACAAAUACUAUGAUUCUCUUUUUGAUCACAUAUAUUCCAUUCAUAGUUCUUUACAUACUUUUCAUCAUUUUUUUUUACAUCACAUUCUCCUCGAGAUAAACAUUACAUUCUUUUUCUUUUACAUCUCAAUUCAUCAAAUACAAAAGAUGAAGUAAGGGAAUGCUACUACAAAAUGUAAACCCGACUUGGUAGUCACUGUCUAUGGCGCGAUACCUUUACCGCGGUCGCUCGCAGGCUCACUCAGUCCCGGCUCUGUGGAAAUAGUGGGGUGAGAACUACAACAAAGUUCCCAAUGGGUUCGGCCCCAAUCUCACCGACUUUCCUACUAGGACUAACUCAGGCAUAAUAGAAAGAAUAAGCAGAUAAGUAGCCAACUAUAUAAAUGCAACUAAUAUAUCUGAACAAUGCUAUCAAUAAGAUGCUCAAUAUAAAUUCAUGAAGAAUGCAUGGUCGAUGUUCUUUGUUCUUUGUUCUUUGUUCUUUGUUCUUUGUUCUUUGUUCAAUCUCAAGGCUAACCAGGGGGUAUCGCCUCAUUAACUCACAACUCAAAUCCAUGAUCACGGGCCCUCAGCUUCCUCCCGCUAGGACCGUCCUCUGAGUAACUCAACCAGUGAUGACAAACUCCAGAGCGCAUCGCCCGAGGGGGAGCGACCACCCUCGAGCAAGGACUUAUAGCAAGUAUGAUCAAUCCUUAACUCUAAGGAUAUUCAGUUCAAUCUGUUCCUUAACUUUAAGGAAUCAUGCACAAAUGACCCUUAGCUCUAAGGUUGAAUGUCAUCGUGUCAAUCUCAUGUUCUUUGCAUUCUUUAUCUUUGAUCAUGUCAAUACACUAACUCUAGUGUUUCUUUACAUUCUUUACUAUCAUUCAUGUCAUACAUUAACUCUAAUAUUCCUUGAUGCCACACUUUGAUGCUAACUCUAGCUAUUGUUCUUUAUGUCACACUUUUGAUGCUAACUCUAGCAUUUAAUGUUCUUUAUGACUCACUUAUUCACUUGAUGCCACACUUUUCUCUUUGAUGUCAUACACUAACUCUAGUGUUUUUAUACAACUUUAGGCUAUCUUUAGUUUUUAUUCUCACAUUUCAUUGUCCUCAUGUCAUAUGUCACUUGCUCUUUAACUUUACCAAGUUCUCAUCAUCAUACAUGCACAUAUAGGGUUAUUACAUUCUUAUUAGUUCUCAACCAUCUAAUGAUGCACUUGAACUCACAAAAUGCAAACAUUCACAUAUUCAUAAUCUCAUUACCCUACUAUGCAUGCAACAAUAUACUCAUGGAUACUCAAGAAGUGACACAUUAGACAUAAAGGGAAUUCCAACAAGUUUGGGUAGCACCACCCACCUCGUAGGCGUACUGUCACGCCCCGGGACCGGCGGAGGCCCUCCCGGUAGCGUGCCCAGACCCGCCAUAUGUCAACACAUAAAAGGCGUCUACAACAAAAGCGGAAGUAAAGCAAGCGAUAGAACAAAUAAAAGAAGUAAAAUAACUAGCAACUAAUGAUAUCAGAGCGAGUAUAGUUCUAACAUCUACACCAAAGUAAAAAAGUAAAGCUAGACCACAAAAGGAGUCAUAAGUAGUACAAUAACUGUCUCUAGUACAAAAAUGGUGGUCUCUAAUACACUGGUAACACCCUCAACCUCUCGCAAAAUAAAAUAAGACAUCGAGAGGUAGACCACCUAGCAACUCGUCCUCGAAGGAAGCUAGCUCAUAGCAACUCCCUUCCCGCGAUCCCUAGCCUCACCCUGCGUGGAAGGCUCUGAAAAACAUUGAGAAAAAGAGGGCGUGAGAACUAUAAUUUAUAGUUCCCAGUGGGCAAUUACUGACCUCAGCUCAAUGCACCACUAGGCCCCAGAAGAAAAGGGGUAAGUACAAUAAUAAUAGCAAUAAUGACUGCGAUAUAAAGGCAUAAUUAAAAUGCUAAAUUACCAAACUCAAGUAUAAACGAUGUCAUGGUGAUGUACAUCUACGAUAUCAAAAUAGUAAAUCAUUAACCUUUAUGAAUACAUUAUGCAUAAGUUCUGUCAUGGCAACCAAGUAUGCUUUAAUGCAAAAGGAGACUAUCAAGUAUACUACAUGUCUCAACACUAUGCUAAAAGCAUAUAAAUGUAAUUCAACUACUAAACCUAUCUAGUAGUGAUUAACCAUUCUCAACACCGUGUCGAUUUCCAUUUCCAAUUAAGGACCUACCAAAGGUAGUCCAGCUUGUGCCGCCUAAGUGCCUGUGGUAGCCCAACAUCCCUACUCUUGGGAUGUGUCUGUCCCACUCGACCCCGUAGGCUUCUCAAUACCGCACGAGCGAACAUAAGUCGCGUAGGCUAACUUCGGAGUGCCGGCUUGUAGGGAGCGACCCUCACAAGCAUGUGCGAAUGAGCACAAAUGGCAAGCAAGCAUAGUCCAAGCCUCAAAUAUCCAAUCUUCAUGUCUCUAACAUGGUAUGGUCACUAGCAUCCCGAAGAUCUAGUUUAAGUCACAAUAUGAAGUUUCAAUAUUUGCUACGCCUAGUGCCCCUUGAUGACACUUAGGCAAUUUGACGUUCAACAUGUAUUUUAAAUCCCUCAAUGACCCUAUCCACUAGGUUCUCACAUGUCCCGAGCUCAAUGCCGCUUGAUGACAUUAGCUCUCUAGUUCACAUACCUUCUAAAUGGCAAUCUUGAUAACUUUCAUGUCUCAAUAAACUUAAGUUUAAAUGCAUGAAUCCAAUCUCAUUUACACUAUAGGAGCAUGAAAACACGUCUCAUAUAGAAUGCUAAAUGCAACUAUGGGCCUAACAAGCUACUCUCUACUACAUAGAGGUCCAAAAUUUCAUCAUAUAUAACAUAGGCCUUUUAAGCAUUCUAAAAAUCAUAAUAAAUACAUAUAACAAGAAUGUGCAUGCCUUUUCAUUUAACGAUACUUAAUUAAGCACAAAUGAGAAUUUCUCAUUGUGUGGCUAGGUCAAACCCACCGAACCGUCGCGUAGGGCCUCGUUUCGCCGAACAAAGUUGUCCCCGAGUCUCAAAAUACCCUAAAAGUAUUGAGCGACAAGAUACACGGGCAUUACGAUCAACUAUAAGAUCAAAUUUUAACAAAUUUAGCAAAAGGGCUAAAACUCACCUAAUGUGUGGAAAAUCUCUCUCAAGCUCCAAAAGAGAGCUAAAUCCCUUCCAAACCAAGCCCAAGGAUGGUCCUAAUCCAACCAAGUUAGCCCCAAAAGCCCUAGAUCAAAAAUGCCCAAAAUAAGCCCUAAGUAUCAAAUCUAGAGUUCCAUCUCAAAGAAACCUUCAAAAAUCAAAUCUAGAGGAAAAGAUCUAGUCACUUACCUCUAGGAAGCUUCAAAUCAAGCUCUAAAUGCUCAAGGUCCCAAGGUCUCUCCUCCACUUAGCUCCAAGUCCAAGCUCCAAUGGUGAAGAAGCCUUCAAAGGAGCAAAAGAGAGCAAAAGAGAGGGUUUAAUCUUUUAAAAACCCAACCGAUAUCAAGAAAUCCAAGGGGGAGAGUGUGGAGGGCUCCCUUACCCUUCUCCUUGCUGGUGCCAAGCUCAGGGAGAGCCCUAGGGGCGUGGGGGUACUAAUAGAGAUGCCACAAUUGCGAGAAACCCCCUGCAGUUCAAACUGCUCAGAUUCUGCCAAAGUGUACCGGUACACGGAAAAGUGUACCGGUACACAUCCUACGAAAAUGCAAACCCGAGGCUCGGGUUUGAAAUUCGCUACAAGUGUAUCGGUACAACCAUCAAGGGUGUACCGGUACAAAAUGUGUACCGGUACAGCCAUCGACCUGUCACCGGUUACACCUCGUGCAGAAUGCAAUCCGAGGGUAGCCUAAGUCCAACUCUUUAGUGACCUUAACGCUACAUAAAAUACUACAAUUCUCGGGAUGCGAGCCAUAGGUCGGAACACUGUCAACGACCCACCAGAAAGUCUGGAAAAACUCGGGACACUGUCCAAACACUCGAACCUCGCAAUUUGCAAAGGUCCAGUGCGUCACACGUACUAGGAUGCUACGGUGAUUUUCUUGGAAUUUUUAGCCUCUUAGUUUGCUACCUACGGCAAAACAAAGCCCUAUUAAGCCAUUUUGCUCAUAUCUUUAUAUUGGGUUUUCGUAACGUUAAUCCGAGCGCACCAACACGUUGGAAAUACCCCCAAUUAGGUUUCUAGAGGGUCAAUUUCACUUUGAAAUCCUCCCGAGCAAAAGCCCCAAAUUUGGGUGCCCUAGCUCAUAGUACAUAUCAAACCUAGGGUUUGAUCUCAAAGAUAAGCAAAAGAAGCUUCAAUCUACUCUAGAGACUCCAUUAAAAUCAUUCUUAACUCUAUCAAGACCCUAGUUUGGAUUCCAUUAUGAGAGAGGUUGAAGCUCACCUCUAAGUUUCAUCACAUAUACCCAAUCCAUGGUUUUGAUCUCUUAAAGAAGCAAAAGAAAGCUUCAAAUACUCAAAAGGUUCUACUAAAAUCAUUUCUAGGUCAUUUGGUUCUCAUUCUAGGGUUUUACCAUGAAAGGGAUCAAAGCUUACCUCAAAGCUCUCCUUUCUUUAUGCUAGAGGUGAAGGAGAAGGAGUUGCUUCACUCUUUCUUCUUCUUCUCUACCUUCCUUCUUUUUUUCUUCUUCUUCUUUUCCUUUCUUUCCCUUUCUUUCUUCUUCUCCUUCUUGUCUUCUAGAGAGAGAAAGAGAGGAGAGAGAGUGAGAGGGUGAGAAUGAGAGAAAACACCUCAUAACCCCCUCAACAUAACCCAUAUAUUGCAUUUUCGCAAAUAAACCCCUCAGCUUUUACUUUAUUAAACUGCCCAAACUGGGCAGAAUUCGUGCUCGGGGACCGGUCUCCCCGACUUGGGACCGGUCCCAGAGAGCUCUCCCCGCGGGCAGCAAAGGCCCCCGCGCAGUGCAACAGGUCUCUCCCAGAGGGACCGGUCUCUCGGGGACCGGUCUCUCCUCGCAGGGACCGGUUCCCGAGAGCUGGUAUUCUGGGACUUAGCCGAUUUUCAGCUUUCUCAGUUAUCACGCGUUCGGGGACCGGUCUCUCCCACCAGGGACCGGUCCCCGAGAGCACAAAACCUGCAGAAUGAAGAUUUUUAAUUCUUUAGCUCUCGAAAACCUCCCACAAUACACUUUUGAUCAUUUUAACACCUUCGGACUUUCCGAAGUGUACCAUCCUCGCACUUUGGUCAAUUUGACUAAAGUUCGAUAUUUAUUUUUCGAAUUCUCGGUAUAUUACACGAAUGCUUCUAGAUGAGCUUCUAGAUGUUGAACAAGCUCUCUUUUGCUUGUUCUAGAGAUCAAACCAAGACAUUUUGCUAUAUGUCACAUUAGGGCACCCAAAAGAGGGAUUUUGCUCAAGUAGGGUUUUGAUGUAAAUUAACCCUAUACAAACCUAAUUGCUAGGUAUACAAAUGCGUUGGUGAGGUCAGUUUGACAAUUCGUCGAGCCUAUGCGAAGUUAUUGAAGAAACGGACCGUUAAAGCUUCGUUUCCGCUUGGAGGGCCGAGGUGGCGUCCAAAAAUCACGAGAUCGAAUCCGGAGCAUCUUAGCAUCAAGUUAAAGACCUUUAAUUUCCGGAUCGGGGAUUGGUGGCUGUUUGGGUGGUCGCGCGAGAGUUCAGGCCGAACCGGGUCACGGGUGCCGCGGGAAGCCGAUUGCAAGUGACUACGAGAAAUCGGAGAGUAAGUUAAGGUGGGUUGUGUUUACCGAAGCGACUAGGUGGCCUAUCUGUCUAAGACUAGUGCUUACUAUUGAUGCAUGUAAUGGUAGCUAGUGGUAGAACACAUAAAUGUAUAAGGUGAAAUGCUAUGUUAGGCUACCAAAUAAUGCAUAUGGUCAUAAUGUCAGAAUGCUAAGUAAUGCAUAAUGACAUAGUGUAAAUAAUGCUAAGUGGAAAGCAUAAAGUAAAUGACAUAUGUUAGUCAUGUUGCUUGUAUAGAAAUGAUAAUGUAAGAAUGCUAAGUGGAUGCAUAUCGAUAUGAAAUAAGAAUGCUAAAGAAAAUAUAUGAUAAGCAUGUUGUAGAGAUGCUAAUGUAAAAAUGCUGAGUAAAGGACAUGUACUUGUGGACAUAUACAUAUACACAUAGAUCGAGUGGCAUUGAACCUAGAGUCGUGAACCUAGGUUGAACAAGAGUGAUAUUGAACCUAGUGUUAAUGAAUAUAGGUUAAACAAGAAUGGCAUUAAACCUAAUGUUAGAGAAUAUAGGUUGAGAAUGAACCUAGAGUUAAGUCAACCUAGGUUGUUUGUUAAAGAUAAUGAACCUAGUGUUAAAGUAAACGUAGGUUAUGUUAUAAAAGUGUUAAACCUAGAGUCAAGUGGACCUAAGAUGAAAAGGAUAAUGGACCUAAGUAGGUCGAUACCAUAUGGUUAAGACCAACCCUUGAGUUAUGUGGAAAUGGAUUCCGGAAUCCCAGAGCUUAUGGAGCACCCAAGGUGGUGUUGGGCGUGUGCGACGAUUUCGCCGUCCGGGGCAAUACCAUCGAUGUGGCGUGUGCGACGAUUUCGCCGCCAGAUAGGUGAGCCGAAUUGUGGUUUAUACCGGUUGAGCCGGGUUGUGGAUUAUACCGCUAGUUGACUCGAACCACUGACGUGGCGUGUGCGACGAUUUCGCCGCCGGGUGGCUAGGUCAUAGAGUGCGGUGAGCUGUGGAAGGCUAAGGUGUAAGUGAGAGUUCCUUCACCUCGAGCUAGAUAGAGCGCGGAUUAUCCGUAGUGGAUUGACUCAAGACCGAGUCGAGUGGCAUAGUGUGACUAAGGUAAGAGUAACCUUAGGUAAGAAUGACAAAUGAGCAUAAUAUGGCUAAGGUGUGAGUACCCCUAGUAAAGAAGAAAGAAUAGCUAAUGAAUAAGAAUAGCUAAUAAAGUAAAAACGACUACAAGUAAAGAAUGACUAAUAAUAUGAAAUAGAAUCAAUUAAUCUACUUGCAUGAGAUACAGGACUUGCAUAUUGCAUAUUGUGAGGCAUGACAUAUAGUUCAAUAUCGAGUAAAUGAAUAAAUAUCUGUUUUAUAUUAUUGGACUAACCUGUUGCAGUGCCUCCUUGGACCUAUUGGUCGAGCUUUUUCCUUGGGUGGUCGUACCCACUGGGAACCAUGGAGUUGGUUCUCACCCCACGUUGUUUUGGAGUGUUACAGGUUCGCACGUGAGCGGCGCGGCGGCGCGAGGAAAGGGCGUAGCUCCGUAGAUAGCGGCCCUACCCCCCAGACUGAGAUAGUUGUAACCCGAGGUUGUCUAGCUUAGGGGUUUGAAGACAAAUAUACCAAACUUAUAAUGAUUGUAUUUUGGAAGUUGAAUGUAAAAGAAAAUUGUGAUGUAAAAUACACCUAAGAUGAAUGUUGUAAUAAGUUAGUUGUUUUAUGUUUUUGAUACUUCCUUAUGCAAUCUUUGGUUGAAUUCGGUUCCUGGUUGGAACAUCGUGAAUUGUAUCGAUUGCGACGCCUUUGUCGUACAGGGGAGACUCUGUCUGCGGUACAGGGAAACCUUGUCCGUUCGGCGGUCUGUUCGCGUGCCCGAACCCGACCAAAUAGGCGGGGCACGGGGCGUGACAAAGGAUCUCCCCGAUUGAUGAGCUCCGGAGUAGUCAUCACUGGGUCGUAGCGAGUAUCUCCCCAGAGGACGGUCCCGUCGGGUUGUAGCAAGUAUCUCCCCGAUAGUAGGGAUUUGGGUUUGUGAGUUCUGAAGCGAAACCUACGGGUAAGCUUAGAGGAUUGGGUAUUGAUUUUGGCAAUUGUCAUGCACCAUGAGCAGUAUAUAUAUUGGUUCUCCUCGCCCAUUAGGCGAUGUGGUUUGAGGAUUUACAGUUGAGGUGCAUGUGAGACGUCCUUCACCUUGAGCUUGACAGAGCGAGGCAUAUCCGCGGUUGAUUCACUCAAGACCGAGUCGAGUGGCAUAGUUGGCUAAGAUAAAGUAAUCUUAGGAAAGAUUGGUUAGUGCUAAAGAAUAGCGAAUAGUAAAGAAUUGCAAUGAAGAAAGAACGGUUAAUGCUAAGGAAAAGCAAAUAAUAAAGAACGGCUAAGAAUUAAAGAAAGGCAACUGAAAGAAAGUAGAAUUAGUUAACCUACUUGCAUAAGUUGCAUGAUUUACAUAUUGCAUAUCCUAAGGCAUAAACAUAUAUUUAAUAUUUGUAUUAAAUAUCUGUCGAUAUCUGUUGGACUAACAUGUUUGCAGUGCCUCCUUGGACCUGGUGGGUCGAGCUUUUCCCUUGGGUGGCCGUACCCACUGGGAACUAUGUACAAUAGUUUUCACCUCCGUGUUGUUUUUGGGGGUACAGGUUCACACGUGAGCGGCACGGCGGCGCGAGGAAAGGGCGUAGCUCCAUAGAUAGCACCCUACCACCAGACCAGAAAUAGCAUUACCCCGAGUCGGCUUAGCUAGGGGUUGUAGAAAAGAUGUAAAACAAUAUUGUAAUAAUCUUGUGAUCGAUGAUUGUAUUGGAAGGAAAUGUAAUCGAAAAUUGUAAAUGUAUAAGUUGGGAUGAAUGCUUGUAAUAGCUUAGUUAUUUUAUAUUUUUGAUACUUCCUUAUGCAAUCUAUACUUGAUUUCUGUUCCUGGUUGGAACAUCGUGAAUUGUAUUGAUUGUGACGCCUAGGACGUACAGGGGACACUCUGUCCGUUCGGCAGUCUGUCGGCGUGCCCGAAUCCGACCAAAUAGGCGGGCUCGAGGCGUGACAGAUAAAGUGGUAUCAGAGCAUAAAGUAGAGAAUAGAAAAAUAGUUUAGAUGGACCUAGGAGACCCUAAAAUAGUAAACCAUAGGAGAUUAAGGCUCGUGAGAGACGAGGACUUGAGACUUGCGGCGAAAGGAUUAUGGAUUGGGUUAUGUAGUAAACCUCUAAAACGGAUGUUAGAGAUAGAUUCAAGGUGUGGUUUAUUUUCAACCGAGGGUGUUCAUGUUGGACGCGUACAACAUGAAACCGAGUGAUGGGAAUAGACGCCCUUGCUUCACUUCCGCCCGAUUUGAGUCGGUAUUAGUUGUCUCGUGUACGACCCAGAGGGUCGAGGCUUAACGAAGUUGUCGCGUUUAGGAAGCGAUGGCACCGCAUCUUCGUAUUGAUCGGCGCGGGAGGGGACAAGUGGUGUCCAUGAGUAGUUGGAGGCGAGCGGAGGCUUGGAACUUUGCAAGUAAUUGGCCACUCUCGUGGGAAUGGCAAGGUACGAAUCGAUUAGGUGCAGCAACAGCAGGAGGCUGCCAUGCGCCAGAGGGAGCAAGCUUUGGCGGCCCUCAUGACCUUGAAGAAGAUUAUGAAUCCUCGUCGUGUUAAACCACUUUUGGUCAAAUUGACCAAGUGCGUCGAGAGAAAUAGUUGGACAAAGUUAAAUUAAUAAUCCAACAGUGUUGGAAGGGUUAAAAAUAAGUUCCAAAAAAGUUAGAAAGGUUUUAGCAUCGAUCGGCACGAAAUAGAGUCAAAACGGCGCGAAAUUGAAAUUUUGGAACUUGUGUUACCGGUUUAACACCAGGGGUGUACCGGUACAGCGUGGUAAGCCGAGAGAAACAGCUCUCGGGUUUGCCUCUACGAAAUGCUGUAACCGGUGACAGACAAAAAGUGUACCAAUACACAGUGUAAAAAACCCGAAACAGCAGCUCUCAGGUUUGGCUGUUGCGCGAUUGUGUAACCGGUGACAAGAUCACCUUGUACCGGUACACAGUGUCCUAGACAGCAGGUUAAGUCUGGCACAGAUAAGAUAAAUUGAAGGGCUUAAAUGCAAUUGUUGUGGCUUAUAAAAACCCCCACAACCUCUUCUCUCUCAUUCAUAGCAGUGAGAACACCUUCCUUACUCAUUUUUCUCACUCUCUUGGAGCAUUUUCAAGUGUGGAAUGGCGAAGAUUAGGGGAGCACGAGUCUUAUUGCAAGGAAUGGGACUCGUGGUAGAGAUGGAAUUGGCGGACCAACUCGCAGAGCAAUGUAAGUAAUUGAUCGCGAGAGUUGAGUCAUUACACUUGUGUACACUCAAGUAAUCCGAGUGUUUCGAAUGUUGUUUCGGUAGAUCGAACAGUGAAAGUGAAUCACUGUUGAGGGAAUAGUUGGUUAGUGCCAAGUUUGGCCUGUCGGCCUAGUUGUCAUACGUCUAAAACAUAUAAGGCGUCUAAAAUAAAAUGAUAAAUGAGACAAUAAAAGAAAACAACUAGAAGUAUCAGAGCAAUAUACAACAUCUAGAAAUUAAAGCAAUUUGAAGAGUAGAGAGCUAAAAUCACUAAAUAAACCAUAAAGUAGUACAACCAAAGAUCCAAAUACAAGAACUAAAAGAGUACAUAGGUGAUCUCUAUACAUAAUAAACAAAAUCUCUCGCUCUCCCAAAACAUAAAAAGAGGGAAAACCACCUAAGAGUAAAAGUAAAUCCUCGCUAUCUAGCUAGCGAUCCCCUUGCCGCAGUCCCGUGCCUCCGCCGGUGCAGAGGGCUCUGAAAGGAAAACAUAAAACAGAGGGCGUGAGAACUAUUAAAUAAUAGUUCCCAGUGGGCAAUUACUGACUUCAGUGAAAUGCACCACUAGGCCCAAAACUAAGCAAGUAAGGUAAGUAAGGCAGAUAAGAAUAAUAUGAACAAAUAAAUCACUGAAAUGGAAGCUCACUAUAGCAUGAUGUCACUACUUUUAUCAGUAAUAAUCUACCACAUGAUCUCUAUUUAGCAUGGAUUUGCAUAAGUAAUAAACUACCACAUGAUCUCUACUUAGCAUGAAUUUGCAUAAGUAAUAAACUAUCAUAGCAUAAUUGCAGAAGUAUAAGCCGAACACAAUAAUCACAAGCUAGAAUGGUAAUUUGUCAUUAUCUACUAUUCUAGUCAAUGUCCAAAAGGUACAAUAUGUCACCAGUAAUCCAAUCCUGUAGAAGCUACCCGUAGGUAGUCCGGCCUGCGCCGUGCCAACAAUGGCCCCGUGGUAGUCAAUAUCCCCACUCUAGGAAUGAGCCUCCCCCACGGCAUCCCAUUUUGGCGCCCAAUCCCGCACGGGCGAGCAUAUGUCGCGAUGGCUAUCUCCGGAGUGCCGACUUGUAGGGAGCGACCCUCACAAGUAUGUGCGAAUGAGCACAAUGGCAUGCAAGCGAAUAAGUCCGUCUCAGGUCCCAGUGGUUCAUCACUGUUUCAUCGGAUUUAAAACCCGGAAUACAGCACAUGUCCCAAACGCCUGCCUCUAUGUCAUCGUGUCUAAAACACGGAAUAUAGUAACUGUCUCAAUGGCCUAUCUCAAUGUCAUCAUGUCUAAAACAUGGAAUUUAGUAGAUUUUCAGUGGCCUAUCAUCAUGUCUCUAAGUUGCAGUUCAACAAUUUUCUAGUUCAAGUGCCCCUUUAUGACACUUUUGCUUACUAUGUCCCAAUAUGAAUAAUAAGUCUAAAAGCUUGUCAUUCUAAUCAUUUUCCACACAAGAAACAUGAUCUUACAUCAUUUGUUAGAACAUUAAACUCAUGCAUACUAACAAUGCAUAUGCUUCUCUCUACAACAUAGAGUCAAUUUUUCAUGAUACAUAACAUAGGAGUUUUAAGCAUUCUAAAAUUCAUAUAAAUUCUAUUCAACAUGGAUAUGCAUACAUUUAUAGUAUACGAAAAUAUUUAACCACGUAGGAGGCAUUUCCCCCUAUUUCAAUGAAGCCAAACCCACCACAACUCUCGCAACUCCUUUGUUUGCUCCGACGAAGGUGUCCACUAGUCUUCUACCACCCUAGAGGUGUAGAAACAAGAGUUAAACGGACCUUACGAACAACCAUAAGGUUGAUCAUUAACCAUCUCGAGCUAACGUGGAGAAAAACUCACCUAGAUGAAGAAAUCCUCAAAUAAAGUUCAAAUGGAAGCCAAAUCCCUUACAAAGUAACCUAAUCCAAGGUUCUAAACCCAUCAAUAGAGCUCUAAAAGCUUCUAAUCAAAAAGCCCCAAAAUAGACCCUAAGUUCCAAAUCUAGGGUUUCCAACAUGAGAAAUCCAUCAAACCAUGUAUUAAAUGGAAAAUACAUGCUACUAACCUCUUAAGUAGCCUCAAACCAAGUCCAAAAUCAGCUAGGGUUGAAGAUCUCCUCUCAAACAAGCUCCUCUCAAAGCUCCAAGUCUUCAACAAUGGAGAAAACCCAACAAGUAGCAAAGAAGAGAAAAAAAGGAGAGAUCAAAACACCAUAAAAUCCACCAAAAAUGGAGAUCAAACAAAGGGAGGGAGACUCACCUUGAUCUCCACUGGUUAGGGCUCAAAAUGAGCAGCUAUGGGGGCUGGGGUGAUAUUUAUAGAGGUUGUAACAAUUGUAAAUACACCCCUCCCCGAACUUAGCGCAGUCUGCAUUGUGUACCGGUACACGGGAAAGUGUACCGAUACAGUUCCUGCGAAACUGCACAACCCGAGCCUCGGGUUGGCAGAAAAUUCGAAGUGUACCGGUAUGACAUCGAGGCUGUACCGGUACACUGCGUUCCGGUACAACUAUCAAGGUUGUACCGGUACACAAUCCUACCGAGGUAACCCGAGAGCACACCAACAAUCCUACAUUUUGGGAUUUUGGCCACAAGCUUAAACCCACAAUUCUCGGAAUGCGAGCCAUAGGUCAGAACACUGUCUACGACCCUCCAGAAUAUCUGAAAAAGCUCAGAACAUAGAUCAAACACUCGAACCUCGCAAUUUGCAAUGGUCCAGUGCGUUACAUUCACCCCUCCUAAAAAGGAGUUUCGUCCGCGAAACUCGGAAUACAACAUAUCUCACGACUCCAUCUGAAAGAGAUGGGGAUAACGCUCCUGCAGAGCGCUCUCUAGCUCCCACAUAGCCUCUCGCUCCCCCUGGUUGCUCCAAAGGACCUUCACAUACGGAAUAUCCCGACUCCACAGCUUCUUCACCUCGCGAGCCAAAAUCUUCACUGGUUGCUCCUCGAUGCUCAAAUCCUCAUGCAGCUCCACUGGUAAACCAUCCAAAAUGUGAGCUGGAUCAUGAAUGUAUCUCCGAAGGACCGAUACAUGAAAAACGUUGUGCACGCCCGAUAGAUUCGGCGGUAGGGCAAGUCGAUACGCUACCGGGCCUACACGUUCCAAAAUCUCAUACGGUCCAAUGAAACGGGGGCUCAACUUUCCCCGAAUCCCGAAUCUCUUGAUUCCUCUAGUCGGCGAGACCUUCAAGAAAAUAUGGUCUCCAACUUGGAACUCCAAGUCUCACCGCCAUCGAUCAGCGUAGCUCCUCUGUCUACUCUGCGCCGUCAAGAGUCGCUCCCGAGCAAUGCGAACCUUGUCCUCAGCUUCCUAGAGCACAUCAGGGCCUAAAGUAAGUCUCUCGCCAACUUCACUCCAAUGAAGUGGCGAUCUACACUUCCGUCCAUAAAGUGCUUCGAAGGGCACUUGAUGCUUGUUUGAUAACUGUUGUUAUAAGCAAACUCCGCCAUAGGUAGAUACUGCGACAAUCCUCCCUGGAAGUCAAUCACACAUGCUCGGAGCAUAUCCUCUAAAGUCUGAAUAGUGCGCUCCAACUGCCCAUCACUCUGAGGGUGGAAAGCGGUGCUGAAAUCCAGUCAGGUGCCUAAGGCGUCCUACAGACUCCUCCAAAAAUGAGACACAAACCGAGUGUCUCGAUCAGAUACAAUCGAAGUAGGCACUUCGUGCAGUCGCACAAUCUCGUCAAGGUACACUUGUGCGAGCUUCUCCCCAGUCCAAGUCGUAUGAAUAGGUAUGAAGUGCGCCGACUUCGUCAAUCUGUCCACAAUCACCCAAAUGGCAUCAUGCCCGGCCUGAGAACGAGGCAAUCCAGUCACAAAAUCCAUGGUGAUCUUCUCCCACUUCCAUACGGGAAUCGACAAACUCCGAAGUUUUCCCGCGGGUAACCGGUGCUCAGCUUUAACUUGUUAGCAAGUUAGACAUCUAGCAACAAACUCACAAACAUCCUUUUUCAUCCCGGGCCACCAAUAAAUCAACUUUAAAUUCUUGUACAUCUUGGUGCCUCUCGGAUGUAUAGCAUAGGGCGCCCUGUACGCUUCUUGAAGAAUAUCUUCUUUAAUUCCCGAAUCCGCCGGNAUAGCAUAGGGCGCCCGGUGCGCUUCUUGAAGAAUAUCUUCUUUAAUUCCCGAAUCCGCCGGAACACAAAGCCGUCCUCGAAAGCGCAUCAACCCUUGGUCGUCCACGAGGAAACCGCCGGUGCAACCAUCAACCAUUUUUCCUCUAAUCUUUUGCAGUUCCACAUCGAAAACUUGCUUUUCUUUGAUUCUAUCCAACAAUGUAGGUUGCACUACCAAUGUCAUCAACCUCAAGGGCGUGUCAGGAGUCACCACCUCCAUCUCCAACUGCUUCAUCUGCUCGAUCAAUUGCGGUUGAGCCACAAUAUGCAUCGCCAAGUUCUCCAUCGAUUUUCGACUUAGUGCAUCAGCCACCACGUUAGCCUUGCCUGGGUAGUAGAGAAUGGUCAAAUCAUAAUACUUGAGCAGCUCCAACCAUCUGCGCUGCCUCAAGUUCAACUCCUUCUGAGUGAAUAGGUAUUUCAAGCUCUUGUGAUCCGUGUAUACUUCACACCGCUCGCCAUAAAGAUAGUGGCGCCAUAGCUUCAAUGCAAAGACUACGGCCGCCAACUCCAAAUCAUGUGUGAGGUAAUUUCUCUCAUACUCCUUCAAUUGGCGGGAAGCAUACGCGAUCACCUUGCCAUUCUGCAUCAAAACGUAACCCAAUCCAUUAAAUGAAGCAUCACUAUAAACCACAUACCCGGCUCCAGCAACUGGCAGGGUUAGGAUCGGGGCGGUCGUCAAUCUUUGCUUCAACUCUUGGAAGCUCCUUUCACACGCAUCGUUCCAAAUAAACUUAACACCUUUAUGCAUGAGCCUCGUGAGGGGAGUAGAUAACUUAGCAAACCCCUCAACAAAUCUCCGGCAGUAGCCGGCCAAUCCAAGGAAACUCCGAAUCUCCGUGACGCUUGUCGGUCUCGGCUCCCUGAUAGCCUCAAUCUUCUUGGGAUCCACUGCAAUACCUGAUCCCGAAAUCAGAUGCCCAAGGAAAGCCACCUCUCGAAGUCAAAAUUCACACUUUCUCAGCUUAGCAAAGAGCUCCCUUUCACGAAGUAGUUGAAGUACAAGCCUCAAAUGCUCCUCGUGAUCCGCAUCACUUCGGGAAUAAACCAAGAUGUCGUCGAUAAACACCACGACGAACCUAUCCAGAUAAGGCUUAAAGACACUGUUCAUUAAAUCCAUAAAAGCUGCCGGGGCAUUAGUAAGCCCAAACGGCAUAACUGUGAACUCGUAAUGUUCAUACCGUGUUCUAAAGGUCGUCUUCGAUACAUCCUCGGGCUUGAUCUUUAACUGGUGGUAUCCCAACUGCAAGUCUAUCUUGAAAUACACACACGAUCCCUGAAGCUGAUCAAACAAGUCGUCGAUCCUCGGCAACGGAUACUUAUUCUUGAUCGUGACUUUAUUAAGUUCACGAUAGUCCACACAUAAGCGAAGCGAUCUGUCUUUCUUCUUGACGAACAAAACUGGCGCUCCCCAAGGCGAGACGCUCAGCCGAAUGAAGCCUCUGUCCAGAAGAUCCUGUAGCUGUGCCCUCAGCUCCUUCAGCUCCGCCGGUGCCAUCCUAUAGGGUGCCUUUGAGAUUGGGGUAGUCCUAGGGACGAGAUCUACCACGAACUCAAUCUCCCUAUCAGGUGGCAUACCCAGUAGCUCAGCUAGAAACACAUCCUGAAACUCUCGUACCACCGGGAUAUCCUCAAUCCUAGGGGUAUCAUCGUCGCCCCUCAUAACAACACUAGCCAAAAAGGCUAUGCACCCUCUGCUAGUCAGCUGCCUAGCCCGUGACGAGCUGAUCGUCAUCGCAAAUAGCGAACUCUGGCAUUCUCUAAAUAUCACCUCAACUUGCCCCGGUUCUCUAAAAGUAACCGUGCGAUUCUUGCAAUCAAUCGUGGCAUAACAUUUGGUUAGCCAAUCCAUACCCAAAACCACAUCGAACUCCCCUAGCUUGCGCAAGGCUAGCAAGUCCACGGGCAUAAUCCAAUCCCCAACCCAAACAGGGCAACUGGAGCAGUAUUCCCUAAUAUCCAAAAUAUGGUCGGGUACUACAACCUGUCCUGGAUGCAACAAAAAAACCAUCUGGAUGUCAUGCAACUCGGCGAACAGCCGAUCUAUAAAUAAAUGUAAUGCACCGGUAUCAAACAAUGCUCGAACUCUAAUACCAUCAAGUAAAAUGAUACCUGCAACCACAUCCCCGGCUGUCGCCGCCUCCUCGGUCUGAGCGGCAUACAUACGGCCACUCGAGGCCUGGCGUGAUCCCUCGCUCUGACGCUCGACGGGUGGCCGCCCAGGCUGGUACUGUGCCGAUGGAGUCACCUGGCUAGCGGCUGGUAGAGCCGGUGCCGAUGCAGUCGAUGGUGCCGGUGACGAUCUCCUCGGGCACUUAGUCCGGAAGUGGCCCUCCUGGCCACACAAGUAGCACCUGCCUCUCCGCUGUGGACACUACGGUGGAGUGUGAGGACCACCGUAUAUCACGCACUGGAGAGGUCGGCAUCGAUCAGGACCUCCUCGCUGCGCUGCAGGGCCGCGCCCAUGCUGUGGCUCCCAGGGUGUUUCGGCGGCCUCCUAGAGUGCGUCUGGCUCACACCCUCCGCCGCAGGCCUCCUGGCCUUACCCCUGUCCAAGCCCUCUCGCCGCUCCUGCACCUCUGCCACGUCGCUUUCCACGAUGAGCGCGCGAUCCACCACCUCCCGGUAGGUUUGGAGGUUAGAGGAUUGCACGAACCGGAAGAUCGACGAUCGCAACCCCCGUUCGAAGAUGUGGGCCUUGUCCUCGUCGUCCCGCACGACGAAAGGCACACAGUGAAGAAGCUGAGAAAACUCCCUCUCGUACUCGGCCACAAUGCGGUCUCCCUGGCGCAAGCUGCGCAGAUCCUGUUCCAUUUUCCUCUUGACGCUAGUCGGGAAGUAGUGCACCAGUAGAACCUCAUUGAACUUCUUCUAUGUAAUAGCCGCCAAGUCGGUGCUCGGGUUCUCCUAAAGAUCCAACCACCAGCGAUAGGCCUCGCCGUCCAGAUGGUGAGUUGCGAGCCAAACUCGAUCUCUCUCCUCCACGAAGGUGUCGCGGAAGAGCUUCACCAUAUGCAUCAACCACUUUUCCAUGAUCCAGUUGUCGACCCUCUGUCCGUCGAAAAUCCUGGGGCUGCACCUCCUGAACUCAUUGAGGCGCUCCAUCAGCCUGUCCUGCUCUGCUCCCUCGGCCAUCAUGGGGAAAACCGCCCCCGCAAGAGGCACCUGAGUUGGUGGUGCCGCAAUCACCUCCUCCCGUGGCGCUACCGGAGGCAUCGUCCGAGAUGUGUCGAGUGCAGGGGACGAUCCUCGGGGUGCAACCACCUCCACUGGCGUGGGUGGUGUAGGAACCUGAGCCUCCCGAGCCUCCUCCUGUUGCAGUAGGAGGUCCUCCAGACGCUUCAUCCAUGCCUCCUGUCGACGCGCCGCCUCCGUCUGCUGCGCCACCAUGUCAGUGAGGACCGCAAGCUGGCUUCUCAACUCGCGGACCUCGCCGGAUCUGGAGGUAGCGGAGGUCUCAACCUCCUCCAGAUGUGCCGCAUUAUCCGCUCCAGCAGAUUGAGAGCGAGUGAUCGGCAUCGCACUACAACAUCAUAAAAGCGCAAGUUAGUAAAACUCACACUAUCGAAUCCCUGCUCAAGUAAAUAAAAUCCCAAAUCAUGCGAAAGUAAAGAAGUGUGCUUCACUACUAACUCCCGAUGUUACGUUGUUGGCCGCCAACGUAACCCUCCGCGAAGUUAGAAGCUAUACACUUCAAUUUAACUCCACUUUCUAGAGUUAUCAAAGAUACCCAAUCAAGAUACUUUCGCUUACAAGUCGAAUAGACCUCGUCUCUCACGAGCCUAUUUCCUAUAGUCCAACCGGCCUAAGGUUUGCUAAGUCCACUAAGACUCAACCCUAGGCUCUGAUACCAAAUUAAUCUGUCACGCCCCGGGACUCAGCGGAAGCCCGCCGGGCACGUGCACAGACCCGCCAUACGUCUAAAACAUAUAAGGCGUCUAAAACAAAACGAUAAAUGAGACAAUAAAAGAAAACAACUAGAAGUAUCAGAGCAAUAUACAACAUCUAGAAACUAAAGCAAUGUGAAGAGUAGAGAGCUAAAAUCACUAAAUAAACCAUAAAAUAGUACAACCAAAGAUCCAAAUACAAGAACUAAAAGAGUACAUAGGUGGUCUCUAUACAUGGUAAACAAAAUCUCUUUCUCUCCCAAAACAUAAAAAGAAGAGAAACCACCUAAGAGUAAAAGUAAAUCCUCGCUAUCUAGCUAGCGAUCCCCUUGCCGCGGUCCCGUGCCUCCGCCGGUGCAGAGGGCUCUGAAAGAAAAACAUAAAACAGAGGGCGUGAGAACUAUUAAAUAAUAGUUCCCAGUGGUCAAUUACUGACUUCAGUGAAAUGCACCACUAGGCCCAAAACUAAGCAAGUAAGGUAAGUAAGGCAGGUAAGAAUAAUAUGAACAAAUAAAUCACUGAAAUGGAAGCUCACUAUAGUAUGAUGUCACUACUUUCAUCAGUAAUAAUCUACCAUAUGAUCUCUACUUAGCAUGGAUUUGCAUAAGUAAUAAACUACCACAUGAUCUUUAUUUAGCAUGAAUUUGCAUAAGUAAUAAACUAUCAUGGCAUAAUUGUAGAAGUAUAAGCCAAACACAAUAAUUACAAGCUAGAAUGGUAAUAUGUCAUUAUCUACUAUUCUAGUCAAUGUCCAAAAGGUACAAUAUGUCACGAGUAACCCAAUCCUAUGGAAGCUACCUGUAGGUAGUCCAGCCUGCGCCGUGCCAACAAUGGCCCCGUGGUAGUCAACAUCCCCACUCUAGGAAUGAGCCUCCCCUACGGCAUCACAUUUUGGCGCCCAAUCCCGCACGGGCGAGCAUAUGUCGCGAUGGCUAUCUCCGGAGUGCCGACUUGUAGGGAGCGACCCUCACAAGUAUGUGCGAAUGAGCACAAUGGCAUGCAAGCGAAUAAGUCCGUCUCAAGUCCCAGUGGUUCAUCACUGUUUCAUCGGAUCUAAAAUCCGGAAUACAGCACAUGUUCCAAAGGCCUGCCUCUAUGUCAUCGUGUCUAAAACACGGAAUAUAGUAACUGUCUCAAUGGCCUAUCUCAAUGUCAUCAUGUCUAAAACAUGAAAUUUAGUAGAUUUCCAGUGGCCUAUCAUCAUGUCUCUAAGUUGCAGUUCAACAAUUUUCUAGUUCAAGUGUCCCUUUAUGACACUUUUGCUUACUAUGUCCCAAUAUGAAUAAUAAAUCUAAAAGCUUGUCAUUCUAAUCAUUUUCCACACAAGAAACAUGAUCUUACAUCAUUCGUUAGAACAAUAAACUCAUGCAUACUGACAAUGCAUAUGCUUCUCUCUACAAUAUAGAGUCAAUUUUUCAUGAUGCAUAACAUAGGAGUUUUCAGAUAAAUUCUAUUCAAUAUGGAUAUGCAUGCAUUUAUAGUAUACGAAAAUAUUUAACCACGUAGGAGGCAUUUCCCCCUAUUUCAAUAAAGCCAAACCCACCACAACUCUCGCAACUCCUUCGUUUGCUCUGACGAAGGUGUCCACUAGUCUUCUAGCACCCUAGAGGUGUAGAAACAAGAGUUAAACGGACCUUACGAACAACCAUAAGGUUGAUCAUUAACCAUCUCGAGCUAACGUGGAGAAAAACACACCUAGAUGAAAAAAAUCCUCAAAUAAAGCUCAAAUGGAAGCCAAACCCUUCCAAAGCAACCUAAUCCAAGAUUCUAAACCCAUCAAUAGAGCUCUAAAAGCUUCUAAUCAAAAAGCCCCAAAAUAGACCCUAAGUUCCAAAUCUAGGGUUUCCAACAUGAGAAAUCCAUCAAACCAUGUAUUAAAUGGAAAAUACAUGCUACUAACCUGUUAAGUAGCCUCAAACCAAGUCCAAAAUCAGCUAGGGUUGAAGAUCUCCUCUCAAAUAAGCUCCUCUCAAAGCUCCAAGUCUUCAACAAUGGAGAAAACCCAACAAGUAGCAAAGAGGAGAAAAAAAUGAGAGAUCAAAACACCAUAAAAUCCAUCAAAAAUGGAGAUCAAACAAGGGAAGGGAGACUCACCUUGAUCUCCACUGGUUAGGGCUCAAAAAGAGCAGCUAUGGGGGCUGGGGUGAUAUUUAUAGAGGUUGCAACAAUUGCAAAUACACCCCUCCCCGAACUCAGCCCAGUUUGCAUUGUGUACCGGUACACGGGAAAGUGUACCGGUACACUUCCUGCGAAACUGCCCAACCCGAGCCUCGGGUUGGCAGAAAAUCCGAAGUGUACCGGUAUGACAUCGAGGCUGUAUCGGUACACAUUGCGUUCCGGUACAACCAUCAAGGUUGUACCGGUACACAAUCCUGCAGAGGCAACCCGAGAGAACACCAACAAUCCUACAUUUCGGGAUUUUAGGUACAAGCUUAAACCCACAAUUCUCUGGAUGCAAGCCAUCGGUCGGAACACUGUCUACAACCCUCCAGAAUAUCUGGAAAAGCUCAGAACACAAAUCAAACACUCGAACCUCGCAAUUUGCAAAGGUCGAAUGCGUUACACUAGUUGUACCUCAAUGUCACGCCCCGCGCCCCGCCUAUUUGGUCGGGUUCGGGCACGCCAACAGACCGAUGAACGGACAGGAUUUUUCUAUACCGCGGACAGAGUCUCCCCUGUACGUCCAAGGUGUCGCAAUCGAUACAAUUCACUAUGUUCCAACCAGGAAUCGAAUUCAACCAAAGAUUGCAUAAGGAAGUAUCAAAAAUAUAAACCAACUAAGUUAUUACAACAUUCAUCUUAGGUGUAUUUUACAUCACAAUUUUUUUUUACAAUCAACUUCUAAAAUACAAUCUAGUUAACACAAUUAUUACAAGUUUGGUACAUUUGUGUUCUUUGUCUCAAACCCCUAAGCUAGACCGCCUCGGGGUACCGCUAUCUCAGUCUCGAGGGUAGGGCCGCUAUCUACGGAGCUACGCCCUUUCCUCGCGCUGCCGCGCCGCUCAAGUGCGAACCUGUAACACCCCAAAACAACGUGGAGUGAGAACCAACUCCAUGAUUCCCAGUGGGUACGGCCACCCAAGAAAAAAGCUCGACCAAUAGGUCCAAGGAGGCACUGCAACAUGUUAGUCCAACAGAUAUAUAUACAAAUAAGGAAAAACAUGCUAUGUCUCACAAUAGCAAUAUGCAAAUCCUGUAACUCCUGCAGGUAGAUAAAUUGAUUCUACCUCACAUUCUUGGUCAUUCUUUACUUGUAGCCGUUCUUUACUUUAUUAGCUAUUCUUUAUUCUUAGUUAUUCUUUAUUCUUUAUUCAUAGACACAACUUGCUCAUUGGCCAUUCCUUUCUAAGGUUACUCUUAUCUUGGUCACACUAUGCUACUCGACUCGGUUAUGAGUCAAUCAACGGCGGAUAAUUCGCGCUCUGUCCAGCUCGAGGUGAAGGAACUCACACAUACACCUCAGCCUUCCACAGCUCACGGCGCUCUAUGACCUAGCCACCCGGUGGCGAAAUCGUCGCAUACGCCAUGUCGAUGGUUCGAGUCAACCCGUAUGAUCCACAAACCGGCUCAACCGGUAUAAACCACAAUUCGGCUCACCCAUCCGACGGCGAAAUCGUCGCACACACCACGUCGAUGGUAUAGCCCCGGACGGCGAAAUCGUCGUGCACGCCCAACACCACUUUGGGUGUUCCAUAAGCUCUGGAAUUCUGGAAUCCAUUUCCACAUAACUCAAGGGUGGGUCUUAACUCUAUGGUAUCGACCUACUUAGGUCCAUUAUCCUUUCCAUCCUAGGUCCACUUGACUCUAAGUUUAACACUUUUAUCACAUUACCUAGGUUUACUUUAAUACUUGGUUCAUUAUCUUUAACUCACAACCUAGGUUGACUUAACUCUAGGUUCAAUCUCAACCUAUGUUCUCUAAUAUUAGGUUUAAUGCCAUUCUUGUUUAACCUAUAUUCAUUAACACUAGGUUCAAUAUCACUCUUGUUCAACCUAGGUUCACGACUCUAGGUUCAAUGCCACUCGAUCUAUGUUUGUAUAUGUUCACAAGUACGUGUCCUUUACUCAGCAUUUUUACAUUAGCAUCUCUACAACAUUCUUAUCAUACAUUUUCUUUAUCAUUCUUAUUUCAUAUCAAUAUGCAUUCACUAAGCAUUCUUACAUUAGCAUUUCUACACAUGCAACAUGACUAACAUAUGUCAUUUACUUUAUGCUUUCCACUUAGCAUUAUUUAUACUAUGUCAUUAUGCAUUACUUAGCAUUCUCACAUUAUGACCAUAUGCAUUAUUUGGUAGCCUAACAUAGCAUUUCACCUUAUGCAUUUAUGUGUUCUACCACUAGCUACCAUUACAUGCAUCAAUAAUAAGCACUAGUCUUAGACAUACAGGCGACCUAGUCGCUUCGGUAAACACAACCCACCUUAACUCGCACUCCGAUUGCUUGUAGUCACUUACAAUCGGCCUUCCGCAGCACCCGUGACCCGGUUCCGCCCGAACUCUCGCGCGACUAUGCGAAUGGCCUUCAAUCCACGAUCCGGAAAUUAAAGAUCCGCGGUUAGUUGUCAUGAGCUCACGAUUCCGUUUUCAUGAUUUUAGGACGUCGCCUCGGCCCUCCAGGCGGAAACAAUGCCAAAAAUGUCGUUUCUUCAAUAACUUCGCGUAGGCUCGACGAAUCGCCGAACCGACUUCGGCAACGCGUUCGUAUACCUAGCAAUUAGGUUUAUAUAGGUUCAAUUUAAAUCAAACCCAUCUACUAGCAAAAAUGCCAUUUUUGAGCCCUAGCAAGUUACAUAGCAAGAAGUCACCAUUUAGCUUCAUGAUUCAAGCAUUAAUCCUCUAUUUAGCAUCUAGGAGUUCCACUAAAUCCAUUUUUAGAGCAUAUAAAUGAAGCCCUAAAGAUCUACCAUUGUUGCUAUCAAAACUUACCUCUCAAGCAAGCUCCAAUGGAGAGGAAGAAGAUGAAGGAGAUGAAGAUCAAUUUCCAAGCUUGCUUCUCCACCAAAUCCUUCUCUUGAUUCCACCUUCAAGAGAGAGAAAGAGAGGGUUUUUCUUCUUUAGUUGCAAGUGUGAGGGAGGGGGAGAGAAUGUGUGCGUGUGUGUGUGGGUGCGCAUGCUGCCAGCCACAUAGUAGGGGCUGUAACAAUUGAACAAAACCCCCCAACAAUACACUAUUCACAUCAGUUUAGCAGAUACAAACUGUUUUCGCCGGAGCCCUUCUGAAUGUCCGUUUGCACUCAAAUUUGACAGUCAGGCUCGGUUUUACUUAAUAAGUACAAAAAAAUUUUAAUCUUUCAGUUUUGACCAUAUUUGGUCACCGAAAACUCUACCGAACUGUAAUCUCUACAGAUAGCAGUCGGAUUUUAUUUUUUACCUUUCGGGUGUCGGAUUUACAUGAAACUUUAAAUCGAACCUCAUAAAAAUAAUUCCAACAUAUUCUUCAGUUUUCAUAAUUUUCUGACACUGUGCAUUUUCUGCUAAAAUAUCAGCUCCGUUUCUCACAGAAAAUUUUAAAUCUUCUGUUUUCGUUCUGAUUUCAGCACGAGUCAUUCCCGACUUAUAUUUUACUUCUCUAAAUCUAAUAAAAAUAGUAUCUCACACUAUAUUUAUUUAUAUUUUUACUUUUAUAUCAAAAUCUGAUAUGUUACAAGCCCAAAGUGUGCCGGUACACUUCCUCGUGUCACCGGUAACACGACUGCACAGAGACAAAACCCGAGAGCUGCUUCUCGGUUUCGUAGCAUUCGUACCGGUACACUUUCAAUGCUGUACCUGUACACUUUACUAUACCUGUUACAACUCGAUGGUUGUACCGGUACACUUUGCCCAGACUUAGUUUUUGGCUCCGUUUCAAUUCUAUUUCGCGCUGAACAAUACUAAAACCUUUCCAACUCCUUCUAAACUCACUUUUAACCCUUCCAACCUUAUUGGAAUGUUAAAUAGAACUCAUCCAACCAUUUCAUUCGCACGCUUUAGUCAAUUUGAUUAAAGUCCAAUAUUUUCUACCGAAGUUUCGGCAUGUUACACUCAAUGUGAGGUAAGAGAAUGUGUUUGGUAGACGGUGCACGGGGGCAAUCUUACCAAAAGCCAAGACUUAGUGUAGAACGUUAUAGUAGCGUACGACGCCCGAGUAUGGGUACUCGUGGAGUGCGGAUUCAAUUCAGCCGAGAGAGCGAGUUGGCAGUAGCACUUUAGCGUUGCUAAGUGUGAAGCGUGCCUUGGGUCACUCAUAGGGCUGGUGACCCGCACUAGGUGCAUAGGAACCGGUAGUGAUACGUAUGGCUCGGUAGAGCUGGUCGUGCGAUUGAUAGUAUACCGAGAGUGCGAUGGUAACCCAACCCGGGGAUCUGUAACGGUUUGGAAUUUUAGUUGCUCCUGGUUAAAGUGUGUGCGAAUUUUCAAGUGAGAAUUUCGCCCGAUGAUGAUUGGGUCUGCAUUUGUGAGCGAGAGACGCUGCAUAUUGAGACAGGUUAGGCGAUAGGCCUUUGUGGCACUGGCGGUCUGUGGGCCACCUAUGAAAUGGAGAAAAGCGAUUUCGCGGAUAGCCUUAUCGAGAAGUUUGGCUUGGAUUCACGAACGGAGUGUUCGUGUGAGCUCAUUGCGAAAGUAAUUCGACAUUGAUUGUGGCAUAUGAUAUCAGAAGAUGAAUUGCUCUUGGUGAGACCUUGAGCUAGUGGCAAGCCACGUGGAGUUUGAGGAUUAGAAUUGGGACAUGAUGAGAUAGGCCAUCUCACGUUAGAGCUAAAGGUCAGUGCGAAACUGGAGCACUCAUGAUGUAGCGAUGCACCGGUGAUAUUGCUUCUAAGCAAUGUCGGUGAUCGAAUCGGAAUAUAUUCCCUGAAGGGAAGGUAAAUACAAGGAAGAGUUCCUUGUGUGCCGAGUGCCGAGUGGUGUUGGAGCGCGUAGAGUCGUCCAGUUUCGACUUGCGCUGCCACCGAGAGUUAUGGAGACCGUAAUGCACUUUAAGUGCUACGCCUUUCAAACGUGUAUGCGUUUGAUUCUGUAUCCUCCGUAGCGGGCCUUCGAAUCAUUCUAAUGAACGUGAGGCCAUCCCGGAGGGGGAAAGUGCAUUGGUGCCCUCAAUUGCUCGAGGAGCUAAAUUGAGGCGUGGUUUGAAUUUCGCGGACGAAAUUCUUUUAAGGGGUGGAGAAUGUAACAUACCGGAUUUUGAUAUAGAAGUAAAAAAUAAAUAAAAAUAGUGUGAGAUACUAUUUUUUAUUGGACUGAUAGAAAAAAAAUGUACGUCUGAAAUGACCUGUGCUGAAAUCGGAAUGAAAACAGAAGAUUUAGAAUUUUCUGUGAGAGACGGGGCUGAUAUUUUAGCAGAAAAUGCACAGUGUCAGAAAAUUAUGAAACUGGAGAAUAUGUCAGAAUUAUUUUUAUGAGACUAGAUUUAAAGUUUCAUGCCAUUCUGACGCCCGAAAAGUGAAAAAUAAAAUCUGACUACUAUCUGCUAGAGAUUAUAGUUCGGUAGGGCUUUCGGUGACCAAAUAGGAUCGAAACUGAAAGAUUAAAAUUUUUUUCAUUAAGUUAAGUAAAAUCAAGCAUGACUGCCAAAUUUGAGCUCAAACGGACCUAGUGUUAUUGAACAUAGAUAAAUAAUGAGUAGCAAUGAACUCAGAGUUAAGUAAACCUAGGUUAUGGCAUGAGUGGCAUUGAACCAUGAGUCAAGUGAACCUAGGUAGUAAAGAACAUCGGACCUAGUGUUAUGGAACCUACGCAAUGAACAUAGUGACAUGGGAUCUAAUGUUAGUAAACUUAGGUCGAAUAAUGGCUUGAACCUAGAAAGGUUGACAUAGGGUCAGACCAACCUUAGAGAUGUUGAAAGUGGAUUCCGGAAUCCCAGGUCUUGUGGCCUUAGUGAACGUGGUAUGCUCAUGGUUGUGGAUUGGAUCAUACUCACCUAUAAGUCCAUACUUGAGGGCAGUCGCUCCCCCUCGAGCUAUGAGCUCCGAAGUGAUCAUCACUGUGUUGGAGUUUCCGUAGAGGUUGAGCCUGUCGGGUCGUAGCGAGUAUCUUCCCGAUUGAUGAGCUCCGGAGUAGUCAUCACUGGGUCAUAGCGAAUAUCUCCCCAGAGGACGGUCCUGUCGGGUUGUAGCGAGUAUCUCCCCGAUAGUAGGGAUUUGGGUUGGUGAGUUCUGAGGCGAAACCUACGCGUUAGCUGAGAGGAUUGGGUAUUGAUUGUGGCAAUUGCCAUGCACCAUGAGCAGUAUAUAUGUUGGUUCUCCUCGCCCAUUGGGCGAUGUGGUUUGAGGAUUUAAGGUUGAGGUGCAUGUGAGACGUCCUUCACCUUGAGCCUGACAGAGCGCGGCAUAUCCGCGGUUGAUUGACUCAAGACCGAGUCGAGUGGCAUAGUUGGUUAAGGUAAAGUAACCUUAGGAAAGAUUGGUUAGUGCUAAAGAAUAGCGAAUAGUAAAGAAUGGCAACGAAGAAAGAACGAUUAAUACUAAGGAAAAGCAAAUAAUAAAGAACGGCUAAGAAUUAAAGAAAGGCAAGUGAAAGAAAGUAGAAUUAGUUAACCUACUUGCAUAAGUUGCAUGAUUUACAUAUUGCAUGUCUUGAGGCAUAAACAUGUAUUUAAUAUUUGUAUUAAAUAUCUAUAGAUAUCUGUUGGACUAACAUGUUUGCAGUGCCUCCUUGGACCUGGUGGGUCGAGCUUUUUCCUUGGGUAGCCGUACCUACUGGGAACUAUGGACAAUCGUUUUCACCCCCGUGUUGUUUUUGGGGGUACAGGUUCACACAUGAGCGGCGCGGUGGCGCGAGGAAAGGGCGUAUCUCCGUAGAUAGCGCCCUACAACCAAGACCAGAAAUAGCAUUACCCCGAGUCGGCUUAGCUAGGGGUUGUAGAAAAGAUGUAAAACAAUAUUGUAAUAAUCUUGUGAUCGAUAAUUGUAUUUGGAAGGAAAUGUAAUCGAAAAUUGUAAAUGUAUAACUUGGGAUGAAUGCUUGUAAUAGCUUAGUUGUUUUAUAUUUUUGAUACUUUCUUAUGCAAUCUAUGCUUGAUUUAUGUUCCUGGUUGGAACAUCGUGAAUUGUAUUGAUUGCGACGCCUACUGUAACAUAUCAGAUUUUGGUAUAAAAAUAAAAAUAAAUAAAAAUAGUGUGAGAUACUAUUUUUAUUGGAUUUAGAGGAGCAAAACAUAAGUCAGAAGUGACUUGUGCUGAAAUCGGAAUGAAAACAGAAGAUCUAGAAUUUUCUAUUGAAAACGGGACAGAUAAAUUAGCAGAAAAUGCAUAGUCUCAGAAAAUUAUGAAAAUUGGAGGAUAAGCCAGAAAUAUUUUUAUGAGACUAGAUUUAAAGUUUCAUAUUUUUCUGACACCCGGAAGGUGAAAAAUAAAAUCCGACAAGUUAUUUGAUAAAGAUUACAGUUCGGUACAGUUUUUGAUGACCAAAUUGGGUCGAAACUGAAAACUUAAGAUAUAUUCUUACUCAGUACGUUAAACUGAGCCUACCUGUCAAAUUUGAGCUCAAACGGACAUUCAGAAGGGCUCCAACUGUUCCGAACUGCUAAACUGCCCUGGGGUGAAUAGUGUCUUGGGGUGUAUAAUAAAGAAGCAAAGUGCUUCUUCUUCCUCUCCUUUAGCUCGAGCACACACACGCACGCACGCAUGGAGAGAGAAGAGAAACUCUCCUUUCUCUCUCUAAAGAUCUCUCUUAUCUCUCUACAUCUCUUGCUCAAAUUCGCGGCGUUGGCGGAGAAGAUGCUCACGAACGCGUUGGGAGCGACGGAUAGAGCUUUCGUGCGCCCGUUGGAGCGGCGUGUUUUCGUCGCGGCAUUCAUAUUGUGGUAAGCUUUUGGGAUUUGGCUUAAUCCUUAGCUUUAAGUGUUCUAAUAGCCUCUAAUGAGCAUUGUUAGCAUGUUGCUCCAUUUAAUUUGGAUUAUUUGGAGGUUAAUUGCAUCUAGGGCUCAAAAAUGCUAGUUUUGUAAACAUGAGGGUUUGAUCUCAUUUGACCCUCUGUAAACUUAAUUGCUAGGUAAACGAACGCGUUGGCGAAGUCGGUUCGGCGAUUCGUCGAGCCGUUGCGAAGUUAUUAAAGAAACGGGCGUCUAGGCUUCGUUUCCGCCUGGAGGGCCGAGGCGACAUCGUAAACUCAUGAAAAUGGAUUUGAAGUAUCGUGGCACAUAACCGAAGACCUUUAAUUUCCGGAUCGUGGAUUGGAGGCCGUUCGGGUGGUCGCGCGAGAGAUCGGGCCAAACCGGGUGCCGGGUGCCGCGGGAGGCCGAUUCCAAGUGUCGACAAGCAAUCAGAAUGCGAAAUGAGGUGGGUUGUGUUUACCGAAGCGAUUAGGUCGCUUUCAUGCCAAAGUAUAGUGUAUUUCACUAUUGAUGCAUGGUGAUAGUAAAAAUACUAAGUAAGAAGGCAUGAUAAAAAUGCUAAGUAAUAAUGCAUGAUAAGAAUGCUAAGUAUGAAUGUAUGUGAUAGAUGUUAAGUAAUGCAUGUAAUAUGUGCCAAGUAAUGAACGUAUAAGAUGUAUGCGAAGGAAUGCAUGUUGUCACAAUAGGAAAUGCUAAAAGAAUUCAUAUUGACAUAAAGUAGAAAGCAUGUUAGUGGUGAUGAAUAAUGAUAAGAUAAGAAUGUUAAGUAAAUGCAUUGAAUGAUGUUAGCUAAAGGCAUGAGAUAAGUGGCAUUGUAUGUUAACGUAAAGUAGAAAGCAUGUUAGUGAUGAUGCAUAAUGAUAAGAUAAGAAUGCUAAGUAAAGGAUAUGUGUAAGUAGACAUAAAUGCACGUAUAGAUCGAGUGGCAUUAAACCUAGUGUCAAGGACAUAGUUUAAACAAGAGUAAUAAUGAACCUAGUGUCAUUGAAUAUAGGUUAUUCACGAGUGGCAUGUCAAGUAUAAUUCCUAGGUGUGGACAACUAGGAAAACAAGAACAUGAGUGGCAUUGAACCUAGAGUCAAGUAAACCUAGGUUGUGAACAUAGUGACAUGGAAUCUAGAGUCAAAAGAACCUAGGUGGUAAAGAAUGUUGGACCUAGUGUUAAUGAAUCUGGACUAAGAAGAUGAUGACGUUGAACCUAAUGUAUUAACUUAGGUUGAGUAAAGGCUUGGACCUAGAUAGGCCGAUAACAUAGGGUGAGACAAACCCUUGAGUUAUGUAAAGUGGAUUCCGGAAUCCCUGCCACUAGUGCAGCGGCUACUAGUGCAGCAUACAAGCUCGAUAGUUCUUGGCCGUGGGUGCUUGUGACAUAUUCCUCUCCCACCGGAAGAACUUCGAGGCUUGUUAUUGAGCAAUAAUCAUGAGCGCUAGGGUGCAUGUGGCAUGUUCCUCUCUCUAUCGGGGAUCUCGGCUGCGGGUGUAUGCGGCAUGUUCCUCUCCCACCGGGGGAUCCCUGACCACGGGUGUACGCAGCUCUGGGCGACCCGUUGGGCGAUGUGGUUUGUGGAUUGAAGGCUGAGGUGCAUGUGAGAGUUCCUUCACCUCGAGCCGGACAGAGCGCGGACUAUCCGCAGUUGAUUGACUCAAGACCGAGUCGGAUGGCAUAGUUGGCUAAGGUAAAGUAAUCUUAGGAAAGAAAGGCUAAUGUGUAUAAUAUUACUAAGGUGUGAGUACCCUUAGUAAAGCGUAAAGAAUAAAGAAUAAAGAAUAAGGAAAGGUUAAUGCUAAAGAAUGGCAAGUAAUAAAGAAUAAAGAAAGGCAAAUGCUAAAGAAUAGCUAGUAAAGUAAAGAAUGACUAAAAGUAAAGAAUGGAUAAGAAUAAAGUGUAGAAGCAAUUAAUCUAUUACAUGAGUUGCAUAAUUUACAUAUUGCAUGUUGUGAGGCAAAAACAUGGUAAUGUUAGUUGCAUGAUUUACGAUUUCAUAUCUAUCUAUUGGACUAACAUGUUGUUUGCCUCUUUUGGACCUGAUGGUCGAGCUCUUUCCUUGGGUGGCUGUACCCACUGGGAACCAUGGAGUUGGUUCUCACCCCACGUUGUUUUGGGGUGUUACAGGUUCACACGUGAGCGGCGCGAGGCAAGGGCCUAGCUCCAUAGAUAGCGCCCUACCACAGAGAUCAGAAAUAGUACGUGGUACCCCGAGUCGGCAUAGCCUAGGGGUAGAGGAAAAUUGAAGAACAAGAUGUAUCAAACUUGUAGUAAAUUUGUAAUAAUUGGAUUGUAUUUGGAAGUUGAAUGUAAAAGAAUGUAAUUUGUAAUGUAAAAUGUAAUAUGUGAGAUGAAUGCUUGUAAUAACAAGUAGAAUUAUGUUUUGAUACUUCCUUAUGCAAUCUUUGGUUGAAAUAUGUUCCUGGUUGGAACUUCGUACAUUGUAUUGAUUGCGACGCCUUGAAUGUACAGGGGAGACUCUAUCCGCGGUACAGGGGAAACCCUGUCCGUUCGGCGGUCUGUUGGCGUGUCCGAAACCGGCCAAAUAGGCGGGCUCGGGGCGUGACACCUAGAACGUACAGGGGGGACUCUGUCCGUUCGGCGGUUUGUCGGCGUAUCCGAAUCCGACCAAAUAGGGCUCGGGGCAUGACAAUAUAUAUAUAUAUAUAGAGAGAGAGAGAGAGAAGAGAGAGAGAGAGAGAGAGAGAGAGUACGUCUCCUGUGCUUUCGAAAGUACGAAGGCCUCCGUACUUGUAAGUUGUUUUCGAUGAUGGGAUAUCCGAUUCGACGAUCAGCUCCGUUAGGAAUGAUCUACGCUUUUAGAACUAUUUAGAAAUCAAAUUUCAUAAUUUUUUGACAUCAUUUACCAAGCGAUCACAGAGUCUUAAAAAUGACUAUUUUAACGGUCGAUGUGGCAGAUGUGGCACGUUUUUAAGUUCAACGGUGUAGAAGUAUCGAAAUUACAUGAAACUUUAAUAGAAAAUUCUACUUAACAUCAAGAGCAAGAACAAUACUUCCGAUUUGAAAUUUGCGUCAUUUAUCACUGUUUUUUAUGAGAUUUUUAUUUUCAGCCGUUCAUUUUGAGGCUACUCGUUCACUAGGCAAACAAAGUCAAAAAAUUAUGAAAUUUGGUUUCUAGAUAGUUCCAAUAGCGUAGAUCAUGUUUAACGGAACCGAUUGCCAAAUCGGCCGUCCCAUCAUUGAAAACAACUUACAAGCACGGAGGCCUCCGUACUUUCGAAAGCAUAGGAACCUAGAUAUAUAUAUAUAUAUAUAUAUAGAGAGAGAGAGAGAGAGAGAGAGAGAGAGAGAGAGAGAGAGAGAGAGNNNNNNNNNNNNNNNNNNNNNNNNNNNNNNNNNNNNNNNNNNNNNNNNNNNNNNNNNNNNNNNNNNNNNNNNNNNNNNNNNNNNNNNNNNNNNNNNNNNNAGACCAAAUUCGGAAGUCCGUCAAUUGAUAAUUGCAUUUACGAUGCAAUUUUUCAAUUUCAGUUACUUCUUACUUCAGUAACUUGUUCAAACCUUUCUAAGCGUCUGUCAAACGUCAUAGAUCAUGUUCAAAAUUCCAUUCCAACCCUUAACUUGUCAAUAGGCCCAGAUUCGUAUAUUACAUUCACCCUCUAAACUAGAAGUUUCUUGUCCGCGAAACUAGAACUGAAUCUUCAUUGAAAUCAUCUAACAAGGAUGCGGAAAUCCAUAUCAUCGUUGUUCAUGAGUUCAUAUCACAUUGUCUGGCCAUUAAAACUCUUUUCCAUCAUAGCAUCCAUGAUUUAAUGCGAUGAAAUUCCAUUCCCACUGUUUUCAAUAAUUCGAUGUGGUAAAAUCAACUCUUUCAUCAUGUCAUCUGCAGGGGUUUAACCAUGUCAUUUCAAGAAGAUUCAAGGGUACCCUUUUUCAAAAGUGCUUAGUAGUUACACUUGUACCAUCUGAGUUUCCAUAAGAAUUAUCAUUAUUAUUAGCAGAAUGGAAUUUUCAAUAUUCACUGAUUCUUAAAGUCAAAACCUUUAAAGACUUCACUCCAGUGCAAUUCUAUUCAAAAAGAUGAUUUUUCCUAUUUCUCAAUUAGGUUGAGGUUGAGCCCAACUCUGUCCUGUCUUGAUUAUAUAAUUAGAGCCGUAACCCAUUCCUUAAUAGGCUUCCUAGGUUUACGCUUGAUGUUACAAUUGUGUUUUACAAGGUGAUCAAAUACCAAUGAUUACUUUUGCUUCUCCACAGUCACAACUUUCUACAUUACAUCUUGUAUGGCUCUAUAUUUACUAUAUCCUCAUGUUAUACAGUUGAUAACAACUAUUAUUCCUGUAGAUCCCCUUCAAUAGCACUUUGAAAUGAUUAUCCAUCAUAUCCAUUUAAAAUAUUUCUGCAUGAUUACUAAUUCAGCAUUAUUCAUCAAUUACCUUAGCUAUUCUUAUUUCUUCGCCACAUGGCGAGAAUCCCAAUUCACAAUUAAUGGAUGCUGCUCCACAUCACUACUAUAUUGUUCAGAUAAUUCCAUUAAUGCUGUCUUACAGCUUUACUGCUACCAUUAGGAAAAACAUUCCUAUUCAUCAAGUUCACAAUUGUGAUUGUGUAAGAAUAGCACAACACUACUCAAGAACUACCUUCACUUAGGGUUCUUACAAUUUAGCAGUAUCAGCAAUUAGGCUCCAACCUUUCUAUAAUUACCUAAUUUAGGUAAAUGACCAUUUCUCACAAUCAGCGAGGCUAACCUUCAAGAUGCAUUGCCAUAAUGUUCAGAGUUCAAGGCGAAUCAAUUUCGUUCGCACAAGUCAUAGUACAAAUAUCUCAGAACUAAGUUUCAAUCAAAACCAUUCUAUUAUAAUCAUCUACAUGCAUUAAGGACAGAAAUAAUGCUAUUCGACUCAGCCAACAGACAUCAGAGAUGCAAACUAAAGCAAUCAUUAUAAUUCAUAUCGACUCAUAGGAACAUUGCAUAAAAUACUUACCUGAGUAGUUAAUCCCUGCGUCGUAUCUGACUCUAUGAUUCCGUCGGCGUCUUCACCCCGGUACUUUUUGCAACCAAGUCGGUUGAGAUACCUUAUCAACAUGUUCUUUCUGGGCACUGAGAGCGAAAAUGGCCUCUUGACCACAUACAAAACACUUUCCUUCCGCUGUGGACAUUUGGGGGACAUGCGGACCUACACAAAUUACACAUGCGAGGUAAUCGUCUCCUCAUCUUCUUUACUUAGAAAAAGAACACGUUUCCAAGGUUGAUUCUUCUUUAAUUUUCUUGAUGAUUUCUCCGGAUGUAAUUUGAUCGCCCUUGGUAGCCUCUUUGGCGUCUUUAGUGCAUUUCCAACUCUUUUCUUACGUCAAGGUACGAUCCGAAACCUCGUGGAAUUUCUUUGAGAUCAGCCGUCUGUUGAAUCAACAGUUCUCUAACGUCUGAUUCUUCAUCCUGUCGGUGGCAAAGCCUCGGCUUGAAGUAGGCGUCACAUUCCGUUGUCGCUCCACCACUCCAACUAGAGUAGCCAGCUGCUCUUUUAAUUCCUGAAUCUCGCUAGAUUCAGAAGGUUCAUUGUCUUUCUGGUUAGUUGCAUCAGUUGCCGUUAGGGUGCAUUGUGACAUUGCAGAGUGCCUGCAACAAACAAAAUAGGCACAGCGUUAAAAACCUAUGCUAUCGUAGCCCCACUCAAAAUUGUUAAAAUCCCAAUCAUGCGAAAAGUAAUGAAAUGACGCUCGCACUAUUCCCCAAUAUCACGUUGUCGGCCGCAACGUGAUUUUGGAAGGAUAUAGAGGUAUUCAUUUCAUCGAAACUCCAACAAUUUUGGAGUUAUAAAUAUGACCAAUCAUAACACUUUCGCUCAACAUAGUUGCAAAAGACCCCGUCUCUCACCUCCUAUCCUGAUCGUUCAACUGCCUAAGGUUUACUAGGUCCACUAAGACUACACCCUAGGCUCUGAUACCACUAUAAUCUGUCACGCCCGGUACCAGCGGAAGCAUAUCGGUCGCGUUGCACAGACCCGCCGUGUAACACCACAAUCAAGAAUACACAAGGCGUCUACAAACCACAUAGUAAAGCAUAUAAUUCUACUAGGUAAUCAGAGCAGACUUUAAAGUUUAAACAUAUAUACAAUCCAAACCUUAACAGGAAUAAGAACAAAGUACAAUCUACAAAACUUAAUAUACCUUUCUGUACUAAACUAUAUAUAACUGCUGGAGGUGAUCUAGUACACGUCCAAAAAGGCUCUACUAGUCGCUGACCCUCGCCAGGACCUAGCCUUUUCCCGCUGUGGAAGGCUAUGUAAAAACAACAACAAGAGGGCGUGAGAACUAUUAAACACUAGUUUCCAGUGGGUAAGCCGCGAGAGUGGCGAAGUACACCACUAGGUCAACUAUGGCAUGAGUAGAUAGUAAUAAAUAAGCGAGUAAAUACAGAUAAUGCAAGUAAGUUGCAAUAAGCCGUUAAAUGCAAUAAGCAAAUGUAAAAGUAAAUACUCAUGCUAUUUGCUCGACAUCAACUAAAUAUCGAUAGACUGCAGGUAUCAAUUAUCACGAUGGAUUCUAUCAAUCAUCUUACUUGACAAUUUAACAAUCAUAUACCAGAUUGCCAAGCAAGCUAAUUCUUAUUACCGGAAUUACAGAUAAUUCAUGUAAUUACUUCUAAUUAGCAAGAAUUUACAUUCUUUAUGUCUUUAACAAUCAUGAUGUCAACUUCUAGGUUAUUCGAGCACUAAGCUCACUUUAGAUGUCAACUUCUAGGUUAUUCAGCACUAAGCUCACUUUAGAUGUCAACUUUUAGUCUGUUCAUCAAUAAGUCCACUUAACCCAAGAAUAUAGUAACUUACUUAGUCUGUCCCAGCUAAGGUAAAGUACUUGACAUAACCAAUUUCCAACGACUUACACAAGGUAAGUUCAAGCCGCGCUCGUGCACUAAUGGCCCCGUGGUAGUCAACAUCCCCACUCGAGAAUGAGCUCCCACGGCAUUCCAUUUCGCGCUCACUUCGUACAUUUGCGAGCAUCUGUCGCUAAGCUGUGUUCGGGAGUGCUGGCUUGGGGGGGAGCGACCCCAAGCGUGUGCAAAGCGCCACAAUGGCAUUGCAAGCGUAGUCCAUUGUACCAGUCUCACAACGCAUCAUGUCCCUGACAUGGAAUCUCAACUAAGCACUCCGGAACGCGGGGCUUGGGGCCGCGACCACCGCAAGCAUGUACGAAAGAGCAUAAUGGCAUUGCUACUAUAGUCCAGGGUACAAAUAUCUCAACAGUCAUCAUGUCUCUGAUGGAGUCUCAACUCGACCAGGUAGGCACUGUAGUACCAAUCAUUAAGUCACUAUCAACAACUUGUUGACAAGAUUCUACCAGUCGUUAAUAUAACUUGACAGUUAAAGCUUUACUCACACUAGUGAUUUAUCAGGACUACUCUGGUCAGCUCACGCACAAUCUCUCACUACUUCCUUACACAUAAGGAAAGUGGUUUACUAAGGUUCUGUUCAUAGACUCCUGGCACAUACCUGAAGUUCAAUAUAAACUUCUAUUACUUGAAGCAAACAAAUAUGAAACAAUCACCUUCUACUUGACUAUACAAGUAUGUCAUCAUAUUUAAAUCUAGUUAUUCUACUAGAUUAUAUUCAGUUGUAUAUUCAUUCAAUUAUACCCCUAUAUAAACUUCUAGUUACUUACUAGAAUAUGUACCCCAAUAUGAAUUAUCAUAUGGAGUGUAAGAAGCUAACAGAGAGUAAUACAAGCAAGGAUAUAAACGAUAAAAUACAUUUCACAUGACCUCCAUGCCAUUCCUUCUACAAUUAGAAAUGCAUAUGCAAACACAAGUUCUUUACCUGAUCUUUCAGAGUUUAGCCAUUUAAUUGUUUAUAUACAUUGCAUAGCUCAAUCCAAGUAUAUCUGUCUCUUUGUUGUUCAACAGAAAACUAAUUGUGUCCAUUCACGAAUUUUACCGUUCUAUCCUCGUGGAUAACAUCAAAGCCAAAUUGCAUAUGCAAGCUACUAGUAUCAUGAAUCCAUAGUACUUAACAAGUAACCAUGUAAAAUGGAUAAGUCAUGAAGCUUUCAUACCAUUUAAAAAUGCUAUCAUUUCCGAUAUGAUCUACAUAUCAGUGCAUGUCUCAAUGCCUUAAACUAUACAUGUAUUCACUUGAAUAUGAAAUAACUUCAACUCAGAUGUCAAAGGAGACAUAGAGGGAAUUCACCCAUUUCGGGAAGGUCCGACCCACCUAUCACCAAGCUCAAUCCAGCCAAAAGGAGUCCCGAAACUCUGCUCAACGAAGCCCCAACUCUGCUGAAAACGAAACACGAAAAGCGCAUCAAAACUACGGCCGAAAUGUCCAAUUUCGGUACAAUUUGCACUUAGUACAAAGUAAUAACUUAAAUCCCUGUUUUGGUUUCAGUUUAAUACCUUAAGUUAAGCUUCUAAUUGCUCUCCAAUGCCAACUGAUUGUGAUCCAAAGGUUGGUCGCACCCUCGCUGCGAACAAUCGUCAAACGGCAUCAAAACACUUAUUUGCUAGCUAGUAAAGCCGGAAUCUUGCGAAAUCAGGUUUCUAAUACAAAUUCCUGCUUACCUCAGGUUAGAACACCUUCUAAACCAGUCCCAAAGGUCACCACUUAAGCUUAAAUUAAUCCGCAAACCUGCUGCGAAGAGCACAAUCCAAACUGCAUCAAGUUGCAUAAGUAACUCGCGUUUAAUUCCGAAUCAGUUUCAUAAUGGACCAAUUAUCUCUACGAAGCUUCAAAGUAGCUUAUUCCUGAUCUAAGGAGGUUCAUUUACAGCUAAGUAAAUCAUCUUUAUUUGCCGAAACCUCAGUUUAAAACAGUUGGAAGCAAAAACCCGAAAUCAAUACUCAAAUCGACUAAUAGAACGUCGAUAACGGAAAAAGCGAGUCGAUUACCUUCUCAGGCUUCCAACCAGCACCUCACUGGCUCAGGGCUGCGAAAAAGCCUUCCAAAUACUCCCUCACACAUCCACAUAAGCUCCGCGACACUCGCAACCAGCGAAGGACCAACGGCGCGACGAAAACGAGCGAAAUCGUCGAAUUCUAAGUAGAGAGAGAAACCCUAGAGAGAGAAGGAGAAAGAAGGUGGGAGAAGCCUUCUCAGAUCUCCAGCAUGCAUAUCUGAACAUCAGGGGUCGAGCUGGGGUGAUAAGGAUGGAUAGAAGAAGUGAAAUGACCAAAAUAACCUUGCUGCCACGCAGCUGCAGCUUCUGAUGCAUUGUGUACCGGUACACAAUGAUGGCUGUACCGGUACAGCAAGCAGAAAAAUGUUGAUUUCGCCAGAUCAAUGCACUUUCUUACUUUUAGUCAUCCAAUCACUCUCUAACUUAUACAAAAACUUGUCCAAGCCCUUUAGAAUAUGUAGGGUAGUUUUAUUUACCAUUUCCCACAUUCGAACUUCGUAAUUGACCAAAUUCGAAGCGUUGCAAUUGAUAAUGCAUUUACGAUGCAAUUUUUCAAUUCCAGUUACUUUCUUACUUCAGUAACUUGUCAAAACCUUUCUAAGGUCUGUCAAACGUCAUAGAUCAGUUCCAAAAGCCAUUCCAACCCUUGAACUUGUCAAUAGGCCCAGAUUCAGUAUAUUACACGAGCUUUCCGAAUGAGUCUUUGUUCUCCAAUUUGAAUCUUUUCUUCAAACAUCCGCGAUCAAUUCUUCAAGACUCCAUUCAACUUUACGAAAUCCACCAACUUAUAAAAUCCUUAACAAUCUCCCCCUUUGGCGAUUUCGUGACAAAAGAACAUUACAAAGCUCGUACACAACUCAGAAACAAUAAAAAGAAGAUCAUCGCAAUCACCAAAUGACAAUCUCCUGCAUGAUCGAUCCAAUAAAUGAAAAUUAUAUUUUUCACAACCUUAAUACAGACUCUAUGACUUAGACAUGGAGUCUUGAAGUCUUGAAUAUUCCUGCAAAAAUAUUCUUAAAGCACAAUCAAGAUUCAAGCAUACUUAUCAUAAAAAAUCAAACAUAAAGUCAAAGCAAUCAAUCAAAGCAACAAGUCAUAGUCAUAGUCCAUAGUUCAUAGUCAAGCACCUAAACAACCAUCUAAAUUUACACAACUAAGCUAAAAGCAUUAAAAGCAAAAAAAUCAUCAAAAGACAUCAUCAUCAUCAUGAGCCAAUCAUCUCCCCCUUUUUGUCAGAAAGCGCCAAAAUGACAAAAGGUGGAACCCCACACAGUCAGUCGGAAUCAUCUCCCUGCGGAGGAAGAUCUGAGCUGCAACAUCCCAGUUUAUCAAAAAUGGCCUUCAUCAAACGCUUGAUUUUGCUGACAUCCUUCCAUAUCUGAGCUUGAUCCGCAGAAAGUUUUUGAAGCUCCUUAGAUAACCUUUGUUGUUCCCGAUAUACUGACGAAACCGAGACAUCCUCCUCAGAUAUAUCCAUGGAAGGACGGGAAGAAGUAGCAGCAGCAGGAGGUGGAGCAGCAGAAGGUGAAGAAGCACGCUGGGACGGAGUUCGAAGCUGCACAGAGCAUUUCACGAACGUCCCCUCAUUGAUCCUUCCCAGACUAUGCUCAUACGAUGUACAACGAACAUCCACGUCAUAAAGUCGCAGAAUCCUCAUGAUAAUUAAUGGAAAUGGCAACCGUUCAUUUUGUCCAGAAGUUUUGAUGUCCUUUGCCAUUCUCCGCCAGAUCAAAAAUGGGAUAUUCAUGUUGAUAUUUUUCGCACUUACAAUAUCAGGCCUAGCCAAUAGAUACAUGCAUAAGAUGCGAUCCCAUCUCAAAAUCUUUGUGUUUGUGAAAGGCAAAAUGUUGUAGCAAACCACGAAGUUCAAGAACCUGUACUCCAUUUUGAAAUCCUUCGACAAAACCAUAAUUCCGUUUGACUCUGUUCCCGGCACGCAAAUAGAGUUCACAACACGGUUCCAAUCGCGAAGUGAGUCAAACCCGGCCUAUAGAUAUUCCACUCCUUCAGUCCUAGCUUCCAGUCCUAGCACAGACGCUAUCGUAUCAGGAGUAAUUGAUAACUCAACACCACGUACGGAGGUGAUGAAUACAUAUGGGCCGCCGUCGGAGUCACUCAAGUGACCUGCUCUCAUAUAGAAUUCUCUAAUCAAUUCCAAACAAAACCCAGUUUGUUCCGAAAAAUCACAAAUCUGAUGAAGAUUUCCCUUUUCAAAUAAAUCCUGAAAUCCUAGUACACAGUCAAUGAUACUGGCGACGCCAACAUCGCGCUCACCAAUACAAUGUUUCGACGAGUACAUUGACUGACGAGCAGACGGAACAUCCUGUAGACUGAGAUGCGGAGGCUCAGAACCCGGUUCUCUAAUCUCAACACCUCCAGAUUUCCGACGACCGGUAUAUCCAGAUGCCUUUCCUUUUCCUUUAUCCAUGGCUUUGCCUUUCCCUUUAUCAAUGGCUUGUCCUUUCCCCUUUCCUUUUCUUGUAUCCUUUUCCUUAGCCAACACCUCAGGAGUAAAAGCCUCCCAGUCGAGCUCAUCCUCCUCAGAGUUGUCGCCAGGAGCAUAUUCGCUCCCUUCAUCCUCCGGUUGUUGCUCAACCGGCCGUUUACUUGAAGAGCGUUGUCGUUUACUUUCGCGACCACCCCCGGCCAUCAGGACCACAAGCACAAGUAACCAUGAAAACAUUUUGAAGAAAUCCCCUGUUAAUCAUAAAGAUUUUCACAUAUGAAACAUAAGAACACUUAAUUUUUGAUUCCAAAAAAAAAUUCCAGCAAAUUGAUAUAUAAAUGCUAGAUAAUCCUAAGGGCUACAAACUCAUGAGAAACAUGAACAACUUAAGCAACAAAAAUCAGUAAAACCACAUGAUUCCCAAAAAUUCUAAAAAAAAAUUAGUUUUUGAUGAUAAAAACCUACAAAAAAUGACCAAAAAGAUGAAGAAAUACAAGAGAAAAGGUAAACAACAGGUCUAAGAACAAGAUCGAAGCACAAAACUGCAGAUUUAGCUAGAUCUCUAGAAAAACCACCAAUAAAUCUGAAAUGAAACAUAUUUUCGGAGUAUACAAUAUAAAAGCAACAAAAUCCGAAGAUCAUACCUAAGAUCAGUGCAAAUCGGCGAGAAAUGUGAGUAAAAACCGAUCUGGAGGCAAGGGAAGCGCAAGAGAGAAAAUAGGGAGAAGAUCGAAACGCACAAAACACAUCGAAGGAAAAACCCCUUUAUCGGGUCGGGCGGAGGGACCGGUCUCUCCUGCCUGGGACCGGUCCCAGAGCCAGGAACUUAAAAAAAAAUUUAAAUAAGCUCGAAAAUUCCAGAAAAAAUAUAUGUUAGCCCUUAAUGUUUAACCAAUAAAAAUAACCAAUUUCCAUCCAAAAACUUCAAAUAAAAUUUCAUAAAUAAAUUUUAAAAAAUCAAUUUCAAGGAUAUUCAAAUUGUCAAAAAUUGUUGACCCGAAAAUUAAUGAAAAAUUCUAGAUACAUAUAAAAUAAAAUCUCACACAUCAUACAAGAUCUAGGAAUUUAUUGUAUUGUCUUCUCAUCAUAUUUGUUAAAGAAAAUGUAUAAAUAAUUCACAGAAUCGUAAAAUUAAAAUAAUAUGUUCAAAUUGAGUUAUGCACAAUAUUCGAGACAGGAGUGGCUCUUUGAGCAUCUUUUUAUUAACACUCCACCUUAUAUCACCUUCGAGAUGUAUGGCUCUUUGAGCAAUUCUUUCUCUCUGAAAAGUAUUUUUCUUUUGUUCUAUAGAGAUGCUUUAAUCAACAUGUGGUAGCUGCACACACUGACCGGACGACCGGGGUGGUAGCUCUUUCCUCCAUGUGGUGGUAGUUUUCACACUCCCAGCAGGGAUGUAACUCUUUCCACAUCUUGAAUUUCAGAAACUUUCAUAACCAAAAAUGGAAAGACUCCCCCUAAAUUAGUGCAACCCUCAAGUCAAAAAUAUUAUUUCAAUUUCAAAAACAGAGAAAGAGUUAUUCAUCUCAAAACUCAUAAUCAAACAAACAAUAGCAACAUUCAAAUUUCGAAGCAUGAGGUGUUGAAUUUGAUUCAGUAUGCUAAACAGAAUUUCAAUGAUUUGAUCGUUCAAAAAUUAUGACAAUAUAGAACAACCUUGACAGUGAUCAAUCAAAAAUUAAAUAUGAAAUAAUUAAAGUUACGGACCAAUUCAUCUCCCAAAAGUAGCAACAUUAUUCAAGAAAUUCAAUCAUCUCUCAAGCAUAAUCAGGAAAUACCGGAAACCAUGCACAAAAACAAAAUGCAACAUGCACAUGAUCUAUGGCCCAAGAGAAUAUAUCUAGAUUGAAGGAUUCAUACCAAUCGCCUUUCUUAAAUGCAGAAAACGUUUUUGAUCCAAAGGUUUGGUUAAAAUAUCUGCAAGUUGAUUUUCAGUCGAAAUAUAUUCAAGUUGUAGGAUGUUUGAUUCAACCAGUUCUCUUAAAAAGUGAUAUCUUAGUUCAAUAUGUUUUUGUUCGUGAAUGUAAAACAGGGUUUUUAGAAAUAUUAAUGGCACUUGUGUUGUCACAAAGAAUAGUAAGAGUGGUGGAAGGGAUUCGAUAGUCGCUCAGUAAACUCUUCAUCCAGAUCAAUUGAGUAGAGCAACUCCCGGCCGCAAUGUAUUCAGCUUCAGCAGUGAAAAGAGCAAUACAGUUUUAUUUCUUACUAUGCCAAGCAACCAGACAGUGUCCAAUGUAGAAACAAGCUCCACUGGUACUUUUCCGAUCAUCUGCAGAGCCUGUCCAGUCAGCAUCUGAGUAGCCGAUUAGAUCAAGAGAUGUUCCCAUAGGAUACCAGAGUCUAUAUGCGGUUAUACCUUUAACGUACCGAAUGAUCCUUUUAACCGCUUUCAGAUGAACUUCCUUAGGGUUCGCUUGAUAGCGAGCACAAAUUCCAACACUGAAAGCAAUAUCUGGUCUGCUCGCAGUUAAGUACAGUAGGCUUCCAAUCAUGCUUCUGUAUUGUUUCUCAUCCACGCUCUGUCCUUCCGAAUUCACUCCAAGUCCUUUGUUACUUGUACCCAUCGGAAUGUCAAAAUCCUUUGCACUGUCCAAUCCAAAUUUCUUAACCAAAUCUUUCGCAUAUUUGGAUUGAUACAAGUGAAUUCCAUCUUUAGUUUGUUUAACUUGAAGUCCAAGGAAAUAGUUAAGCUCCCCCAUCAUUGACAUCUCAAACUCGCUCGUCAUCAAUUUUGCAAAAUUAUUGGCAUCCUUAUCUCUAGUUGCCCCGAAGACUAUGUCAUCAACAUAAAUUUGUGCCACAAAGAAAUCAUUCUUUAGGUGUUUUACAAAGAGAGUUCUAUCUGCUCCCCCUCGAUUAUAGCCCUUUUCCAAAAGAUAUUUUGUCAAGCGCUCAUACCAUGCUCGCGGAGCCUAUUUUAGUCCAUAAAGUGCCUUUUUCAGUUGAAAAACGUGAUUUGGAAAUUUUGAGUCUAUAAAACCUUUCGGUUGUUCAACAUAAACUUCCUCUUUUAAAAAUCCAUUUAGAAAAGCACUUUUAACAUCCAUUUGAAAAAGAGUGAUUUUAAAAUGGCAGGCAAUCGCGAACAAGAUACGAAUUGAUUCAAGACGGGCAACCGGGGCGAAGGUUUCAUCAAAGUUUAUUCCCUCAAUUUGUGAGUACCCCUGAGCAACAAGUCUCGCUUUGUUUCGAACAAUAGUACCAUCCUCAUUUUUCUUAUUCGUGAAGAUCCAUUUGGUACCUAUGAUGUGUUGUUGCUCAGGACGAGGCACUAAUUCCCAUACAUCAUUGCGAACGAAUUGACCAAGUUCUUCUUGCAUUGCAUUUAUCCAAUAUUCAUCACGUAAAGCUUCGUCAAUAUUCUUUGGCUCAAUCAAAGAUACAUAGCAUGAAAAUUCACAUUGUAGUUGACUUCUUGUUCGCACACCAACGUUAGGGUCCCCAAUUACAUUCGAUAAAGAAUGAUCUCUUGAUUCUGUUAGGGAUGUAGUCUCGGGAGUUAUGCUAGGGAUUUCAGAUGAAGUGCUUUGAGGCUCAGAUGAAUCAUUUGAUGCAACAUUUUCAGAAGAUGCAAUAGAAUUAUCAAGUGCAGAAACAUCAUCAUUCACAGGCAAUACAAACGGAGAAUCAUUAUCAUCAUCAUUCACAAAUGAGUAAGAAGAACCAUUCACAGAAGAACUUACUGAAGAAGCUUCAUCUACUUUUAUAUUGAUGGAUUCAAUCACCGUCUUAGAUCUUAAAUUGUACGCACGAUAAGCACGACUUGUAGUUGAAUAACCAAGAAAAAUCCCUUCGUCACUUCGAGAGUCAAAUUUUCCAAGAUUUUCACGAUCCCGAAGGAUAAAACAUUUACUCCCGAAGACACGAAAGUAUUUAAUAUUAGGUUUCCUACCAAGCCAAAGUUCAUACGGAGUAUUCAGAGUACCCGGGCGCACAUAAAUCCGAUUGAUAACAUAGACAGCCGUGUUAACUGCUUCGGCCCAAAAGUGUAAAGCGAUUUUCUUACUAUGAAGCAUAACACGAGCCAUCUCCUGUACAACCCGAUUCUUGCGUUCAACCGCUCCGUUUUGUUGGGGUGUAUGAGGAGCCGAAAAUUCAUGUUUUAUGCCAUUUGAAACACAGAAAUCAACAAAUUUUGAAUUUAUGAAUUCUCCCCCUUGAUCACUUCGAAUACGUACAAUUUUAUCAUUCCAUUCAGUCAUAAGACGAAGACAAAUUUCAGAAAAAGAAUCAAAAAUCAGCUUUUUCUCGUCAGAAGGCACUCCAUACAAAACGAGUGAAAUCAUCAACAAUAAGCAAGAUAUAUCGUUUUCCACCCAAACUUUGAAUCCUAGAAGGUCCCACUAAGUCCAUGUGAAGUAACUCUGAAGGUUUAGAUGUCCCUAAGUGGUUCAAGUUCUUAUGUGCGGAUCUAGUUUGUUUCCCCAAUUGACAACCCCCACGCACAGUGUUCUCUUUGAAGUCUAUCUUAGGUACACCUCUAACAACCUCCUUCUUUGUUAUCUUGGAUAGAUCCUUAAAGUUUAUGUGACCUAGUCAUUCAUGCCAUAAAGUUUCAGUCUCUAAUGACGCUACGUUACAAUGUUCAGUCGAAGAACUAGGAACUACAUAACAAUUAUUCUGAAAUCUAACGCCUUUUAAGAAAAGAUUGUCACACGAGUCACAUGGCAUUCUUUAUCGAAAAAAUUCACAGAAUACCCAUCAUCACACAGUUGGCUUAUGCUUACGAGAUUAGAUUUAAGCCCCUCAACAUAAAAGACAUCAUUCAACGUAGGGCCAUCUGAGAUAGUCACUGUUCCUUUUCCUACGAUUUUUGACGAUCGACCAUCUCCAAAAACAACAAGUCCUUCGGAGAUUUUGUUCAAAGAAGUAAACUAAUUUUUAUCUCCGGUCAUAUGACGGGAAUAGUCACUAUCCAGAUACCAUGAAGUAUUAUCGUAAGCAUGAAGCGAAGUGUGAAUGACUAAGCAUGGGAAGAGUUCACCUUUGCGCACCCAAACCUUACGUGUUUUGGGUUGCGACGAUUUGCUUGCUUUUGUUGAUGUUGGCUUGUCGACGAUUUGAAUUGACUUCUUCUUCAUAUCCUCCUUCUUUGGUUUCUAUGCUUGUUUUGCCUUUGAUUUCGGCGCAUUUGGUGUCCAAGUUUGUUUCUUCUUAUGAUCAAACUUCUUUGGAGACCAAGUUGACUUCCCUUUUGAUAUAGGAUCAUUCUUCAUGGGUGAUGUUCUUUGGUUCACGGGUGUUGUUGAGUUCUUUCCGUUUUGUUUGCAAAACUUCUUUAUGUGUCCUAAAACACCACAGAUAUGACAAGUUUUGUUAGUCAAAUUAUUUUUAGGAGGGACGAACUUACCAUAAAGUUUAGGAACUAUUUUCGACGAAUGUUCAUUCUCUUUCUUUGUCGCUUGAUCAAUAUACGUCCGUUCGUACCCAAUUCCAAGUUUAUUUGUUUGACCGAGUCCAAGAAUUUUAUCAAGUUUGCUCGAGCCCGAAGAAAAUUGGUUCAAAUCCAACUUCAAUUGAAUGAUCGUCUUGGUGAAUUCCAUAUUUGCUUCUCUAGUUACCGAGUAUUGCUUGGUGAGAAAAUCGAUGUUUUCAACAUGAGUCUCUUUUUUCUUUUCAAGUAAAGAACAUUUCUCAAAUAAAGAAUUGUAGGCUUCAGUCAACCCUUCUCUUUCUUGCUCUAGAUCUUUUGAUAGUGAGGCCAAUCUCAGAUUUUCUUGUUCCAUCUCAUGUAGACUCCGCCGCAGCCUCUUGUUAUGUUUUGCCACCUUCUUUGACUCGAUUACCAGUUGAUGAUAUGCUGCGACCAUGUCAUCUUCGUCCGAUUCUUCAUCCGAUGAUUUCUCCGAAGAAGAAUUUUCAUGUAUAGACGACAUUGAGAGAGAAUCUGCAGAUGCCAAACACAUGAAGGUUGAAUCCUGUGCUAUCAGUGCCGUGGCAUUGACAUCCUCAUCACUUGAAGUUGAAUCGUCAGAAGAGGAGUCAUCCCAAGUAAUAGCCUGCAUCGCUUUCUUCUUCAAAGAUUUUUUAUUUGGACAGUCCGAUGCAAUAUGGCCAAAACCCCUACUUUUAUAGCAUUGAAUUUGGCCUUCACUAUUUUUCUUCUCUUUAGAAGAGUCCUUUUGAGGGUUUUUCGAUUUUCUGAAUUUUGAUGAAGACGAAGACGAACUCCCUUUAGAUUUGCUUGUGAGAUAUGGAUCCCAAGGAUCUAAAAGGUAAGAAACACCUAGAGGGGGGUGAAUAGGUGUAAAUCCGACAAACUUGAAAAACUCGAUGCAAACAAAACAAAGUAGCGAAAAUUAAAAUAGCACACCGAGAAUUUAACGUGGGAAAACUCCAAAUCGGAGUGAAAAACCCACGGGACCGAUCACGCAAAGAAAAUCCACUAAGAAAACUUGAGUACAAGUGAUUUCGAUGAAAAUACACGACUCAAUUUACCGAUUUCUUGUUGACGGUGAUCUUUGCCAGUCCUCGAUCGAUAGGAAUCCACCAAUCGACCUUGCUGCAACUCCACGCAGCGUCAACGCCUCAACUCCUCGAAGCGUCCACCGAAUCCUCGGCUUCACGCGAGAUCCACGCGCCGAACCUCCUUCCGGAGCUUGUAGAAUCGAAGAUUUGUGGUGAUUUAACUUUUGAAAACCAUAAGCUAUGGGAGUUCACCUUUUAUCAAACAUCUACUUGAUUCUCGUAAGAAUUAUUGAGUAACAACGAAGAAUCAAGCCGAUGUUGAUUGCUAGAAACUCGUUAUGUAAAUCUAAGCAUUGAAACGGAGAGAAAAUAAGUUUCUAAGGUUUAGAAUUGGUAAAUAUUCAAAGCCUUAAUUUUUAGAUGACCCACAUAGCUUAUUUAUAUGUUUAGAAGACUUAGAAGUAGACUAGGAUUGCAAAAAGUCGUUUUUAAAAACCUGUGUCGUCCUCAGAGACCGGUCCUCUCGAGGAGACCGGUCUGUGAGAGACCGGUCUCUCAAGUGAGGAACCGGUCCCUCUCUGCAUGACCAAAAUCCCAACGUUCGGGAACCGGUCUCUCAAACAUGAGACCGGUCCCUCGCUGCGCGACAGAAACACCAUGGUUCGGGAACCGGUCUCUCAUCUCAGGGGACCGGUUGCAUCACGGUUCACGCAGUGAGGACCUUAGGGGAACCGGUCUCUCCUUUUCAGGAACCGAUCCCAGAACACAUGAAAGUUCAGAAAAAAUUAUUUUAAAGCAAUCUAAGCCUUCUGAACUUAUUCUAAUUAGGUAUUUUCACCACAAAUGAUCUUUUCUUCAUACCUUAGGUGUCGAGCUUUCCGAAUGAGUCUUAUUUCUUUAAUUUGAAUCUUUUCUUCAAAACUUCCGCAAUCAACUCUUCAAGACUCCAACCAACUUUACGAAAUUCGCCAACCUAUAAAAUCCUUAACAAUCUCCCCCUUUGGCGAUUUCGUGACAAAAUAUACUACAGAGUUCGUAUACAACUCAUAAUUCAUAAAAAGAAGAUCAUCGCAAUCACCAAAUGAUAAUCUUCUGCAUGAUCAAUCCAAUAAACGAAAAUUACACUUUUACAACCUUAAUACAAACUCUAAGACUUAGACAUGGAGUCUUGAAGUCUUGAAUUAUUCCUGCAAAAACAUUCUCAAAAUAUAAUCAGGCAAGAUUCAAGUCAUAAUCCAUAGUAAAACUAUCAAGACAUACAUAAUUCAUAGUUCAUAGUCAAAGCCUAACUUGUCAACCUAAAGUACUAAGUCAACUAAAGUUCAUCUUAGCUAAAUACAUCAUCUUAGCUAAAUACAUCAUCAAGAUCAAGAAAAAUGUGCAUCAUCAUCAUCAUCAUCAUGACCAUCGCCAUACAUCGCCAUCUCCCCCUUUUUGUCAGAAAGCGCCAAAAUGACAAAAGGAGAAACCCAGUGACGCCUAGUCAGAAUCAUCCCCUGGAGGUAAAUCUGCCCGGCAAUAUCCUAACUUGUCAAAAAUCAUAUUCAACAACCUCUUCAUCUUGCUCACAUCCUUACGGAUCGCAGCUUGUUCCGCAGACAACUUCUGAAGCUCCUCAGAUAGACGUUGCUGCUCACGAUACACCGAGGAAACGGAAAUAUCUUCCUCAGAAAUGUCCAUAGAAGGACGUGAAGAAGUAGCAGUAGCAGGAGGUGGAGCUGCAGGAGGGGAAGAAGCACGCUGAGACGGUGUACGAAGCUGCACCGAGGACUUCACAAAUGUCCGUUCAUUUAUCCGACCCAAACUGUGCUCGUAUGAUGUACAACGAACAUCCACUUCUCGAAGUCGCAGAAUCCUCAUGAUUAUCAAAGGAAAUGGUAACCUCUCAUUUUGCCCGGAAGUCUUGAUAUCUUUUGCCAUUCUCCGCCAGAUCAGAAACAGAAUAUUCAUGUUAAUAUUUUGGCACUUACAAUAUCCGGCCUACCCAAGAGAUACAUGUACAGAAUGCGAUCCCAUCUCAAGAUUUUCGUGUUCGCGAGAGGCAUGAUGUUGUAGCAAACCACGAAGUUCAGAAACCUGUACUCCAUUUUGAAAUCUUUGGACAUAACCAUAAUACCGUUUGAUUCAGUACCCGGCAUGCAAAUAGUGUUCAAGACACGGUUCCAAUCGCGAAGUGAGUCGAACCCGGCCUGCAGAUACUCCACUCCGUCAGUCUUUGCUUCCAUCUCUAGCACCGAAGCUAUUGUCUCAGGAGUGAUGGAUAACUCCACACCACGUACGGAAGUCUUAAAUACGUACGGACCGCCGUCGGAGUCACUGAGGUGACCUGCUCUUAUGUAAAAUUCUCUGAUCAACUCCAAACAAUAACCGAUUUGCUCCGAAAAAUCACAAAUCUGAUGAAGAUUUCCCCGCUCAAAUAAAUCCUGAAAACCAGGCACACAACUAAUGAUACUGGCCACCCCAACAUCUCGCUCACCAAUGCAGUGUUUCGACGAGUACAUUGACCGUCGAUUAGAUGGAACAUCCUGAAGACUGUGACGUGGUGGCUCAGAGCCCGGUUCUCGAAUUUCAACACCCCCGGACUUACGACGACCGGGACGCUCUGUGGCCUUUCCUUUGCCUUUAUCCACGGCUUUUCCUUUUCCUUUGCCUUUCGCAGUAUCCUUAUCCUUAGCCAAUACCUCAGGAACAAAAGUCUCCCAAUCCGGCUCGUCCUCCUCAGAAUCGUCGCCAGGAGCAUAUUCGCUCUCUUCAUCCUCCGGUUGACACUCAAUCGGCCUUUUAGCUUUUGAGCGCUAUCGCUUACUUCCACGACCACCGCCAGCCAUAAGAACCACAAGAACAAGUAGCCACGAAUACAUUUUUGAAGAAACCCCUGUCAAACACAAUGAUUUAUACAUUUUGAACAUAAGAACAAUCGAUUUGUGAUUCCAAAAACUUUAGCAAAUUGAUAUGUAAUAUGCUAGAUAAUUCUAGGGCCACAUAACCAAGAAAAUCAUUGACAAAUCAAGCAUCAAAAAUCAAUAAAAUCACAUUUUUCGAAAAAUUGGAAAAAUUAGGUUUUGAUGAAGAAAACCUAUGUUCGAUACGGGUGCCACGCAUUCAUUUAUUAGUAGAGCAUUUGCACGCAUGCAUGACAUACCCAUAGAAGCAAGUGGCAAGUGGCGAGUCGAGGGUCCCGAGUUAUCAUUUAACACCUAUACGGAGUGCUCGUCGUGUCCGGUGCAAGUGGGUGAUUGGAUAAUGCCCAUUUGGAUGUUGGAACUCACUAAACUGGAGGCGUACGACGUUAUUUUAGGUAUGGAUUGGCUCUCGAAGUAUUACGCCACGAUCGAUUGUAAGAAUAAAUUGAUCACUUUUCGGGAGCCCGGACAGAAGGAGGUCGUUUACCGAGCUUGUCGGAGUUCUUGCUUCGUCGCGACAGUAUCGGCGACGAGAGCUAGGAAGUUGGUCAGCGGCGGUUGCGCGGCAUUUUUGGCGACCGUCGUGGAGGUGGACCGGGUGGUGCCGAAAUUAGAAGAUUUAUCGGUGGUGCGGGAAUUUCCGGAUGUGUUUCCCACGGAGUUAUCGGGGAUGCCGCCGGAUCGGGAGAUCGAGUUCGUUAUAGACUUGAUUCCCGGGACGGCGCCGAUCUCAAAGGCCCCAUACCGCAUGGCGCCGGCAGAGUUAAGAGAAUUGAGGGAUCAGUUACAAGAUCUUCUCGACAAAGGGUUUAUCAGGCCGAGCGUAUCGCCGUGGGGAGCGCCGGUGUUGUUCGUGCGCAAGAAGGAUGGCUCGUUUCGACUCUGCGUGGAUUAUCGAGAGUUGAAUAAGGUCACAAUAAAGAACAAGUACCCGUUGCCCCGAAUCGACGACUUAUUUGAUCAAUUACAGGGGUCACGAGUGUACUCGAAGAUAGACCUACAAUCCGGCUAUCAUCAGUUAAAGAUCAAGCCGGAGGAUAUUCAGAAGACCGCGUUUCGCACGCGUUAUGGACACUAUGAGUACACGGUUAUGCCUUUCGGGCUCACUAAUGCCCCGGCUGCAUUCAUGGACCUGAUGAACCGUGUGUUCAAGGCGUGCUUGGACCGAUUUGUCGUGGUCUUCAUAGACGACAUCUUGGUCUAUUCGCGGGACGACGAGGAGCACGCGGAGCAUUUGCGGACGGUGCUUCAAAUCCUUCGGGAGGAGAAGCUAUUCGCAAAGCUGAAGAAAUGUGAUUUCUGGCUUCGAGAGGUUGCCUUCUUGGGGCAUGUGAUUUCCGAGGGCGGUGUUUCGGUUGACCCGAGGAAAGUCGAAGCGGUCGAGAAUUGGCCACGCCCGACGAACGUCACGGAGGUCCGAAGCUUUAUAGGCUUAGCGGGCUAUUAUCGACGGUUUGUGGAGGGCUUUUCGAAAAUUGUAACUCCACUUACCGGUUUGACUCAGAAGGGCGUCAAAUUUAUUUAGAGCGACGAAUGUGAUCGAAGCUUCAACGAGUUGAAGAAAAGAUUGACGUCGGCUCUAAUACUCGCCUUAUCGGUACAGGGCGAGGACUUUGUGGUUUAUAGCGAUGCAUCCUAUCUGGGCUUGGGGUGUGUCCUGAUGCAGGACGGGAGAGUGAUAGCUUAUGCAUCCCGUCAGCUGAAGGACCACGAGAAGAAUUACCCCAUCCAUGACUUGGAGUUGGCGGCGGUGAUCUUUGCGCUGAAGUUGUGGAGGCACUAUCUAUACGGUGCACACUGCGAGAUCUACACCGACCACAAAAGUCUGAAGUAUCUAUUUACCAAGAAGGAGCUAAACAUGCGACAAAGGCGGUGGGUAGAGCUAUUAAAGGAUUACGAUGUUGAUAUUCUCUACCACCCCGGCAAAGCAAAUAUGGUCGCGAAUGCGCUUAGUAGAAAGUCGACGAAGAACCUCGCUUUUGAUGUUACCCGGCAAACACCCCUAGGGCUGGAGAUGGAGCAACUGGAUCUCGAAGUGGUCGCUCCCGAGGUCCCGGCUCAGCUGAUGGCGCUCGUUAUUCAACCGACCUUAUUGGAGAGGAUCAAGAAAUUACAACCCGCAGAUCCGAAUCUCCAAAAGGUGCGGCGCAACAUCGAGGAAGGACGAGAUGGCGGUUUUGGUGUGGACGCAGGUGGCGCGCUCCGGUUUCGAAACCGGUGGUGCGUGCCCGAGAAUGAAGAGCUUCGCGAGUUGAUCUUCCAGGAAGCCCACCGGUCUCCAUACGCGGAUCAGCUGGGCGGCACCAAGAUGUAUCAUGAGUUGAGAGCACUCUAUUGGUGGCCGGGGAUGAAGGCUGAUAUUGGCCGCUUCGUGGCAAAGUGCUUGACUAGUCAGCAAGUAAAGGUGGAGCGCCGGUUUCCAGCGGGGAAGCUUCAAAGCCUACUUAUUCCCGUCUAGAAAUGGGAGGAUAUAUCUAUGGAUUUCAUCGUUGGCUUACCUCGCUCGACAGGGGGACACGACGCGAUCUGGGUGAUUGUGGACCGCUUGACAAAGUCAGCACACUUUUUACCGAUCCACACCACCUGGGCGGGAGACAAGUUGGCGCAGGUAUAUCUUGACGUAGUGAGGUUACACGGGGUGCCGAAAUCGAUUGUGUCGGAUAGAGACCCCAAGUUCACUUCACAUUUCUGGAAAAGCCUACAGGAGGCCCUUGGCACACGGCUCGAUUUCAGCACCGCAUUUCAUCCCCAGACAGACGGACAGACUGAAAUAACCAUUCAGACUCUGGAGGAUAUGUUGCGAGCGUGUGUCAUCGAUUACAAAGGAGGUUGGUGUAAGUAUUUGCCAAUGGCCGAGUUCGCCUACAACAACAGUUAUCACGCUAGUGUGGAGAUGGCACCGUUCGAAGCUCUUUAUGGGCGGAAGUGCCGCUCUCCCAUUUAUUGGAGUGACGUGGGCGAGCGCACGGAAUUUGGCCCCGAUGUGCUGCGGGAGGCGGAAGAAAAGGUCCGCCUUGCUCGCAAACGAUUACUCACGGCGCAGUCUCGACAACAGAGCUAUGCGGAUAGGCGCCGACGAGAUCUAGAGUUUGCGGUGGGCGACCGUGUCUUCUUGAAGGUCUCGCCUAUGAGGGGUGUAAGGCGAUUUGGAGUUCGGGGAAAAUUGAGUCCCCGAUAUAUUGGCCCCUAUGAGAUCUUGGAGCGGAUUGGGACGGUGGCUUAUCGGCUCGCGUUGCCGCCGAAGCUUGCGGAUGUGCACAACGUAUUCCACGUCUCCAAUCUUCGCAAAUACGUUCCCGAUCCCGAGCAUGUAAUGCUAUAUGAGCCGCCGGAACUUCAGGAGGAUCUGAGCUACGAGGAAUUCCCGGUGGCAAUUACCGCUCGUGAAGUGCGCAAGUUAAGGAGUCGAGAGAUUCCUUAUGUCCGAGUCCGGUGGAGCAAUCAUGAUGAUCGCGAAGCCACCUGGGAGCUCGAGGAGGAGAUGAAGGCGAAUCAUCCUCGCCUGUUCGAAGGCUAAAUUGAGGUAUGAAUUUAGAAUUUGAAAUUCUAAUCAAGUUUUGGAGUAUUGAGUUCGUUUCGAGGACGAAACUCUUUUAAGGUGGGAAGGAUGUAAGGAAGUGAAUUCUCGAAACUCGAGGAUUAGACUUCGACCAGAAUCGACUAUUCGUCGAGUGCGUAGGCUUCGGAAAGUCCGAAGGCGAUUAUAAUGCAUAAAGUGCAUUAAAGAAGGGUCCGCGGGAGCACCAGUGCAAAAUCUGCACUGGAGCAGAAAUGCUCUCGGGGACCGGUCCCUGGCAGGGAGGGACCGGUUCCAUCAGGCUGGGUUGCGGAGGUCUCUGAUGAGACCGGUCCCUGGUGGGCAGGGACCGGUUCCCGAACGUUGGCCCGACGAGAUUUAGCCAAAUUUGGCUAAGUCCCGAGAAUGCAGCUCUCGGGAACCGGUCUCUCGGACAAGGACCGGUCUCCCGGGGACCGGUCUCUCAGGCAAGGACCGGUUCCCGAACGCGAAAAUCCCUCUGCUCGAAAUGGCAGCCUUCGGGGACCGGUCCCAAGUCGGGGAGACCGGUCCCUCCGCGCGAAAACUGCCCAGUGAGGGUAGUGCACUAGGGUGAAAGUUGAGGGGCUUUUAUGCAAAAUGGCCUUUAUUAGAGGUGGGGGACCCCUCUCUCUCACUCUCAGCUGCUUUCUCUCUCUCUCUUACCCUCUUUUCUCUCUCUCUCUAAGAAAGAAAAGAAAAGAAAGAGAAGAAGGAGAAGAAGAAGAGGAAGGAGAAGAAGAAGAGAAAGAAGAAGAAAGAGAAAGAGAAGACUAAGAAGAAGAAGAAGAAGAAGAUAUCUUCUUCUCUCCCUCUCCCUCAAGCUUGAAGGAACCUUGUGUAGGGGUAAGCUCUAAACCCUUUAAUGGUGUUUCUAGGGUUUUGGGGUUUUUAUGGUUUGAAUGGGACCUAAUGGAACUAGGGAGAAGGUUCGAGCUCGCAAUUGAAGCUCGCACCACGGAUUUCUUCCCCGUUGCCAUCCUAGGGCACGGAAUUGGGUUUUUGGUAAAUCUAGGGUUUUGAUCUAAUCUAAUAGGUCGCAAACCUAAUUGCUAGGUCCCGGAACGCGUCGGCGAAGUCGGUUUCUCGAUCCGACGAGCGGGUGCGGAGAAAUCGCCGAAUCGGGUACUCGAGGGCUCGCUUCGCCCCGAGGAGUUGAAGCGGCGUACAAGAACCCCAACGUCGAGUUUUCUACUAUCACGGCAUCGCCAAGAGGUGGGUGGUGUCCAUCCCGAAGCAAUCGGGCUCCCUUCUAUGUCUUAGUACAUUUCGAUUCUGCAUCUUGUAUUAUUGCAUUAUAGGAUGAUUGUGCAUUGCCUUUCCUUAUGCUUUCCUUGAUGAUAUCGUAGCAUGUAUUGGAUACUUGACAUAGUGGAUUGAUAAGGAUUGGGUCGAGACUUGUGAAUCCUAUAGUGCAGAGAAAGUGAUAGGCUCAAUGGUUGGUCUAAUGAUGAACAAAGAACGAGUGGCAUCUAGUCAAUAGUAAACCAUGGAGGAGUGGCAAUUUAGUUAAUAGUGUAUAAGAAAACGAGCGAUGCAUGUUAAACUUGGUGUAUACGACGCCUAUGGACUAUAUGAUGAUUGUUGUAAUAUACCGAAAAUUAGGAAAAUAAAUAUCGAACUUUAGUCAAAUUGACCAAAGUGCGAGGACGGUACACUUCGGAAAGUCCGAAGGUGUUAAAACGAUCAAAAGUGAGCUACGGGAGGUUUUUGAGAGCUAUAAAAUCAAAUUCUCCAAAACUGCAGAUUUUGAGCUCUCGGGGACCGGUCCCUGGUGGGAGAGACUGGUCCCCGAACACGUAUGAAAUGAGGCAGCCGAAAAAUCGGCUAAGUCCUGAGAAACUAGCUCUCGGGAACCGGUCCCUACCUGAGAGACCGGUCCCCGAGAGACCGGUCCCACAAGGAGAGACCGGUUGCACUGCGCGCAGCAGUUUUGGCUGCGCUAGGACGACGUUCGGGAACCGGUCACUGAAGGAGAGACCGGUCCCCGCCUGCGCGAACUGCCCAGUUCGGGCAAUGUAUUAAAGUGAAAGUUGAGGGGUUUAGCUGCAAUUUUGCAACCCAAUAGGCUAUAUAUUGGGGUAAAUGAGGGAUUUCUCUCAUUUUCACCCUCUCAAUCCCUCUCUUCUCUCCCUCUCUCUCUCUAGAAGACAAAGGAGAAGAAGAAGAAAGAAAGAAAGGAAGGAAAAGAAGAAAAAGAAGGUGAAGAAGAAGCUUUUGGAGCAAAGAGGCUCCAUCUCCUUCUUCUCUAGUGCAAGAAAAGGAAGCUUACAAGGUAAGCUUUGAAUCCUAAUGUAGAAAAACCCUAGAAAUGGAUUUGAAUGAACCUAGAAAUGGAUUCUAAUGGAAUAUCUAGUAGUUGAAGCUUUCUUUUUGCUUCUUUAAAGAUCAAAACCAUGGUUGAGCUCAAGGUGAGCUUCAACCCACCUCUAAUGGUGAAAUCUAAACUAGGGUUUUGGAAAGCCUAAGAAUGGUUCUAAUGGACUACUUAGAGUAUAGUGAAGCUACUUUUGCUUCCCAAAAGAGAUCAAACCUAGCUGUUUGAUAUACAUUGGAGCUAGGGCACCCAAAUUGGGGCUUUUGCUCAUGAGGGUUUCUAAGUGCAAAUUGACCCUCUAGAAACCUAAUUGGGGUAUUUCCGACGCGUUGUGCGCUCGGAUUAACGUUACGAAAAGCCGAUCAAAAGUUAUGGGCAAAAUGGCCUAAUAAGGGUUUCGUUUUGCCGCAGGUAAAGAACGAAGCAUCUAAAAAUCCCAAGAAAAUCGUCGGAGCACCUAAAUAGACCUACGAGGUGGGUGGUCUCUCAACUCAUUGAACUUCUCUCUAUGCCAUAAUGUGUCAUUCAUUUGAACAUGUGUAUAUAUUGUUGCAUCAUAUUAGGGCAAAGUAAUGAUAAGAAUGUGAUGAUAGCAUGAUGUGAAGUACAAACUUGCUUAUAAAUGAUGGUAGAGAACCAAAUAAUGUCAAAAACCCUAAGUGUAUGCAUUAGAAGAAAAGUGGCACCCAAAUGAGCCAAAGAAACAGAGUGACAUCUAUGACAUAGAUCGAGUGGCAUUUAAAAAUGUAAAGUAAAGAGACACUAGAGUUAGGUGAUGCAAAGACCAAAGUGAUGAAAAGAAUGAUGAAAUGACAAUGUGUAAAGUAAAGUAAAGUGGGGCAAUAAGAACAAGUACUGUAACGAACAAAGAAUGCUAGAGUUAGCAAGAGUAAAGAAAUGUAAGAAUGUAAUUGCAUGAGUUUGCAACAUAAGUGAUGUAAAGAACACUAGAGCUAGUGUAAAGUCAAGAUUGAACUUAUAUCCUUUGAGUUAAAGGAUAUGAUCAUACUUGCUAUGAGUUCCGUGCUCGAGGGCGGUCGCUCCCCCUCGGCGAUGCGCUCCGGAGGUUGGCAUCCGGGUUGAGUAAACCGAAGACGGUCCUAGCGGGUGAGUUCCUGCGAUGAUGGACUAUGGAAGCAAGCUAAUGUGGCGAAACCUCGGGUUACUUGAGAUUAAAAGAACAAAGAACAAAGAGCAAAGAUAAAAGAGCAAAGUACAAAGUAAAGUCAAGAACGAAAAAGAAUUGCAUAAUCUGCAUUAUUUAAUGUUGAGCAUACUUCUUGCUUUGUUCAGGCAUAUUAAGCAUCAUGUUUGUAGAUGGUUACUAUAUUUCAGCUUAUCCUUUCUAUUAUGCCUGAGUUAGUCCUAGUGGAAAAGUCGGUGAUGUUAGGCGCCGAACCCACUGGAACUUUUGUAGUUCUCACCCCACUAUUUCCACAGAGCUGGGACGAGCGAGCCGGCAAGCGACCGAGGUAAAGUAUCGCGCCUUAGUCAGAGGCCACACCAAAGUUGGGGUACAUUUUGUUAGUAACACCCUUUUAUCAAUCUUUGUACUUGAUGAUUAAUGAUGUAAGGAAAAGAAUGUAAAGCUUAUUUUGAGGUAAAUGUGAUGUAGGAAAGAAAUGAUGAAAUAUGUAAUGAAAUAAAGAUCCUAAAUUUACGAAUAAUGCAAUGUAUAUGAUCUAAAAUGAAUCAUAUUACUCGUGAAUGUUUAGUUCCUUUUCUUUCACUAAUGGCUAUUGCUUACCCUCGUGUGACCGUUGUGUAUGUUUUGCCGCUAGUGCUUUUCUCUAUGAUGAAAAUGGUACAUGUGAUGAGCCUUGGCGACAGGGGAAACUCUGUCCGUUCGCGCUGUUUGACGUGCUCGGGUCGGGCCAAAUUGGGUACCGUGCCGGGGCGCGUCGACAAUUGUAACGCCUAGAGGAUAGGGUAUUCUCGAGACGAGGAUUGGAUCAUGCUCACGGUCUGUUUUUAAAUCUUGUGAUGGAAGCCCCACACAAGUAGUGCGCUCCGGAGUUAGUCACGUAGGAUUGCCUAUUUUGGGUCGCAAGGGAUUGCCUAUUUUAGGCCCCGGCAGACGGUCUCGGUUCGUUGUGCGAGUUGACCCUCCCUACCUUCGAGAUGGCUAGUGAGCAGUAGGCUCCUUCAGGGAAGCCACGAGAUUAAGAAACAAGUAAUUGAGAUUGAUGAACGAGUAAAUAGCUUUACCUUUGGACAUGAUAAUGGGUUAGUUGUUUAUCUAUUUCAUUGUACAUGCAUUCAUAUAUUUAUGAUUGGGCAUAGUAGCGUAGCUUUACUUCUGUCAUUUACCGCUUUCCUUAUCUAUCUAUCUAUCGAUUAUCUACUUUUGCCCGCUUGGACCUAGUGGGGAGAUCGGCGGAGUCGGCGGCCGAACCCACUGGGAACUAUGAAAGAUAGUUCUCACCCCACUUUUUACAGGUUCGAGUUUGGGCGUCCCCGGUGAGCGUGAGGAUCGUGGUAAGGGCCCGGCGCUCUAGUCGCAUUAGCUACCUCCCUUUUGCAUUAGCUGUCACCCUUUUUGUAUUUGAGAGUAGAUGUUGUAUAGGGUGAGGUUCGAGUGAUUGUAUUUAUAUCUUGGAAGAAUGUAAAAGAGGUAAUUAAAUAUAGUAAGUCAAAUGAAUGUAAUAGAUAGCUUCUUCUCUCUUUAUGUACUCGUAUAUAUUUUUAUACUUGUAUCUUCCUCUCGUCUUGUGGCACUAGUGGUGCUUCUUGAUCGUGUAUUUAUGAAUUGAUUACUGGAUAAAUUCUUAUACAUGAUCUGUUGGUUAGCCUUGGGCGGACAGGGGAGGUCCUGUCCGUUCGGCGUCUGUUCGACGCGCUCGGGCCGGGCCAAAUUGGUAGCGGGCUCGGGGCGUGACAACAUGCCUCGCGAUAUGCAAUAUGAAUAUAUGCAACUAUGCAACUGUAUAAACAACUAGUAGAUAUGUUGAUUCUACGUUUACUUUGCUAACUUUAGCUCUUACCUUUAUCACUAGCUUAUAAGGUUUCUAGUAACCUAAUCAAGCUAACCACCCGACAUGGCCUCGAGUCAAUCAUCCGCGGAUAGUCCGCGCACUGGCUGCAUCUCAGCCUGGCUGCCGUCACAGCCUACCGUAAAUCUGACUUAACCAUCUGGUGGCGAACUCAUCGCAUCGAACCCAACAACAACUCAAGUCAUGACUUAGCCAUCUGGCGGCGAACUAAUCGCACCUCACCCACCAAUGGUUCAAGACGUGACUUAGUCAUUUGGCAGCGACCACAUCACUCUUUCCCAGUAAGGUUCAAGUCAAUCUAGGCGGCAUCAUCCGAUAAGCUAAUGGGCGAGGAGAACCACACAUACCCAAUUCUAGCUUAUUCUCAUGGCAUCCCGGGCGAGGAGAACCACACAUACCCGUUGAAUCACUGCCAGGCGAGGAGAACCACACAUACCUGCAGUUAUGAUUCGCUUGCCAUCUCUUUUACCACAAUUUCCACCGCUCCAUGUGCGACCACAUCACUAGGGAUUCCGGAAUCCACUUCAUAUCGCUCAAGGGUUGGUUUCAAACCCUAUAGUAUUGACCUAUCUAGGUCCAAUGUCCUUUUCACCCUAGGUCCAAUUGACUCUAGGUUCAACGUCUCUAUCACAUAACCUAGGUUUACUUAACUCUAGGUUCAAUCCAUAACCUAUGUCCUUUAACACUAGGUUAGAUGCCACUCAUGAUUCAUCCUAGGUUCAACAACACUAGGUUCAUUGUCAUUCAUGUCCAACCUAUGUUUUAUACACUAGGUUAGAUGCCACUCGACCUAUGUUCAAUAACACUAGGUUAGAUGCCACUCGAUCUAGUUCACAUGACUCUAGAUUCAUUCACAACCUAUGUUCUUUAACACUAGGUUAGAUGCCACUCGCUCUAAUUCACAUGACCCUAGAUUCAUUCACAACCUAUAUUCUUUAACACUAGGUUAGGUGCCACUCGAUCUACUUGACAUCCUAUUGUCAUCUCGAGUCUACAUGUACACGAAUCUUAUCCAACAUGCUCAUUAUACACAUAUGUAUUAAUAUGCAUUCACUUACUAGCAUGGUUUCUUAUCAUAUUAACAUGCACAUUACAUUUAGCAUUUCUAGACUAUGUCAUCAACAUGCAUUUCAUUCUAUGCAUUAUAUUUACAUGCAUCCUUCUAGUUUUCAUGCAUAUAUAUAAUCUUUUAUAUGCAUCUACUUUAGCAUUUACAUCAUAUCAUGCAUUACUAGCAUUACAUUAUUAUCAUGCAUUACUAGCAUUAUGUAACUUGCUCACUAUGCAUUUCUACUUAGCAUUCACAUUAACAUGCAUUGUUUAACACUUAUAUGCAUCAACACGAAUUCUUAAUAUUCUUAGACAUAAGGGCGACCUAGUCACUUCGGUAAGCACAACCCACCUUAACUUACUCUCCGAUUGCUUGUAGUCACUUGCAAUCGGCCGCCCGCAACACCCGCGACCCGGUUUGGCUCGAACUCUCGCGCGACCACCCAAACGAUCUCCGAUUUGCGAUCCGAAAAUUAAAGGUCUUCAGUUAUGUGCCACGGUGCUUCAAAUCCGUUUUCAUGAUUUUACGACGUCGCCUCGGCCCUCCAGGCGGAAACGAAGCCUAAACAUCCGUUUCUUUAAUAACUUUGUAACGGCUCGUCGGAUUGCCGAACCGUCUUCGCCAACGCAUUUCGUUACCUAGCAAUUAGGUUUACAUAGGGUCAAAAUAGAUCAAACCCAUCUAUUAGCAAAAAUUACAUUUUGGAGCUCCAGGUUGCAACUAUACAAGAAAUCAUCAAAUCCCUUCAUGAAUUAAGCAUCAAUCAUCUAGAUAGCAUGCUAGGAUUCCUCUAAAUCCAUUUUUAGAGCUUAAAAAUCAAACUAGAGAAAAAUGCCAUUAAAGGGUUUGAAGCUUACCUUCAAAGCUUGCUCUAAUGGAGAGGAAGAAGACGAAGAAGAUGAAGAUCAACUUCCAAGCUUGCUUCUCGACCAAAACCUUCAAUUUUGGGAGAGAUUUAGAGAGAAAAUGGGUGGGUUCUCUCUUUCCCUCUCCAAGCAUGUGUGCGUGUGUGGCGUGCGGGUGUGUGUGGCGCACGGUUGAGGGAGAAGAAGCAUCAGCUUCUUUAUAAUACCCCUCAAACACUAUUCACUCCAGGCAGCUUGAAAUCUGAUAACUUUCGCCGGAGCUCCCUGAAUGUCCGUUUGAGCUCAAACUUGACAGUCAUAUUCGGUUUUAUGUACUGAGCAAGAAUAUAUUUUAAGUUUCCAGUUUCGACCCCGUUUGGUCACCGAAAACUGUACCGAACUGUAAUCUUUAUCAGAUAGCUGUCGGAUUUUAUUUCUCACUCUACGGGUGUUAGAAAAAUAUGAAACUUUAAAUCUAGCAUCAUAAAAAUAUUUUUGACAUCUCCGCCAAUUUUUAUAAUUUUCUGACACUGUGCAUUUUCUGCUAAUUUAUCUGCCCCGUUUCUUACAGAAAAUUCUAAAUCUUCUGUUUUCGCUCCGAUUUCAGCACAGCUCAUUCCCAACUUAUACUUCAGUUCUCUAAAUCCAAUAAAAAUAGUAUCUCAUGCUAUUUUUAUUUAUUUUCACUUUUAUAUUUAAAAUCCGGUAUGUUACGUUCCACCGCAACCUCACCGGACCCAUUUAAAUAUACACCGUAACUUCAUAGUUUUAGAAGUCUGGUACCCUACAUCGCUCAUACUAUUUUUAUUUAUUUUUACUUUUAUAUUUAAAAUCCGGUAUGUUACGUUCCACCGCAACCUCAUCGGACCCAUUUAAAUAUACACCGUAACUUCAUAGUUUUAGAAGUCCGGUACCUUACUGCCGGCCACUGUGGCCAGCGCGCGAGCGGUGCGAAGAUCAGCGGAACAGCACGCACAGCGCUAAAAUUGCAUUAAUCUCGCUAACUAGGGCAUAUCUGCUCGUAACUGGGGUGAGCACGAUGUUCAGCACGAGUUGUAGAAGGCUUAUCGGAUCACCAAAAAGGUGAUCGGAACCUCAGAAUUAAGUCCUGGAAUUUAAUCUGCAGCUUACCAGACCCGAGGGAGCUAGGGUUGGUCGCCAGCGGCCGGACGACGGGCAGUCCAGCCAGGGGAGGGUGCUGCCGGUCGGUGGGGUCCGGGGCACCUGCUGGCCGGCGGCGGGAGGCAGCCGGUGGCGCGGCGGAGGAGAUCAACUCCACAAGGUUGCUCUCGAGUUCAAGGGCGCCAGCGGCUAGGUGGCAGCCAGAGGAUCACGGGACAGUGAUGACCCAUUGCCGGAGGCCGAGAGGGAGGUGGCACACACGGCGCUGGGCGGCGGCGGCGCACGGAGGCGGUGCGGGUCCAAGCUUGGCCCGCACGUGCUCAGGAUGGCUGCAGAGACCUCCGGCUACGGCCGACGGCUUCGGGGCAUCCGGGGAUGCACGCCGGGGGUCGUCAGAGGUACCUGGAGAGCGGCGCGGCCGGCGGGGAGCGAUGGCAGCGCGCAGACCUCGAGCCCAAGCCCGCUCGGUCUAGGCUGACCCAACUUGGCCGCGGCUAGCUCAGGCGGCGUCGGCGGCGCGCGCAGGUGGCAGCGGCCAUUCUGGCCGGACGCGGUGGUGCCGGCGGUCACGAGGAAGGUCGCCGAUGUGGUCCAUGGCGGCAGUGGCGGCGCACGAGAAGCAAACCAGCCUGGGCUUGGCCCAAGCUGGCCCAGCUCGGCCAUAGAACGCCCAGGCAGUGAUGGCAAUGCGCGUGGACGGCGGAGGCCGGCGGGGGACGGCACCGGGGAUGGGCCUCGGCCAGAGGAUGACUGCUCCAAGGGGUUUAGAAGUUUCCUAGCCUACUCAGGGUUCCACGGCCAAGGAGAAAGCAAUGUGGAGGGAAAGAGAGUGGAGAGGGAAGCCGGGGAGGCUUUUCCGGCGGCCGGAGCAGCCUGCCGGCGGCCGGGGCAUGCACACGAGGUGCACAGGGAGGAGCUGAGGUGGCUAGGAGGCUGGGGUUAGCUCAAGAUGGUUUAGGGUUAGGGUUUCCCAUGAAAACCCUAGCUCUUUAACUUUAUACAAAUUGACAAUUAUGCAAUUUAGUCCACCCCUGUUCAUUCCUUUCAACUCAGCCCUUGCCCAUACAUGUAUUAUGCAUACAAGCCCCUCUAUAUUUGAAAUUACGCAAAACGGCGCAUAAAAUAUUAGGUUUUUUGUGAAUUUUCAGAUUUUGCCAAUUUUCGACCCCUUAGCAGGUAUCUCACUAUUUCCGAAGAUUCGUCCAUCGGAUUUCCAAACGGAUUGCACCAGCGCGUUCAACACAUCGGGGGCAUCGAAUCUAGCAUUUCGUUUCGUCCGAUUUGCUCUCCGAUUCACGACGAAACCUACCUUCAUUGUUUCCACCAUAAAACCACAUAUUUAUAUAUGUAAAACCGAUCAAACCCCUUUUUCUCGACAAAUGUGCAUCAGAACCUAAUUCCGUCAGUGCCAUUGGGUCCAAAAUAGUCAAGCCGUUGAAAACGAGCUAUUGGAGUCCUAUGUUCAGAGUCCAAUAUGCACCAGAACCCCUCUCUACUCACUAGCUCAUCCGAGAAGCCGGAGUUACUAUUCACUUUAAGUCAUCAGUCCUGGUCGCGUAACUUCUCCAUUCUAGCUCAUUUUCUCCUGAAACUUGGCGAGUGCUUAUGUAAUUAAAUUACGCACAAAAUCAUCGUUAACAGAGAGUUUAGUUGCACUGCCAAAAUCUCAGUCCUUACAUUAUUUUCCCCUUAAAAGAAGUUUCGUCCCCGAAACUUGACCACGUACCCACCGUAAACGAAUUUAGAUAUUACCCCACCACUACAGUAUCACCCUUCAGUAUUGGACAAUUACAUUUGGAUAGAUCAACCUCCGAAGGAGAAAAAUAGGACUGUGUUUCCACUUGGACAAAUCGAGGGAAAACGUACCAACCAAAAAUCUACGGACCAAACUCACCGGGAUCAACACCAUCCUAUAACCUGCGGACAAAGACAGUCCCGUGACCAGAAUUAUCAGAUCCCAAAUUACCAACUUUGAGAUAAAAAUUCUCCACUCAGAAACUCUAGAUACACUCUACCUUGGUCCCCAUACCAGUAACCGACUCGACUACGUCGAAGGUUCACGUAGAAGAGACACGAGUCAACACCACAAGUCUAGAGUGUAUUUUCAUAGACCGAAAAGACACACUCUAACUAGCCAACAAUGUCAACCUGCUCACCACGAGCGAAUACGAAACGUUGUUUUAAGACCUGAGUCAAAACUAUCACCUUGGAGACCACAGUCUCCUACCAGUAACUACACAAACUACCAAAACCUCCAUCAACGGAAAGUCACCUGCGACAAUCUAUAGUCCUAGGUCCAAGACCUCACAUUCCACUUGACCAAAAGGUCCAACUGAUAAUACCAAUUGAGCUAGACAAUUUUGUCUCCUCAAACUUAAUUCGGUACCAACCGACCACUAAAAGUUCUUUGCAAGUCCAUCACUUGAUGCACAGGUCGCCAAUCGCAACUGCAAUAAUAACCGUCGGCGAUGCUCAACAUCUGUCUCCAUGAGACCCUGUCGCUGCCAUCCUAAAAAGGAUCCUAGCGAUCGAUGUUCCGAGCAACGCCAAAUACCUAUCUCAUUGAGACCCCGGCGCACCUGUCACCAAUUAACAGGAGAAGCAUACUAUUCCAAGGUUGCACACUAAGCCGUGUCACAACCUUAUACGCUAUCACAUACGGUGACAAUCAAAGCCAACAACCAGGCUCAAGUCACUCCACAAUUGUGAUUCCGAACCUCUCAACAACAGACUGAGACUACUAAAUAACCAAACCUUUUAGUUGUAACAGGUACAACUAAAGAACUACGAACACCAAGACUCGAACUAGAGUCAAAGCCCUCAGUAGAGAUGAUAAAUCAACUGUGCAAAAUCUGCCAGGGAAUAAUCCAAGGCUCGCUAUGUGGCCAGAAAAGACCGACGACACUCAAGCUUUCCCACGAGACAAUCUAGAGAAAGAUACCGACCCAAUUCAUGAGUCCCAAACGGGAAGAAGGUAUUUCAUCCCAACUUUCGAUAAUACAUUGUCUGCACCCAAUGUACUUAUCAAAAGAGAAGCGAAAUAUCCAAAGAUCCACUACCAACAACAAGUUUGAAGCGCGACACAUCGAAGUAUCAAGCCACCUGAUACCUCUUCACUGAACCAAGAGUCCACAACCAUUACUAUCGAACAUCGACUUUACAAGUCGACAUUCGAAAUCAGAACGACCCUAAACCGACUCACAGGGAGUCCUAUAACUUUCAACAUUCAAAAGUUGCUAGCAACACUAAGCCGCGCACCGUACCAACUGAGGCUUUAGGAAACGGUUUCUCUAACCGAUUUUCGCACCUCAACCGAGCUAUAAUCAAAGCUCCAAGAAUUUCGAUAAUAAUUUGGAGUCUGUCGAAUCAAGACGAAACCUAUCGCCAACAACAAACUAACCCACAACACACCAAUUUAGGUGUUAGAAUAACCGCAUACGAUGUAUGCCUCAACGAAAACUUGACACCAAAACUGUGUCAAUCCGACUCUAGUACACGUCAAUUUGAUGAACGAACUAGUUCAAGGUCAAAAGACCCAAACCGCUGAUUCCAAUCAGCAAUCAAGGAGGAGAGGUAGGCAUCGCAACCCUACCCAAAGAUCUGCGGAAGCAACACUAACAAUGCAGUCGCCUAAACGAUCGCUAUCCAAACCCUGGGCUACACCCUAGUAGCCCCACUGAAGUCGUGACCGUAACUGGUCUAAGUACGGUCUCCGUAGAGACACUCGCAGUAGCUCUCGUGCCCUUAGUAGGAAGAGUGGCCUGGGUGUCGACAGUUAAGACACUCGCCUAGGCUGAAGAUCACCUAGUGUCACGCCCGGGUACCAGCGGAAGCAUAUCCGGUACGUGCACAAACUCGCCAUACACCUACAGUAUAUAAGGCGUCUACGAAGAAAGCAAGUCGAUAGGAAGUAAAAUAAAGAAAGUCCUAUCCCGAUAUCAGAGCAAUGUACAAGUCGAUAUACUAUCAGUAAAAGAACAAAGAGUGUACAAUCCAAAAUCUCGACUAAAGAGUAAGUAUCACAACAGAAACAUCGGGAUCAACAGUAAAUAUACAUCACGGAGUAUACAAAAAUAGGUACAAUGGUGGUCUCUCUAUACAAAGGACAUCACCCUCGGCCGUAGCCCGAGUAGCAAGGUGAUCGACUAGCACGCUCCUAGCAAAGUCUAGCUAGACGCGACUCCCUUGCCACGAUCCCUAUCCUCUCCUGCAGAUGGCUCUGUAAAAACAACCACCAAAAGGGCGUGAGAACUAUUAACAAUAGUUCCCAGUAGGUAAGCCGCCAGCCUCGGCGAAUUACACCACUAGGCUCAUGAUGUACUGUGGUGGGUUGUACUGUUUUACUUCGUGUACGUGCGUUGUGACCCUGUCAAUAUAGGGAGACUUUGUCCGCAACGUGUACAGUGGAUCCCCUGUGUUCGUGGCGAUCUCGCAAUAAACCUGGGUCCAGGCUUUUAAAAAAAAAAAAAAAAUUUCAGAAGCUUUUUCGCUAUAACUUUAAAACUAAAAGGGACCCCGCGUGAACAGAAUAAAGUGGUAUCAGAGCGAGGUUACAACCACAACACCAUUCACAGUUUUUUUUGAAAGUAAUGAUAACUGAAUCCAUGACUAGGUUGACGCUUAGGAAAGACCUACGGUGUAUGAGGCAACUGAGUGCGGUUUUGGACUCGGUGUCACUGGGCUUGCAUUCGAGUUGGGUAAACAGCCCCCCCCCCCCCCCCCCCCCCCCCCCCCCCCCCCCGAAGUGCAUGGUGUUUCUGUAUGUGUUACGGUUCGCACAAAAGCUGGUUGUCCUGCAGUUGGAAGUAGUGGCUGGUGCUUCCUUGUGGACUAUCGAAUGGUGGGGCGACAUCCCCAUNNNNNNNNNNNNNNNNNNNNNNNNNAAAUAAGUAAAUACGCACAAAGUAGCAUGAUAUAGAAAUAAGCAUAAUAACCGGUAACAGGCAUUAAUUCACAUGUAAACAUGAUUUCUGUCAUGUAAUGAAUCAACUGAUAAAGAAUAUCAUAACUAACUCCCUAUACCAGAACAUAAACAUAAAAUCAUAGAAGUGUAAGUACUUGCUUGUAAUACAACGAUACUCAUCUCAUUACUAUUAUAUCAUUUCAUUUCAUUUUUCGAUUCACUAGAACCUACUCAAAAUAGUCCAGCUUGCGCCACUGCCUAAUGUCUCCCGUGUAUUAUACCACUCCCCACAAUCCAAUUUCGAUCACCCAAUCCCGCACGGGCAACAACCGUCCGUAGGCCAACUCCGGAUGCCGCUUUAAGAGCUACCCUCUACAUCUGUGCGAAUGAGCACAUGGUCUAAGCAAGCAAAGUCCAUUGUCUCAAUUCCUCAAAUAUCAUAUUUUCCUUGGUCAAAGUUCUUCACCCUCGAUCCUACUGAUCGAAUUUCAAUACACAAAAUAGUAAACAAACUAGUACCACUAAUUGAGACAAGUAAGGGUAAAAAGCUAAAUCACAUGGCAUUCAUAAACAUAGCAUGAGCAUGUCAUAGUUUCAUCUACUUAGAGUCAAGAGAAUGUCAUUGUUCCUACUUUAAAGUGCAUCGCUAACUUGUUCAUAAGUCAUCAAACUUAUUGAAUAAAAAUAAAUACUUUCAUGUAAUAUUCUCUACUUAUAGAGAUUUCAUUCUACUUAAGCAUCAAACUCACCGAUAUAUCGUUCAAUCUCUAUCAAUUCACAUAAGCCCCAUGCAUACCUAUUGCGAUUAGUCCUAGAUUCUAUAGAUACAUAUAGAACAUAGGGAGUCCACUUGCUCAGUUAGGUCCGCCCACCCUAGUACUAGGCCCAAAUCAGUCCAAAGAUCCCAACAGUAUCAGGCUUCCACUAAGUCUCACCUUCGCUUACACGAAACAUCAACAUCCGCGUCAAAAAUAACGACCCUGGUAAUAUCCGAUUUCGCCUACAAUUACAGCUUAGGACAAAUAACUGCUUUAAAUCCUGUUUAGGGACUAGUGUACAAUACUCAAAGAUGAGUCUCCAAGAGCUCUCACAAUACAACUAACGAUGAUCCAAGCCUCGAUCGCACUCAUCUCGGCUGGCACAAAAAAUAAACGCAUCAAACUCCACAUAUAAUACAAUUAUAGUCAGAAUCUCUUGCAAUUUCAGCUUCCUAACGAAAUCUUGCUUACCUCAGGUAACAACUCCUAAACCAAGCCUACAAAGAGUACAUAGUUCAGCUUCAACGUAGGCUCGAAGACCUGCCUAAGCUAAGAAGUAAUCCUAAUUUGCAUCAAUUCCGCGCAAAUAAGUGCAAUUAGUUCUAAUUUAGGUUCAUAAAUGCUACUUCUCCAAUAAUCUUAAAGAAACUUAUCCCUAGUCAUUAGGAGCUUAAUCACAGCUAAGUAAUAUCAUUAUACUUCUGAACCUCAGAAGAAUACAUCUAAAAGCAUAAACUCAAAAUCCAUACCUCAACCGCGCUAAUAGAACGUCGAUUUAUACGAUUAUAUAUAUUACGAUUACCUUUUCAGACUUCCCACCAUGAGUCUAAAUGGCUUAGGGCUGCAAACGCCUUCCAAAAAUACUCUCUCCACUGCUCACCGUAAACUCCCGCACACAUCGAACCACGAAGAACCAACGUGCAAAAAACGAGUGAUUUAUUACUCGAGCGAAAUCUGCGCCAUUCUUUGUUAGACGAGAGAAAAACCUAAGAGAUGAGAGAGUGAGGAAGGUGGGAGAAACACUUUUCUCCUGAGCUCCAGCGACAUAGCAUACUCCACUGAGCUCCGGGGUCGUGCAUGUCGAUAAUUAGAUCAAGUUGAAAUUACAAACACUCUUGCCAAGCACAAUCUGCACAGCUGUAUUCGUAAAGUAAUGUUGCAAGCAAAAAAGUAUAUACUCGCCAUUCAAUGCCACUUUUCUUGCUUUUAACACCUCAAUCACCUCUAACUUGUCAAAAACUGUCCAAUCAAUUAAACAGUAGAAUAAUCAUACCUUCAUUCAUCAACACACUCGAUGCCAACUCUGGACAAAUACAAGACACAGUGUAACAUUCACUCCCAAAAACUUUCGUCCGCUGAAACUUUAAACAACUUUACCCUGUCCAAGAUUCUAUCGAUAAAGGUAGGGUAAACACAACACCACACUUCCCAAGUUUCACCGUUCAUCAUGAUUGCUAAAGAUCUUUACUAGGUGAAUCUCGCGUUUCGAAGCUGUUAUUUACUUUCUUCCGACUAGUAUCCUCACGGAUGCUCCUCGUAUUCUCACCAUCUUCUGUAAAUCCACUCUGGUAUCUCCAUAUGUGAGACAUAGCUCAAAAAACAUAAAAUUUCUGUAGAGUAGAGUACAUGAAAUACAUUAUGUACUCCGAAGAUUCGCGCAAAGCAAAGCUCGAUACCUACGGCCCUAAUCCGCCUCAACACUUCGAGGUCAAUGAACCGAGAGACAUCACUUUCCUCGAAUGCCAAAUCUCUAAACUCCUUUCUGGAACCUUUAGAGAAUACAUGAAUUCGCCAACUCUUUGAAAUUAGUUUCUCCCCGCCGACGUUGUCCGCUAUAACUCUUUUGUCGACUUGGGCGCUGUCAGUAAGCGUUCUCGCGCAACGACUACUUUAGCUUCACUCCUGUAAUACGUCUGGAGCGCCAAACCAAUCUCUCACCCACUUCACUCCCAUGAAUUGGGAUCUGCACUUCUACGAUAAAGGCUUCAAAAGUGCCAUUUGAAUACUGCUGAUAACUAUUUGAAAAAAGCAAAUUCCAGACCAUAAGCAAGAACUGUGCCAACUGCUAAUGGUAAUCAUCAACACAGGCCCCAACCAUAUCCUCAGGGUCUGGACGUACGCUCAGACUACCACAUCACUCUAAGUAGAAGCAGGUAUAACAAUUCCAAGAGUACCCCAUCCUCCUGUAAACUUUUCAGAAAUGUGAAACGAAAUCGGGUUCCUCGAUCUGAAAACAAUCGAAGCAGGUACUCCCGUGCUAAUCGAGCACAAUUAUCAUCAAGAUACACUUGCGAGUGCUUCCCCCGUCCACACUGUAAACUUGGAAAAAAGGGCCAGAUUUAGUCAAUCGAUCCAAACAAUUACCGCAAUUGCAAUGUGACCGUCUUGGUGACGAGUAAUCUCACAUGAAAUCAUAGUGACCUCUCCCACUUCAUCCACUGGUUAUGGUAGCUCUGAAGGUUUUCCCGCAGGAAGUCGAUGUUCAUCAACUUUAACCUGCGACCACUUAAGUCACUUAGCCCCACAAAGUCUGCAACUUCUUUUAUUAUAUAACACCACCAAUAAUUAACUCAAAAAUCCUUAUACAUUUUCGUACCCCCGGGGACAGUAUAACACCCCCCCCCACGCCCCCGAUGUGCUUUCUACGAAUCCUCUUCUUUAAUACCAGAUCUCCGUCAACACCCAGACCUUACGUCAACAAUCUGACAUGCUACUAAAAUCACAUCAUGAUCACCUAGUGAUCUUUUCUGAAUCUUUCUGCAGGAAUUUCACCAUACUUGCAGUUUUCUUUUUCUUAAUUCGAUCGAUCAGGGUAUGUUGACCACUAAUGACAUAAGUUCCAUAGGCCGUAUCAGCAGAGCUACAACUUUCAAAUUCAAUUGCUCCAUUUCCUUAACUCUAAACAAUGGUUGCAUUUUAUCGAUAGCCAAAUUUUCCAGUCGUUUUCGACUUAAAGCAUCUCUUACGACAUAGCUUUUCCAGAUGAUAGAGGAUAGCAAAUUAUAAUCCUUGAGUAAACUCCAUACCAUCUACUUGCUCAUGUUUACAUUCUUCUGUUAACGAACUUUAACUUUAGAUCUGUAAAACUUCGCAACGCCGCCGUAGAGGUAUGUGGCGCCAAAAGCUUUAAAAGCGAAUACACAGCUGCUCACUCAAGAAUCCAACAUGUAGGCGUAGUUCUUUCAUAAUCUUUCAAUUUGCGAUAACGCAUAAGCAAAUACUCGCAUUCUGGGAUAAGAACACAAUUCCCUAACCAUUCAGUGAUGCACGUCGUUGUAAACACAUAACCCUAUCCGGUAACAGCAAGCCCAGAAUCGGGCGGUAAGUCAACCUUUCCUUUCACUCUUGAAAGCUUCCUUUCACAAGUUCGUUCCACAGAAACUUAGCUCUUUAGUUAGUCGAAGUGAGAGGAAGUGACAUCUCGCUAAUCAUUCCUUCUACAAAUCUUUCGUGUAUACCUGCCAAUUCCAAGAAAACUCCGAAUUUCAAUGACAUUGUUGCUACGCCAUUCUUAUGCUUCCAAAUCUUCUGGAUCCACAAGCUAUUCUGCCAUUUCUGAAUCACAGGCCCAAAAAAAUGCCACUUGAAGCCAAAAUUCGCAUUUCUUAGCUGGCAAUAUUCUUUUCUCGAAGUACUUGUAACAUCUACUCUCAAAUGUCUAUUCAUGCUCCUUUCACUUCUCGAAAUAUAUCAAGAUAUCAUCAUGAACACCGACCCAAACUAUCCAGAUAGGCGUUAAGGACACGGUCAUUAAAUCCAUAAAAGCGGCUGGGGCAUUAGUCAAUCCAAAACGAUGACUUGUAAAUUCAUAACCCAUAUGUGUUCUAAAAGCAGUCUUAGAAACAUCUUUAGCUUAAUCUAACUAUAUAUUCCCUGAUUUGCCAUCGUAUUUUGAGUAUACUUUCGAUCCUUGCAGCUGAUAAAUAAGUCAUCAAUUCUGGCAUGGAUAUUUAUCUGCUUGACUUUGUUGAAUUCUCGAUUAAUCACGCACCAACUCCAAAGGAAUCCAUCCUUCUCUUGACAAAUAACACGUGCUCCCAGGCGAUACCCAGGUCGAAUGACUAUCCUUUACUAACAGAUCUUGUAACUAUGGCCUUCAAGUCUCUCAAUCAGCGGGUCCAUCCUAAUAAAGCGCCUUUAGAAAUAGGGGUCGUUCCCAGGACCAAGACUAUCACAACAACCAACUUCCCUAUCAGGUGGCAUGCCUCGGCAUUCACUGAAACUACAUCCCCGAACUAUCGCGCACACCCGGAAUAUCAUCAAUCUCGACUCUUAAUCCUACCACAAAAUGCUACCCAAAGGCUACGCAUCCUCUCCGAAUCAACUGCGUGCUCAGCGAAGCAAGCUAAUGGUCAAUUGCGCAACAAGAACCUGACACCCCUAAUAAAAACAACCUCCUUUUGUCGCCGUUCCCUAAAGGUCAACCGUUCUGUCGAAUGCAAUCUAUGUGCAAAUACGUUCAACCAAUGCCAUACCCAAUACCUACAUCAAACUCUCACCGUAGUUUGUUGUAUGCCAAUAAAUCCACUGCAUAAUCCAGUCGCCUACCCUAACUGGCACGAGGGCAAAACUCACAACAUCUAGGUAUGGUCAUGUACAUAUCACUCGUCCGACGAUGCAAAGUAAGGUGCAAACGAAUGCUAAUGAACUCGGCGAACUGCCGAUGCCAAAUAAAAAUGCAAGCACCAAGUAUCAAAUAAUACACGAACUACAAAUAUCAUAAAAGCAUAAUAAACUGCUACACCUCCUUGUGCUGCUUGCGGCGCCCUCGGUCCUGGGCGCAUACAUCGCCCACUAUAACCUGCUGCGAACGCUCCGGCCGCUGUAAUACCACGAACUUUUGCAAAUUGCAAGUUCGAGUAAAUGUGAAUGUGUUUUGGAUCAACUCCUACAUUUCUAAAAAGUUAGAACAAGUUUUAGAUAAGUUAAAAGAUGAUUGGAAUCGAAAGUGAGAAAGUGCAUGAACUGCGACAAAUCAGCCUUUUCUGCUUGCUGUACGUACAAGCCCUAAUGUGUUACGCGGUACAGCUCAGGCAAAUGCUCGUGCACAGCAAGCUAAUUCGGUCAAUUUAACACUUGAAUACCUACCACUUACCCCAGCUCGACCAGGAUUUUCAGUGGAGGUGCUGGUCAGAGAAAGGUUCUCCCACCUUCCUCACUCGUCUCUCUCUAGGGUUUUUCUCUCUCUACACUCCGAAUUCGCCGAUGUCUUCUCGUUUUCGUCGCCUGAUGCCGCCGUUCUUAAAAGCUGUUGCAUCGUCCGCAGCAAGUUGUACCUUGUUACGUGAACAAAGAGCGUUUUGGAGGAAUUUCGCAGCCCUGACAGUGAGUGCUUGAACAUUGAAAGUAAACGCUUGAUUUUUCCGUUACAGCGCUUUAUUGUCGAUUUGUGUAUGAUUUCAGUUUGUUGCUCCACACUCGUUUAACCUGAGAUUUCAGCAUUAUAUAUGAGGUUCAAUAGCCUUGAAUUAACCUUCUUGACCAGGUAAGCACUUUAAAGCUUAAUAGAUAAUUAGCCAUUUACGAAGCUAUUUCGGACUAUACACACGUUUAUCGAUCAAAUUGAUGCAGCGUUGUAGUUGACUUCGCACACUCUUUGAGCACCUCGUUGAGCUAACAGGUACUGCCGUUGAACUUAUUGGAAGUUGUUCACCCUAAUAGUAAUAAACAUGCUCAGUUAGUAACCGAAAUUGCAAGAUCCCACCAUAAUUGCUAUUAUUAAUGAUUCUAUUCGUUUCGGAAAUUGUUCGCAGCAAGAGGCGGUGUUUACCCUUGGAUAGCCGCGCAUUCAAUUUCACUUGAGGGCCUUCUGGAAGCUUAACGUAGGUAUUGAACUAACAAAACAGGAUUUAAGCUAUUCCAAUGACAAAGUGUAAUUGUCGUCGCCGAAAAUUGGUCUUUACUCGUAAUUUGAUAACGAUAUGUACCUUCGUGUUCAGCAGAUGCGACCUAUUGAGCUGAUCCUUAGAACUCCAUGGACUGUUUUGGAGCCUAGUACCUGGUCGACCUAACCAGAGCAAGUGAAGCUCCUCUAUUUUAUAUUAUAUAGAAAUAUUUUAGUUGUGUGCUUAUUAUACUAAAGGCUCUUGAGAAUUCCAUCAUAACAUUACUAUCUUACAAUAGCAUCGCCUAUGAAUAAGAAUCCUACGCUAAAUGUAUUCAUAUUCCUAUUGUUAGCUGAAUAACAAUGAGACAGUCUCGUUAUUAUGCUCAGAAAACGAGAGAACAUGACAUUCUCUUUUUACUCCUUGAUUACAAUAGAGCACAAGAUAUUCUCUUGACUAACAUGAAAUAGAGAACCUAAUGACAUGCUUGUGCUAUGUUAUAGUGCCAUGAUAGAAAGAUUCUAAUGCCAUAUGUAAAUUAGCAUUACUCCUGCAUUCUUUUACUAAACUAUGAUUCUAGUGUUGUUACUUUUGUUAUACUUAAAAUUCGAUCAAGAUCGAGAGGCGAGAACGCGCAAUAAAAUAUGAGAAUUGAGACAUGUUGACAUGAAACUAUGCUUGCUUGCCAUCGUGCCAUUCGCACACGCUGUGAGUGUCGCUCCUACAAGCCGCACUAUUGCCUGUCCGGAUUUCCUCGCGCAGUUGCUCGCUCCCCGUCGGAUUGGGUCCGAAGUGUACUUGCCGUGAAGGAGUGUAUACUACCACUGGGCCAUUAGGCGCUGGCGCAAGCAUGGACUACCUAUGUAGCCCUGUAAUGAAAAGGAAAGUACUAAAGGAAAAAAAAACAGUAAAUGAAUGUUAUUACUUAAAUACAAUAGUCCUAUGUUCUGCUUAACUAUGUCUAUGUCUUAUACAAAGUUGUUAUAUCUUUUAUGCAAAAUGUCAAAUUACUGAGAAGCUAUUACAGUUGAUACAUGCUUAUUACUUAUAGCACAUCUAUAAAUCAUUGCAAUUAAUUCGUUUUUGCUUUUCAUUUAGUACAAUCUUGACUAGAUGGUGAAUUCGCCUGAGCUGGGCUACCCACUUGGAACUAUUGUAAUAGUCCACGCUCCUUUUGGGUUGUUUUUACACGAGAACUCACAGGCAGAGGCUAGGAUCGUCGGCAAUGGAGUCCGCGCCUAGCUAGGACUACAGGAGCUGCUAGUCCGAUCACUGCCUAACGCAACGCGAGUGAUGUCCCUAGUAUAGAUACGACCACGUUGUAACCUAUUCUUUGUAUACCCGUGAUGUAUAGACUUUGGACAGUCACUUUAGUUGUAUACUCAUCUUUGUUGAGAUUUUUGACUAUACUCCUUUACCUAUUGUUGAUAGUAUUGUUGACUUGAACUUUGCUCCUGAUAUCAGGAUAGAAUUCUAUAUCUUCUCCUAUCGGACUUGCGAUUGUAACCCUUAUAUACAAGUGUAUGCGGUCUUUCACUAUGUACCGAUACUGUAACGCCGACUUCCCAGGAGGUCACCCAUCUAGACUACCUCCUCCUACCACUCUUAACUCUCUUAACUCUCUUGGGUCUAGCCACACCAACAUAUGCUUAAGCCGGCUUAAGAGUUUAGUAGGCGCCCUAUUAUAUUCUCAUAUAUAGGACUAUCUGGGUCUCACAAUCUCUCCUUCUUAAAAUAGUUUCUCCUCGAAACUCAUUUCAUACCUUAAAACUCCCCUGACAAACAGAUGGGAGAGGUUAUCUGACACCUGUAGAGAGAGAAAUACAUCUGAAUUAUCCUAUAAAAAGAUACAUCGGCUGACAUUCCAUGAUCAAGUACGGGCGAAACUGAAAGGUUAAAAUAUUUCAUGACUUGUUAAUAAAAACUGAACAUUCCUGCCGAAAUUGACCUCAAUCGACGUCAGGCGCUUACGAAGGUAUUGAUCCCGAGUUGCGCUAACGACUUAAUUCAGGCAUUUGAGUAAUUUCCGCAUGCUAUGGAUUUCCACUAACAUUCCUGCCCUCAGUGAAACUUCGAUCUCUUACCCUCACCUCUUGCCCUCUGCACGUAAGAGAAGAAAGAGUCAGAGAAGCAUAAAAGAAAGAAGGAAACGAGAAGAAAAAAGGAAAAGAGAAAAACAAAGAAGAAAAAAAAAGGUGCGACUUUUAUUUCUCAUCGCCUCCUUUGCUAUGGCCUUUCUCUCUUCCCUCUGCUUGCAGUAGUUCAGCUCGGCAGCAGUUAGCUCAGCAGGGCAGUACAGUAGAACAGCCUCAUAGCUCUGUCAGCACCUUGCAGCAAGCACUACAGCCACUUAGCACAAACUAGCAGUCACACAGCACUCAGAAACUGGCUGAGCCAAGUCCAGCAGCCUCAGCAACAGUGCGCACAGUCAGCAGCACUGCUUGUCAAGGCACAUGCGCAGAGUACAGCAAGCAACAGCCAUUCAACCAGCACAGGCAUGCAACAGCAGCUCCUGUCAUCAACAUCACAUUCAGCAGCACAGCAAGCUACAUUCAUUCAGCUGCAGCUGCAGCCUUAAAAGCGAGCAGCAGCAACGCUCCGCCAGACUGCUGCCGUAGCAGCAAGCACGCCAGAGCAUUCGCCAUCCACACACAUGCAAGCAUAGCAAACAGCAGCUCAGCUGCGUGAGCCUCAAGCACAUGGCAGCGACACAGCAUAGCAGCAUAGAACAUCGCAGCAGCAGCUUGCGCAGCUGCUGUUAGCCAGCACAAGGCUUCAUAGCCGCAGCAUAACAGCAAUAGAACUGUCCUGCAAAGAAGAAAACGAAGAAAGAAAGCAAUAAAGAAAGAAAAGAAAAACUGCAGAAAGAAAGAAAGAAAAAAGGACAAUGAAAAGAAAGGAAAAAAGAAAAGAAACCAGAAAGAAAAUAAUGAAUAAUAAGUGAAAGAUGAAUCGAAGUAUUUAGACUAGUUUUUACUAACCUGAAUUGAGUUCCUUCGGCUAAUAAAGAGUUAAUACUCUAUGAAUUGUGAAAUCAUGAAUAGUGUUUUUGAGAAAACUGUACCCUGCAAUCACCGUUUUGCAAAAAUACGAUCCAAAGUGAAAUUGACCGCCUUUUAACCAAAUUGAGGGUAAAAGAAACGCGUUGCGAAGAUCGGUUCGUCAAUCCGACGAAUCCUUAACGCAAAGAUACCCCAUAAAGAAGUUCGACUACCAUAUUCUGCCGCUUUCUGUCAGCAUGAAACCUAAACUUUUAAAAUAAGCGAUACUCUAAUUUAACUCUCUCCUAGUCUCUUUAAAAAUGAUAAUGACCAUGCCUCGACUAGUCUAAAUUGACUUUCUACAGGUCGCGACGCGCUAAUAUACGUGGAGACCGCUCUAUUUCGCCAUUUGCACGGCAGCUCGCGAGAGAUAGCGUCGACGCUUUUCCGAGAGUAAGUCUAGUUGAUUGACACUACCGAUACAGUGGGUGGCUACCGAAGUCUUUGAAUCACCUUUAUGUCUAUGCAUCAUUGAGCAUAUUUACUGUCUUCUUCAUGCAUUAUAGGGGUAUGGCAAUUUGGCAUACAAUUUGAUUGAACGUGUGAAUUAAUAUGAUCAGAAGAACAAUAUACAUCAGAUUAUGUGACAUAGAACCCUAUGAAUGUAUGAAACUGUAAAAGACACAAGACAAUAUUAAACUUGGUGACAAUCAUUGACUAGAAGAUUUGUUGUAGCAUCGAGAAAUACGUAAUUAUGAAACUAUAUCAAAAACUAGUUAGAGUUAAAAUUUGUGACAUUGUUGUCAGUUGAACCUCUAAAAGGUUGGAUCAGUAGUGUUGCCACUCCUGUCAGGUGGGGCCUUGAAGGGCCAAGUGAGAUUUUCGGGCCUAGGCGAGUGUCAUGACUGCCGACGCCCAGGCCACUCUCUCUACUUAGGGCACGAAAGCUAUUGCGAGUGUCUCUACGGAGACGGUACUUAGACCUUUUUGGGUUGCGACUGCUGUGGGGCUACUAGGGUGUAGCCUAGGGUUUGGUAGCGGUUGUUUAAGAGACUGCAUUGUUAGUAUUGCUUCCGCGGAUCUUUGGGUAGUGUUGUGAUGCCUACCUCUUUUCCUUGAUUGCUGGUGAAAUCAGCGGUUCGGAUCUUUUGACCUUUACCUCGUUCAUUCUUCCUACCAGAGUCGGAUUGACACAGUUUUGGUGUCAGUUUUUUUUUCGUUGAGGCAUUCAUCGUAUGCGAUUAUUCUAACACCCAAAUUGGUGUGUUGUGGGUUAGUUGUAGUUGGUCUAGAUUCGAGAUGUUCCAGGGAUUCGAGAUGUUCCAGGGUCGUUCCAAUUUCGAAUGUCGACUUGUAACGUCGAUGUUUCGAUAGUAAUGGUUGUGAGCUUCUGGUUCAGUGAAGAGGUAUCAGGUGACUUGAUACUUCGACGUGUCACACUUCCAAUUCGUUGUUGGUAGUGAAUUUUCGGAUAUUUCGCUUUUCUUUUGAUAAGUACAUUGGCUGCAGACAAUGUACUGUCGAAAGUUAAGAUGAAAUACCCAUUUUCCCGUGUGGAACUUUUGAAUUGGGUCGGUGUUUUCUCUAGCUGUUUAUGAGAAAGCUUAAGUGAUGACCAUCUUUGACCAUGUAGCGAGCCUUGGAUUAUUCCCUGGCAGGUUUUGCGCAGUUGACUUAUCGUCACUUCUGAUGGUUUGUACUUUGGUCAGAGUCUAGGUGAUCAUUGGUCCUAUUGUUGUGCCUUUCACAGCUAAGAGUUUCUUGGGUAGUAGUCUCGGUUUGUUGUCGUGAGGUUCGAAAUCAGUGAUUGAGGGACUUGAGCCUGGUGGUUGGUCUUUGAUUGUCACCGUAUGUGAUAGCGUAUAAGGUUGUGACUUGGCUUAUCGUGCAAACCUUAGGUUAGCUUGCUUGUCCGGUUAUUUGGUGACAGGUGCGCCUGGGUCUCAAGGAGACAGGCAUUUGGUGUUGCUCGGAACAACGAUCGCUAGGGUCCAUGGUAGGACGACAGCGACAGGGUCUUGUAGAGACCAGUGUUGAGCAUCACCGAUGGUUAAUAUCGCAUUUGCGAUUGGCGACCUGUGCAUCAAGUGAUGGACUUGCAAGGAGUUUUCGGUGGUCUGUUGGUACGUUUUUUUUCUCGUUGUUGUCCGAGUAGAACUGCAGUCCUAUUCUUACCUUACUUGGAGAUUGAUCUGUCCAAAUGCAUGAAAAUGUAAUUGACCAAUACUCAAAGGUAAUACCACAGUGGUGGAAGUAAUAUCCGAAUUCGAUUUCAAUGGGUAUGUGGUCAAGUUUCGGGGACGAAACUUCUUUUAAGGGGGGGAUAAUGUANUUGAUCCAACUCACAUAUUGGAGAGUACUCCAGUGGAUUUACAAGAAGAUUUGAGCUUUGAGGAGCAUCCAGUGAGAAUACUAGCUCGAGAAGUGAAAAGGCUUCGAAAUCGCGAAUUACCCUACGUGAAGAUCCUUUGGAGCAAUCACGAGGAGCGGGAAGCCACUUGGGAACUGGAGAGUACAAUGCAAGAGCAUUAUCCCUAUCUAUUCUCGAUGGAAUCAUGAGGUAAGUGUUUACAAGUUUCGCGGACGAAACUUCUUUUUAGGAGGGGUGAAUGUAAUACACUGAACUUUUGCAAAUUGCGGAGUUCGAGUAUGUGGAAUGGUGUGUGGAUCACUCCUACAUGUUCUAAAAGGUUAGAACAAGUUUUUGGAUAAGUUAGAGGAUGAUUGGAAUGCGAAAAGUGAGAAAGUGCAUUGAACUGGCGAAAAUCAGCCUUUUCUGCUUGCUGUACCGGUACAGCCGCUAUGGUGUACCGGUACACAGUGGCAAUUCGUGGCAGCAAGGCUAUUUCGGUCAUUUCACACUUGAUACCUAUCCACUUGACCCCAGCUCGACCAGGGAUGUUCAGUGGAGGGUGCUGGGCUCAGAGAAAGGUUCUCCCACCUUCCUCACUCUCUCUCUCUAGGGUUUUUCUCUCUCUACAUCGAAUUCGCCGAUUUCGCUCGUUUUCGUCGCCGCGCGCGUUCUUCGCUGGUUGCGAGCGUCGCAGCACCUUUGUGCACGUGCAAGAGAGCGUUUUGGAGGGAUUUUCGCAGCCCUGGACCAGUGAGGUGCUGGUUGGAAGCUUGAGAAGGUAAACAACUUGAUUUUUCUGUUAUCGGCGCUUUAUUGGUCGAUUUGUGUAUUGAUUUCAUGUUUUUGCUUCCAACUGUUUUAACCUGAGAUUUCAGCAUGUAUAUAUGGGUUAAUUAGCUGUGAAUUAACCUUCUUUGACCAGGGUUAAGCUAUUUUAAAGCUUAAUUAGGAUAAUUAGCCAUUUAUGAUGUAAGGACUGAGAUUUUUUUUACAGUGCAACUAAACUCUCUGUUGAUGAUGUUUAUGUGUGUAAUUUAAUUACAUAAGCACUCGUCAAGUUUCAGGAGAAAAUGAGCUAAAAUGGAGAAGUUACGCGAUUAUUAGUUUACACUUAAGUGAAUAGUAACUCCGGUUUUUUGGUGAAGCCACGGAGUAGAGUUGGCUUUCUACGCGUAUCGGACUCCGUUCAUAGCGAUCCAAUAGCUCGUUUCGACCGGUUCAGCUAUUCUGGAACCAUUGGCGCUGUCGGAUUUUGGGUUUGACGCACGGAUUUCGAGAAAAUCCAAAAAUACAUGUUUUAUAUGUAUUUAGGUGUUAUUUUCUCAUGUUGGAAAGAAGAUUGGAUUGUGUCGUCAAUCCGUGGUUGAUCGAGGUGAAGCGAAAUCGUAGCUUUGUUGUCUCCGUCGUGCUGAACGCGAUGGCACUGUCGGAUCGAAAAUCCGAUGGACGGAUUUUCGGGAAACGCGAAAUGUUCGCUAAGGGGUCGAGAGUGGAAAAUCGGGAAAUUCGCAAAAGUCGUAAUAUUUUAUGCACCGUUUUGCACAAACUUGAACGUAGAGGGACUUUGGCACAUAAUAUACGUGCUGGUGGGGGACCUAACUGAAAAUAUGUGGCUUUGAGGGGGUUUCUUGCAAAUGGCAUUUAGUAUAUAGGUGGCAACUAGGGUUUCUAAGAUCCUUUUGCUGCCCAUAUCUUCUCAUCUAACCCUAGCCGCCCCACCUGCAAACCUGCCCACCCCGUGCGCAUGCUCCGGCCGCCGGCGAGGACCCCCGGCCGCCGGAAUUCCCAGCAUCACCUCUCUCUCUCUCCCUCUCGGCCAAACUCUUCACCGCAUUGCGGUUGCGGACCCAUGAAGCCACCCUAGCUCGAGCACCAGUGUCCCCCGGCCGAGACAUAUCUCCCCCGUCUCUUUUGCCGGCCCCGGCCAUCCCCGUGCGCCGCCGGAGCCACCUUGCUCCCUGCGGCCAACCCGCAGUCACCCAGGCCGAGCUCGGGUGAUUCCCGCCUCCGCGCGCCGCCCCUGCUCCUCGCUGGCCUUGCCGCCAUCCUGGUACCUCCGGUGACCCUCCGGUCGCCGCCCUGUCGUCUCCGCACGCCGCCGGCCGCUGCUCCGACUCUCUGCGGCCGCCCAGGGCUUGUGCGGGCCGAGAUCUGGUCAUCUCGACCACUGCGCGUCGCCACCGCCCGCAGCAUGGUGCGCCGGCCUUCCUCGGCCUCCGGCGACUGACGCCGUCGCCCCGACCCUCCUCCGGUCGCCGCAGUGGCCGCCGCCGCCACUCCCUCUCCCUACGGCCGCGCAAGGUCUGCGCAGGCCGAGCCGUGCCCAGCACCGCCGCCGCCGCCCUCCGCCGCCGGCCGGCGUGAGCAUAGGCUCCGCCUGGCCGGCCGCACUCAUCCGCCGCCGGCCUCCCUAUCGCCGGAGUUCCCUGUUGGCCGGAUCUGGGCCGUCCUCUCCUCGGGUUAGGUGGCUAGGGCAUCAAUGCCCGCCGUCGUCGCCGCCUCCCGUCGCCUGAUGACGCGAGCCCCGGCCUCCUCUGACCUGGAGCACCUUCCCCUGGCCGGCCUUCCCGCCGUCCGGCCGCCGCCGGCCACCCCGAACCCUGCCUAGCUCUGGUAAGCUUGUAUUGCAAUUAUUGUGCACUGUUUGGGGUCGCGUUUACUGUUCCGGCGACCCGAGGCUGUUCCGAUGCCUCCGAAAGUGAGCACGGUGAUCGUCAGUCAGUGCUGAUCACAGUGAUCACCUCAUUUAGGGUCAGCGAGCCCCUGGUUAUCGAGAUAAGCAUGAUUUUCAUACUGUGCGCGCAGUUUACUGAAUUUCGCUUCGCUCGUGCGCUCCCCACAGUGGCCGGAAUUGCUCCGAAAGGUGAGCACGGCCUCCGGCACGCCGAGACCUGUCAGUAGGUAUCUCGGUUUGGCUGAAUGACUCCUAGUUUGUGUAGACGGACCAUAAAAGCGCCGAAAUCGCAUGAAAUAAUGCGAUUUCGGGUAUUCGGAAGGACUUUUAUGCAACUUUGUUCGUCGUGGCUACUGUUGGCAGCAUGAUUGAGUUGUGGGUGACCUCUGGACUGAUCGUCCAAGGCCCCAAGCCACUGCGGAGAUCGAAAAGCCUUUUUCGGGGCGUUUCGCGGCGAAAUUCGUCGACGGAACGCGAUCUUAGUUCGGUUUUUAUCCGACGGUGCCUCGGGAUCAGUUGUGAUGUCGCUAAGCCUUCUUGGCAGGUCACCCGUGUCGUUUCGGGGGUUCAGAAACGACGGGUGAGCGACUAGUGGGUCCCGGUGUCAAAAAACGACACUUUCGGGAACCCGAUUCGAGACGUUUAGUCAACGAUGUCUGUUCCAAGGCGAAGUGUGGUGUUUGCUGCCAAUGUGGGUUAUUAUAGAGUAUUAGUGGCAGCGGUUGACUCCCAGUUGGAGUUGGGGAGUUCCGGGACAAUUAGUGGACCCCGGCGAAGCCCCGGUGCGAUAUUCGGGACACCCGAUGUGAUUCGGCAAUCGGUCUUAGGAAACCGAUUCCCGUGGUUCCUUGUUUGGGGAUUUUAUUUUAGUUGCUGACAUUUGGGUUUCCUUCUGACCUAGUGGACCCUUCGUAGGUCCGGUUGCUCUGUUCCCCGCCGUCGUGAGAUCUGAUCCAGACUUGUAUAGGUGGGUACUUCGAUCCGAAGUCGGUACAGUGGUGCACGCUCGGUGAUAUUUCUUCUAUCCCUGUUCUUCUGUUGCUACUUUCGCAUUAUAUAUUGAGCUUGCAUCCCCGUUGUUUCUAUUAUACUCUACUCAUAUGUUUCUAUGCUUAGUAUCAUGUGUAGGAGUAGAGUAGUUUAUCCUUAUGUGAUACCGGUGACCUGAUUGGUCGGUUCUCGUACUUCGUCCCGGUGACCUGAUUGGUCGGUUCUUGUACUUCGUUUCGGUGACCUAGUUGAUCGGUGCUUUUAUCUUAUAUCUGUUGACCUGGUUGGUCGGUUGCUGCAUUAUGUAUUGGGUUGGUCUGUUUCUUGACUUCUGUCGUUCGAUGACCUUUGAGGUCGGUGUACCCUGAGGGGUAGGAUUGUCGGCUGGUGCUGACGGUAGUUCUGGACUAUAUCGAAUACACUCUUGUGACCAUCGGUCGGUUCUUGCGUUCGUACAUUAGUUGACAUCGAGAAGUAUUUACAUACUAUCUUUAUUUACUCUGCCUGGUUGUUCUAUGUGUAGUAUCCUGUAUAGGGGUAGAGUAGAUGGCAUUCGUAUAUACCAUACAUGUGACCUGGAUGGUCUGUUCUCCUGUUGCAUCGGUGACCUGUUUGGUCGUUCGUUACCUACCGUACAUUGACCUAUCUCGGUCGGUUCACGUUGUACUUGAUGACCUAUACGGUCGGUAUGCCCAGAGGGGCAGUGAUUGUCGGCUGGUUGCCGACGGUUGGCUAUUGAGCAUAUCAGCAUCGAUCGCCACCACUCGUUAGCAUUUCACGAACACUAGCGGUCUGAUCCACCGCAGGGAGUGUUCUUUUCCGGAAAAGUGGUCGUACGUCCGACCCGUGAGCCCAAAGGCUAGAUUGGGUUAUAUGCAGGUUGAGUGGAUAUGGCACGAGCCUGAGGUCUCCGGACCAACAUGGCAGGUUUAGAUUGGGUAUUUUGAUCUAUGCGACCGGUUGAUGCAUACGUUUAUAGUAGUGGUUGUUGCAUGCAUACUUACAGUCUUGCUUUACAGUUGUCUUGCUACUAUAGUUUCCGCAUUAUGGUAUGUUUUCGGUUCUUCGUUAUAGUAGCAGUUGUUUACAAGUAUACAUAUAGUUCUUUCUUACACUUGUCUUGCUACUAUAGUCUGAUAUCUCUGUAUGUACGCUUGUCGUUCUGUUUACAGUAGCGGUAGUUGUCAUUUCAUCUAUAUCUCUCUCGUCAUGAUCGUUGCUACUGUAUUUCACUUACCCUUAUACUAUUGUUUAUCUUCCUGAUCCGGUGAGUACUCCUCGCCUUCUUCGGCUUGCGGUACCCACUGGAAGGGGAGACAUGUUUACAUGUUCUCACCUCCCCCACCAUUUUUCAGGUAUCGCAGGCGAUGAGUAGUGGGACGAGACGUGAGGUACGUGUGUAGCGGUCGAUAGAGCUUCCGACCCAGGUUGUUUCGAUUUAGUUAUUAUCCUUGGUAUUUCUGUUGAUAUAUAGUUAGUUAGUUUAUAUGGUUCAGUAUUUAUUUACAUUUGAAAAUGUGGAUUUCUGGAUUUUGUAAAAUAAAAGGUUUUCUACCCCUCGUGGUAGCGUUUUUAAAAAGAAUAAAGGUUUCUAUGUAGAAAACAGUUUUCAAAAGAUUUUUGUGGUUUUCUGUUUAAACCUUGAAUGUAAAACCGUGAUGUGAAUGGUGAAUGUAUGAGUGUAUAUUAUCUUUAUAUUCAUUCGGUUGUGGUUGUUUCCUGGCUAUACUUUUGUACUUGUGCGACGCCGUGCAAAUACAGGGGAGACUCUGUCCGUGUGAACAGUGAAUUUCCUGUAUUUGUGGCAGAUCUGGCAUACCCCGGGGUCAGGUUUAAAAAAAAAAAAAAAAAAUUCCGCUGUGUUUUUAACCUAAAGGGACCCCGGGGCGUGACAUAUGAAGCUAUUUCGGACUAUACACGGUUUAUGCGAUCAAAUUGAUGCAGUUUUGUACGUUGACUUCGCAGCAGGUCUUCGAGCCUCGUUGAGCUGAACGUGUACUCGUUGAAGCUGGUUUGGAAGUUGUUCUACCCUAAGGUAAGUAAGAAUUGCAGUUAGGAAGCCGAAAUUGCAAGAUUCCGACCAUAAUUGCUAUUAUUGAUGAGUUUGAUGUCGUUUCGGAAUUGUUCGCAGCAAGAGGGUGUUUGACCCUUGGACCGCCUUCGUUUGGCCUUGGAGGGCCUUCUGGAAGCUUAACGUGAGGUAUUGAACUAAGCCAAAACAGGGAUUUAAGCUAUUCCAAUGUACAAAGUGUAAUUGCGCCGAAAUUGGCCUUUUCGAUUGUAAUUUUGAUACGAUAUGUAUGCUUCGUGUUCAGCAGGAUUGCGACCUAGUGGAGCUGAUCCUUGGAACUCCUUGGACUGUUUUGGAGCCUAGUACUAGGUGGGUCGGACCUAACCAGAGCAAGUGAAGCUUCUCUAUGUUCUAUAUGUAUUAUAGAAAUGUGUUAGUUGUGUGCUUAUGUGAUAGCUAAAGGGCUUGAGAAUUCGUCAUCAUAACAUUUACUAUAUUGACAUAGAAUCUCUAUGAAGUAGAGAAUCCUCACGCCUAAAUGUAUUCAUAUUCCUGUUUGGUUUAGUUGAAUAACAAUGAGACACGUUAUUAUGCUCAUGAAACGUAGAGAACAGUGACAUUCUCUUUUUACUCGCUUGAUUACAAGUAGAGAACAAUGACAUUCUCUUGACUCUGAAGUAGAGAACUAUGACAUGCUUGUGCCUAUGUUGAUAGUGCCAUGAUAGUGAAAGAUUCUAAUACAAUAUGUAAAUUAGCAUUACACCUGCAUGCUUACUAAACUAGUGGAUUCUAGUUGUUGUUAAUAUUUGUUAUACUGAAAUGUCGAUCAAAGGAUCGAGAGCGAGAACGCUGCAAAUGAAAACAUGAGAAUUGAGACAUGUGGACAGUGAAAUAUGCUUGCUUGCCAUCGUGCUCAUUCGCACACGCUUGUGAGGGUCGCUCCCUACAAGCCGGCACUCCGGAGUUGGCCUUUGCGACAGUUGCUCGCCGUGCGGGAUUGGGUGCCGAAGUGGAUUGCCGUGGGGAGUGUAUACUACCACGGGGCCAUUAGGCGCGGCGCAAGCUGGACUACCUUGGGUAGGUCCCUGUGAAUGAAAGGAAAGUACUAAAUGGAAAAAAAAAAGACAGUAAUGAAUGUUUAUUACUUAAAGUGUACAGUAGUCACUUUUAUGUUCGUGCUUAUACUCAUGUCUAUGUUCAUGGUUACAGAAGUUGUUAUAUCUCUUUUAUGCAAAUGGUUCAUUACUGUAGAAAGCUAUUACAUGUUGAUUACAUGUUUAUUACUUAUUAGCAUCAUGCUUAUAAAUCAUGCAAUUAUUAUUUUUGCUUUCAUUUAGUACAUCUUGAGCCUAGUGGUGUAAUUCGCCGAGGCUAGCGGCUUACCCACUGGGAACUAUUGUUAAUAGUUCUCACGCCCUUUUGGUGGUUGUUUUUACAGAGCCAUCUACAGGAGAGGCUAGGGAUCGUGGCAAGGGAGUCGCGCCUAGCUAGGGACUACUAGGAGCGUGCUAGUCGAUCACCUUGCUACUCGGGCUACGGCCGAGGGUGAUGUCCCUAUGUAUAGAUAGACCACCGUUGUACCUAUUCUUUUGUAUACCCCGUGAUGUAUAUGUACUUUUGGACAGUCACUUUAGUUGUGAUACUCAUCUUUUGGUUGAGAUUUUUGGACUAUACUCCUUUACUCUAUUGUUGAUAGUAUUGUUGACUUGUACUUUGCUCUGAUAUCAGGAUAGAAUUUUCUAUGAUCUUCUUCCUAUCGACUUGCUUGUUUGUAGACGCCUUAUAUACUGCAGGUGUAUGGCGGGUCUGUUCACGUACCGGAUAUGCUUCCGCUGGUACCCGGGCGUGACAUCAAAGUAGUCACUUUUACAAAAGUGACUCUUACAAAAGUGAGUUUUCAGUUCGAUUGUUUGGUUGGUUAUAAUCUGAUCGAAAAUUUUAAUGCUAUAUCACAAUUUUUUAUAGGAUUUUUAUUUUCAGCCGUUAAAAAUUAUUGAUUUUGAAUCCUUUCGAUUGCUAGGUAAAUGAUAUCAAAAAAUCGUAAAAAUUAUUUUCUAGAAACUUCAAAUACGCUAGAUUAAGUCUAACGGAGCCGAUUGUUGAUUCGAAAUUUUCAUUAUCGAAAAUGGCUCAGGAGCAUGGAGGACCCCGUGCUCCUGAGAGCACAGCAGCCCUACUAUAUAUAUAUAUAUAUAUAUAUAUAUAGGGUCUGGCUACUAUACUAUUAUGAGUACGAUUGCCCUCGUACUCAUAAGAUGUUUUCAAUGAUAGAGCUUCCGAAUCGACGAUCCACACCGUUAAACGUCAUUUACAGCAUUAAAAACUUCUAGAAAUCAAAUUUUAUAAUUUUUUGACGUCAUUUACCUUACGAUCAAGAGGUCACAAAUUUGACAAUUUUUAACGGCCGGUAUGGGAUACUUGCUAGUUUAACGGUGUAAAAGAAUCGGAAUUUGUUGAAUAUUUGAUAAAAAAUUCUAUUCACUACAUAUAUAAAGAUCAAUAACUCCGAUCUUGAAUUGAAGGAUCCGAUCAUCCUUUUUAGGACGUCGUUCGAUUUUAACCGUUCAUUUUAUGCCCACUUGAUGGACUUUAUUAUGAUUUUGAAAAUUUACGAAAUUUAUUUUCUAGAAGUUUCAAAUACUCUAGAUCAUAUUUAACGGAGUGGAUCGUCGAUUCGGAAGCUUCAUCAUUGAAAACAACUUAUGAGUAUGAGAGCUCCAAUACUCAUAAUAGUAUAGUAGCCAUGGCCUAUAUAUAUAUAUAUAUAUAUAUAUAUAUAUAUAUCAAUUCAAAGUAGACCCAAAAUCUUGGUUUUGGCUUAUUCGGAAACUAAUUUUGUUUAGGGCAUGUAUGGUNACGUACCGGAUAUGCUUCCGCUGGUACCCGGGCGUGACAUCAAAGUAGUCACUUUUACAAAAGUGACUCUUACAAAAGUGAGUUUUCAGUUCGAUUAUUUGGUUGGUUAUAAGUGAAACAUGAAAUUAUAUUUUUAUAUUUUUGAUUCUUUAAUUACAUAUAAAGAAGUGAAAAUAUAAACAAGCAACCUAUACUCACAAAAAUUAGAACAUUUUUAAUAAUUAGAAUUAAAAAUUAAAUUUUAAAAUUUAAAUUUAAACAUAAAUCUCAGUUAAAUUUAUAAUCAAAAUUUAAGACAUACAAUUAAAUUUACAAUUUGAGUUAUAACUCAUAACUGAAAUUAAAUUCUAAAAUAAAAGUUCAACAAAAAAAAUUAGAACAUUAGUUCCAUUUUUUAAUCCAUAAUUUGAAUCAUAUUUUAAUUUACUCUUUGAUCUUAAAUUCUAAAUUUAAAUAUAAAUUCAAAAUUUGAAUUAAUAAAUUAAAAUUAAAAUUGAGUUUAGAUCACAAUUCAAACUGAAUAUUUGAAUUCAUAAUUCAAAUUCAAAGUUUUUGUUAGUAGCAUCAAAGUUUUUUUUUCCUUUUUAUUUUUCCCCUACCUUUUAGGCUAGAUUUGCGAGUGAAACAAGCAGGAAAGCUAUAGUCAAAUCAAGUCCAGCAGUAUGAUUCAUACAUCAUUAUAACAAAAGGAAACACAUGAAGAACAAUCAUUUAGUACCCCUCAUUAUGGAUGCAACAUAUAUUUUUGUCAAUGUACCCGUCUUCGCACUUUCUGCUGCUUCUGUUAAUGCCACAUUGCUUGACAUACAAUGGCCAUUUGAAACUACCUGUAGGCAUUGAUGCGUUGAUGCGACGCCCCUUGAAUCUCUUUCUCUCUCUCUCUCUCUCUCUCUCUCUCUCUCUCUCGUCUGCUGGCUUUCCAUUCCAUACAGACAUUCCUAAGUAGAACAGCUAAAAUCUUUGCAUUUUCGGAAUGGGCACGUCCUCCUCCUAUUCAUUUUUUCAGGCACAGUUUAUACUAUUGCUAGGCAUAAUAAAGAAGAAUUAGAUGAUGAUGACAAUGAGGAUGAUGACGACAGCAACACAUAGAAGGGACACAGAAGAAGAAAAGGGAGAAAAUAGGUGACUCAAUGGGAUGGGAGGAAAAAACAACGAGGCUAGGUGAGUAUAUACAAAGUAAGAUGGGUAUGCAUAUAGAACGAUAUGGAUAUGCAAUAGGCAAAAGAAGACAUGCCUCAUCUCCUCAGCAGCAAAAGUUCAAUUAUAUGUGGAGUAGGCUCCUAAUUAGCAGCAUUGCCUCACCGAACAAGCCACGGCUUGCGCCCAAUGCCUCAGCCUAGUCUUUACAUGCUGUGGGUUAUCUCCUGUUGUGUCAUAGUCCAACAAAUUUUUAGUAGUUAUCAUUUAGGCAGUACAAAUAAAAGAGAGCAAAGUCCAAAAAUUCCCAAUGUCACUAUGUCGUCUAACGCAUUUUGUGAUAUUAUUAUUUAUACUACAAAGUGUGACACUUCAUUUUCUAUGGGUUUUCCUUUAGUUUGUUGUUAGAACCAACUAUAUUAACAAGGGGAGUAAAGUGCUACAUCUUUUUUGAACAUAGGAUAGUAAAUAUACUAUUUUAUCUCCCAUGAUUUGUAUUUUACCACUUGUGUUUUAUAAAAUGCAGCAUUUUGCUAAGCUCUUAAUAACAAUUUACCUAUGAAAACUAAAAUAGUAAUUUUGGGAGGACAAAAUGAUACAUUUUGUGUCACAAGGUAGCAAAUUGCAACAUCACUACAUCACAUGGGAUUUUUGAAAAUUCACCCAAUAAAAAAAAAGUAAGCCAAAUAUUGUCUGUAGCAUGUAAGAAUUACGAGGCAUAUGCAUGUACCUGGGCUAAAAAUUUUCCAACUAUCAGCCUGCAAGGAUUGCUGUUGUUGUUGCAGUUGCUCCUCAGUAGGGCUUUGAGGGCUCGAAGUGCCAAAAAGAGUCGAGGCUGAAGAGGUGGCAGUUGGGGUGGAGAUGGGGCUCGGAGAGUAUCUGAUUUUCGGGUCGGAGAAUUGACGAUUGACGGCAAAGUAAAGGUCGAGGGCUGGGAGGGUGUCACAUAGAUACUGACCUCCAUCCUCCUCGUUGAACCCAAACCCUAGCUCAAUUGAUCCUCUCAGUUCGUCGAGGUCCUCAUCUGUUAGGCUCCUCACCCGUCCACUCAGCCUACUCUUUCGGCAUUGGCUCCUCCUAUCGUUUCUCUGUUGCUCUACCUCCAUGUUGCCUUCUUCUUCUGCUUCGUCUUCUUCUUCUUCUUCUUCUUCCUCUGUGGACACCAUCAUGUGCCUCCUUUGCAUUAUCUGCCUUCGUCGCUUCUCCCACUUAGCCUCCCUCGUCGUCUCUUUCAUAGAUAAUUGCUUUGAUAACAACCUCUUGCGGUUGCCAAUCAUGCUGCCUACAAUGUUGCUUGUAGCAGUCCAUGUGGGUGGUGGCUCCUCAAUCAUCACCUCCCCUUCUUCCUCCUUUCCCUCGCUUUCCAAGGACGAAGAUGAGGAUGACAAAGUUAGCAGCUCAUUCUCCUUAAUAUUAUUGUUCUUCAUCAUUCUUCCCUACUUUUUUUUUGAAAAAAAAUUUCAAUAUUAAUGCUAUGCAAGACAAAUGAAUAAUCUCUUCAUUAGCAACAAAGAAUCCUACUUACUCUCCUCCUCCUUUAGGCAAUGGUAGUGAUACACAUUGAGGGCGGCGGCCGCUGGAGGACGGCCGCAGUGCAAGGAAAGAGAGAGGAGGGAUGGGAAGGGAAGGGGGCUCCUUCUUGGAAGAAGUAGAAGAGAGACCAAAGAAAAAGUAAGGGGGAGUUUUUCUUUCUUGAAGAUAGGGGUGAGUUCUUGAUUUAGUCAGCCCUUGUGAGGAUUUAAGAGAUGGGAGACAUUCCAAACCGUCCAUUCCUCCGAAGUGCAAUGCUUGCCGCUACUUCCUCUUUUCUAUUUUUGUUGGGAAAUUGUUGCAUUAUUGCGUUAGAAAUUGCCUACUAUUUUCGUCCAUAUGUUAGCUAAAAGGAAUGAAGAGGUGAGUUUUAAUGCCUAUAUUUAGGGCUCAUAAUUUAUAUGUAAGAGCUAAUUAGCUAAUUAGAAUGGUCCUCAAAUAUGGAAAGGGACUUGAUGCGGCCAAUUUGGCAUUAAAGUUCCUAGAAAAAUGUAACUCAACCAAGUGAAGCCAAAAAUUCCAUUGAGUUCGGUAACUUUCACAAUCGAUGCAAGAAAUCUUUAAAUGACCAUAAUUUUUCGCUCGAGUAUCUAAUUUCAGUGUGCAACCCUCAAUUCAGAAAAUAAUUUCGAGAUCCAUGUGUUGAACUACAAAACUUGCCGCGCCCUGCAACCGCCAAUUUGGUCGGUUCGGGUACGUCAAAUAGACACCGAACGGACAGUACCUCCCAUGUCCGCCCAAAGCUAAACAACAACAAUCAUGUACAUACAGUUGCCCAGGAAAACAUCAACCACAUACAUGAUUCAUUGCGAGUAUAAACAAGAGCAAAAGAGAGAGUUCUAUCUAUUACAUCCACAUUCAACUGUUUACAUCAUCAAAAUGGUUACAUUGGUUUACAUGUUCAUCUCAUGAAAUAUGUAUACAUCCACAACUCCAAAAUACAUAUACAUCCACAAGUAGCUUCUCACAAAAUUCGACAUGUCCUCUCUAAACUAAACGUAGUAUACUAAUGCAUAAAGGGAAGCUACUAGCUAACUAGAGCGCUAUGCCUUUGAAAGUUUUGAGGAGCCCAAGGAUCUAUCUAGAUUGUAUCUAUCACCUAGAAGGGGGUGAAUAGGUGAAAGUAACCAAAAACCACAAAUCUCAAUACGAUAAAAAUAAAUGCGGAAAAUAAAAAGCACACCGAGAUUUACGUGGGAAAACUCCAACUUGGAGAAAAACCCACGGGACCAACACGCGAAAAAAUAUUUCACUAAGAGAAAAGAUUACAAGGUGAUUACCGACUCCACGGACUCAACCUCUCUUAACCUUCUAUGAAUCUCGCGCAAUCCUCCGAGUUGUCCACGCCCACAUGUUCGAAUCCACGAACGCCUUCAAUCACGCCGAAUCCACGAAGCUUCAAUCACGCCGAAUCCACGACGCCACUCGAAUCCACGACGCCACUCGAAUCCACGAGCCCACGAUCCGAAUCCACGAACCGCCUUCGUUCAUGCCAAAUCCACGACGCCGUUCAUGAAGAGCAUCAUGAUUAUGGUGAUCCUUCGCUUAGAGUAUCGAUGAAAACCAGGGAAAGAAACUCCAAGCGAAGCGGAGAUCAAAUCGACAUAUAGAUAUGAAAAUUCAAUAUCUCGAUUUGACCUAAAAGAGGCUUUAUGUAGAAAAUAGGUUUUAGAUGAAAUCCGAGCCUUUAGGAUUUCUCAAACAUGUAUUUUCGUGAUGCUUGAUAUGUUAGAGAAGCCCAAUAGCUUAUUUAUAGACUUUAGAAUCAAUUGGAGUCUGAUUAGAAAGUUUUCACAAUUUUACACUGUGUGCCGGUACACUUUAGGCUGUCACCGGUUACACGAUGACGGACCGAAAAACCUGACGAAACAGUGAAACCGGUUACAUCCACGAUGGUCGUACCGGUACACAUUUUGUACCGGUACACUUCUGAUGCUGUACCGGUACACUUUGCAAAUUUUCGCCGUUUCGGGUUUUGCAAAGUUCCGAUGCACUUUCUAAUCCGUUAGACAUUAAUAUUAUGAUUCUAAUGUCUACAACUAAGUAUGAAUCACCAUAAUCAUGAAUUAACACUUUACCUGGACAUCGUGAUUCACAGUGUGAGUUGUUUUCCAACUUCUUCGAAAUCUUGAAUUCUUCGAUCUUCGACAAUAUGCACCGAUUCUUCAAGUCUUCGACUCAUUUCACGAAACUUGCCAACACACAAGACUUAACAAUCUCCCCCUUUGGCAAUUUCGUGACAAAACUCACACAAACUCAAAAAUUACAAUUUAAAGAAAAACGAAGUUCAAUUGUCAUCACCAAAACAUUGAACUCCUCGCGUGUAAUCCAAAUACAAUUUGAAACUUAAAUUACAUCAAAACUCCUAAAACAGACUUUAUGACUUAGACGCAACAAGGAGUCUUGAAGUCUUGAUUUCCUGCAAAAUAAUUUAUCCAAAAAGAUAUAGAAAGUUAAAUUCUGGACAUCCUUACAAUUUACACUUCUCCCCUUUGUUCUUUAUUCCUUCUUCUUCUCGAAAUAUCACUCCUUGUCUCCCUUUGUUUACCUUUGCUUUAGAUCAAUACCUGUUCAUCAUUGUUCUCCCCCUUUUUGUCAAAAAUUGCCAAAGAUAAAACAUAUAAAGAGAGAAAACAUACUAAAAGCAUAAGAGUAGUCAAAUCAUAGUUACAGGCCUAAAACAAAAGUAAAAACAUGCAAAUGAAAGAUAAGUAAGCAAAGCUAAAACAUGGUCCUAAAAGUGAAGUAGCAAGACUAAGUGCGAGGAUGUAAUCACUCCGUGUCCUCGCCAUCAUCAUCAUCACCUCCUGCACCGGCUCCAGACCCUCCAGCCUCAGUAGUAUCACCAGACGGUGGAAUGAGUGGAUGUCGUGAAGUCGAUCUGGUAUAAGUAGUGUAGGUAGGCUCAGUAGGAAAGAUAUCAUCAUGCCUACACCCCAUUUUCUCCAUCAUCCUCUUCAAUCUAUCUCCACCUUUCUAGCAAGAAUCUGCUAAUUUCUUCUUCAUAGAGCGCACCUCAUGGUGAAGGGAUUCGACAGUAAUCACUUCCCAUGAGCUAGAAGAUCCCUCACGCUGUCAGCCCCGCGACCGCUACAAUUUGGUUCGGGCCCGGGCGGUCGACAGACGCCGAACGGACAGAGUCUCCCCUGUCCGCCCAAGGCUAAGCAAACGAUCAUGUACAAGAGUUUACCCAGGAAUCAACUCAUAAGUACACAAUCACAAGAGCACAACAAGUGCUAACAGACGAGAGCAAGAUACAAGUAUAGAACAUAUACAAGUACAUAAGAGAGAAAGCUAUUAUUACAUCAUUUGAUUUACUGCAUUUAGAUACAUCUUUUACAUUCUUUCAAAGUAUGAAUACAAGCACUCAACCUCACCCCUACACAAACUACUCUCCAAUACAAAAAGGGGUGACUGGUAAUGCAAAAGGGAGGUAGUAGUGCAACUAGAACGCCGGCCCUUACCGCGAUCUCACGCUCACCGGGGCACCCGAACUGGAACCUGUGGUUAAAAUGGGGGGAACUAAACUUCCAGUUCCAGUGGGUUCGGCCGCGACUCCGCCGAUCUCCCACUAGGUCCAGCGGGCACAAGUAGAUAUACAAUAGAUGGAUAGACAGAUAGAUAUAUAGAUAAGGAGCUGUAAAUGACGGAAAUGAAGCUAUUCUACUAUGCCAAUCAUAAAUGUAUGAAUGCAUGUCCAAUGAUUGGUAAGCAACUAACCUGUCAUCAUGUCCAAAGGUGAGGCUAUUCACUCGUUCAAUAACAUCAUUUACUUGUUCAUUAAUCUCAUGGCUUACCGAAGGCUCCCUACAGCUCACUAGCCAUCUCGACGCGUAGGGAGAAUCAACUCACAUACGGACCGGACGUCUGGCGGGGCCAUAUAGGCAAUCCCUGGCGUGACCAACAUCCGGAGCGCACUACUGUGUGGGCUUCCAUCACAAGAUUUAACAGACGUGAGCAUGAUCCAAUCCUCUAAGCUCAAGGAUACCCUGUCCUCUAGAGUCACAGUCAUCAUAUAGUCCAUAGGUGUCACAUACCCUAUUAACAUAGAUGUCCGUUUGUUCGCUAUCGACUAGAUGCCAUCGUUCAUGGUUUACUAUUGACUAGAUGCCACUCAUUCAUAGUUCAUCAUUUCCUUACAUUAUAGGAUUCACAAUCUAGACCCAAUCCUUAUCAAUCCACUAUAUCAAAUAUCCAAUGUACGACUACGAUAUCAUCAAGGAUGGCAUAAGGAAGGCAAUGCAUGAUAAUCCUAUAAUGCAAUAUACAAGAUGCAGAAUCGACAUGUACUAGACAUAGAAGGAGCCCGAUUGCUUCGGGAUGGACACACCACCUCUUGCGAUGCCGCGACAAUAGAAGCUCGACGUUGCGUUCUUGCACGCGCCUAAAUCCUCGGGGCAAAGGAGCCUCGAGUACCCGAUUCGGCGAUAACUCUGCCCCCCGUGUCGGAUCGGCAAACCGUCUUCGCACGACGCGUUCAAAGACCUAGCAAUUAGGUUAGCGACCAACAAAUUAGAUCAAAACCCUAGAUUCCCAAAACCCAAUCCGUGCCCUAAAAUGGCAACGGGAAGGAAAUCCACGGUGCGAGCUUCAAUUGCGAGCUCAACUUCCAUUUAUCCCUAAUAGGUUCCAUUUGAACCAUUCUAAACCUAAAACCCCAAACCUCAAAAAUACAUUAAAGGGAUUUGGAGUUUACCUCUCUUCAGACUCCUUCAAGCUUUAGGGAGAGGGAGAGAGAAGAUGCUUCUUCUUCUUCUCUUAGUCUUCUCUUUCUUUCUUUCUUCUUUCUUCCCUUCUUCGUCCUUCUCUUUCUUCUCUUCUUCUCUUUCUUUUCUUUUCUUUCCUAGAGAGAGAGAGGAAAGAGGAUGAAGAGGAGAGAAAGAGCAGCUGAGAGGAGAGAGAGAGGGGUCCCCACUCUAAUAAAAAUAGGCAUUUUGCAUAAAAGCCCCUCAACUUUCACCUUGUGCACUUGCCUCACUGGCAGUUUUCGCGCGGAGGGAUCGGUCCCCACUUGGGACCGUCCCGAGGUGCCAUUUCGGAGCAGAGGGAUUUUCAGCGUUCGGGAACCGGUCCUUGCCUGAGAGGACGGUCCCGGGAGACCGUCCUUGUCGAGAGACCGGUUCCCGAGAGAUGCAUUCUCGGGACUUAGCCAAAUUUGGCUAAGUCUCGCAGGCCAACGUUCGGAACCGUCCCGCCCACCAGGGACCGGUCUCCUCAGAGACCUCCGCAACCAGCCUGAUGGAACGCGUCCCUCCUGCCGGACCGGUCCCCGAGACAAUUACUGCUCCAGUGCAAGUUUGCACUUGGUGCUCUCGGCGGCCUUCUUCAAUGCACUUUACGCUUAUAUCGCCUUCGGGCUUUCCGAAGCCUACUCACUCGACGAAUAGUCGAUUCUGGUCGAAGUCUAAUCCUUCGAGUUUCGAGAAUUCACUUCCUUACACACGCGCUGCUCGAGGUGGAGGUGCUGAAUAGAAGCUUCCUUUGGAUGAUCUUUGGUUUGUUGAAAAGUUUUGACUUUGGCCAAGUUACAGCAUCAAUAGGUCCCAAGUCCAAAGUCAUAUUUCUCACAUGACACGUCAACUCCGGUGUUCUGAAGAUUCCUCAGUGAUCAACAAUGGAAACGGAGUAGAUCACGUCGCAACCUGAGACUGUACGACAUGAACCAUUCGUUACCACAUAAGAAACGGAAUAUUGAUGUUCAAUCGCCUGCUUCCUCAAGAUGUCCAAGAGAUACAGCAAGCACAAGACGAUCCCAACGAAUUCUUUCGUUCAAUUGUGGGUUGAACAUUGUAGCUCCAUUACAAUGAGAGCAGAUGAUAUUUAGUAGCAAAAUCGCUUAGAUUCCACAUAUGAUGAUUAGUCCUACGACUUCCUGCAUAUAGCUUGAAUACAGUCUCCUAGUGGGUGAAGAUGAAAAAGCCGUCGUAUAGUGAAGCCGGGUAGUAUCACAUUGCAUACCUAAGAGCUCUCCAAUAGUAUAAAAGUGACCGUGAAUCUUUUUGUUUACGCCACAUAAGUCUCAAAACACAUAAGUCCAGUCUCCUCAUCUCUCAAGUACUAUCCCGUUCAUAUAGAACUCGAAUUAGUUCCACACAAAUGGGGCACGAGCUGGAACCCGUCAACAAGCUCAAUAGGACCCUCUGUAGCAAUCGGCCAAAAUCUAGGUACUCCUUGACCAGCUCAGUGAAGUUGACAUAGCGCUCAGCUAGAACUGAUCGGCUCGAAUAAAUCCGCUGUCGACUUCUAAUGAAGCCUUCUGGAGCACGUUUGGAGCGCCUUUCACGUGCACGAGAAUCACUCCUCGUAGGAUUCGCCUGUAAGGCUUUCUUUAGCAGCCCUCGUAACUGCUUCUUCAGUAUCUUAUGUGAGCUGGCUUGAUAAUCUGGAUCUGAUCUGUGAUGACUCGUCGCAGUACGAGUUUCUCUUUGAUGACCCACGUUGUCCUCGACCACUCCGGCCACGACGGCGCCAUAAGACAAAAGCAGUUAGCACAAGCGGGAAUGCCAUUUUCCUAAUAAAAAUUAACCUUGCAUGAACAAAUUUGAAAAAUCUGUAAAAAUAGCGAAAAAUUUUAAUAACAUUAGAAUGCAUACAAAUGCUAUUUCUACCAGAUCAUACAAAAAAUUUCCAUUAAAAAUGACAUUUUACAAAAAAUCCGAAUUACAUGAAAAAUGAAGCUAUAGAAUAUGGAUCAGCGAAAUAAUGUUUUGUAUGAUGGAUUCAAGUGUUCUAGAAGCAAGAUAAUGUCUUAAGCACUGAUCUACAGCAAAAAAAUUUCAUCAAAACGAUAAAAACAGAGAUCUAGCUUCAAUGGAAUAUUUUCGAAAAAUAUAAUAUGAAACGAUGAAAUGAUUAAAUUCAAGCUAAAUACUCACAUAAUUUCUGCAGGAAACGUUAUAGAUCUGGAAGAAGAAUGGCACCAGGGAUUUUUAGGCAGAGAAAGAGCGAAAUUUGGUUUUGAUUUAGAGGAGAAAUAAAUCUCAUGUAACCGGUUAUUUUCGCGGCUACAGUGAUUUGUACGGUACACGGGAUUUUGUACCGGUACACUUUCCCAGAUUUCAAAAAUUUGAAUUAAAACCUUUUAAAUUAAAAUCAAUUCAUAUAAAAUUAAGCACUUUACUCCAAAUUAUUAUGAUGAAGAUAAAAUAUUAUAAGAUUUCAAAAUACACGUGAAACAUCAAAAUUUGUAUCGAAAUAAUCUAAUGAUUCAAAACCAUCAAGAUGUAAGUUUGAUGAAAAAAUGAUUUUUUUGAAUUCAACAAAAUUGACACCAAUUUAUCGCUAUGUUCAAAAAUAGAGAUUUAACGUAAUAUGGCACUGGGGGUGGCUCUUUGAGAUCUUUCACUUACACCUUAUAACUCCGAAAUUCUAAAUAUUAUUUUUUUCAACCUUUUCGGUUACUCUUAAUUUAUCUUCAUGUGGUUAGCUUCACCACUUGGCGACAACGGGGUCGUGUAGAUCUUUGCCUAGCUGUGGUGGUUGUUUCACUAUUCCUUUGGAUGUAAUCUUUCAAUUUUUUUAAACAUGGGAGUAUCAUUUUUUCUUUUUUUUUCAAACUUCCCUAAAAUUAGACAAUCAUCAAUGAAUAAUUUUGACGAAUUUUAGUUCAAUUAGAGAGAAUAUCAUCACAUCAUAUCCAACCACACAACAAGAUGAAUUAUCAUCAGAGAUCAAAUUUGAUUUCAAAAUUUUGAUGAAUAUAUGCAUUAAGAGAUCAUAUAUCAAAUUAUCGUCAAAAUAAUAAAAAGUGGAGUAAAAACAAUAAUUAAUAUGAAUUUAACUUAAUAUAAUUGUGAAGAUAAAAUCCGUUUAAACAAUCUUUGAAAAAUUUCUCAAAAUAAUGAUUCUCAAUCAUCUCCUCUCUCAAAGAUUUUGAAAUUUCCAAAUACCUUUCCUCAAAAAUGAUUUUUAACCGAAUAAAAACCAAAACACCAAAAAUCGUCUAAACAUGUAAUGCAAUGAUUAAAAAUAUGCAAUAAGCACCAAACAAAGCAUUACAUAAACAAUAAAAUAACUAAAACGAGUAGCAAGGAAAGAUAUCACCUUUCCAGAUCCAAACUUGUCGGAUCUUUGGUUUUCUCGGCUUGUCGACGUUUGGUGCCAUUUGCUUAGAUUUUAGAUCAACCGUUGGUGUUUUCUUCACUUGAGGCUUAGGUAGAACUUGGCGUUGCAGUUUAGAAGUCCGAUUCUUUUGAGGUACUCGACUCACUUGAUUUUUCUUUUGAUUCUGCGGGGGAAGUCGAGUUGUAGAUGAUGCCGCUUGAGCUUUAGGAGUUGUCGAAUGAUGUGAAGACCUUGCCGAUUGAUUCAUCUUUCCUUUAUUUGGGCAAUUCCUUUUGAUGUGUCCUUUGAUGCCACAUCGAUGACACACUUUGCCUUUUAAAGUUGUUGAGACUUUCGAAGUUGAUUUAGAAUCCUUCUCAACAAAAACUCUUUCGUAUCCGAGGCCUAAUUUAUCCGUUUGACCCAACCCGAGCAUAUGGUCCAAUUUCUUCGAUCCUGAUGAGAACUUUUGUAUGUCGGAUUGGAGUUGUCGAACUUGGUUGGUCAAGGAUUGAUUGGAUUUGUGCGAUUCAUGAAAUUGAUGCUCCAAAAAUUCAAUCUUGUCUUUAGAUGAUUUGACCGUUGAUUCCGCUUCAUUGAGCUUCUCUUGGAGGUCCGAAUUAUUCUUCAAAAUUGAUUCCCUUUCCUCCUCGAGAGCUUUGUUCGUGGUCUUCAAGUUGUUGUUAUCUCUUCAAGAUUCAACAAACGACGCCUCAAUUUCUUAUUCAGUUUAGCCAUCUUCUUUGAUUCGAUAAGAAGCUGAUUGUAUGCUUCCGCAAUAUCGUCGUCAUUUGAUUCCUCCUCGCUUUCGCCAUUGUCGCUCGAAGAAUCAUGUGAAGAAAGAGAAAUAUUGGAAUUAGUAGCAAUAGAGGAUAAACACGCAACGUUAGACGAAAGCAAGGUUGAUUUAGCAAAUAGAGUAAGAUUUCCAUUCUUUUCUUCGUCACUUGCGCUUGAAUCACUUGAAGUUGUAUCAUCCCACGUCUUUGCUUGCAAUGCCUUUGUCACGCCCCGGGACCGGCGGAGGCCCUCCCGGUGGCGUGCCCAGACCCGCCAUAUGUCUACACAUAUAAGGCGUCUACAAUAAGAGCGGAAGAAAAGCGAGAAAUAGAACAAAUAAAAGAAGUGAAGUAACCAGCAACUAAUGAUAUCAGAGCGAAUAUAGUUCUAGCAUCUACACCAAAGUAAGCAGAUAAGGAUAGACAAUAAAGGAAAUCAUAAGUAGUACAAUAUCUGUCUCUAGUACAAAAAUGGUGGUCUCUAUACAUAUACGGGUACAACUCUCAACCUCUCACAAAAAGAUAACACGAGAGGUAGACCACCUAUCGAACGAUCCCUCGGUAAGCACGCUAGCCCGAGGCGAUACCCUUUCCGCGAUCCCUGGCCUCUCCCUGAGUGGAAGGCUCUGAAAAACAUCGAGAAAAAGAGGGCGUGAGAACUAUAAUUUAUAGUUCCCAGUGGGCAAUUACUGACCUCAGCUCUUGCUCCACUAGGUCCCAAAAACAAGGGUAAGUAACGAUAAUAAUAAAAGCAAUAAGGAGCAUAUACAUAAACUGCUGAAAGAUAGCAUAAAUGAAAUGCUAGUCUACUGUGUCUCAAAUAAGCAUGAUGUCAACCAAAAUGUACAUCUAUUCUAUCAUCACAAUUAAGUCCAAUCACACUANCGUUGUCCUCGACCACCUCCACGGCCACGACCGGCGGCCAUAAGCACCAAAAGCAGUAGCACAAGCGAGAAUGCCAUUUUCCUACAUAAAAAUUAACCUUGCAUGAACAAAAUUUUGAAAAAAUCUGUAAAAAUAGCGAAAAAAUUUCUAAUAACAUUAGAAUGCAUACAAAUGCUAUUUCUAACCAGAUCAUACAAAAAAUUUCCAUUAAAAAUGACAUUUUACAAAAAAUCCCGAAAUUACAUGAAAAAUGAAGCUUAGAAUAUGGAUCAGCGAAAAAUAAUGUGUUUUGAUGUGAUUCAAGUGUUCUAGAAGCAAGAUAAUGUCCUUAAGCACUGAUCUACAGCAAAAAAUUUCAUCAAAAACGAUAAAAAACAGAGAUCUAGCUUCAACUCGGAAUAUUUUCGAAAAAUAAAUAUGAACACGAUGAAAUGAUUAAAUCCAAGCUAAAUACUCACAAAUUUCUGCAGGAAAUCGUAUAGAUCUGGAAGAAGAAGGCACCAGGGAUUUUUAGAGAGAGAAAGAGCGAAAUUUGGUUUUGAUUAGAGGGAGAAAUAAAUCUCUGUAACCGGUUAUUUUUCGCGGCUACAGUGAUUUGUACCGGUACACGGGAUUUUGUACCGGUACACUUUCCCAGAUUUCAAAAAUUUGAAUUAAAAACCUUUUAAAAUUAAAUCAAUUUCAUAUAAAUUAAGCACUUUACUCCAAAAAUUAUUAUGAUGAAGAUAAAAUAUUAUAAGAUUUCAAAAUACAUCGAAACAUCAAAAUUUGUUAUCGAAAAUAAUCUAAUGAUUCAAAACCAUCAAGAUGUAAGUUGAUGAAAAAUGAUUUUUUGAAAUUCAACAAAAUUGACACCAAUUUAUCGCAAUAUGUUCAAAAUAGAGAUUUAACUAAUAUGGCACCGGGGGUGGCUCUUUGAGCAUCUUUUCAACUUACCACCUUAUAACUCCGAAAAUUCUAAAAUAUUUAAUUUUUUCAACCUUUUUCGGUUACUUAAUUUAAUCUUCAUGUGGUAGCUUCACACACUUGCCGGACAACCGGGGUGGUAGCUCUUUCCUACAUGUGGUGGUAGUUUUCACAUUCCUUUUGGAUGUAACUCUUUUCACAUUUUUUUAAACAUGGGAGUAUCUUUUUUUCUUUUUUUUUCAAACUCCCCCUAAAUUAGACAAUCUCACAAUUGAAAAUAAUUUUGACGAAUUUUAGUCAAUUAGAGAAUAUCCAUCCAUCAUAUCCAACACNNNNNNNNNNNNNNNNNNNNNNNNNNNNNNNNNNNNNNNNNNNNNNNNNNNNNNNNNNNNNNNNNNNNNNNNNNNNNNNNNNNNNNNNNNNNNNNNNNNNNNNNNNNNNNNNNNNNNNNNNNNNNNNNNNNNNNNNNNNNNNNNNNNNNNNNNNNNNNNNNNNNNNNNNNNNNNNNNNNNNNNNNNNNNNNNNNNNNNNNNNNNNNNNNNNNNNNNNNNNNNNNNNNNNNNNNNNNNNNNNNNNNNNNNNNNNNNNNNNNNNNNNNNNNNNNNNNNNNNNNNNNNNNNNNNNNNNNNNNNNNNNNNNNNNNNNNNNNNNNNNNNNNNNNNNNNNNNNNNNNNNNNNNNNNNNNNNNNNNNNNNNNNNNNNNNNNNNNNNNNNNNNNNNNNNNNNNNNNNNNNNNNNNNNNNNNNNNNNNNNNNNNNNNNNNNNNNNNNNNNNNNNNNNNNNNNNNNNNNNNNNNNNNNNNNNNNNNNNNNNNNNNNNNNNNNNNNNNNNNNNNNNNNNNNNNNNNNNNNNNNNNNNNNNNNNNNNNNNNNNNNNNNNNNNNNNNNNNNNNNNNNNNNNNNNNNNNNNNNNNNNNNNNNNNNNNNNNNNNNNNNNNNNNNNNNNNNNNNNNNNNNNNNNNNNNNNNNNNNNNNNNNNNNNNNNNNNNNNNNNNNNNNNNNNNNNNNNNNNNNNNNNNNNNNNNNNNNNNNNNNNNNNNNNNNNNNNNNNNNNNNNNNNNNNNNNNNNNNNNNNNNNNNNNNNNNNNNNNNNNNNNNNNNNNNNNNNNNNNNNNNNNNNNNNNNNNNNNNNNNNNNNNNNNNNNNNNNNNNNNNNNNNNNNNNNNNNNNNNNNNNNNNNNNNNNNNNNNNNNNNNNNNNNNNNNNNNNNNNNNNNNNNNNNNNNNNNNNNNNNNNNNNNNNNNNNNNNNNNNNNNNNNNNNNNNNNNNNNNNNNNNNNNNNNNNNNNNNNNNNNNNNNNNNNNNNNNNNNNNNNNNNNNNNNNNNNNNNNNNNNNNNNNNNNNNNNNNNNNNNNNNNNNNNNNNNNNNNNNNNNNNNNNNNNNNNNNNNNNNNNNNNNNNNNNNNNNNNNNNNNNNNNNNNNNNNNNNNNNNNNNNNNNNNNNNNNNNNNNNNNNNNNNNNNNNNNNNNNNNNNGCGUACCGGUACACCAUCUGCGAAAACGCCCAGCCCGAGCCUCGGGUUGGCUGAGAAGCGGCCAAAGUCGAUGGCUGUACCGGUACAGCCAUCACUCCCGUACCGGUACACAGCCCUCUGAAGGCAACCCGAGAGCUAACCAAAAAUCCGAUUUUUCGGGUUUUCGUGCUCGGCUUUAAACCUCACUUCUCGGGAUGCGAGCCAUAGGUCGGAACACUGUCAACGACCCACCAGAAAAUCUGGAAUUGCUCAGCACACAGCUCGAACACUCGAACCUCGCAAUUUGCAAAGGUCCAGUGUGUUACAGCCUUCUUAGUAUACGAUUUCUUUGAGGGACAAUCCGUUGCGAUGUGGCCGUAGCCUUUGCACUUGUAGCAUCGGAUUUCACCUUCAAAGUCAUCCUUUUCUUUCGAAGUCUUUGCACGCUUCUUCUUUUUAGAUGUAGAAGAUUUAGAAAACGUUUGUAGCUUAGAAGCCUUGUCCGAAUUGUUCUUCUUUCAGAAAUUUCGACGAAACUUCUUCGUUAGGAGCGCCAAUUGAUGUUCGAAGUCGGCAAUUGAGAUCUCUCCAUCGGAAUUCAAGUCUCCGUCUUCCUCGUUCGUCAAUUUCAACGCAACCCCUGUGCUUUUAGAGAAAGACUUGGAAGAAGAUUGAUUAGUAGGAAAAGUCAUCUUAUAAGUUUGCAAAGCACCUACUAAUUCUUCGACUUUUAUCUCGUCAGGAUGCUUAACCGUUUCGAUCGCGGCAACCUUUGCCCAAAAGCAUUCCGGAAGAGUUCGAAGAAUCUUUCUAAUAACCUUUGCAUCCGGAAUUUUCUCUCCCAAGUUAGCACAUGUAUUCACAACGUCUUGUAGACGUGUAUGGUACUCGGCAAAGGUCUCGUUUUCAUCCAUAGAAAUAGAAUCAAACUUGCUUGUUAGUAUUUCCAAUUUUUGGACCUUUACUAAGCUCGUUCCUUCAUGCGUAACUUGUAAAGUACUCCAAAUUUCCUUCGCCAUUUCGCAUGCCGAAACACGAGUAAACUCGGUUUGAGACAAUGCAUUAAAUAAAGCGUUUAUGCCCUUGAUGUCUCGUUUUCUUCUUUCGUCCACUUGUUCCAUGGUUUUGGCAUUUCAACAUUCUCGACUUUUUCAAUAGGAUGUUUUCAUCCAAAUUCGAUUGAUUGCCAAACGCGCUCAUCAAUUGCAAUUAGAAAAGCUCUCAUGCGAACUUUUCAAUAGGCAUAAUUUGUGCCGUCGAGGAGCGGUGGUCGAUUAAUGUUUCCACCUUCGGCCAUUAGAUAACAAUUUAUCUAGAUCCGGCUCUGAUACCAAUUGAAAGUUUUGAGGAGCCCAAGGAUCUAUCUAGAUUGUAUCUAUCACCUAGAGGGGGGUGAAUAGGUGAAAGUAACCAAAAACCACAAAUCUCNAUUUAAAAUCCGGUAUGUUACAUUCCACCGCAACCGCACCAGAACCAUUUAAAUGUACACCGUGACUUCAUAAUUUUCGAAGUUCGGUAUGUUACAUAUAUAGUGUUGUAACAAUUGCACUUAAGCCCCCCCACUUGUUUCCUUUUGAACUGCCCAGACUGGGCUUUUUUCGCCUUCGGGGACCGGUCUCCCCGACCAGGGACCGGUUCCCGAACGGGGGUUUUCCAGAACUUAGCCAAAUUUUCGAGUUUUUCAGCUGUUGCGCAGCGAGGGACCGGUCUCCCCGUCAGGGACCGGUCUCCCGAGGACCGGUCUCACCACCAGGGACUGGUUGCCUCAGGACUUCCUGGCAGGCUACGCGUACGGGGACCGGUCUCUCCUUCAGGGACCGGUCCCCGAGAGCACAAAAUCUGGGACUUAGCCAGAUUUUCAGAUUACUCUCUCGGGUCCCUUCUAGCUUCACUUAUGGACUCUAAUAUGCUUAGGGUCCACUCAAACUCGUUCAAUUCCGCGUUCCGCUCAUUUUGACGGAACUCGGCACGAUUUACGAGGGAUGUGGUAUGUUACACUUUACCUUAGCCAACUAUGCCAUCCGACUCGGUCUUGAGUCAAUCAACUGCGGAUAGUCCGCGCUCUGUCCGGCUCGAGGUGAAGGAACUCUCACAUGCACCUCAGCCUUCAAUCACAAACCACAUCGCCCAGCGGGUCGCCCAGAGCUGCGUACACCCGUGGUCAGGGAUCUUCCGGUGGGAGAGGAACAUGCCGCAUACACCUGUAGCCGAUGUAACACACUGGACCUUUGCAAAUUGCGAGGUUCGAGUGUUUGGAUGUAUUUCGAGCUUUUCCAAACUUGGUGGAGGGUUGUAGAAUAUUUUCCGACCUAAAAAGUUCGUAAACCCGAGUUUUGGUUUGGUCCUGAGAGUUUUUACUCUCGGGUACCGGUCCCUGAAAGGAGAGACCGGUUCCCCAGUGAGCAGUGUUGCGACAGCCUUGAGGCAACCGGUCCCUGACAGGCGAGACCGGUCCUCGAGCGCGCCUUCGCAGUGAGAGACCGGUCCCACGCAGGGAGAGACCGGUUCCCGAACAUUGAUUUUUCGGGUUCGCAGCGAGAGACCGGUCCCUGCUGGGGAGAGACCGGUCCCUCUGGGCGAAAACUGCCCAGUUCGGGCUGAUGUAAAUUUGAGUUUUUGAGGGUUCUCUCCGGAUUUUGUUACACUAGAUGGGCUUAUUAGCCAUUUCCUCCUCUUCUCUCUCUCAUUUUCUCAUUCUCACCCUCUCCCUACACCUUCUAGAGAGAGAAGAAGAAGAAGAAGGAGGAGAAGAAGAAGAGGAGCUUGCUUGAGGGAGCUUGGAGCUCAACCUCUUUCUCUCCUUUCCACCCUUGCAAGGCUUAGAGCUUGCUUGUAGAGCUUGGUGGAGGACCAAUCUUCAACCCUAGAAGAUUUGGAGCUUGCUUGGAGGCAUCUUGGGAGGUUAGUACUUGGAUUCUACCCUUGAUCUUGAUUUGGUAGGUUUUACCAUUUGGAACCCUAGAAUUGGUAUUAGGGUUGAUUUUUUUUUGGGCUUUUUGAUCUAGGGCUUUUGAGGCUAGAUUGAUUGGAUUAGAACCUUCCUUGGGCUUGGAUUGGAAGGGAUUUAGCUCUCUUUUGGAGCUUGAGAGAGAUUUCCUACACAUUAGGUGAGUUUUAGCCCUUUUGCUAAGUUUGUAAGAGUUUGAUCUUAUAGUUGAUCGUAAUGCCCGUGUAUCUCUUCGCUCGAUACUUUUAGGGUAUUUUGAGACUCGUGGACAACUCCGUUCGGCGAAUCGAAGGAGCACGCGACGGUUCGGUGGGUUUGACCUAGCCACACAAUGAGAAAAUCUCAUUGUUGAUGAUUUAAGUGUUAUAAAAUGAAAAAGCAUGCAUAUUCUUGUUAUAUGUAUUUAUUGUGAAUUUUAGAAUGCUUAAAAUGCCUAUGUUGCAUAUAGUAAAAUUUUGGGCCUCUAUGUAGUAGAGAGCAUGCAUGUGUGAUAUAGCAUUCUGGUUGAGAUUUGAAAACUAAAAUUCCUAUUAUGAAAAUGAAUCUUGCUUUCAUGCAUUUAGCUUAUUUGCCAAUUGUGACAUUAGGGAUUUUUGGAAGCCUAGAGAGGCUUGAGGACUUAGACUAUUUGAGAGAUUGGGCCAAUGUCAUAAAGAGGCAUUGGGCCCGGGCUAAAGUGAACCUUGCUAGUAUUGUUUUAAUUGGAAUAUGGAACAUGAAUUGGGCAUGAUUAGUUGUGAUGCUUAAGUGUCAUAAAGAGGCACUAAGCAAGUGUGUGCGUUGGAGCGUCACUUUGAGACUUUGGACUAGAUCCUUGGGAUGCUAGUGACCUUGCCAGGUGAGAGGCAUGAGAGUAGAGUACUUGAGACUUUGACCUUGCUUGUUUGCCAUUUGUGCUCAUUCGCACAUGCUUGUGAGGGUCGCUCCCUACAAGCCGGCACUCCGGAGUUAGCCUACGCGACUUAUGUUCGCUCGUGCGGUAUUGAGAAGCCUACGGGGUCGAGUGGGACAGACACAUUCCCAGAGUAGGGAUGUCGAGCUACCACAGGCACUUAGGCGGCACAAGCUGGACUACCUUUGGUAGGUCCUUAAUUGGAAAUGGAAAUCGACACGGUGUUAAGAUUGAAUAAUCACUGGUAGAUAGGCUUAGUAGUUGGGUUACUUGACACGCUCAUGACAUAGCAUUGGGAUACAUAUAGUAUACUUGCCUGUUUUAUUCAUUGUGUCAUAGUAUACUGGGUCGCAUGAUAGAGCUCAUUCUUUAUGCAUGACAUCUUGGACAGUAGCGUUUACAUGUUGCCAUCGGACGUACUUGUUUAUGCUAGAGUAGAUGUACAUCAUACUUACAUCAUGCUUUCAUAUAUGCUUUCUUUCAGCAGUAUUGUACACGCUCUUUAUUGCUUAUUACUAUUGUCGUUACUUACCCUUUUCUUUUGGGGCCUAGUGGUGCAUUAAGCUGAGGUCAGUAAUUGGCCACUGGGAACUAUAAAUUAUAGUUCUCACGCCCCCUGUUUUGUGUUUUCUUUCAGAGCCUUCCACGCCGGGAGAGGCUAGGGACCGAGGGAAGGGCGUGGCUUCGAGCUAGCUCUUCAGCGAGUGACGAGUCGCUAGGUGGUCUACCUCUCGAUGUUUUUAUUUUGUGAGAGAUUGAGAGUUGUACCCGUAUAUGUAUAGAGACCACCUUUCUUUUGGAUUUUGGUAUUUCUUUUGAGGAGUUAGUAUUGUAUCACCUUAUGCUUUACUUUCCUUGUCUAGUUAUAUUUCUUUUACUCUGGUUUAGAUGAUAGAACUUUACUCGCUCUGAUAUAGUUAGUUGUUGUUAUUCUAUUUGUCCUAUUUCUUGCUUUUACUUCCGCUUUAUUGUAGACGCCUUAUAUGUGUAGACAUAUGGCGGGUCUGGGCACGCCACCGGGAGGGCCUCCGCCGGUCCCGGGGCGUGACAGCCGAGAUCCCCGAUAGGGAGAGGAACAUGCCACAUGCACCCUAGCGUUCAUUAUUCUUGCUCAUUGACAAGCCUCGAAGUUCUUCCGGUAGGAGAGGAACGUGCCACAUGCACCCGCGACCAAGAACUAUCGAGCUUGUAUGCUGCACUAGCAGCCGCUGCACUAGCAGCAGGGAUUCCGGAAUCCACUUUACAUUACUCAAGGGUUGGUCUCACCCUAUGUUAUCGACCUAUCUAGGUCCAAGCCUUUACUCAACCUAUGUCAACACAUUAGGUUCAAUGUCAUUAUUUUCAUAGCCUAGGUUCAUUAACACUAGGUCCAACAUUCUUUAAUCACCUAGGUUCAUUCGACUCUAGGUUUCAUGUCACUACAAUUACAACCUAGGUUUACUUGACUCUAGGUUCCAUAUCAUUACGUUCACAACCUAGGUUUACUUGACUCUAGGUUCCAUACCACUCAUGUUCUUGUUUUUCUAGUUGUCCACACCUAGGAAUUGUACUUGACAUGCCACUCGUGAUUAACCUAUGUUCAAUGACACUAGGUUCAAUGCCACUCGUCAUCCUAGUUAUUUAUACUUAGGAUUCUUUACAUAUGACACUUGUCAAGUUCUCUAUUUUACUUAGUGUUCAUUAACUCAAGUUCAAUCUUCAUAUCAUUCUAACAUAUUCCUACAUUAUGAAAUCAUGCAUUUAUACAUCAUCUAGCUCAUAUGUUUAUUUAACAUACAUCUCAUACAUGCCUUUAACACUUAACUCAUGCUUCAUCUAGCAUUUCUAUAAUAUGUCUACAUGCAUUCUUUAACAUACAUCUCAUAUGAUUCGUUACUUGGCACAUAUUACAUGCAUUACUUAACAUCUAUCACAUGCAUUCAUUUCUUAGCAUCUUUAUCAUGCAUUCUUGCUUAGCAAUUCUUAUUAUGCAUUCAUUUCUAAAACAUGUAUCUAGUUCAUGUUACUUGGCAUUUAACUCAUGCAUUUAUCUAGCAUAUGUCUUACAUACUCCUUUAGCGUUUAGCUCUUGCAUUCAUUAGCAUACUUCACAUACCUUUACUUAGCAUCUAGCUCAUGUCAUUAUAUGCAUUUAUUAGCAUCAUUAUGGUACAUUCUUACUUAGCAUUCUUAUUAUGCCUUCUUACUUAACAUUCUUAUCAUGCAUCAAUAGUGAAACACACUACACUUUGGCAUGAAGGCGACCUAGUCGCUUCGGUAAGCACAACCCACCUUUUAACGCGUUCCGAUUGCUUGUCGUCACUUGCAAUCAGCCUCCCGCGGCACCCAUGACCCGGUUUGGUCUGAACCCUUGUGCGACCACCCGAACGGCCACCAAUCUGCGAUUCGUCUGUUCGGGAGUUUAUUCCCCAACACCACGAUGCUCCUGAUCCAUUUUCAUGAUUUUUGGAGGCUUAUCCCGCGUGCUGCGGCUAUCUGUACCAAAACAGACUGUUUCGUCAAUAACUUCGCGUACACUCGCCGAAUUGUCGAACCGAGCGCACCAAUGCGUUCGUUAUACCCCCAAUUAGGUUUGUAUAGGGUCAGUUUAGAUCAAACCCAAACAUUUACAAAAACUCCCUUUUUGGAGCGCUAGAUGCAAUUAUAGCAAAAUACUCCAAUUCAUCUCAUGAAUCAAGCAUAAACCAUCCAUUUAGCAUCAAUGGGUUCCACUAAAUCCAAUCUUAGAGCAAAUAACCAUAGCUAUGAAGAUCUACCAUGAGAGCUUCAAGAAGCUUACCUCAAGAAGCUUGCUCCAUUGCAAGGAGGAAGAAGAUGAGGAUGACUUUCUCCUCCUUGUCUUCUUCUCCUUCCUUUUCUUCUUCUCUUCUUCUCUUUUCUUCUCUUCUCCUUCCUCUUUUUCUUUCUAGAGAGAGAGAGGAGAGGUUUGGGGAUGAUACGAUGAGGGAAAGAGAGAGAGAGAGGGGUUCUACUCCUCUCUAUACACUUAACCCAUGCACAAAAUGCCAACAAGCCCCUCAACAAUGCAUCUCUUGCAACAGCCCGAACUGGGCAUUUUCGGGCUUCGGGGACCGGUCCUUGGGAUGAGGGACCGGUCCCUGAGAGACCGGUCCUUGGCUGAGAGACCGGUCCCCGAAGAUCCAGAAAUCAGCCUUCAAGGACUUAGCCAAAUUUUUAGCUUUUUCACUGUUUUCGCUCCGUUUUCGCUCAUUUUCGCUCGUUUGACAUCUGAUUCGUUUCAAAUCGAACCGAGACUCUCCAAACAUGUUUUCGAGCAUAUCUUCAUCAUAUUUUCAUCCACGCUAAUCCCAGAUUUAGUCCACGGUCCAACAUAGCCUUUCGGGUCCCGUUUUCGCGCCCUAUGCGCACCGAAGCACCCGAAUGCUCCCGAACUUCACCGGAAUGAUUCCAAUGGCUUUCUAAGCUAACAUACAUCGUAAUUUUUUGAAUUAGAAGUUCGGUAUAUUACAUCAGAGGCCACCCGAGUUGGGUUAUUUAUAUUUUGUAGUAGCAUUCUGUAAGGUACCGGAUUUUAAAUGUAAAAGUGGAAAUAAAUAAAAAUAGUGUGGGAUACUAUUUUUAUUGGACUUAUAGAUAUAAAUUAUAAGUCUAGAGUGACCCGUGUUGAAAUGGAAGCGAAAACAGAAGAUUUAGAAUUUUCUGUGAGAGACAGGGCAGACGAAAAAUAUCUGUACCGUGCUGCUAAACUGAAUGUGAAUAGUAUUCUUGGAUAACUUGGAGGCCAAGUUUCCUAGAUAACUUGGAGGCCAAGUUUCCUAUGAAACUUGGAGGCUAAGUUUCCUACGACACUUGGAGACCAAGUUUCCUAUGAAACUUGGAGGCCAAAUUUCCUAUAUAUAUAUAGGGGACUUGAGCAUUUUCUUUCUUUCUCCCUCACACUUGCAACCAAAGAGAAAUAUCUCUUUCUCUCUAACAAUUUCUCCACCAAAGAGAGGAAUUGGAGGUGCAUUUGGAGAAGAAAAAGGUUGCUUGGAGGUGAAGUCUUCAUCCUCUUUAUUACUUGGUUUGAGGAAAAGUUUGUGUUUGAGGUGCCUAAACGCGUGUGAAGCGUCGGUUCGUCGAUUCGUCGAGCAGGUGCGACCGAAGAGUAAAGCGGCGACUAGGGAACGUGCAAUUGAGAACCUAGCCUCGUGAUAGCGGUAAAAGGUGGGGGGUGUCAUCCCGAAGCAUCCAGAUUUUCUUUUAUGUCUAAGUUAUAUAUAUGCUUGGUCAUAUUGCAUUAUAGGAUUAGCAGAUAGUUGCAAUUCUAAUUCCUUGCAUGCUUCUUAGUAGUGUAACUAUGAGUUAGACACAUGGACUAGGGUAGCAUGAGGAUUGGGUUUUGUGACAUGGGAAUCCUAUAAUGGUAUAAAGAGCCGAACUUGGACAUAUGAUAGCCUAGUAGAGUGGCAUUGAACUAGUGUAGUAGAAACACUAAACUAGAACGAGUGGCAUGUCAAUUAACUAGAAAACUUACUACAAUGAUCGAACGAGUGGCAUCGAGUCUAGUGUAGUAAACGUGACAUGGUUCUAGGGAUAGUAGAGAUCCCGGCAUCUUGGAUACAUUGUACAUUGUGCAGCAGAGGCACGUUGACCCUUGUAGAUAGGGCGGAUCACUUCAUGAGGCCUCUGAGCACGGAGCCACCUCGCUGGUGGCUGUUCGUUUUUGUCUGAUCACUCAUACUAGGUUAGGAGUGUUCUCCUANNNNNNNNNNNNNNNNNNNNNNNNNNNNNNNNNNNNNNNNNNNNNNNNNNNNNNNNNNNNNNNNNNNNNNNNNNNNNNNNNNNNNNNNNNNNNNNNNNNNUCUGUUGUUGUUGGCAGAGAUUAUUUUAAUUUCCCUAAAUAACAACUAAUUAUGAGUUACGGCAAGAAAUGUUGUAACAAAUAAAUUAUGUGUGAAGUGCAUGUCAGCAUCAUCGUAGGAUCGUGUUGUGACCGAGAAGGAAUUUCGGUGGCAAGUCGUCCUUUCGGCGAAUGUCAUCCGGAGUGGAGCAAGACGCCGCGAUGGUGUGCUGCGGCCGUGGGCCUCAUCUUCAACUUUUUCAUCGCCGGCGUCAAGAUGGACCCUCUGCUAUGGGAAGUCGGCGUGCGUCCGUCGCCAUAGGCACCCGCAGCCUUCGCCGUGCCCCUUCGCCCGGCCCCCCCCCCCUGGCUUGCCGCCUCCUACCUAUCACAAACAACAUCGAGCAGGUGCUCGAGCGCCGCAGGCGCUUCUUCAUCUUCAUGGGCGCCUUCCCUUGCACCACUUCCUUCCCGUCCUCGAGACACUCUCGCGAGCUGCGCUCCUCAAUCACGAGCCUCGCGCGCUUCCGCUGUCGUCGCCAUAUCUCAGGUGCACUACUGUCUACGUAAUUUCUAUCGCUCUCUUUUUUUCGGCGCAACAGUUGAUUUUCAUGGAAUCUGCCGUAAGACAUCCUACUACUGUAGUCUAUGAGAUAUUUUUUUUUUUUUUUACGUUAUAUAACAUUUCUUAUUUGUUUUACGGGUGUAGAGAGGAUGUUGAGAUUAGUUUGAAUAGUAUAUUUUUUUACUAGAUUUGAUGGUUGGGUUGAAAUUAAGCAAGCGUUUUGUAUAGUAUUAGAGAAUUGUCUAUACUAAUGACAUUAAAAUGACGAACUUGCCUAUACUUCGAAGUAUAGAGGAUUCCGUGUUUUCGAAAAAAAUAUAUAGCAGCUUAAGUUAUUAAAAUAUGUCUAUAUAUAUUUUAGCCGCUUUAAUAAGGUUGGAGUAUUUUGUGCUUCGGCAUGCAUUGGGCAGGACGUGGGCGUGGAUUUCAUGGUUGAUGUUCACGGCGUGAACCAAGAAGCCAGAACGGAUGUGGCUGAGCGGGCUGAUGGCGCAUGCUGUGUUCGUGGGAUGGCGGCGUUCGCGCUGCUUGGUGUUCGCGCCGUACGUGGAGCUGGGGGCACGGCCGACGCCGGUGGACGGGCGCGUGUCGGAGCUGCCACGGUCCGUGAUCAUGCUGACGGUGGUGGCGUCGUCGUGGCCAUGCGGGACCGAGCAUGCGGGGCAAUCACCCCCACCGACGUUCAUCGAGGGCCGAUUAUCCUGGGGCUGUGGUGCCGGACGGGCGCCGCGGCGGCGGCGCUGCGUGAGCGGGUGGAGCGGUGGCGUCGGAAGGUUGAUGCUGCCGCUCUUGUUCCUGGUCGAGGGCGCGUCUUCGCGACGAUGGCGGGAGGUGGCGCGCAGGGCAAGGAUGUGGCUGUGGAGCUGGUCAUAUGCCUCAUCGCUGCGUCGGGAAGGAUCGCUGGGACGGUCGUCGCCGCGUCUUUCUUUUUUUUUUUUUAAAAUGCGACCUGCCGCUGCCAGAAGGCCGUGCUGCUGGGCAUCAUCAUGAACUUCCGGGGGCUUGUGGAGAUGAAUUCGUCCUUUUUCACCUUCAGUUAACGGAAAGCGUAAAUUAAAUUUGCCGUCCGUGCGAAAAUUUUAGAUAUUUUAAAAAUUUUGAAAAAUUAUAUUCAGAUAUUAUUACAACUAAUAUAUGUAAUAUAAAAAAAAAAAAAGCUGAUUAACGGCGGAGACAUACACCAUGGCCUUGGUCUUUUUAUCUGCGGCUUGGGGCGACGGACGCCUGCGUGCCGCUUGGUGGCGCACUUCUACAAGCCGCUUCAGCUGCGGGCCCCGUGGGCCUCGCACGCGUGCAGCACCUGAAGCCCCACGUCGAGCUGCGGCAUGCUCGCCUGCUAUCUCCGACGAAGCGCUCGUCCCCCCUCCUCCAACCUCUCGAGUGCCUCGUCCCGCCCGACUACCCCUCCGCCGCGCUCUGCGUCUUACGCCUCCACCUCGUCGGAAGCUGCAGGGUGCGCCGUGUCGAGCCUCGUGCCCACCGCGAACAAGAUAGGGGUUCAUCAACCGGCGUCAGUAUGGACCGGCGUGCAUCAACAAACUUGCAUCACCUUCGGAGAGGUCAAGAAGGGCGGCCCACCGCCGUUCAGCCUUUCACGUCCAUCGCGCCUACAAGACCAUGCACCGGACGGCUGUGCUCCCUCGCACCUCGAGAAGAGCGUCGCCCCGUCGUCGUCCCCUUCCCGCAACUGGGACGCCGCCACCGAGGCUGGAGCCGACCGCGCAUCGCGCAUCGUCCCGUUGCGUCUCUCUCAGGUGCGGGCCCUGAGCCAUCACCUCUUUAUUAGCCAACCAGUUUCUGAACUUUCAAUAUUGAUUAUUAUUCUCUUUUCUUCAAUUCAAGAAUGAUUCCUACUCGAUUAUCUAUUAAAGUUCAAUAGCCUUAGUUCAUAUAUAAUAUUAUAUAUAUUUAUAUAUCAUAUAUAUAUAUAUAUAUAUAGCAGCGGCUGAUGUGCUCUCAGGAGUAGGAGCCUCCGUGCUUGAGCCGUUUUUCGAUGAUGAAAUUUGUGAAUCGACGAUCGGCCUCCGUUAGACUUGAUCUAGCGCAUUUUAAAGUCAUAGAAAAUAAUUUUGCGAUAUUUCCGAUUCAUUUACUAGGUUGAUCGAAAGGAUUUCACAAUCCAUAAUUUUUAAUGGUUGAUAGUUCGGUCGUUUUCAGAUUUGAACGGUUGAGAAGUAUUAAUCAGAUGAAAUUUUGGAUAGAAAAAUUCUUUAUAAUAUCACAACAGAUCUAUUUAUUCUUGCAUCAAAAAUUUUAGUGCUAUAAUCACCACUUUAUUGAUUUUUUUUCAGCACGUUAAAAAUUAUUGAUUUUGAAUCUUUUCGAUUGCUAGGUCAACAUGAUAUCGAAGAUCGCAAAAAUUAUUUUCUAGAAACCGUUUGAAAUACCGUAGAUCAAGUAUCGGCGAGCCGUAUCGUCGAUUUCGAAAACUCCAUCAUCGAAAAACGGUCAGGAGCACGGGGCCUCCGUGCUCGCUCGAGAGCACAGCACCGCUCUAUAUAUAAUAUAUAUUAUUAAUAUAUAUAUAUAUGUUAUAAGGGCUAAGAAUACAUUGUAAAAGUAUUCAUGGGGUGAUACUUCGUGUGUUUUUAGCCCUUGGAUGGAGAGACUUUGAGGUUGAGAUGAUGGUGUCGUAGGUAGUGGUAGGGGCAAUAGUUUAUCCAAGGGCUUAUUAAUAAUCAAAAAAGUGAUCAAUGCUUAAAAACCUAAUACACCAUGAUGUGAUACUUGUAAAGUAUCAUAGCUCACACGUAUAUAUAAUAAUCAUAUAUAUAUAUAGUCAUAUAUAUAUAUUAUAUAUAUAUUAUAUAUAUAUAAUAUAUAUGAUAUAUAUAGAGCAGGGUUGUGUGCUCUAGGAGCAGGAGAGCCCUCCGUGCCUCUGAGCCGUUUUUUGAUAUGGAAUUUUUCAAAUCGACGACGGCUCCUUUAGACUUGAUCUAGCGCAUUUGAAGUUUCUAGAAAAUAAUAUUUAGCGAUUUUUUUAUACUCAUAUUACCUAGUGACGAGGAUUUUCAAAAUUUAUAACAUUGUUUAAUUGCGGUUGCAUUAUCUUGUCGUUUUCAAGUUUAACGCGGCUAGAAGUAUUAAAUUCAGAUGAAAUUUUGAUACCAAAUUUUCUAUACUAUCUACAACAAGAAUCAAUAUUUCUGACUCGAAAAUUUAAUGCUAUAUCACCACUUUUUAUUGAAUUUUUAUUUCAGCGUUAAAAAUUAUUAUGAUUUGAUCAUAUGCGCAUUGCCUUUAGGUAAAUGAUAAUCGAAAAAAUCGCAAAAAUUAUUUUCUAGUAAACAUUCAAAUACGUAGCAUCAAGUUUAACCGGAGCACGUCGGUAUUCGGAACUCCAUCAUGCGAAAACAGUCAGGAGCAUAGAGGCCUCCGGUGCCUCCUGAGAGUACAACAGCCUUGUCUAAUAUAAUAUAUAUACUAUUAUAUUAUUAUAUAUUAUAUAUUAUAUAUAUAUAUCUAUAUAUAUAUAUAUACUAUUUUGAAGAGAGAGAGACGAGAGAGAAGAGUCCGAGCUACAUUACUUUUAUAAAGUACGAUCGUGGGUCCCCCAUCGUACUCAUAAGUUGUUUUCGAUGAUAGAGCGUUCCGAAUCGAUGAUUCAUACUAUUAACUUAUUCUAAGGAUUUAAACACGUCUAGAAAUCAAUUUUAUAAUUUUAUAUCAUUACCUUACGAUUAAAAGGUCACAAAAUUGACAAUUUUAACGGUCUACAGGAUAUUGCUAGUUUAAUGCGUGAAAAGAAUCGGCAAUAGUUGCAUUUGAUAGAAAUUCUUUCACUAUACAUAAAUAGAGUAUCAAUAAACUCCGAAUCUUAAAUGAAGGAUACCGAUCAUCCAUUUUUUAGGAUUGUUCAUCGAUUUUUUUAAAACGUUCACAUUUAACCCGCUGGAUGAACUUCAUAAUGAUUUUGAAAAAUUACGAAAUUUAUUUUUCUAGAAGUUUCCCAAAUACUCUAGAUCAUGUUUAACGAGAUGUGGAUUGUCGAAUCAAAAGCUAACAUCGAAAACAAGCUUUAUGAGUAUGAAAGGCCAUAUUAUACUCAUACGAUAUAAGUAGCUCUUACUCUUCUCUUCUCUACUCUUCUCCUUCUCUCUCUUCAUCUAUAUAAUAUAAUAUAUAUAUAUAUAUAUAUAUAUAUAUAUAUUUAUAUAUAUGGUUGGCCUAGAAACCUUUCUAAAGUACCAUGCAUGGGAGUGAUGCUUUUUGAGUUUUUAGUCUUUGAAAGGGAUAGAUGUCGGGUUGGCGGAUUUUCGAAUCGACGCAUCGGCUCCGUUAUACUUGGAUCUAGAUAUUUAAAGUUUCUAAAAAUAAUUUGCUAUUUUUUUUGAUAUCAUUUACCAAGUGAUAGAAAGGAUUUCAAAUCAAUAUUUUAACGGUGUGAUACUCUCGUCGGGUUUUUCAAAGUUUAACGGUUGUAGAAGUAUUCAAAUCGAUGAAAUUUUGAUUACAAAAUUCUUUAUACUUUCUCAACAGAUCAAUAUUUCUGAUGAAAUUUUAUGUAUUAUCCCUUUUUAUAGAUGUUAUUUUCACCCCGUUUUUAAAAAUUACUUGAUUUUUGAAAUCAUUUAUCGGAUUGUUAGUUAAAAUGAUUAAUCGAAAAAUUCGCCAAAAUUAUUUUCUAUUAAACUUAAUUACGACCGUAGAUCAAGCUCUAAGAGCGAUCGUCGAAUUCGAAACAUUCAUCAUCGAAAACGGCCUCAGGAGACGCAGAGGCCUCCGUGCUCCUGAGAGCACAACAGUUUCGCUUAAUAUAUAUAUUAUAUAAUAUUAUAUAUAUAUAUAUAUAUAUAUUAUAUAUAUAUAUAUAUAUAUAAUAAUAUAUACUAAUAUUUAGGUACUAUAUAUCAAUAGUACCCGAGCGCGUAUUUAUAGUCCUAUUUUUCGAUCUUAGGCGUGUUCAAAAUUAAAUUGAUCCACACAUUAAAUAUUGAUCUAUGGGAUAUGAAGUUUUAGGAAUAAAAUUUUGUUUUUUCGACACGUUUAAUAUAAAUUAAAUUAUAUCAAAUUGACGUUAGAAAUGAAUAAUCUUUAAAAUUGAGUCAUAGGGCUUUUAAAUUUCAAUAUCAAGAAUGUUAACCUUAAUCUAAAUGUUUAAAAUUUUUUUAUCCAAAAUUUGAACGAAAAUUUGAUUCUUCUACCACCGUUAAACUCCAACUCGCCAUAGUAGCCUUGAAAUUAUUGAAAUUUAAAAUGAUUUGAUCAUAUAAGUAAACUAUGUCGAAAAAAAAUAUAAAAUUUAUUUUUAAAAAUUUUUAAAUACCCUAGUCAAUUUUAACAGUGUGGCAUCGUUGAUUUCUAACACCCUAAAAUUCGGAAAAGCGAGACUAUAGUACCGGAGACCUCAAAGGUCAUAUAAUAGUAUAGGACUCUCUCUCUUCUCUCUCUCUCUCUCUCUCUCUUCUCUCUCUCUCUCUCUCUCUAUAUAUAUAUAUAUACUAUUAUAUAUAUAUAUACACGGACGGGAUCCGUACUACAAGUUGUUUUCGAUGAUGUAUGGCUUCUAAAUCAAUGAUCGGUCUCCGUUAGAUUGAUUCUCACUCACUAUUGAAAGUAUUUGGAAACUAAAUUUCAGAUUUUUUCGACAUCAUUUGACUAGUGAUCAAAAGAUCUCAAAAUUGAUAAUUUUAAUGGCCAAUGUGGUGUGUUUGAGAGUUUAACGGUGUAAAACAAUCCAAAUCCGAUGAAAAUUUUAUAGAAAAUUCUUUUCACUAUUUAGAGUAAGAUUAGUAUAUCUGAUCUUGAAUUUAAAUCUUUUAUCAUCAUUUUUUAUGAGAUUUUUAUUUUCAGCCGUUCAAUUUUAGACUACUUGUUUGGUAGGUAAAUGGUAUCAAAAAAUUAUGAAAUUUAGUUUCUAAAUACUUUUAAUAGUGUAGAUCAAGUCUAACAGAGCCGAUCAUCGAUUUGGAAGCCGCAUCAUCGAAAACAACUUGGUAGUACGGAGCCCUCUGUGCUACCGAUAGUAUAGUAGCCUAGCUCCUAUUGAUAGUAUAGUAGCAUAAUUCUCUAUAUAUAUAUAUAUAUAUAUAUAUAUAUAUAUAUAUAUAUAUAUAUAUAUAUAUAUAUAUAUAUAUAGGGUCCUGCUACUAUGCUAUUAUGAUUACGAUCAUCCUCGUACUCAUAAGUCGUUUUCGAUGAUGGAGCUUCUGAAUCGACGAUCCAUACCGUUAAACGUUAUUUACAGCAUUUAAAACUUCUAGAACCAAAUUUUAUAAUUUUUCGAUAUCAUUUACCUUAUAAUCAAGUGGUCACAAAUUUGUCAAUUUUUAACGGCCGGUAUGGAAUACUUGCUAGUUUAACGGUGUAAAAGAAUCGGAAUUUGUUGAAUUUUUGAUAGAAAAUUCUAUUCACUAUAUAGAUAAAGAUCAAUAACUCUGAUCUUAAAUUGAAGGAUCCGAUCAUCCUUUUUUAGGAGUCGUUCGAUUUUGACCGUUCAUUUUAUGCCCACUUGAUAGACUAUAUUAUGAUUUCGAAAAUUUACAAAAUUUAUUGUCACGCUCCGGGACCCAGCCUAGGCCCGCCCGGCGCGUGUCCAGACCCACCAUAUGCCUGCGCAUAUAAGGCGACUACAACAAAAGAGAUGCGAAAGCAAGAAGAAACAAGUAUAUAGAGAUAUCAGAGCUGCUAACAACUAAAACUAGCAACAAGUAGAGAAGGAGUAAAGUAGUCCACUAAGCAUAAGCAUAAAAAGGUACAAUAAGAGUCACAAGAAAAUCCACAGUGGUGUGGUCUCUAUACACAGGUAAAUCUCCAAAACCUCUCCAAAAUAAAACAUCGAAAGGUAGACCACCUACCAACGCAUCCUCGAUAGCAAGCUAGCUCGAGGCGAUACCCUUUCCGCGGUCCCUAGCCUCGCCCGGAGUGGAAGGCUCUGAAAUAAAAUAUAAAACAAUAGGGCAUGAGAACUAUAAUUUAUAGUUCCUAGUGGGCAAUUACUGACCUCAGCUCAAUGCACCACUAGGCCCCAAAAGAAAGGGUAAGUACGAUAAGCAACAAUAAUAGUAAUAGACAAUAAUAAACUGCAGAAUUGAAAGCAUGAGUAAAAUGCUAUGCCACAAGUAAACGUGAUGUAUGUCAAUGCUAUCAUGUUUGAAUAUGCCAAUGUCGGGUGAAUACGCUCAUCAACUGCCAAGUAUACUAAGAUGCGAUGAGUAAUUCUAUCAAGUAUACUACAUGUCCCAAUAUCUCAAAACCACACUAUGAGUAUGUCCAAUAAUCCAACUACUAUGAUCUAUUUAGCAGUGAUUCCAUUUUAAGAGGUCAUGUCCGAGUUCAAUCUUGUUUUGGGACCUACACGAGUGUAGUCCGGCUUGCGCCGCCUAAGUGUCGAUGGCAGCUCCAGUAUUUUCACUCUGAAAAUGAGUCUAUCCCUCCCGACCCCGUAGGCUUCUCGAUACCGCACGAGCGAUCAUAAGUCGUGUAGGCCAACUCCGGAGUGCCGGCUUGUGGGGAGCGACCCUCACAAGCAUGUGCGAAUGAGCACAAAUGGCAACAAGCAUAAUCAUCGUCUCAAGUACCCAAUCAUCAUGUCUCUAACAUGAUAAAAGUUACUAGUAACCCGAAGGUCUAGUUCUAUGUCUCAAUAUGAGGUUUAAUCGUUCAAUAAUUUCUAUGUCAAUGACCAUAGCUUUACUACAUCAAAUCCAAGUCCAAUGCCCCUUUUAUGACAUUAGCUUACUAAAUCAUGAAUCAUGUACAUCUAUGUUCUUUGAUGGCAUUACAUUAUGCUAAGUCCAAAUUUUGUCCCAACACUAGUGCCGCUUUAUGACACUAGGUUUCACUUGUCCCAACUACAUUACAAGCCCAAUGCCCCUUUAUGACAUUGGCUCAAUAGCAAGCUAAUAGUGUACGUUUCAAGCCUCUUCAUGGCAUUAUGUAUGGUCCUAUGUCCCACAUGAGAGUUAUGUCUAAAGGCACAUUGUCCUUCUCAUUCUCACUACAUAAAACAUGCUCUUGAGUCAUAUCUAGAAUGCUGAGCGCAUGCAUAAGUCUCACAUGCCACUCUCUACUACAUAGAGGUCCAAAAACGUAUUAUAUAUAAUGUAGACAUUUUAAGCAUUCUAAAAUUCACAAUAAAUAUAUUUAUCAUGGAAAUGCAUGAAUUUCUACUUUACGAAGCAUAUAACGUCGGGUAUGAGAAUUUCUCAUAUGCUAGGCUAGGUCAAACCCACCGAACUUCACGCAACCCUUCGUUUGCUCCAACGAAGAUGUCCACUAAUCUCCUAACACCCUAAAAGCAUCAAAAAGUGAGCUACAAGAAGUAAACGAAUAACUACUAGCUCAAACAUUAACCUACCAAGCAAACGGGCCAAAAUCUUACCUAUAGUGUAGAAAUCCCUUCCCAAAGCUCAAAUGGAAGCUAGAUCCCUUCCAAAGCAACCAAAACCAAGGUUCUAAUCCAAUCAGAUUAGCUCAAAAAGCCUUAAAUCAAAAGGCCCCAAAUAAACCCUAGAUUUUCCACUCUAGGGUUUCAUCUCCCAAAAUUCACCAAAACUAAGUUUAGAGGGAAAGAACAAGCAACAAACCUCUUAAAAGUUCCAAUAAAAACAAGCUCUAAGAAUGAAAAUCUCCUCUUUAGCAAGCUCCAAGUCCAAGCCUUUAAACACCAAAGGGAAGAAGAGAGGGAGAGGAAGAUGCUCCAAGUCCUCUAGCUAGAUCCUCCUCAUCUUCUUCUCCUUCUUCUUCUUCUCUUCCUUCUUCUCCUUCUCCUCCUUCUCUAUCUAGGGUUGUUGGGAGGGUAAGAGAAAGAGAAAUGAGGAAGGGAGAGGGUGAAAUGGCCAUAUAGGCCAUCUAAUGUAACAAAAUCCAAAGAAGCCCCUCAAUUUCCUAAUAUUGCAUCAGCCCGGACUGGGCAGUUUUCGGACUGAGGGACCGGUCUCCCCGACCUGGGACCGGUCUCUCGGCCUACCCCGAAAAUCUAACGUUCGGGAACCGGUUUGUCCCCGCAUGGGACCGGUCUCUCCCCGCAUGGACGCGCUCGAGGACCGGUCUCAUCCGCCAGUGACCGGUUGCCUCAAGGCUGCCGCAAUACUAUUCCAUGGGGACCGGUCUCUCCUAGCCAGGGACCAGUCCCCGAGAGUAAAAACUCUCAGGACUCAUCCAGGACUUAGAUUUUCGAACUUUUUUGGUCGGAAAAACAUUCUACGACCCUCCACCAAGGGUGAAAAAGCUCAGAACACAUCCAACAACUCGAACCUCACAAUUUGCAUAGGUUUAGUGUGCUACAUUCACCCUCCUAAAAAGGAGUUUCGUCCGCGAAACUCAAGGCAACUACAUACCUCAAGACUCCAUCUGAAAAAUAUGGGGAUAGCGCUCCUGCAGCGCGCUCUCUAGCUCCCAUGUGGCCUCCCGCUCCCCGUGGUUGCUCCAAAGAACCUUCACAUACGGAAUGUCCUGAUUCCGUAGUUUCUUCACCUCGCGAGCCAAGAUCUUCAUGGGUUGCUCCUCGAAGCUCAAAUCCUCUCUCAGCUCCAAUGGUGUAGCGUCAAGCACAUGAGCUGGAUCAUGGAUGUACUUCCGAAGGACCGAUACAUGAAAUAUAUUGUGUACACUCGAUAGGUUCGGAGGUAGAGCAAGCCGAUACGCUACCGGGCCUACACGCUCCAAAACCUCAUGCGGUCCAAUGUAUCGGGGGCUCAGCUUACCCCGGAUUCCAAAUCUUCUAAUCCUUCUGGUCGGCGAGACUUUUCAAAAAGACAUGAUCUCCAAUCUGAAACUCCAAGUCUCGUCGACGCCUGACAGUAUAACUCUUUUGCCUACUCUGGGCUGCUAGCAGUCGUUCCCGAGCAAUUCAAACUUUGUCCUCUGCUUCCUGGAGCACAUCAGAGGCUAAAGCCAAUCUCUCGCCAACUUCACUCCAAUGAAGUGGCGAUCUACACUUCCGUCCAUAGAGUGCCUCGAAAGGUGCCAUCUUGAUGCUUGCUUGAUAACUGUUGUUAUAAGCAAACUCUGCCAUCGGUAGAUGCUGCGACCAUCCUCCCUGGAAGUCUAUCACACAUGUCCGGAGCAUAUAUCUAAAGUCUGUAUAGUGCACUCUGACUGCCCGUCACUCUGAGGGUGGAAAGCCGUACUGAAGUCUAACCGCGUACCCAAAGCAUCCUGUAAGUUCCUCCAAAAUUAAGAUACAAAUAGGGGGUCUUGAUCUGAUACUAUAGAAGUAGGCACCCCGUGCAGUCGCACAAUCUCGUCCAAGUAAACCUGUGCGAGUCUCUCACCAGUCCAAGUUGUGUGGAUAGGUACGAAAUGUGCCGAUUUCGUCAACCUAUCCACGAUCACCCAAAUAGCAUCAUGCCCGGCUUGUAAGCGGGGCAAUCCGGUCACGAAAUCCAUGGUGAUCUUCUCCCAUUUUCAUACUGGAAUCGGCAAGCUCUACAAUUUUUCCGCGGGAACUCGGUGCUCAGCUUUCACCUAUUGGCAGUUAAACAUCUAGUAACAAACUCACCAACGUUCUUUUUCAUCCCGGGCCACCAAUAAAGUAACUUUAAGUCCUUAUACAUCUUGGUGCCUCCCAGAUGUAUAGCGUACGGUGCUCGGUGUGCCUCUUGAAGAAUUUCUUCUCUAAGUGCCAAUUCCGCCGGUACACAGAUCCGUCCACGAAAACAUAUCAAUCCAUCAUCACCCACAGAAAAGUCACCGGUGCAACCAUUAAUCAUCUUAGCUCGAAUCCUUUGCAACUCCACAGCGGAGACUUGCUUUUCAUUAAUCCUUUCCACAAGUAUAGGUUGCACCACCAAAGUCAUCAGUCUCAAAGGUGUAUCAGGAGCCACCACCUCCAACUACAACCGCUUCAUCUGCUCGAUCAACAGCGGUUGAGUGACCAUAAGCAUCGCUAAGUUUUCCGUCGAUUUCCUACUUAGCGGAUCCGCCACCACGUUAGCCUUGCCCGGGUGAUAAAGUAUCGUCAAAUCAUAAUCCUUGAGUAGCUCCAACCAUCUGCGCUACCUCAAGUUCAAUUCCUUCGAAGUGAAUAAAUACUUUAAACUCUUGUGAUCCGUAUACACUUCGCAUCGCUCGCCGUACAAGUAAUGGCGCCAUAGCUUCAAUGCAAAGACCACGGCUGCCAACUCCAAAUCAUGCGUAGGGUAGUUUCUUUCAUACCCGAUCACUUUCCCGUCCUGCAUCAAAACACAGCCCAAUCCAUUAAAGGAAGCAUCACUAUAAAUCACAUAUCCUGCUCCAGUAGUUGGCAAGGUUAGGAUCGGGGCGGUCAUCAAACUUUGCUUCAACUCUUGGGAGCUCCUUUCACACGGAUCAUUCCAAACAAACUUGGUGCCUUUAUGCGUGAACCUCGUGAGGGGAGUGGAUAACUUUGCAAAUCCCUCAACAAACCGUCGGUAGUAGCCGGCCAAGCCAAGAAAACUCCAAAUCUCUGUGACACUCGUUGGCCUCGGCCAGUCCUUGAUAGUUUCGAUCUUCCUAGGAUCUACAGCUAUACCUGAUCCUGAAAUCAAAUGGCCCAAAAACGCCACCUCUUUAAGCCAAAACUCGCACUUUUUCAAUUUCGCAUAGAGCUCCCUUUCCCGAAGUACUUGAAGUACAAGUCUCAAGUGUUCCUCGUGUUCCGCAUCACUUCGGGAAUAGACCAAAAUGUCGUCGAUGAAUACUACGGCGAAUUUGUCUAAAUAAAGCUUAAAAAAACGGUUCAUUAGAUCCAUAAAAGCGGUCGGGGCGUUAGUAAGCCCAAACAGCAUAACUGUAAACUCAUAAUGUCCAUACCGUGUUCUAAAAGCCGUUUUCGACACAUCCUCAGGCUUGAUCUUCAACUGGUGGUAUCCCGACUACAAGUCAAUUUUGGAAUACACACUAGAUCCCCGGAGCUGAUCAAAUAAAUCAUCAAUCCUCGGUAAUGGAUACUUAUUCUUGAUCGUGACCUUAUUGAGUUCACGAUAAUCCACACACAAGCGAAGCGAUCCAUCCUUCUUCUUGACAAAUAGGACUGGUGCUCUCCAAGGUGACACACUCGAUUGCACAAAACCCUUGUCCAGGAGAUCCUGCAGCUGUGCCUUCAGCUCCUUCAAUUCCGCCGGUGCCAUCCUAUAGGGCGCUCUUGAGAUUGGAGUAGUCCUGGGGACGAGAUCUACCACAAACUCAAUCUCCCUAUCAGGCGGCAUGCCUGGUAACUCCGCUGGAAACACAUCUACAAAUUCCCGCACUACGGGGAUGUCCUCAAUCCUAGGGGCGUCUGCAUCGCCCCACAACACUACAGUAGCCAAGUAGGCUAUGCAGCCUCUGCUGUUCAACUGUCUAGCUCGAGAGGAGCUAAUCGUCAUCGCAAACAGCGAACUCUGGCAUCCUCGGUACACAACCUCCGCCUGCCCCGGCUUUCUAAAUGUCACUGUUCGAUUCUUACAAUCGAUAGUGGCGUAGUAUUUGGUCAACUAGUCCAUGCCCAAAACAAUAUCAAACUCUCCGAGUUUAUGCGAAGCUAGCAAGUCCACGGGCAUGACCCAAUCUCCAACCCGAACAGGGCAAUUGGGGCAAAACUCUCGAAUAUCUAAAGAGUGAUCGGGUACAACAACUCAUCCCAAAUGCAACAAAGAUGUCAGUGGGAUGCCAUGCAACUCGCAAACAGCCGGUUUAUGAAUGAAUGCGAUGCACCGGUAUCAAAUAAUGCUCGUACUCGAAUACCAUAAAGUAAAAUGAUACUUGCGACCACAUUCUCCGCUGCCGCCGCCUCCUCGGUCUGGGCCGCAUACAUGCGCCCGCUCGGGGGCUGCCGUGACCCCUCCAACUGUCCGCUGCACAGGUGGCCGCCCGGCCUGCUGGUGCGCAGAAGGUGUCCCUGGCCGGGACCUGGUGAAGCUGGUGCAGAUGCCGAAGAUGGUGCUGGUGCUGGACCUCUCGGGCAGUCCGACUGGAAGUGGCCCUCCUGGCCUCACAGAUAGCACCUACCCCGACUAUGUGAAUACUGCCGUGGGUAGUGAGGACCACCACAGAUCACGCAGCGCGGUGCCUGGGGACGAUCGGGUCCUCCUCGCUGAGUAAACGAGCCACGUCCUCGCGACUGGCUCCGGCUCCUGGGAUGCCUCGACGGCCUCCGUGAGUGCGUCUGGCUCGCACCCUCAGCCACAGGCCUCUUGCCUUUUCCAUUCUCCAAGCCCUCGCGACGCUCCUGAAGGUCCGUCGCUCCAGCCUCCACGAUGAGUGCACAGUGAAGUAGUCUAGAAAACUCUCUCUCGUACUCGGCCAUGGUCCGCUCCUCCUGGCGUAAACUACGCAAAUCCUGCUCCGUCUUCCUCUGAACGCUAGUAGGGAAGUAGUGCGCUAGAAGAAGCUCCUUGAAUCUUGUCCAAGAAAUCACUGCCAAAUCAGUGUUGGGGUUGUCCUGAAUAUCCAACCACCAACGAUAGGCCUCGCCGUCCAGAUGAUGUGUGGCAAGCCAAACUCUAUCCCGUUCCUCAACGAAGGUAUCUCGAAACAGCUUCUCCAUGUGCAUCAACUACUUCUCAACAAUCCAGUGGUCGACCUUCUCGCCAUCGAAGAUCCUCGGACUGCACCUCCUGAACUCACUGAGGCGAUCCAUGAGCCGAUCCCGCUCGGCUCCCUCGGCCAUCACAGGGAAAGCUGCCCUCGACGCAUGUAUCUGAACCGGUGGUACUGCAGCCACCUCCUCUCGAGGUGGGGUCGCUGGUGCUGCACGCGAAGAACUGGGCGCGGGGAAUUGCGCCCUCGGUGCGACGUCCACUAUAGGUGCUGGCGGUGUGGGAACCUGAGUCUCCCUAGAAGCUGCUGCCUGCUGUAGCAAAAGAUCCUCCAGGUGCUUAAUCCACGCCUCUUGCCGCUAUGCCACCUCGGCCUGUCGCUGAGCGGCCGCCGCCUGCUGCGCUACAAGAUCAGUGAGGACCGCAAGCUGGGUCCUCAAGUCGCGGACCUCGCUAGAUACGGAAGUCGCAGAGGUUUCGACCUCCUCGAGGUGCACCGCAUCAUCCGCUCCGGUAGAUUGGGAGCGUGUAACCGGCAUCAUCACUACAACAUCAUAAAAGCGUAAGUUAGUAAACCCACGCUAUCGAGUCCCCGCUCAAAUAACAAUACCCAAAUCAUGCGAAAGUAAGAAAGUGUUAUUCACAACUAACUCCCGAUGUUACGUUGUCGGCCGCCAACGUAACCCUCCACGGAGUUAGAAGCCAUACACUCCGAUCCAACUCCAACUUUUUAGAGUUAUCAUAAGACCCAAUCAUAAUACUUUCGCUCACAAGUCGGAUAGACCUCGUCUCUCACAAGCCUAUAUCCUAUAGUCCAACCGGCCUAAGGUUUGCUAGGUCCACUAAGACUCAACCCUAGGCUCUGAUACCAAACUAAUCUGUCACGCCCCGGGACCGGCAGAGGCCCCCCCGGUAGCGCACCCAGACCCGCCAUUUGUCUACACAUAUAAGGCGUCUACAACAACAGCGAAAAUAAAGCAAGAGAUGAUCUACAACAAGAGAUAUCAGAACAAGUACACAUCUAUAGUCUAUGAUAAGAGAAGUUGAAACAAACUAAAUAAUAAAGAGGAAACAUAAAGUUAUACAAAAAUCAUCUCAAAAGUACACAAAAUGGGUGGUCUCUAUAACACUGGUACAGCUCUCAACCUCUCCAAAAAGAAAACGACGAGAGGUAGACCACCUAUCAGCGCGUCCCUCGAAGCCAAGCUAGUUCGAGUCCGCGGUCCCUAGCUUCUCCCGGCAUGGAAGGCUCUGAAAUAAAACAUAAAAUAGAGGGCGUGAGAACUAUAAUUUAUAGUUCCCAGUGGGCAAUUACUGACCUCAGCUCAAUGCACCACUAGGCCCAAAAGAAAAGGGUAAGUACGAUAAUAGUAAAAAGAUUGCAUUUAUGAAAGCAUAAUUAAAAUGCUAAGUUACUAUGUCGCAAAUAAACAUGAUAUCAAUAUGUUGUACAUCUACUUUAUUAAGAAGAAGUAUGUCCAAGCAUGACUAAUACGUCCCAACAUAACGAGUAAGUAGGUAUCCUAAUCCACUAUAUCAAUAUAUGACGAAUAUGCUCUAUCAUGGCAACCAAGUAUACUAAGAUGCAACAGGCAAUUUAUUAAAUAUACAACAUGUCUCAACACUAUGCUAUAAGUAUGUCAAAGUAAUCCAACUACUAAUCCUAUCUAGUAGUGAUUGUUAUCUCCCGAUUAAAUGUCAUCGUUUCCAACAUGUUCUAGGACCUACAUAGUGUAGUCUAGCUUGUGCCACCUAAGUGUCGGUGGUAGCUCCAACAUUUUCACUGUAGGAAUGAGUCUAUCCCUCCCGACCACGUAGGUUUCUCGAUACCGCACAAGUGAACAUAAGUCACGUAGGCCAACUCCGGAGUGCCUGCUUGUAGGGAGCGACCCUCACAAGCAUGUGCGAAUGAACAAAAAUGGCAAGCAAGCGUAGCCAACGUCUCACAUACCCAAUCAUCAUGUCUCUAACAUGGCAAUAGUCACUAGCAUCUCAAAUGAUCUAGUUCUAUGUCACAAUGUGAAAUUCCAACAUUCACUAAAUCUAGUGCCCCUUUAUGACACUUAGACCAUUCUAUAAUCAAGUAUGUUCCAGUUCUAAAUCUCUCAAUGGCCCUAUUCACUAGGUUCACACACAACCAGAGCUCAAUACCGCUUUAUGACAUUAGCUCACAAUUUCACAAGUCAAUCUUGUCAUAUGCCUCUUUAUGGCUUAUUAAGAUCCUUUAAGUCUCAUGUCACGCCCCGAGAUCGGCGGAGGCCCUCCCGGUAGCGUGCCCAGACCCGCCAUAUGUCUACAUAUAUAAGGCGUCUAUGAUAAAAGCGGAAGUAAAGCAAGAGAUAGAGUAAAUAGAAUGAAUAGCAACUAAUGAUAUCAGAGCAAGUAAAGUUCUAUCAUCUAGACCAGAGUAAAAAAAACAUAUCUAAACAAUAAAAGCAACUAUAAGUAGUACACUAUCUGUCUCAAAAGUACAAAAAUGGUGGUAUAUAGCACACUGGUAAGACUCUCAACCUCCCACAAAAUAAAGCAACGAGAGGUGGACCACCUAUCGAGUCGUACUCGAAGGAAGCUAGCUCGAAGCAACUCCCUUCCCGCGAUCCCUAGCCUCUCCCGGCGUGGAAGGCUCUGAAAGAAAACAUAAAACAGAGGGUGUGAGAACUAUAAUUUAUAGUUCCCAGUAGGCAAUUACUGACCUCAGCUCAAUGCACCACUAGGCCCAAAAGAAAAGGGUAAGUAACGACAAUAAUAAUAAGCAAUAAUAAGCUAGUACAAGAACUACUGAAAGAAAGCAUAUAUGAAAUGCUAUACUACUAUAUCUCAAAUAAGCAUGAUGUCGUGGUGAUGUACAUCUACGCUAUCAUAAGAAUAAUAUGUCCAAUGCAUACUAAUGUGCCUCAACAUAAUUAAACAAGUAAACCUCACGAUGCAAUAUGUCAAUGCAUAAGGAGCAAGCUCUAGCGAAGUAACCCAGUAUACUAUGAUGCAACGAAUGAAACAGGCAAGUAUACUAUGUAUCCCAAUGCUAUGUCAUGAGCUCGUCAAGUAAUCCAACUACUAAGCCUAUCUAGUAGUGAUCAUUCAUUCUCAACUCUGUGUCGAUUUCCAUUUCCAAUUAAGGACCUACCAAAGGUAGUCCAGCUUGUGCCGCCUAAGUGCCUGUGGUAGCCCAACAUCCCUACUCUUGGAAUGUGUCUGUCCCACUCGACCCCGUAGGCUUCUCAAUACCGCACGAGCGAACAUAAGUCGCGUAGGCUAACUCCGGAGUGCCGGCUUGUAGGGAGCGACCCUCACAAGCAUGUGCGAAUGAGCACAAAUGGCAAGCAAGCAUAGUCCAAGUCUCAAGUAUCCAAUCCUCAUGUCUCUAACAUGGUAUCGUCACUAGCAUCCCGAAGAUCUAGUUUAAGUCACAAAGCGAAGUUCCAAACACUCACUACGCCUAGUGCCUCUUGAUGACACUUAGGCAAUUUGAUGUUCAACAUUAGCCAAGUCCCGCAAUGGCUCUAACCACCAGGUUCACACAUGUCCCGAGCUCGAUGCCGCUUGAUGACAUUAGCUCUCUAAUUCGCACACAUUCUAGUUCAAUACCUCUAUAUGGCAAUCUUGUCAUCUUUCAUGUCAUAAUUAAAUCAAAGUUUAAAUGCAUGAAUCAAGGCUCAUUUACGCUAUGGAAGUAUGGGACCAAGUUUCGUAUAAAAUGCCAAAUGCAAACCAAAGCUCUCUCAAGCAACUCUCUACUACAUAGAGGUCCAAAAUUUUACUAUAUGCAAUAUAGGCAUUUUAAGCAUUCAUAUUUCACAAUAAAUACGUAUAACAAGAAUAUGCAUGCUUUUUCAAUUAACGAUACUUAAUUUAUCACAAAUGAGAAUUUCUCAUUGUGUGGCUAGGUCAAACCCACCGAACCGUCGCGUAGUGCCUCGUUUCACCGAACGAAGUUGUCCAUGAGUCUCAAAAUACCCUAAAAGUAUUGAGCGAAGAGAUACGCGGGCAUUACGAUCAACUAUAAGAUCAAAUAUUAACCAAUAAGACAAAAGGGCUAAAACUCACCUCAAGAGAAGAAAUCUCUUCCAAAGCUCCAAAAGAUAGCUAGAACCCUUACAAUCCAAGCCCAAGGAAGGUUCUAAAUAAACUAAUUUAGCCCCAAAAGCCCUAGAUCAAAAAUGCCCCAAACAAACCUUAAGUCUCCAUUCUCGGGUUCCAAAGGUAAAACUUACCAAAUCAAGGAUCAAAGGGUAGAAUCCGAGUACUAACCUCUCAAGGUGCCUCCAAACUAGCUCCAAAUCUUCUAGGGUUGAAGAUUGGUCCAUCACCAAGCUCUACAAGUAAGCUCCAAGCCUUGCAAGGGUGGAAAGGGGGUCCAUCACCAAGCUCUACAUGUAAGCUCCAAGCCUUGCAAGGGUGGAAAGGGGAGGAAGGGGUUGAGCUCCAAGCUCCCUCAAGUAAGCUCCUCUUCUUCUUCUCCUCCUUCUUCUCUCUCUAGCUAGGGUGUGGAGGGAGUGUGGGGAGAGAAAUGUGGAGGAGAGAGGAUGGGAGGGCUAUUUAGGCCAUCCAAAGUAACAAAAUCCCAAGAGGUCCCCCAAAAAACCAAAAUUACAACAGCCCGGUCUGGGCAGUUUUCGCCCAGAGGGACCGGUCUCUCCCUAGCAGGGACCAGUCUCUCGCUGCGAACCCGAAAAACCAGCGCUCGGGAACCGAUCUCUCCCCGCGCGGGACCGGUCUCUCAUGCGAAGACACGCUCGGGGACCGGUCUCCCCUGCCAGGGACCGGUCUCCCCUGCCAGGGACCGGUUGCUUCAGGGCUGCCACAACACUGCUCACUGGGGGACCGGUCUCUCCUUCCGGGGACCGGUCCCCGAGAGUAAAAACUCUCAGGACUUGUCCAGAAUUCCAGUUUUCAAACUUCUUAAGUCGAAAAAUAAUCUACGACCCUCCACCAAGUGUGGAAAAGCUCGAAACACAUCCAAUCGCUCGAACUUCGCAAAUCGCAAAGGCCUAGUGUGUUACAUUCACCCCUCCUAAAAAGGAGUUUCGUCCGAGAAACUCGAAAUAACAAGUACCUCAAGCCUCCAUCUGAAAAAGAUGGGGAUAGCACUCCCUCAGUGCGCUCUCCAGCUCCCAAGUGGCCUCGCGCUCGUCGUGGUUGCUCCAAAGCACCUUCACGUUGGGAAUCUCUCGGUUCCGCAGUCUUUUUACCUCGCGACCCAAAAUCCUCAAGGAUUGCUCCUCAAAACUCAAAUUAUCCCUCAGCUCCAUAGGCGUAGCAUCCAACACGUGAGCCGGGUCGUGGAUGUACUUCCGAAUGACCGAUACAUGGAAUACGUUGUGUACACCCGAUAGGUUCAGCGGUAGAGCAAGUCUAUACGCUACCGGGCCUACCCGCUCCAAAACCUCAAAUGGUCCAAUGAAUCGGGGGCUCAACUUGGCCCGGAUUCCAAAUCGUCUAAUCCCUCGAGUCGGCGAGACUUUCAAGAAGACGUGGUCUCCGAUCUGAAACUCCAAGUCUCGUCGCCGCCUGUCAGCAUAGCUCCUCUGCCUACUCUGGGCUGUCAACAGUCGCUCCCGAGCAAUACGAACCUUGUCCUCUGCUUCCUGGAGCACAUAAGGGCCUAAAGCCAAUCUAUCGCCAACUUCACUCCAAUGAAGUGGCGAUCGACACUUCCGUCCAUAGAGUGCCUCGAACGGUGCCAUCUUGAUGCUUGCUUGAUGACUGUUGUUAUAAGCAAACUCUGCCAUCGGUAGAUUCUGCGACCAUCCUCCCUGGAAGUCAAUUACACAGGCUCGAAGCAUGUCCUCGAGAGUCUGUAUAGUACUCUCCAACUGCCCGUCACUCUGGGGGUGGAAAGCAGUGCUGAAAUCUAAGCGCGUACCCAAAGCGUCCUGUAAGCUCCUCCAAAAGUGGGAUACAAAACGGGGGUCUCGAUCCGAUACUAUAGAAGUAGGUACCCCAUGCAAUCACACAAUCUCGUCCAAAUAAACCUGUGCGAGUCUCUCACCAGUCCAAGUAGUGUGGAUAGGUAUGAAAUGUGCCGAUUUCGUCAAUCUAUCCACGAUCACCCAAAUAGCAUCAUGCCCGGUCUGUGAGCGAGGCAAUCCCAUCACGAAAUCCAUGGUGAUCUUUUCCCAUUUCCACACUGGAAUCGGUAGGCUCUGCAACUUCCCCGCAGGAACUCGGUGCUCAGCCUUCACCUGUUGGCAAGUUAAACAUCUAGCAACAAACUCGCCAACAUCCUUUUUCAUCCCGGACCACAAAUAGAGUAGUUUCAAAUCCUUGCACAUCUUGGUGCCUCCCGGAUGUAAAGCAUACGGUGCUCGGUGGGCUUCUUGCAGAAUAUCCUCUUUAAUGCCCAAGUACGCCGGUACACAAAGUCGUCUGCGGAAACGCAUCAAUCCAUCACCGUCUAAAGCGAAGUCACUGGUGCAACCAUCAACCAUCUUAGCUCGAAUCUUUUGCAACUCCGAGUCGGAAGCUUGCCUUUCUUUAAUCCUUUCCAAAAGUGUAGGUUGCACCACCAAAGUCAUCAGUCUCAAAGGUGUAUCAGGAGCCACCACCUCCAACUACAACCGCUUCAUCUGCUCGAUCAACGGCGGUUGAGUAACCACAAGCAUCGCUAAGUUCUCAGUCGAUUUCCUACUUAGCGCAUCAGCCAUCACGUUAGCCUUGCCUGGGUGGUAAAGUAUCGUCAAAUCAUAAUCCUUGAGUAGCUCCAACCACCUGCGCUGCCUCAAGUUCAACUACUUCUGAGUGAAUAGAUACUUUAAGCUUUUGUGAUCCGUAUAUACUUCGCAUCGCUCGCCGUAUAAGUAGUGGCGCCAUAGCUUCAAUAAAAAGACCACGACCGCUAACUCUAAGUCGUGAGUAGGGUAAUUCCUUUCAUAAUCCUUCAGUUGGCGAGAUGCAUACGCGAUCACCUUCCCGUUCUGCAUCAAAACACAGCCCAAUCCAUUAAAGGAAGCGUCACUAUAAAUCACAUACCCUGCUCCAGCAGUCGGCAAGGUUAGGAUCGGGGCAGUCGUCAAUCUCUGUUUCAGCUCUUGGAAGCUUCUUUCAUACGCAUCAUUCCAAAUAAAUUUGGUGCCUUUAUGCGUGAGCCUCGUGAGGGGAGUAGAUAACUUUGCAAACCCCUCCACGAACCGUCGGUAGUAGCCGGCCAAACCAAUGAAGCUCCGUAUCUCGGUCACGCUUGUCGGCAUCGGCCAAUCCUUGAUAGCUUCAAUGUUUCUCGGGUCCACGGCUAUGCCUGAUCCAGAAAUCAAAUGGCCCAAAAACGCCACCUCUCUAAGCCAAAAUUCACACUUUUUCAACUUAGCAUAGAGCUUCUUUUCCCGAAGCACUUGAAGUACAAGUCUCAAGUGUUCCUCGUGAUCCACAUCACUCCGGGAAUAGACCAAAAUGUCGUCGAUGAACACCACGACGAACCUGUCUAAAUAUGGCUUAAAAACACGGUUCAUUAAAUCCAUAAAAGCCGCCGGGGCAUUAGUAAGCCCAAACGGCAUAACAGUAAACUCAUAGUGUCCAUACCGUGUUCUGAAAGCCGUCUUCGACCCAUCCUCAGGUCUGAUCCUCAACUGGUGAUAUUCCGACUACAAGUCAAUCUUGGAAUACACAUAAGAUCCCUGGAGCUGAUCAAAUAGAUCGUCGAUCCUCGGCAAUGGAUACUUGUUCUUGAUCGUGACUUUAUUAAGUUCACGAUAAUCCACGCACAAGCGAAGUGAUCCAUCAUUCUUCUUAACAAACAAGACCGGUGCUCCCCAAGGCGACACACUCGGUCGCACAAAACCUUUGUCCAGAAGAUCCUGCAACUGUGCCUUCAACUCUCUCAAUUCAGCUGGUGCCAUCCUAGAGGGUGCCUUUGAGAUUGGAGUAGCCCUGGGAAUGAGAUCUACCACAAACUCAAUCUCCCUAUCAGGUGGCAUGCCUGGAAGCUCUGCUGGGAACACGUCUCCAAACUCCCGUACUACGGGAAUAUCCUCAAUUCUAGGGGCGUCAUCCUCACCCCGCAACACAACAGUAGCCAAGUAGGCUACGCAGCCUCUACUAAUCAACUGCCUAGCUCGAGAAGAGCUAAUCGUCAUCGCAAAAAGCGAACUCUGGCAUCCUCAGUACACAACCUCUGCCUGCCCCGGCUCUCUAAAAGUCACCAUUCGAUCCUUGCAAUCGAUAGUGGCAAAAUACUUGGUCAACCAAUCCAUGCCCAACACAACAUCAAACACCCUGAGUUUAUGCAAGGCUAGCAAGUCCACGGGCAUGAUCCAAUCUCCAACCCAAAUAGGGCAGCUGGGGCAAAACUCUCGAAUGUCCAAAGAGUGAUCGGGUACAACAACUCGUCCCGGAUGCAACAAGGAUACAAGUGGGAUGCCAUGCAACUCGGCAAACAGCCGGUCUAUAAAUGAAUGCGAUGCACCAGUAUCAAAUAAAGCUUUAACUCGAAUACCAUAAAGUAAAAUGAUACCUGCGACCAGAUUCUCGGCUGCUGCUGCCUCCUCAAUCUGGGCAGCAUACAUGCGCCCACUCGGGGCCUGUCGUGACCCCUCCGCCUGUCGCUGAACAGGUGGCCGUCCUGCCUGAUGAUGCGCAGAAGAUGUCCCCUGACUGGGACCUGGCGAUGCUGGCGCAGAUGCCGAAGAUGGCGCUCGCGCUGGACUCCUCGAACAGUCCGACUGGAAGUGGCCCUCCUGGCUACACAAAAAGCACCUGCCCCGGCUGCGGGAACACUGUCGUGGGUAAUGGGGACCACCACAGAUCACGCAGCGGGGAGCCUAACGACGAUCAGGUCCUCCUCGCUGAGUAGACUGGCCACGUCCUCUCGGUGGCCUCCGUGAGUUCGCUUGGCUCGCACCCUCAGCCGCGGGCCUCUUUUCUUUGCCCUUGUCUAGGGCCUCGCGUCGCUCCUGAAGGUCUGCCGCUCCAGCCUCCACAAUAAGUGCACGGUCCACAACUUCUCGGUAUGUUUGGAGGUUAGAGGACUGCACCAACCGAAAGAUCGAAGGUCGCAAUCCACGCUCAAAAAUGCGGGCCUUGUCCUCGUCAUCCCGCACCACAAAAGGCACACAAUGGAGUAGUCGAGAAAACUCCCUCUCGUACUCGGCCACAGACCGCUCAUCCUGGCACAAGUUGCGCAAGUCCUUCUCCAUCUUCCUCUUGACGUCGGUCGGGAAGUAAUGCGCCAGAAGAAGCUCCUUGAAUCGCGUCCAAGUGAUUGCUGCCAAGUCGGUAUUGGGGUUGUCCUGGAUAUCCAACCAUCAACGGUAGGCCUUGCCGUCCAGAAAGUGAGUGGCGAGCCAAACUCUGUCCCGCUCCUCCACAACGGUAUCUCGAAAUAGCUUUUCCAUAUGCAUCAGCCACUUCUCAACAAUCCAGUGGUCGGCGUUCUCGCCAUCAAACGUCCUCGGGCUGCACCUCCUGAACUCACUGAGGCGCUCCAUGAGCCGAUCCCGCUCGGCUUCCUCGGCCAUCACGGGGAAUGCCGCCCCUGUCGCCGGUCUCUGGAUUGGUAGUGCCGCAACCACCUCCUCCCGAGGUGCAGUCGCCGGUGCCGCACGUGAAGAACUGGGCGCGGGGGACUGCGCCCUCGGUGCGACGUCCACCACGGGUGCUGGCGGUGUGGGACCCUGGGUCUCCCUCGAAGCUGCUGCCUGCUGAAGUAGGAGGUCCUCAAGAUGCUUCAUCCGCGCCUCCUGCCGCUGAGCCACCUCAGCCUAUCGCUGCGCCGCUACCGUCUGCUUCGCCAACAGAUCAGUGAGAACCGCAAGCUGGGCCCUCAAGUCACGGACCUCACUAGAUCCGGAAGUAGUGGAGGUCUCGACCUCCUCGGGAUGUGCCGCAUUAUCUGCUCCGGCAGACUGGGAGCGUGUAACCGGCAUCGACACUACAAAACAUAAAUGCGCAAGUUAGCAACCCACGCUAUCGCAUCCCCGCUCAAGAAGAUAAAACCCGAAAUCAUGCGAAAGUAAGGAAGUGUCCUUCACUACUAACUCUCGAUGUUACGUUGUCGGCCGCCAACGUAACCCUCCGCGAAGUUAGAAGCCAUACACUCCGAUCAAACUCUAACUUUUUAGAGUUAUCACAAAACCCAAUCAUAAUACUUUCGCUCACAAGUCAAUUAGACCACGUCUCUCACGAGCCUAAUUCCUAUAGUCCAACCGGCCUAAGGUUUGCUAGAUCCCCUAAGACUCAACCCUAGUCUCUGAUACCAAAUUAAUCUGUCACGCCCCGGGACCGGCGGAGGCCCUCCCGGUAGCGUGCCCAGACCCGCCAUAUGUCUACACAUAUAAGGCGUCUACGAUAAAAGCGGAAGUAAAGCAAGAGAUAGAGUAAAUAGAAUGAGUAGUAACUAAUGAUAUCAGAGCCAGUAAAGUUCUAUCAUCUAGACCAGAGUAAAAGAAACAUAUCUAAACAAUAAAAGCAACCAUAAGUAGUACACUAUCUAUCUCAAAAGUACAAAAAUGGUGGUCUCUAGUACACUGGUAAGACUCUCAACCUCCCAUAAAAUAAAGCAACGAGAGGUGGACCACCUAUCGAGUCGUCCUCGAAGGAAGCUAGCUCGAAGCAACUCCCUUCCCGCGAUCCCUAGCCUCUCCCGGCGUGGAAGGCUCUGAAAGAAAAUAUAAAACAGAGGGCGUGAGAACUAUAAUUUUAUAGUUCCCAGUGGGCAAUUACUGACCUCAGCUCAAUGCACCACUAGGCCCAAAAGAAAAGGGUAAGUAACGACAAUAAUAAUAAGCAAUAAUAAGCUAGUACAAGAACUACUGAAAGAAAGCAUAUAUGAAAUGCUAUAUUACUAUAUCUCAAAUAAGCAUGAUGUCGUGGUGAUGUACAUCUACGCUAUCAUAAGAAUAAUAUAUCCAAUGCAUACUAAUGUGCCUCAACAUAAUUAAACAAGUAAACCUCACGAUGCAAUAUGUCAAUGCAUAAGGAGCAAGCUCUAGCGAAGUAACCCAGUAUACUAUGAUGCAACGAAUGAAACAGGCAAGUAUACUAUGUAUCCCAAUGCUAUGUCAUGAGCUCGUCAAGUAAUCCAACUACUAAGCCUAUCUAGUAGUGAUCAUUCAUUCUCAACUCUGUGUCGAUUUUCAUUUUCAAUUAAGGACCUACCAAAGAUAGUCCAGCAUGUGCCGCCUAAGUGCCUGUGGUAGCCCAACAUCCCUACUCUUGGAAUGUGUCUGUCCCACUCGACCCCGUAGGCUUCUCAAUGCCGCACGAGCGAACAUAAAUCGCGUAGGCUGACUCCGUAGUGCCGGCUUGUAGGGAGCGACCUUCACAAGUAUGUGCGAAUGAGCACAAAUGGCAAGCAAGCAUAGUCCAAGUCUCAAGUAUCCAAUCCUCAUGUCUCUAACAUGGUAUCGUCACUAGCAUCCCGAAGAUCUAGUUUAAGUCACAAAGCGAAGUUCCAAACACUCACUACGCCUAGUGCCUCUUGAUGACACUUAGGCAAUUUGAUGUUCAACAUUAGCCAAGUCCCGCAAUGGCUCUAACCACCAGGUUCACACAUGUCCCGAGCUCGAUGCCGCUUGAUGACAUUAGCUCUCUAAUUCGCACACAUUCUAGUUCAAUACCUCUAUAUGGCAAUCUUGUCAUCUUUCAUGUCAUAAUUAAAUCAAAGUUUAAAUGCAUGAAUCAAGGCUCAUUUACGCUAUGGAAGUAUGGGACCAAGUUUCGUAUAAAAUGCCAAAUGCAAACCAAAGCUCUCUCAAGCAACUCUCUACUACAUAGAGGUCCAAAAUUUUACUAUAUGCAAUAUAGGCAUUUUAAGCAUUCAUAUUUCACAAUAAAUACGUAUAACAAGAAUAUGCAUGCUUUUUCAAUUAACGAUACUUAAUUUAUCACAAAUGAGAAUUUCUCAUUGUGUGGCUAGGUCAAACCCACCGAACCGUCGCGUNAUGGCAAUCUUGUCAUCUUUCAUGUCAUAAUUAAAUCAAAGUUUAAAUGCAUGAAUCAAGGCUCAUUUACGCUAUGGAAGUAUGGGACCAAGUUUCGUAUAGAAUGCCAAAUGCAAACCAAAGCUCUCUCAAGCAACUCUCUACUACAUAGAGGUCCAAAAUUUUACUAUAUGCAAUAUAGGCAUUUUAAGCAUUCUAAAUUUCACAAUAAAUACGUAUAGCAAAAAUAUGCAUGCUUUUUCAAUUAACGAUACUUAAUUCAUCACAAAUGAGAUUUUCUCAUUGUGUGGCUAGGUCAAACCCACCGAACCGUCGCGUAGUGCCUCGUUUCGCCGAACGAAGUUGUCCACGAGUCUUAAAAUACCCUAAAAGUAUUGAGCGAAGAGAUACGCGGGCAUUACGAUCAACUAUAAGAUCAAAUAUUAACCAAUAAGACAAAAGAGCUAAAACUCACCUCAAGAGAAGAAAUCUCUUCCAAAGCUCUAAAAGAUAGCUAGAACCCUUCCAAUCCAAGCCCAAGGAAGGUUCUAAACCAACUAAUUUAGCCCCAAAAGCCCUAGAUCAAAAAUGCCCAAAACAAACCCUAAGUCUCCAUUCUAGGGUUCCAAAGGUAAAACUUACCAAAUCAAGGAUCAAAGGGUAGAAUCCGAGUACUAACCUCCCAAGGUGCCUCCAAACUAGCUCCAAAUCUUCUAGGGUUGAAGAUUGGUCCACCACCAAGCUCUACAAGCAAGCUCCAAGCCUUGCAAGGGUGGAAUGGUGAGGAAGGGGUUGAGCUCCAAGCUCCCUCAAGCAAGCUCCUCUUCUUCUUCUCCUCAUUCUUCUCUCUCUAGCAAAGGUGUGGAGGGAGUGUGGGGAGAGAAAUGAGGAUGAGAGAGGAUGGGAGGGCUAUUUAGGCCAUCCAAAGUAACAAAAUCCCAGGAGGUCCCCCAAAAAACCAAAAUUACAACAGCCCGGUCUAGGCAAUUUUCGCCCAGAGGGACCGGUCUCUCCUCAGCAGGGAUCGGUCUCUCGCUGCGAACCCGAAAAACCAUCGUUCGGGAACCGGUCUCUCCCCGCGCGGGACCGGUCUCUCAUGCGAAGACGCGCUCGGGGACCGGUCUCGCCUGCCAGGGACCGGUUGCCUCAGGGCUGCCACAACACUGCUCACUGGGGGACCAGUCUCUCCUUCCAAGGACCGGUCCCUGAGAGUAAAAACUCUCAGGACUUGUCCAGAAUUCCAGUUUUCGAACUUCUUAGGUCGGAAAACAUUCUACGACCCCCCACCAAGUGUGGAAAAGCUCGAAACACAUCCAAUCACUCAAACCUCGCAAUUCGCAACGGCCCAGUGUGUUACAUCUCAAGUAGGAAUAGCUUUAAAUGCAUAAAGGUAGUGCUCAUUUUCACAAUAGGAAUUAUGAUUCCAAGUCUCAAUAGGAUGCCAAUCAUGUAUAAGUUCCACAUGCUAGUUCUCUACUACAUAGAGGUCCGAAAAUUCAUCACACAUAACAUAAGCAUGUUAAGCAUCCCGAAAUUCACAAUAAUUACAUUUAUCAUGGAAAUGCAUGAAUUUUUACUCUACUAAGCAUAGAACAUAGGAUAUGAGAAUUUCUCAUAUGCUAGGCUAGGUCAAACCCACUAAACCGUCUCGAAAUCCUUCGUAAGCUCAAACGAAGUUGUCCACAAGUCUUCUAGCACCCUAGAAGCAUCAAAAAGUGAGCUACAAGAAGUAAACGAACAACUACUAGCUCAAUCAUUAACCUACCAAGCAAAAGGGCCAAAAUCUCACCUAUAGAGUAAAAUCUCUUCUCAAGCUUCAAAAGAAAGCUAGAACCCUUCCAAUGAAGUCUAGUGAAAGGUUAUAAUCCAAGAGAUUGAGCUCCAAAAGCCCUAAGUCAAAAAGCCCCAAAAUCAACCCUAAAAUCCAAAUCUAGGAUUUCAUCUCCCAAAAUCUACGAAAAAUAGGUCUAGAGGGGAGAAAUAAGCAACUAACCUCAAGAGGAGAUCUAAACCAAGCUCAAAAUGCUUAAGGGUUGAAGAUUAAUCUACCACAAGGCUCCAAAUCUAAGCUCCAAACCUCCAAAAGUGAGAAAUGAGAAAGAGGAAGAUGCUCCAAAGCUCUCUCAAGCUUGCUCUCCAAUUUCUCCUUCUUCUUCUCCUUCUUCUUCUCUCUCUAACAAGGGUGUGGGGAGGGUUGAGAGACUAGAAAUGAGGAAGGGAAAGGGUGGAAUGGCUAUUUAGGCCAUCUAAAAUAACAAAAUCCAAAGAAGCCCCUCAAAUUCCCAAUAUUGCAUCAGCCCGGACUAGGCAGCUUUCGGACUGAGGGACCGGUCUCCCCGACUUGGGACCGGUCUCUCGGUCUGCCCCCCAAAAUCCAACGCUCGGGAACCGGUCUCUCCCUGCGUGGGACCGGUCUCUUCCCGCGGAGAAGCGCUUGGGGACCGGUCUCAUACGCGAGGGACCGGUUGCAUCAAGGCUGCCGCAAUACUGUUCCGGGGGGGGGACCGGUCUCUCAUAGCCAGGGACCGGUCCCCGAGAGUCAAACUCUCAGGACUAAUCCAUAACUCAGCUUUUCGAACUUUUUAGGUCGGAAAACAUUCUACGACCCUCCACCAAGCGUGGAAAAGUUCAGAACACAUCCAAUCACUCGAACCUCGCAAUUUGCACAGGUCCAGUGUGCUACACACUGUUCGAUUGUUGCAAUCGAUAGUGGCGUAGUAUUUGGUCAACCAAUCCAUGCCCAAAACAACAUCAAACUCUCCGAGUUUAUGCAAAGCUAGCAAGUCCACGGGCAUGACCCAAUCUCCAACCUGAACAGGGCAACUAGGGUAAAACUCUCGAAUAUCCAAAAAGUGAUCGGGUACCACAACUCGUCCCGGAUGCAACAAAGAUGUCAGUGGGAUGCCAUGCAACUCGGCAAACAGCCAGUCUAUGAAUGAAUGCGAUACACCGGUAUCAACUAAUGCUCGUACUCGAAUACCAUAAAAUAAAAUGAUACCUGCGACCACAUUCUCGACUGCUGCCUCCUCCUCAAUCUGGGCCGCGUACAUGCGCUCGCUCGGGGGCUGCCGUGACCCCUCCAACUGCCACUGCACCAGUGGCCGCCCGGCCUGCUGGUAUACAGAAGGUGUCCCAUGGCUGGGACCCGGUGAAGCUGGUGUAGAUGCCGAAGAUGGCGCUGGUGCUAAACCCCUCGGACAGUCCGACUAGAAGUGACCCUCCUGGCCGCACAGGUAGCACCUACCUCGACUGCGGGAACACUGCAGUGGGUAGCGAGGACCACCACAGAUCACAUAGCGUGGUGCCUGGCAACGAUCCGGUGCUCCUCGCUGCGUAGACGAGCCACGUCCUCGCGACUGGCUCCGGCUCCUAGGAUGCCUCGGUGGCCUCCGUGAGUGCGUCUGGCUCGCACCCUCAGCCGCAGGCCUCUUGCCUUUCCCCUUCUCCAAGCCCUCGCGACGCUCCUGAAGGUCUGCCGCUCCAGCCUCCACGAUGAGUGCACGGUUCACAACCUCCUGGUAGGUUUCGAGGUUAGAGAACUGCACCAACCGAAAGAUCGAAGGCCGCAAUCCACGCUCAAAAAUGCUGGCCUUGUCCUCGUCAUCCCGUACUACGAAGGGUGCAUAGUGAAGUAGCCGAGAAAACUCUCUCUCGUACUCGGCCACGGUCCGCUCCUCCUGGGGCAAACUGCGCAAAUCCUGCUCCAUCUUCCUCUUAACGCUAGUAGGGAAGUAGUAUGCAAGUAGGAGCUCCUUGAACCUCUUCCAGGUGAUCGCGGUCAAGUCGGUGCUUCGGUUCUCCUGAAUAUCCAACCACCAAUGGUAGGCCUCGCCGUCCAAAAAGUGUGUGGCGAGCCAAACUCUGUCCCUCUCUUCCACGAAAGUGUCGCGAAAAAGUUUCUCCAUAUGCAGUAACCACUUCUCUACUAUCCAAUGGUCGACUUUUUCUCCAUCGAAGAUCCUGGGGUUACACCUCCUGAACUCGUUGAGGCAAUCCAUGAGCCGAUCCCGCUCGGCUCCCUCGGCCAUCACAGGGAAAGCUGCCCUCGCCGCAGGUAUCAGGACCGGUGGUACUGCAACCACCUCCUCCCGUGGUGCGGUCGCCGGUGCCGCACGCGAAGAACUGGGCGCGGGUGUAACACACUGGACCUGUGCAAAUUGCGAGGUUCGAGUGUUUGAUCUCUGUGUCGAGCUUUUUCAGACUUUCUGGAGGGUCGUAGACAGUGUUCCGACCUAUGGCUCGCAUGGCGAGAAUUGUGGGUUUAAACUUGUACCAAAAUCCCAAAAGGUUGGAUUGUUGGUGUGCUCUCGGGUUAGCCUCAGCUAGGCUGUGUACCGGUACGCCUUGAUGGUUGUACUGGUACAUAAGGGAUUUUCUGCCAACCCGAGGCUCGGGUUGGGCAGUUUCGCAGGAGGUGUACCGGUACAAUUUCCCGUGUACCGGUACACAAUGCAGAUUUUUGGCUGUUUCGUUGAGGGGUGUGUUUUCAAUUGUUGCAACUUCUAUUUAAGCACACCCCAACCCCUUGGGGGCUGUUUUGAGCCCUAGAACAGUGGAGAGCAAGGUAAGAGGAGUUCCCUUUGUUUUCUUCUCCAUUUUUGAUGGAUUUUUGGUGGGUUUUGAUCUAUUUCCUUCUCUCUUUCUUACUUUUUGUAGGUUUUCCACCAUUGGAGAAGCUUGAGAUCUUGGUUGGAGCUUAUUUGGAGAUCAACCUUCAACCCUAGAGAACUUGGAGCUUGGUUUUGAGCAUUUUGUGAGGUUAGUAAACCUAAUCUCCCAUUUGGAUUAAGUUUUGAAGGUUUCUUUUGAAUGAAACCCUAGAUUUCGGAUUCUAGGGCUAGAAUUGGAGAUUCUUGAUUUGUAGCUUCUAGAACCAAAUUGAUUGGUUUAGAACUUUAAUUUAGGUUGGUUUUGAAGGAAUCUAACUCCCUUUUGGAGUUCGUGGGGGAUUCCUUAGCGUUCGGUGAGUUUUCUCCAACCUAGCUAGAGAAGCUUAAUAUUUGAGCUUAGCUUUGUUCGUGAGCCUUGUUUGACACUUGUUUCUACAUCCUUAGGGUACUAGGAGGCUAGUGGACACCUUCGUUCGGCGAAACGAGGAGUUCGACAAAUCGGUGGGUUUGACUUCAUAGAAAUGGGGCGAAAUGGCCUCUAUGCAUUCUAAACUCUUCGUAAAGUAUUUUUAAAUGCAUUUCUAUACUAAUUGGAAUGUAUGUGAAUUUUAGAACACCUAAAAUGCAUGCCUUAUGUGUAAGUUAAAUUUCACUCUAUAUAGUAGAGCAAUCAAGGUUAUUGUCAUGCAUGUGGGGUGGGUUCAUGUGGACGAAUGGGAUUCUCGUCUAGUAUGCUAAUUUAGCUCAUGUUCAUGUAUGGGAAACAUUGUACUAUAUUUGGACUUAUUAGCAAAAAGUGUCAUCAAGAGGCACUUGAAACUAGUAAACUAUGAACUGCAACUUAGAGACAUGAUGAUAGGCUAUUGUACAUCUGCUAUAUUCCAUGUUAGAGACAUGAUGACAUAGAGAUAGGCCAUUGAGAUACUUGAUAUAUUCCAUGUUUUUAGACAUGAGGACUUGGUACUUGAGACAGAUCAUUGCUUGCUUGCCAUUGUGCUCAUUCGCACAUGCUUGUGAGGGUCGCUCCCUACAAGCCGGCACUCCGGAGAUAGCCAUCGCGACACAUGCUCGCCCGUGCGAGAUUGGGCGCCGAAGUGGAUUGCCGUGGGGGAGGCUCAUCCCUAGAGUGGGGAUGUUGACUACCACGGGGCCAUUAGGCACGGCGCAGGCCAGACAGCCUUCGGGUGGGUCUUAUAUGAUUGGGACUUAGUGACAGAACAUGCUAUGUGAACUUUAAAACUAUUAAAGUGGACUUGGACUAGAAUAGUAAACAAUGACAUCUUUACUAUUUUUGCAUUGAGGACAUCGGAUUGGUUGCAUUUCUAUGCUUAUGCAUGUCAUACACAUCCAUGUACAUUCAUGAUAUCGUUGCUUUAUUACUUAUGCAAAUCAUGCUAAGUAGAGACUCUAUGUUAUAGUAAGUUACAUUUUACUUACCUUUCGCUUUACUACAUUGUUAGUCACUGACCUCUUUUCGUAGCUUUUGGGCCUUGUGGCGCAGUUCACUGAAGUCAGUAAUUGCCCACUGGGAACUAUUUUUAAUAGUUCUCACGCCCCUGUUUUCUGGUUUUCUUUUCAGAGCCUUCGGCACCGGCGGAGGCACGGGAUCGCGGCAAGGGGAUCGCAUAGCUAGCUAGCGAGGAGCGGUUCUUUGCCUAGGUGGUUUACUCUUUUUUUUUGUAGCUGAGAGAGAGAGAGAUUUUGUAUCCAUGUAUAGAGACCACCUAUGUAUCUACUUUAGCACUCGUAUUUGGGAUUUCCUUGUAUUACUUUAUGCUUUUAUUAAUGGAUUCCAGCUUUAUGCUCCUUUCUCUAUUGUAGAACUUAGUAUUAUAUCAUGCUCUCAUACUCCUAGUUGUCUUUUAUUGUCGCUUUAUUUAUUAUUGCUUUUAGACGCCUUAUAUGUUUUAGACGUAUGGCGGGUCUGGGCACGCGCCGGGCGGGCUUCCGCUGGGUCCCGGGACGUGACAGCGGGGAAUUGCACCCUCGGCGCGACGUCCACUACAGGUGCUUGCGGUGUGGGGACCUGAGUCUCCCUAGAAGCUGCUGUCUGCUGUAGCAAGAGAUCCUCCAAGUGCUUCAUCCGCGCCUUCUGCUGCUGUGCCACCUCGGCCUGUCGCUGCGCCGCCGCCGCCUGCUGCGCUACAAGAUAAGUGAGGACCGCAAGCUGGGACCACAAGUCGCGGACCUCGCUAGAUCCGAAAGUCGCGGAGGUUUUGACCUCCUCGAGGUGUGUCGCAUCGUCCGCUCCGGUAGAUUAGGAACAUGUAACCGGCAUCGUCACUACAAAAUAUAAAAGCGCAAGUUAGUAACCCGCACUAUCGGAUCCCCGCUCAAAAUAACCAAACCCCAAAUCUUGCGAAAGUAGGGAAGUGUCCUUCACUACUAACUCCCAAUGUUACGUUGUCGGCCGCCAACGUAACCCUCCGCGAAGUUAGAAGCCAUACACUGCGAUUAAACUCUAACUUUUUAGAGUUAUCAUAAGACCCAAUCGUAAUACUUUCGCUCACAAGUCGAAUGGACCUCGUCUCUCACGUGCCUAUAUCCUAUAGUCCAACCGACCUAAGGUUUGCUAGGUCCUCUAAGACUCAACCCUAGGCUCUGAUACCAAAUUAAUCUGUCACGCCCCGGGAACCGGCCUAGGCCCGCCUGGCGCUUGUCCAGACCCGCCAUAUACCUACGCAUAUAAGGCGUCUACAACAAAAGAGAUGCGAAAGCAAGAAGAAACAAGUAUCUAGAGAUAUCAGAGCUGCUAACAACUAAAACUAGCAACAAGUAGAGAAGAAGUAAAGUAGUCCACUAAGCAUAAGCAUAAAAAGGUACAAUAAGAAUCACAAGAAAAUCCACAGUGGGCUGGUCUCUAUACACAGGUAACUCUCCAAAACCUUUCCAAAAUAAAACAUCGAGAGGUAGACCACCUAUCAACGCGUCAUCGAUAGCAAGCAAGCUCCAGGCGAUACCCUUUCCGCGGUGCCUAGCCUUGCCCGGAGUGGAAGGCUCUGAAAUAAAACAUAAAACAAAUGGGCGUGAGAACUAUAAUUUAUAGUUCCCAGUGGGCAAUUACUGAUCUCAGCUCAAUGUACCACUAGGCCCCAAAAGAAAAGGAUAAGUACGAUAAGCAACAAUAGUAGUAAUAGACAAUAAUAAACUGCAGAAUUGAAAGCAUGAGUAAAAUACUAUGCCAUAAGUAAACGUGAUGUAUGUCAAUGCUAUCAUGUUUGAAUAAGCCAAUGUCGGGUGAAUACGCUCAUCAACUGCCAAGUAUACUAAGAUGCGAUGAGUAAUUCUAUCAAGUAUACAACAUGUCCCAAUAUCUCAAAGCCACACUAUGAGUAUGUCCAAUAAUCCAACUACUAUGAUCUAUUUAGCAGUGAUUCCAUUUUAAGAGGUCAUGUCCGAGUUCAAUCUUGUUUUGGGACCUACACGAGUGUAGUCCGGCUUGCGCCGCCUAAGUGUCGGUGGUAGCUCCAGCAUUUCGACUCUGGAAAUGAGUCUAUCCCUCCCGACCCCGUAGACUUCUCGAUACCGCACGAGGGAUCAUAAGUCGCAUAGGCCAACUCCGGAGUGCCGGCUUGUGGGGAGCGACCCUCACAAGCAUGUGCGAAUGAGCACAAAUGGCAACAAGCAUAAUCAUCGUCUCAAGUACCCAAUCAUCAUGUCUCUAACAUGAUAAAAGUUACUAGUAACCCGAAAGUCUAGUUCUAUGUCUCAAUAUGAGGUUUAAUCGUUCAAUAAUUUCUAUGUCAAUGACCAUAGCUUUACUACGUCAAAUCCAAGUCCAAUGCCCCUUUUAUGAUAUUAGCUUACUAAAUCAUGUAUCAUGUACAUCUAUGUUCUUUGAUGGCAUUACAUUAUGCUAUGUCCAAAUUUUGUCCCAACACUAGUGCCGCUUUAUGACACUAGGUUUCACUUGUCCCAACUACAUUACAAGCCCAAUGCCCCUUUAUAACAUUGGCUCAAUAGCAAGCUAAUAGUGUACGUUUCAAACCUCUUCAUGGCAUUAUGUAUGGUCCUAUGUCCCACAUGAGAGUUAUGUCUAAAGGCACAUUAUCCUUCUCAUUCUCACUACAUAAAACAUACCCUUGAGUCAUAUCUAGAAUGCUAAGCACAUGCAUAAGUCUCACAUGCCACUCUCUACUACAUAGAGGUCCAAAAAUGUAUUAUAUAUAAUAUAGACAUUUUAAGCAUUCUAAUAUUCACAAUAAAUACAUUUAUCAUGGAAAUGCAUGAAUUUCUACUUUACGAAGCAUGUAACGUCGGGUAUGAGAAUUUCUUAUAUGCUAGGCUAGGUCAAACCCACCGAACUUCGCGCAACCCUUCGUUUGCUCCAACGAAGAUGUCCACUAAUCUCCUAGCAUCCUAAGAGCAUCAAAAAAUGAGCUACAAGAAGUAAACGAACAACUACUAGCUCAAACAUUAACCUACCAAGCAAAAGAGCCUAAAUCUCACCUAUAGUAUAGAAAUCCCUUCCCAAAGCUCAAAUGGAAGCUAGAUCCCUUCCAAAGCAACUUAAACCAAGGUUCUAAUCCAAUUAAAUUAGCUUAAAAAGCCCUAAAUCAAAAGGCCUCAAAUAAACCCUAGAUUUUCCACUCUAGGGUUUCAUCUCCCAAAAUCCACCAAAACUAAGUUUAGAGGGGAGGAACAAGCAACAAACCUCUUAGAAGUUCCAAUCCAAGCUCCAAGAGUGAAAAGCUCCUCUUUAGCAAGCUCCAAGUCCAAGCCUUCAAGCACCAAAAGGAAGAAGAGAGGGAGAGGAAGAUGCUCCAAGUCCUCUAGCUAGAUCCUCCUCCUCUUCUUCUCCUUCUUCUUCUUCUCUUCCUUCUUCUCCUUCUCCUCCUUCUCUAACUACGGUGUUGGGGAGGUGAGAGAAAGAGAAAUGAGGAAGGGAGAGGGUGAAAUGGCCAUAUAGGCCAUCUAAUGUAAUAAAAUCCAAAGAAGCCCCUCAAUUUCCCAAUAUUGCAUCAGCCCGGACUGGGCAGUUUUCGGACUGAGGGACCGUUCUCCCUGACCUGGGACCGGUCUCUCGGCCUGCCCCGAAAAUCCAACGUUCGGGGACCGGUCUCUCCCCGCGUGGACGCGCUCGGGGAUCGGUCUCAUCCGCCAGGGACCGGUUGCCUCAAGGCUGCCGCAAUACUGUUCCGGCGGGACCGGUCUCUCCCAGCCAGGGACUGGUCCCCGAGAGUAAAAACUCUCAGGACUCAUCCAGGACUCAGAUUUUUGAACUUUUUAGGUCGGAAAAACAUUCUACGACCCUCCACCAAGUGUGGAAAAGCUCGGAACACAUCCAACCACUCGAACCUCGCAAUUUGCACAGGUCCAAUGUGCUACAUUUAUUUUCUGGAAGUUUCAAAUACUCUAGAUCAUAUUUAAUGGAGAGGAUCGUUGAUUCGGAUGGUCCAUCAUUGAAAACUUAUGAGUACGAGGACUCCAAUACUCAUAAUAGUAUAGUAGCCACUGCCUAUAUAUAUAUAUAUAUAUAUAUAUAUAUAUUAGAGAUAGAAUUAGGCUGAAAUACUAUUAAUAGUAAAAACGCCUUCUUUUCGGGCUAUCAAGUUUUUUAAACCCUUGGAUUGAAAAAUUGUAGGGUCAGGGAUGUAUUAGUCGCUCAGUUAGAGUUGAGUGUGCCCCUAUGGUUGAUUUGGUGUUCCCCAAUGGGUGUAUAGUAAAAAAAUAAAAAAAAAAAAAAAAAUAAUUUUAAAAAAAAAAAAAUAAAAAAAAACUAUGAUCCAAUGUAGAAUCAAGUGAAAAGAGUGAUCCAAAGGCCUAAAAACUUGGUAGCAACAUUGGGAUUUUGCUACUAAUUCGUAGCCAGUCCAACUCUAUAUAUAUUUAUUAUAUAGAGAGAGAGAAGAGUUGAGCUAGAAUACUAUCGGUAGUAAACGAGGCCUUACUACCGAUUUAUUUUCGUGAAUAGACUUUCAAAUUGACGAUCGGAUCGUUGAACAUGAUCUAUACCACUUGAAGGUUUAGAAAUCAAAUUUCAAAUCUUUUUGACAUCAUUUGUCCUAAUGAUCAAAGGGUUUCAAAAUUUGUAAUUUUAAUGGUCGAUAAGAGGCGUUUUUCUCGUUUAACGGCAUAAGAUAUCCAAAUCAAUUGAAUUUUGUUUUUAGAAAAUUCUUUAACUAUUUAAACAAGAUCUAUACUUCUUGAACCUUGAUUACAAGACCUAUCAUCAUUUUUUAAAGAGUAUUCAUUUUUCAGCUAUUCAUUUUUUGCUUAACUUGAUGGAAUAAAGAACAAUAUCGAAAGUGCGGUGAAAUUUGAAUUUCUAGGUAGUUUAAAUGGUUUAGAUCAUAUUUAACGGAGCCAAUCGUCAAUUUGAAGCUCUCUCAUCGGAAAACAAAUCGGCAGUAAAACGGCUCGUUUGCUACCAAUAGUAUUCUAGCUCAACUCUCUCUCUCUCUCUCUCUCUCUCUCUGUCUCUUCUCUCUCUCUCAUAUAAUAUAUAUAUAUAUAUAUAUAUAUAUAUAUAUAUAUAUAUAUAUAGUUGAGCUGGAAUACUAUCGGUAACAAACGGGCUCCAUUGCCACCCAUUUGUUUUCGAUGAUGGAGCCUUCAAAUCGACGAUCGGCACCGUUGAACAUGAUCUAUAUCACUUGAAGUAUCUAGAAAUCAAAUUUCAAAUCUUUUUGACAUCAUUAACCUAAUGAUCAAAGGGUUUCAAAAUUUGUAAUUUUAAGGGUCGAUAUGAGGCAUUUUCUUAUUUAAUGGUGUAAAGCUAUCCAAAUCAAUUGAAUUUUGGUUAGAAAAUUCUUUAAACUAUUUAAAACAAGAUCUAUACUCUUGAUCUUGAUUACAAAAUUUCUAUCAUUACUUUUUAGAGGAUAUUCAUUUUCAGCCGUUCAUUUUUACGUCCACUUGAUGAAUAAGAGAACAAUAUCGAAAAAGUAUGAAAUUUGAUUUCUAGAUACUUCAAGCGGUAUAGAUCAUGUUCAACGGUGUCGAUCGUCGAUUUGGAGGCUCCAUCAUUGAAACCAAAUCGGUGGCAACGUAGCCCGUUUGCUACCGAUAGUAUUCUAGCUCAACUCUAUAUAUAUAUAGAGAGAGAGAGAGAAAGAGAGAGAGAGAGAGAGAGAGUUGGACUGGACGACUAUUAGUAGCAAAAUCCCAUUGUUGCUACCAAUUUUUUAGCCUUUGGAUCAAUUCUUUUCAUUAUUUCUAACCAUUGGAUUAAAUACUAUAACCCAGUGGGGACCACUCAACCCUCGGGGGACCACUCAACUCUAACCGACUAAUAUCAUCCUGACCCUACAAUUUUUCAUCUAAUGGUUAAAAACUUGAUAGCAAAAAUAGCGUUUUACUAUUAAUAGUAUUUCAGCCUAAUUCUAUAUAUAUAUAUAUAUAAAACCUAGAGUAAAAGAAAAAUUAAAGUAAUAUUUUUUAAAAAAAACCUUAUUAUUCCACGUUCCCCCACUUCACUGAAAUUCUGGCUCCGCGCCCCAAUAAACACCAUGGUAACUACAAAGCCACGAACAAAUCCGUAGCUUCUUUCCUUUGUUAUUCCACAAUCCACAUGAAUCAAAAAUUAUUUUCUGUAAUAGUAUAGAAACAUAAAACAAAGUUGGCGAUAUAAUCAGCGCAGCGUAAACAUUUCUUGAUCUUGAUCUGUAAGUAAGGGUGUAAACGAGCCGAACACGAGUGAGCUAGGGUCGGCUCGUGUUCAGNAGCUCGUUUAAUGAACGGGCCGAACAAAAGCUGGCUCAUUUGUGACACCCCAAUAAUCCCACAUCGGAUGGGAAUGAGCCAAAAAAUUCAACUCGUGUUCGGCUCGUUAAUAAACGAGCCGAACAUGAGUUGGCUCACGAACUGGCCAACGAACAAUAAGUUAAAAGGAUUAGAUUGAAUAUAUAUAAAAAAUAAAUUGAUAAAAUCUUAUCUUUUAGACUUUGAUCUAAUAAUUGAAAAUUUAUAUAUAAAUAUUUUUUUUUAUAAUUGAGCUCGCCUUUAUAUUUUUAUUUUGCUAAAAAUUAAAUAAUAAACAUAUAUAUUAUAUAUAUAAUUAUUUAUUUAUAUAUAUAAAUAUAAAUUAAAUAAAUUAUAUAAAAAAAAAAUAUAUGUAUUCGAGCUGUUAUCGAGCUGAACAUGAGCGAGCUGACCCCAGCUUGUGUUCAGCUCGUUUACUAAACGAGCGAAUCGAUCUCGAGCUUAUUUCGAGCCGAACAUGAGCUGACUCGCGAACAGCGAGCUAGAUUGCCACCCCAAUCUGUAAGUAGCCAAAGAUAUCAUCAUCCCUGAAAAAAGAAUAGGAAUGAGAAAAAUCUAAAGAACACGGGAAGGAUUUCUCAACUGGAUCAAUUGAAUCAACAAACUGCCCAUCUGUACAAUUUCACCUCUUAUAGAUGGUUCUUCUCCCUGUACAUUUACGUAAUCCGAUGAUAGGCUAGGAAUUAACCCAUGCAUCUCCAAACUAGAAACCUCCAUUCCUUUAAUACUUUAAUCAAAUUCCCCCUUCUCAAAUUCUAUUUAUGAAGCUAAUCAAAUUUCAGUUUAGCUUGUUUGGGACUUCCGCAGAAUUACCUAAAUAAUACUUUAAUCAAACAAUAUCACCUCCUUUUGGACUACAGGAAGCACCAGUUGCCUGCUUUCCCCUGCUCAAAAGCCUCUUUAACGACCUCAACCUCGCCAUAGAUGGGGACUUUAUCUCCUCUGGAGGCGAGAUUGGUGCUGGCAAUCCUGGAAAACAUCGGCGUGGAAUCUCUAUCAUGAGCACCCCUUCUUCCUUUCUCGUAGAAGAAGAAGAAGAAGAAGAAGAAGAAGAAGAAGAGCCCGACGAACUCGACGCACCUUCUUGUGCACUAACCCCACCCUGAAUCCCCCAGAAGAGCACAUUUGUAGGCAAAGCCGGCGACUCCCUCGAAGACCCAUUUCCACUAACGUCUUGUGGACGCCGAAUUCCUGCUGAUCCGGCAGCGGGAUCAGGUUGGGCGGUGACUAGUGUGCGACAAAGGGGACAUGUAGAGUGGGAGUGGAACCACAUGUCGAUGCACUCGACAUGAAACCUGUGGUCGCAAUCAGGAAGUAGACGAAUCCGCUCACCCUCCGAGACCUCGGAGAGGCACACGGCGCACUCCAGCCCCUCCUUGUAGUUCUCCGCGCGAUAAGCAGCGACCGGGAGCGCCGUAAGAACGUCCGGGUGGAGGCCGCUGCGCGGCGCGAGCUCGGUGGCGAAGACGAAGCGGCGCCGGGAGCGGGAGCGGCCGAGCACGGGAUUCGCGCCCACGUACUGCUUGGCGUAGAGGUAGAGGACGAAUAUGAAGGCGACAACAAUGAAGAGGAAGAUGACCGCAGCCACCAUGAUCUCGCUGCUUAUGGUCGCCGCCGCGGCGCUAUUGGUGGGCGCCGACGCCUCCUCCUCCGCCAUUGUUGCUGCUAAAAAUGGGAUUUUGGGAAUUAACUGGGUUUCUGUCUAAAAUGGGGAAACUCUGCGGAACCGGUGAGAUUUGGGGAAUUGCGGGGGGUUUCUGUGGAGAAGGUUGCAGUGGAGAGGGGAGAGAGGAAGAUGAGAGAAUGGGGUGGUUUCGUUGUUUUGGUUAGAGGAGUUUAUUGUUGUGGAAGGGAAGGGAAGGGAACGGUGAUGUGUAGAAGCGAGCUAUCCCAAAGGAGGGUUUUAACGUCCAUUGGAAGGAGGAAAGUGAGGGGAAACAGAGUGUGACGUGGACGAGUAACGUUGAUGGAAAUUAACAACGUCAACGGCGGCGCCAAAGUUGAAGAAUUCUUCAAAACGUGACUAAAAAGAUCUGGAUAUGCUUGCGUAUAUAAUAAUAAUUUAAUUUCCAAUUUCCUCAAAGAAAAAAAAAAUCAAUUCCAUAAUGAAAACUUAGAAAGUGAUAGAGAAAAACACACAUAUUAUUUAUUACCUUUCAUUCAAUGCUAGGGUAGUUAUUCGCGCGAUGCGACGAAUAAAUAUUAUUAUAGUCAACUUUUAUUAUAUCUACUAAAUUUUUUUCUUUUUAUAUGUUGUGUUUUAGAAAGUAAUCUAUUUUUUUUCAUCUUUUAAAAUACUAAAUUUUGAUUUGUUUUCGGCUUCUUUUUCUUAAUAUUCAAUAUAUAUAUAACUUUGAUUUUUUUACUAAAAAUUUUGCUAUUUUAUUUCUUCUAUAAUUAUACUGUUUGAUUUUAUUUUAUCACUCUGAUUCUAAUUUUAAAACUUAUUCUUAUUCUUUAUUUUUUUUUCAUAAGUGCCACUUACGUAAAUAAGUAAAAACAUAGACAUUAAAUUUGAAAAGUAAGUGAAAGUAUAAAAAAUAAAUAAAUAAAUAAAAGAUAGUAAAAAAAAAUAUUGAAAUACCUAAGAAGAAAUGAAUGAAAUAGAACUAAUAGUAAAAAUAAUAAGAAAAGCAAGUAUAAUAGUAGCUGGUUAUGCAAAAAAUACUGUAACAGCAAUAACAAAUCAAAAGUAACAAAGCAAAACAACAAUAUCUUUUUGCAAUCUAGAGUUAUAGUAGAAAAAAAAUAAUAAUAGAAGAAAAUUAAGUGCACAGUACAGAAAAUUUAUUAGAAUACAUAAGAUGUNGUAAGGAAAAACUAGAUGAAGAUAGGAUAGAAAAACCUCCUAAUAAAAAGAAGAGUUACAGAACCAAACCAGCGAAGAUUUUUAAAAAAUAAAGCAGCUAAGAACCAAAAGAAGUUACAAAAUUAAUAUAAGAAGAAAGAUAGAAGGAUAAAUUAAAAGGAGUCGAUAAUGGUGCUUGAAUUUCUACUUCUACUACUGCUGUUUCUACUGCAUCUUCAGUUUUUUUUUUCUUUUAUUCGUUUUUCUUCCAUAGGAAGAAAAGAACUACAAACAUAAGAAGAAUAAAAAGCUAUUUCUACAAUUGUGAAUGAUGUAUAUAUUAUCGUGUACAUGUAAAGUAAAAAUUAAAUAACAUUCUAAGCCAUAAAAUUGACAGUUACUUAUGUUUUCAUAGUUGGUAUUACCGCUGAUGCUUUUACUGCUAGUGCUGCUCCUUCUAAUUUUACUCUAGGCUUAGAUAAUCAAUAAACUUUAUUAGUAAUCAACAAAGGUAAUUUUUGCAUUUUAAAUGUUAUUAAAACGAAUUGUACCGAAAAGUAUAAAUUACCUCAAUAGUUGCUUUAUCGGCUGUUGAGAGAAAUUGAUGGUUGCAACAGUUGCACAAUUGCUAUCCAAGCUGUCUUAUCAUACAAAAUAUUUAUUGAUAUUUAAUCAUAUAAUUGUUUAUUUUUCAUCAUCAUCAAUAAUAUAAGAAACGUAUACAUUAAAUUUGUAAAACCUAUUAAAAAGUAAUUAAAAGUAAAGAAGUAAAUAUUAAAAUAACUGAAAAAUAUUUGAAACUAUAUAGAAAUUUCUUAAAUAGCUUUCUAUAAUUGGUAACGAAAGAAUUGAAUACCUCACAAAUUCCCAGAUUAGAGGAUGUUUCUAUACUUUUUCUUGGUUGUUAAUUUUGCCUAGUUGUUAGGGAGCAUAUAUUUAGUGAAAUAAACAAAUUUUUCUAUUCUCGAUAUAUUAGCGCGCACAUCUAAUUUGAAUAGCUCUCUAAUCCCGAAAUUAGAGGAUCAAUAGUAGUUUUUAUUUUUUCUUCUAAAAAAUAUAUGAAUAUAAUAGGUAAAUCAAACUAAAUAUAUAUAAAAGGGUUAUGAAUAGGGGAGCCUACCGAUUCAAAUCCAAUUGAUUGCAUAAAGCAACAAAAGCAUGCCAACAGUAAGAAAGCAAAAUUCAAAUUUAUUAGAAAAAUAUGGCUAAAUUAUAGAAAAAAUUCCCCUGUCAAUAUCCGCUUUUUCACUUUUUUCCCUGUCAUUCAAAAACAUCCACUUUUCCCUCUUAAAAAAUAAAAAAUGUUCACUUCGGCCCCUACCGUCAAUGUUCCGUUAGAGUUCCAUUUAUAUCAUAUUUUUGUACCCAAAAUACCCCUGAAACCCUCAUCUUCCUCCUCCUUCCGCACCGACAUUCUCGGCCAUGCCGCCUCGCCCUCGCCCUCGCACAUUUCUCUGUCCGUGCCCAAACACACGCCGCCGCCCUCCUCCGCCGCCUUGCCCUCGCCCUCGCACACUCCUCUGUCCAUGCCCAAACACAUGCCCUCGCUCUAUUAAGUAUUGUGUGUUGGCAAGUUUCGUGAAUUGAGUCGGAGUCUUGAAGGAUUUGGUGCAUAUUGUGAAAGUUCGAAUAAUCCAAGACUUCGGAGAAAUUAGAAAUAACUCACAACAUAAAUCACGAUGCUAAGGUAAGCUUUCAAUUCAUGAUAUGGUAAUUCACACUUAUAGACAUUAGAAUCAUGAAAAUCAAAGUUUCGUGGAUUAGAAAGUGCUUUGGAACUUUUUGAAACCCGAGAUUGUGAAAUUCUGAAAACUACAGCUGUUAACCGGUAAAGCAUCGGACUGUUAACCGGUACAGCAUCGGACUGUUAACUGGUACAGCAUCGGACUGUUAACUGGUUAACAAUAUAUAUCGAAUUUUCUGUGUCGCCUUUUGUUAACCGGUGACAACUUAAUAUGUUAACCGGUACACAGUGUAAAAACCUGAAAACUUUUUAAUCCAACUCUAAUUGAUUCUAAAGUCUAUAAAUAAGCUAUUAAGGUUCUCUAACUCAAUGAACCUGAUGAGAAUAUAUGUUUGAGAAGCCCUAGAGGCUAGGAUUUUGUCCAAAACCUAUUUCUACAAAAUAGCCUCUUCUAGGUCAAUUCGAGAUAUUGUAAUUCGAGAUCUAUAUGUCGAAUUGAUCUAAGACUUUGCUUAGAGUUUUGUCUAUGGUUCUUCAUCGAUAUUCUAAGUGAAGGAUCACCAUAAUCAUGAUGUUCUUCAUGGACGGCGCCGUGCAUUCAGCGUGAUCGAAGGCGGCUCGUGGAUUCGGAUCGUGUGCUCGUGGAUUCGAGUGGUGUUUGUGGAUUCGGAUGUGAGCGAGGCGUUCGCGGAUUCGAACGUGAGGGUGUGGACAACCCGGAGGAUUGCGCGAGAUUCAUAUGAGGUUAAGAGAGGUCGAGUCCGUGGAGUCGGUAAUCACCUUGUAAUAUUUUCUCUUAGUGAAUUAUUUUUUUCGCGUGUUGGUCCCGUGGAUUUUUUAUUCCAAGUUUGAGUUUUCCCACGUAAAUCUCAGUGUGAUUUUUAUUUUCCGCAUCUACUUUUAUCGCAUUCAGAUUUGUGGUUUUUGGCCGUUACACCUAUUCACCCCUCUCUAGGUGUUUGAUACAAUCUAGAUAGAUUCUAGGGCUCCUCAUAACUUACACUCCCUCCUCCGCCACCUCACCCUCGCCCUCGCCCUCGCCCUCGCCCACCUCUCCGCCUAUACCCACCACCAUCUCCUCCCUACAAUCGCCGAAAUAGAGGGAUAGUGAGAGUGCUAGAGGAGCAAGGGAGCAGGUCGAGGAAACAGAGUCAGAGCUGGGGUUGAGGGAGGUGCGAGUGAGGGUGCGGGAUGAGCAAGAUUAGGGAGAAGACGAAAAAGAUUAAGGCAAGUUAGUUAUUUUGUCACACUGUACCCCCCUGCAAAUAUUUUUUUAUUUUUUAAGGAGGGCAAUGUGUAGGUUUUUGAAUGACAGGAGAAAAGUAAAAAAUUGAAUAUUGACAAGGGGGUUUCUGUAAUUUAACCAAUAUAUAUAUAUAUAUAUAUAUAUAUAUAUAUAUAUAUAUAUAUAUAUAUAUAUAUAUAUAUAUAUAUAUAUAUAUAGUAGGGCUACUAUGCUAUUAAUAGCACAGCUGCCCUCGUGCUCCUAAGUUUCUAACCAUCCAUCAAUUUUGAUGGGUGGUUAGGGUGAGAGAGAGAAAAGAAAUUUAGAAGAUAUUCAAAAAGAUAAGAAAUUGAUAACCUUAAUUUCUCUCUAAUAUCUCUUCUCUCUCUCACCUAUAUGUCAGUCCCCCGGAAAGGCAUUUGGACGCGUAACGCGCAGGCGAAGCCACCGAUAGGACCGGGAAUUCCUCUGUAGCGGACGUAGUCUCCCCAGUAGUACAAGGCGUGCAAUCCCAAAAUCACGAAUGUUUCAAAAGAAUAUAUAAUCAGAUUGCCUAAGGAAUACAAUAAUAAUCUAGCUUGCUAUUACACAUUCAUUUCACAAUCACGUUAACAUCAAUUCAGUUUACAUUUUUUAUUCCAAAUUAAAUCUCAAGUACUAAUAAGUUUCAAGUUGAUACAUUUUCUUUUUUGUUCUUAGACCUAAGCUAACUGUCUAGGGUACUGCUACGUUCGGUCUUGUGUGGGCGCUAUUACUGACUAAUGCCCUCGAUCGGCGCAGCGCCGCGCCGUACAUGAAUGGAACGAAUGAUAACGUCCCAAAACAAAGUGGGGUGAGAACAAUCAUGGUUCCAGUGGGUAACGGCACCAGGAAAAGCUCGACCGAUAGGUCCGAGGAGGCACUGCAACAUGUUAGUUCAACAAUAUACAACAGAUAUAUAUAUUCAAUUGAAAUACAUGACAUACCUCACAAUAUGCGAUAUGAAAAUCAUGCAACAACUAGUAGAUCAUUUGAAUUCUACUUUUAUUUGGCUACUUUAGCUCAUAACUUUACUCUAAGGUUUCUAUUACCUUAGGAUCACAACACCAACCACUAGCUUCUAAGGUUUCUAUUUACCUUAGGUCAAGCCUCUAUCUCUAGCUCAUAAGGGUUCCUCUACCCUAUCAUAGCUAACCACCCGACUCGACUUCGAGUCAAUCAUCUGCGGAUAGUCCGCGCACUGGCUGCUCAACAGCCUACCGCACUCUCUCUGACUCAGCCUCCCAGCGACGAAAUCGUCGCACACGCUGAACACGGCUCGAGCCACAAGACUUGACCAUCGGUGGCGAUCGCGUUGCACUUACCCAGCGUGAGCUCAAGACAUGACAUACUGUCUGGCGGCGAACGGGUGGCACCACACCCAACAACGGUCAUGUCAGACUCAGUCACCUGGAGGCACCCGCAUCGUACUUACCCAGCAUGGAUUCAGUCUACUCUGGCGGUCUGAUUCUCAAAUGGCUUAACCACUCUGGCGGCGAAAUCGUCGCACAAACGCCAGCACAAUGGUUCAAGCCCCGGGCGGUGAUCUCCAUAUGAUCGCCCCCAAUCUACCCACGGUACCGAGCUCGGCGGCGAAGUCGUCGCACGAACGCCCUAGCCUGUACCAGGGACAUCAUAAGUCCUGGGAUUCCGGAAUCCACUUUGCCACAGGUCGAGGGUCCAUAACAAACCCUAUACUGUCGACCUAGCUCAUCCUAGUGGUUAUACCACUAUACUCAUCAACCUAGGUUCCAAUACUCUAGGUUCUAUGUCAACAUCACUUAACCUAGAUACACUUGCUAGGUUCUUGUCAUCUUCGCCUAGAUGACCACUUCUAGGUUUACUAGUUCAACCUAGGUUUUACUAACACUAGGUCAAAUGCCACAUACCUAGAUUGUUCGACUCUAGGUUUACUAAUCAAUCUAUGUUCUUUAACACUAGGUUAGAUGCCACUCGAUCUAUCCGACAACCUAGUUGUCCAAUCAACUCUAUUUACACUAGAGUUAUCAUGUCACUUACUUAGCUCUCAUGAUGCUACUUUGCAUUCUCUACUUUAACUAGCAUUAUGUACAUGCUAUGCUCAUUAUGCUUUCUACUUAGUAUCUCCAUCUAUGCAUAAUUAAUACAUGCAUUCUUUACAUCAACUAGCAUUAAUUACUUAGCAUGCUUUCCAUUUAGCAUUUGCAUCUUAUAUUAAUCAUGCUCUCUACUUAACCUUUAUUAGCAUGGCUCUAUGCAUCAUUAUUUAACAUGCAUUUACACUAUGCAUUAUUAUCAUCAUGCAUUCCAAUUACUUGCUUGCAUUAUUCAUUUAUCAUGCUCAUCAUGCAUUCUUUACUUUACUUGCAUUUACUCUAUGCAUAUUUAUUAAUGCACCAUUUGGUCUUGUCUACAUGCACAUGCAUCAAUAUGAGAUUACAUUGCUAAGACAUAAAGGGCGACCUAGUCGCUUCGGUAAGCACAACCCACCUUUAACUCGCGUUCCGAUUGCUCGUCGACACUUGCAAUCGGCCUCCCGCGGCACUCGGCACCCUUUGGGCCCGACAAGCUCUUGCACCUCAACCGUGUUCCGCUUUACAAAUCCGGAAAUUAUAGGUCUUUGGUUAUGCGCCACGAUGCCACACGUCCGUUCCCACGAACAUACGACGCCGUCUCGGACCUACAGGCAAGAAUGAAGCCUCAAGGCUUAUUUCUUUAAUAACUUUAAAACGGCUCGACGAAUGCUCAAUCCGUCUUCGCCCACGCGUUUCUUGACCUAGCAAUUAGGUUUCCAAGCACUCAAAAUAGAUCAAAACCCCACAUUAGCAAAAUCCCCAUUUGGGAUGCCCUAAUGCAACAUAGGCUUAAUACCUCGGAUUUGAUCUAUAAAACAAGCAAAAGAAAGCUUGUUAAUCAUCUAGAAGCUCAUCUAGGAGCAUUCGAACUCAUUCUAGGGUGUUUAAAGCAAACCCUAGAAAUCCACCAUUAGAGCCUCAUGAAGAACACCAUGGAUUUCAUGUGUUCUAGGCCUCUACGAAGUUCUAAAGCUUGUAGGGAGAUCAAAAUCCAAAGAUCUAGGGUUUAAAAUCCAUUCUACAAAAAUCUACCAUGAGAGGCUUGGAAGCUUACCUCUCCUAGAGCUCCAAGGGAGAGAAGAAGAUGAAGAGGAUGAUGAUGGUGAUGAUCCUCUUCCUCUCCUCCAUCUUCUCCUUCUUUUCUUUUUUCUUCUUUUCUCCUUUUCCUUUCUUCUCUUCUCUUUUUUCUUCUCUUUUCUUGCAACCGGUUGAGAGAGGGAGAGAGACACGAGAGAGAGAGAGAGAGAACUGUGGGAGUGAGAGAGAGUGAGAUAAAACACUCUCUAAUAGUGUAUUGUAACAAUAUCCACCUAGCCUCUCAAUAUUUUCCGUUUUUCCAACUUAACCCACUGUUCUAGGUCCCUUGUACCGGUACACGGGCUCUUGUACCGGUACAAGGCCCGACAGACAGCCAAAAUCGAGAGCUAGCUCGCUCGGUUUCGCAGGUUUUGUACCGGUACAAGGCCCCCCUUGUACCGGUACAGCGCCGUAGCACUGUUCCGUGAUGGUUGUACCGGUACAGCCAUCAUGCUUGUACCGGUACAGCACCUGCAGAAUGCUAUUUUCACUUCUUUUCGGCUCUAUUUCGCGCCGCACGAUGUCAAGACCCUUCCAACUCCUUUGGAACUCACUUUUACUCUUCCAAUCAUGUUGGAAUACCAACGAAAACUUGUCCAUCCAUCUUCUUCGCAUACUUUAAUCGAUUUGGCUAAAGUUCGAUAAUUUCUUCCGAAACCUCGGGGGUUACACUAACCACCCAUCAAAAUUGAUGGAUGGUUAAAAACUUAGGAGCACAAGGACUGCUGUGCUCCUAAUAGCACAGUAGCCCUACUAUAUAUAUAUAUAUAUAUAUAUAUAUAUAUAGAGAGAGAGAGAGAGAGAGAGAGAGAGAGAGAGAGUGUGUGGGUAAAGCAAACUAAGUGUAUAUAGAAAGAUUAUGCACAGAAAAGCUUAUAGACACAGAACCAAAUGACAGCAUGUCACACCCCGAGGUUCCUUUGAAGUUUAAAAUCGAUGCAGAAGUGUCCAAAUUUUUAUUUUAUUUUUUUAAACCUUGACCACAGGGAAUGUCAGAUCAGCCAAAAAUACAGAAAAUCCACUGUUCACACGAACAAAGUCUCCACUAUAUUUGCACGGUGUCGCACAAGUAUAAGAUACAACCACAUCAUAUAAACAUCCAUAUACAAUCACCACAUCACAGAAACCAAUUCACAUUUAUUCAAUCACAAGAUUACAAUAUUUUCUUUAUAAAUUUACAUCUAUUAGUUUGAAACGUUUUCCACCCGGAAACUCAUUUUGAAAUACUAAAAAUCAUAAAAAGUGAAAAAUCCUUUCUAAAACCGUUUCCCACACGAAAAUCUUUUUCUUUAAAACAAGCUACCACGAGGGGUAGAAAAUCAUUUUCAUACUUCACAUGAAAACCACAAGUACUUUAUUUAACUUUCCAAAACCAUAUAUAUAUCCAACUGAAAAGAAACCAACUGAACUAUAAAAUAUCUAAGUUACAUUAUUCUAAAUAAGUAAGGAUAGAAACUAAACCAAUUUAAUCGGGACGGAAACUCUAUCGACCGCUACUAACGUGUCUCACGCCUCGUCGCACCCUCAUCGCCUACUUCACCUAAAAAAUAGUGGGGUUGAGAACAUGUAAACACGUCUCCCCUCCCAGUGGGUACCGCAAGUCGACGAAGGCGAGGAAUACUCACCGGUACAGAGAAAGAUAAUCAGAGUUAUGAGCAGAUAUCACAAAUACAGUAGCAAUAAUAACAAAAGGAAAGAAAAUAGUAAUAGAACAAAUAACUACCACUACUGUAAAGUCGAACAGAAUACAUACAUGGAUAUCAUAACUACAGUAGCAAUGAUGCAGGGGGUAAACAAUAGUAUAGAGGAAUGUAACUAGCUGCUACUGUAAUACAGAACAACGUACAAGUAUGGAUCAACGAGACGAUCAGUCCCAAAAAUACCCAAUCCAGAAGCUGCCAUAUCAGUCCAAAGACCUCAGGCUAUGCCACUACCGCUUUAGCAAGGAUGUGACCCGAGCAAUAGGCCGCUAGGGUCUCCCUGGCAUAGAACCCAACAAUAGGCCACUGAGCUCACAGGUAGGAUGUAUGACAACUUUUCCAAAAAAGAACACCCUCCUGAGGUGGAUCAGAUCGCUGGUGUAUGUGAAAUGCAUAUGAGAAAUGGCGAUCGAUGCAAUAUGCUCAAUAGCCCACUGUCGGCGAAUAGCCGAAGUAAAGUCCAACAAAGAGUAACUGACCAACUAAGUCAACCUCUAUCUCAAAGAUAGAACAAUAUCAGAGUAACCAACCAACCAGGUCAACCUCUAUCUCAAAGAUAGAAAAAUAUUACCAACCAAUCAUAUCAAAACAGUGCAGGUCAUGCAAUAGACCACUAGAAAUGGCACAGGCCACGAAGUCAACUAAUGUCAAAUCACAGCAUGUAUGAAUACGAGUGUCACUGACUACAAAGUCAACUAAUGUCAAAUCACAGCAUGUAUGAAUACGAGUGUCAUCGACUAGAAAGUCAACUAAUGUCAAAUCAUAGAUCAGUAUAAUCUAUAAUCAUCUGUCGGCAACUAGCCGACAAUCCUACCCGUCAGAGUAUACUGACCUCAUAGGUCAUCAAACGACAGAAGUCAUGUAACCGACCGACUAGGUCACAAGAGUGUCACAAUGGACGAGAUGCAAACAAUAUCCGCUCUACUUCUCGAAAAUGAUAACAAAUAUAGAAGAAGACUAAGUAGAGCAAUACAUAAAUGUUCACAUGGUGUCAGGUCCAAGAAUGGUAAACAACUGUAAUAAGAGAGAUAGAGCAGAGAGAAUAUCACCUAGCGUGUACCACUAGACCGACUCCGGAUCGAAGUAUCUACCUGUAUGAAUAACGCGCCUAUCUCGCGACUGUGGAAGAACAUCAACUAGACCUACGGAGAGUCCACCGGGUUAGAAUCCAACCCAUAAAUAUGAAAUACUAAACUCACAUCCCCACAAUUAAUCCCACGGGGAUCGGUUUCCCAAAACCGAUUACCGUUACUCGCCGGGAGUCCCGAAAAUCGCACUGGGACUCCGCCGGGACCCACGAAGUGUCCCGACACUCACUGACUCAUGCCAUGAGUCACCCAUUGCCACAAAACAUAUCGUUUUGGAUGUCUUGGCAGUAAACACAAGGUCAUAAAUCAGAACAAUUAUCGUCGGAUAAUCGUUUAGAUCCGGGUUCUCGGAAGUGUCAAUUUCGACACCAGAACCCACCAUUGCUCAUCCAUCAUCUUCGAACCCUCGAAACGACGUAACUGACUAGCCAACAAGGCUCAGUGACAAAUGUAAUGUGCUCGAACAUCGUCAGAAGGAAUCCGAACCGAAAUCGCGUUCCGUCGAUGAAUUUCGCCGAAAAACGCUCUGAAAAUCGAUAUUCGAUUUCCGCAAAGGCCUCGGACCUUGGAUAAUCAGUCCAGAGAUCACCCGCCACCCUCACCAACUACCCACAGUAGCCACGAAGUGAACAUUUGCAUAAAAGUCCCUACAAUCACAUAAAAUUAUAUUAUUUUAUGUGAUUUUUGGGGUUUUACUGCUUAACAGCACAAAUCAAAGGUUUUCGAGGCUGGCCGAGACACACAUUGAUAGGUCUCAACGUGCCGGAGGCCAUGCUCACGAUCCGGACCACUGUGGAGAGUGCGGGAGCGACACCAAGUUCAGCGAACUGCUCGCGCUGAACCUAAACCACGCUUACCUCGCAAACUGAGGGCUCGUUGACCCCAAAGGAGAUGAGCAAGAUGAUUGGCACUGAUCAUGAAUCAUCGUGCUCACUUCCGAAAGCAUCGGGGUGCCCUCGGGUCGCCGGAACAGCAAUCCGAACCGAAAAUAAUGCACAGAUAACAGCUUAAUAAAGCUUACCAUCUAGGGGGAGUUAGGGCACGGCCGGCGGCUGCGGGGCGGCGGUCGCGCCGGCGACGGGUGGGUGCGGCCGGUGGGUGGAUGCCAGGGCUCACGUCGGCUGGUGACGGAAGGUAGUGGCGGCGGUAGGCAAUGAUGCCCUAGCCGCACGGGUCAAGGAGGAGCUGGGCUCAAGUCCGACCGGCAGGGGGCUCCGGCGGCGGGGGCACCGGCGAAAAUAGGAUGCAGCCAACCAGGGGAAGCUGGCGCUCACACUAGUCAGCAGCGGUGGCGGCACGAAAAGAAACUGAGCCCGCACUGUCACGCCCCCGCCUCGAAACCCCUACCAAUUUGGCACGGUUCGGGCGCGGCGAACGUGCAGCAACUCCCCUGCUUGCCCAAGGCUCACAACCUGAUCAUGAACAAGAAUUUAACCAGAAAAAUUUAAAUUCAUACAUACACGAUCAACGGGGCGCAAGUGUAACAUACCAAAUUUUGGUAUAAAAAUAAAAAUAAAUAAAAAUAGUGUGAGAAACUAUUUUUAUUGGGUUUAUAGAAGUAAAGCAUAAGUCAGAAGUGACUUGUGCUGAAAUCGGAAUGAAAACAGAAGAUCUAGAAUUUUCUGUUGGAAACGGGACAGAGAAAUUAGCAGAAAAUGCACAGUCUCAGAAAAUUAUGAAAAUUGGAGGAUAAGUCAGAAAUAUUUUUAUGAGGCUAGAUUUAAAGUUUCAUAUUUUUCUGACACCCAUAGAGUGAGAAAUAAAAUCCGACAGUUAUCUGAUAAAGAUUACAGUUCGGUACGGUUUUCGGUGACCAAAUGACGUCGAAACUGGAAACUUAAAAUAUAUUCUUGCUCAGUACGUAAAACCGAACAUGACUGUCAAGUUUGAGCUCAAACGGACAUUCAGGGAGCUCCGGCGAAAGAUAUCAGAUUUCAAGCUGCCCGGGAGUGAAUAGUGUCGUGGGGGUAUUAUAAAGAAGCUGUUGCUUCUUCUUCUCCUUCGGCCGCACACCACACAUGCACACGACACACACACACACGCAAGGAAAGGGAAAGAGAGAAAACUCCUUUUCUCUCUCUAGAUCUCUCCCAAAAUUGAAGGUUUUGGUGGAGAAGCAAGCUUGGAAGUUGAUCUUCAUCUUCUUUAUCUUCUUCCUCUCCAUUAGAGCAAGCUUUGAAGGUAAGCUUCAAACCCUUUAAUGGCAUUUCUCUCUAGUUUGGUUUUUAAGCUCUAAGAAUGGAUUUAGAGGUAUUCUAGCAUGCUAAUUAGAGGUUUGAUGCUUGAAAUCAAGGCUCUAAUGGUGGAUUUUUACCUAUUGAAACCUAGAGCUCCAAAAUGAGGGCUUUAAUGGUAGAUCUCUAAAGAUAGGUCUAAAUGCUUUGGAAAUGGUUUUAGUGGAACCCAUUGAUGCCUAAUAGAUGAUUAAUGCUUGAAUCAUAGAGCAAUUUAAUGAUUUCUUGCAUAGUUGUAAACCUAGGGCUCAAAAUGCAAACUUUCAACAUAUGAGGGUUUGAUCUCAUUUGACCCUCCGUAAACCAAAUUGCUAGGUAACGAAACGCGUUGGCGAAGACGGUUCGGCAAUCCGACGAGCCGUUACAAAGUUAUUAAAGAAAUGGACGUUUAGGCUUCGGGUCCGCCGGGAGGGCCGAGGCGAUAUCGUAAAUUCAUGAAAAUGGAUUUGAAGCAUCGUGGCACAUAACCGAAGACCUUUAAUUUUCGGAUCGUGAAUUGGAGGCCGUUCGGGUGGUCGCGUGAGAGAUCGGGCCAAACCGGGUGCCGGGUGCCGCGGGCGGCCGAUUGCAAGUGUCGACAAGCAAUCGGAAUGCGAAAUGAGGUGGGUUGUGCUUACCGAAGCGACUAGGUCGCCCUUUAUGUCUAAGAAAUGAGAUUUCAUAUUGAUGCAUAUUGACAUAAUAUAAGAAUGUGAAAAGAAUGCAUGUUAACAUACUAUAGAAAUGCUAGAUGAAUGCAUAUGAUUAAUGCUUUGAAUGCAUAAUAUAAAGGGCGUAUGAAUGUUAGCAUUAUAAGAACAUCAUAAAAGGAAUGUAUGAUGACAUGUUGUAGAAUAUGCUAAAUGUAAUGCAUAAUGAAUUAAGUGCUAAAAGAAUGCAUGAGAUGCUAAGUAUGGACUAUUUUGGAUAAUGACUAUAUGUAUGUUGACAAAUCAUGUGAUGCUAGUGGUAUAUGUGCAUGAUGAUAUAUUAUGAAUUUACAUAUUGUGGAUUAUGUUAAAUAGAAAAACAUACUUGAUGACAUAUUGCCAUGUUGUGGAACAUAGUGGACAAUCUAUAUAUAUAUUAGAUCGAGUGGCAUUAAACCUAGCAUCUUGAACCUAGCAAACACUUGUGGUGAUUGAUCAUAUAUAUUCUGGUGUCAUUCAUGUAUGUUAGGACCCUAUUAUUGUGUAAAUGUGAGAGUUGGACUUGAACAUUAGUAAACAAGGGUGACAAUGACAAUAGAGACAUGAUUGGCAUCAAGAAAGUGAUUGUUAAACAUAGUUUAACCAUAUUGACAUUGGUCCAAGUUGACAUAGAGAGUGGCAUGAUUAAAUAGGUAGAGACCUAUCAUGACAUUGGCAUUGUGACGAGUGGCUAUGAAUCCUCAAGUUGAGGAUUGGAUCGAUACUCACGUUACGUCUUGGCUUGAGGGAGGUAGCUCCCCCUCGGGCGGUGCGCUCCGGAGUUGGUCACCACUGGGCGUGGUAAAGUCCCACCAGUUGACGGUCCCUAGGGAGGUUCGAGUCCCCCGUUAUUAAGGGAUUUGGUUGUGAGUUAUUGGGGUUAACAUGGUUAACCGGUAAGAUUGGGUCAUAGCCAAAUGAGUGUACAACAAGUAUGCAUUAUGAGUUAUGGAUUUGGUAUCCUAGUCGAGAGGAUUUAGGGCUGAGGUGUAUGUGAGACGUCCAUCGCCUCGAGCCUGGUUCUAGUGCGGUACUCCGCAGACGAUUGACUCAAGACCGAGUCGGGUGGUUAGCCUUGUAAAGGUAGAUGAAACUUUAUGAUUAAAACGGUGAUUGACAAGAAUCUAAGAUAGAGGAAACCUUAGAUAUCGAAUGGAUGAGCUAUGGUUAGCAGAAUUGAAAGUAGUGUCAAAUGAACUACUAGUUGGUUGCAUAGUUGCAUUAUUGCAUGAUUUGCAUAUAGCAUUGCAUUAUUGCAUUCGUGAGGCAAUGCAUGGUUUUAUUCGUUGCAUAAUCAAGAUAUAUAUCUAUCUGUUUAUUGAACUAACUUGCAGUUGCCUCCCUUGGACCUAUUGGUCGAGCUUUUCCCUUGGGUGGCCGUACCCACUGGGAACCAUGGAGUUGGUUCUCACCCCACGUGGUUUUGGGGUGUUACAGGUUCGCACGUGAGCGGCGCGGCGGCGCGAGGCGAGGGCGUAGCUCCAUAGUUAGCGCCCUACCACCGAGACCAGAGAUAGCGGUACCCUGAGUCGGCCUUACUUAGGGAUGUAAAGAAUGAAAAGAAUCAAGUUGUAAUAAUCAUGUUAAAUCGGAUUGUAUUUGGAAGUUAAGUGAAGGCUAAUGUAAGAACCAAUUGAGAAUUGUGAUGUAAAAAUAUAUGAAUAUGAAUGUAUGUAAUAAUAUAGGAUGUGUUUAUAUUGUUUGAUACCUUCCAUUAUGCAAUCUUGAUUGAAAUGUGUUCCUGGUUGGAACUUCGCACAUUGUUUUGAUUGCUAUGCCUUGAACGUACAGGGGAGACUCUGUCCGCAGUACAGGGGAAACCCUGUCUAUUCGGCGGUCUGUCGGCGGCGCCGCGAUCCGGCCAAAUAGGCGGGCGGUCGCGGGGCGUGACAGAUAAGAUGGUAUCAGAGCAUAAAAAGAACAUAAAAAGAAUAAUAGAAAAUGGUUUAGUUGGACCUAGGAAACCCUAGGAUAGUGAACCAUAGGAGAUUAAGGCUCGUGAGAGACGAGGACUUGUUUCUUUUGGCGAAAGGUUAAUUGAUUGGGUUAUGUUGUAAACCUCUAAAACGGAUGUUGGGGGUAGAUUCAAGGUGUGGUUUAUUCUCAACCGAGGGUGUUCAUGUUGGAUGCAUACAACAUGAAACCGAGUAAUGAGAAUAGACGACCUUGCGUGACUUUCGCCCGAUUUGAGUCGGUAUUAAGUGUUUCGUGUUCGACCUAGAAGGUCGAGGAUUAAUAAGGUCGUCGCGUUUUAGGGAGUAAUAGCAUCUCGUAGGCGAUCUUCAUUUAGAUCGGCGCGGGAUGGGCCAAGUGGUGUCCCUGGGCAAUUUGAGGCGAGCGGAGACUUGGAACUUCGCGAGUUUUGGCGUCCCUCGUGACUUUUGAGAAAUUAACGGGAUCCUCAUCGUGUUAAACCACUUUUGGUCGAAUUGACCAAAAUGUGUCGAGAGAAAUAGUUGCACAAGUUCCAAUUAGCAUUCCAACAAUGUUGGGAGGGUUAAAGUUGAGUUCCAAAAGAGUUAGAAAGGUUUUAGCAUUGCUCGGCGCGAGUUGGAGUCGAAGCGGUGCAAAAUCGAAAUUCUGGAACAUGUGUUACCGAUUUAACACCAGGGGGGUACCGGUAUAGCAUGGUUGUAACGAAGUGAAUUCUCGAGAGCCGAGAGUUGGACUUCGUUCAGGAUCGGCUAGUUGUUGAGUGGGUAUGUAAUAUACCGAAACUUCGGUAAGCGAACAUCGAACCUCAGUCAAAUUGACCAAAGAGCGAGGUUGGUACGCUUCGGAAAGGCCGAAGGCGUCAAAUAAUGCAAAAGUGCAUUACUGGGGAUCUUCGAGAGCUUUGGAAAUCAAAAUCUGCAAAACUGCAGAUUUUGUGCUCUCGGGGACCGGUCCCUGCCGGGAGAGACCGGUCCCCGCACUCACAGACAGCGAAAGGGAGGAAAAAUCGGCUAAGUCCUUGGUGGACAGCUCUCGGAGACCGGUCCCUGCUGGAGAGACCGGUCCCUGAGAGACCGGUCCCCCAAAGAAAGACCGGUUGCAUCGGGUGUGAGCUCUGCUGACUGCGGGGAGAAGCUCUCGGAGACCGGUCCCUCGUCGGGGACACCGGUCCCCGAACCCGAAAAUGGCCCAGUCAGGGCAGUGUAAAAGAAUAAAAGUUGAGGGGCUUGUUUGCACUUAUGCAACAUGUGGGGCUAUGUGAGGGGUAUGAGAGCUCUUUUCUCUUAUUUCUCACCCACACACCCUCUCAUAUCUCUCUUUCUCUCUCUAGCAGACAAGAAGAGGAAGAAGAAAGGAAAGGGAAGAAAAAGAAGAAGAGGGAGGUCUUCCUCAUCUUCCUUAUUUUCUCCUUGGUUGGAGCUUCUUUGAGAGGUAAGCUUCUAAGCUCUCUCCCAUGGUGGAUUUCUAGAGAUAGACUUGAUUGCUCUAGAAAUGGAGUUUUGUAUUAUGUGAGGGCGUAGUACCUGCCAGUACAGGUAUAGAGCCAGAUGGCACUAGCAAAGUGCUAGAAGUAAUUUAUGGCGAGAAGUGAGACUCGCGGUAGAAAUAGAAGCGUCGAAAUGACUCUCAAAGCAGUAUGAGUGGUAAAUUGCGAGAGUCGAGCCAUAACGCCUAUGGGCACCCGAGUAGUCCGAAAAUUUCGGAUGUCAUUCCGGUAAAUCGAACAGUGAAAGUAGCAUCACUUUUGAGAGAACGGUCGAUUAGUGGCCAAGUUUGAGCAUGUGGGCCUAGUAGUACCUCAAGGUGAGGUAGGCGGUUGUGCUCGUGCGGCCGGUGUGCAUAGGCAAGAUUGCCUAAUGCUGGACUUCGUGUGGAACGCUGUAGAGGCGUAGAGCGCUCGAGUGUAGAGACCCGCAGAGUACGGAUGCGUAUUCAGCCAAGUGAGUGAGUUGGCAGUAGCACUUGAGCAUUGCUAGGUGUGAAGCGUGCCAUGGAUCACUCGUGGGACUGGUGACUCGCACUAGGUGUAUAGGAGCCGAUAUUGGUACGUGUGACUCGGUAGAGUAUGUCGUGUAGGACGACGACGGCGGGUAGUGCUUGGGGACGACCCGUGCCUGGACCGUUUGUGGACUGUGGAGCCUGGGCCCAUUGGGCAGGCACAGUCAGCUGUGAGUGACAGCGGCCCGGUACCUACGGGUAGGGCGGAGUUCUAGUCAGGACGGUAGUCCGAGUUUAGGCCCGGGAGCGUGGAAUGCCACGCGAUAGAUUGUGUGACCGAUGGUACACCGAGUAUGGUUGUGACCCAACCCGAUGACUUGACGUGGUUUGGGGUCUUAGUUGCUCCUGGUUGGAGUGUGUGCGAAUUCCCAAGUGAGAAUUUCACCCGAUCAUGAUUGGGUCUACAUUUGCGAACGAGAGACGCUGCGUAUUGAGACAGGUUUAAGCUGUAAGCCUACGUAGGAUUGGUGGCCUUUGGUCCACCGGUGGAGACCGACAAGAGCGAUUUGGCAGAUAGCCUUAUCGAGGAGUUUGACUCGAAUUCACGAACGAAGUGCUCGCGUGAGCUCGUUGCGAGAAUAGUUUGAUGUUGAUCGUGGCAUGUGGUAUCAGAUGAUGAAGUACUCUUUGUGAGACAUCAAUCUAGUGGAAAGCCACAUGAUGUUGGAGACUAUGCUUGUAAGCGAACUGAGACUUGAGAUGUGCCGAAGUGGGCCAUCUCGCGUUAAAGUUAAGGGUCAGUGCAAAAUUAGAGCACUCAUGACGAAGCGAUGCAUCGGUGAUAUUGCUCCUAAGCAAUGUCGGUGAUCGAAUCAGAAUGUAUUCCCUGAAGGGAAGGUAAGUGCAAGAAAGAGUUCUUUGUGUACCGAAUGGCGAGUGGUGUUGGAGCGCGUAGAGUCGUCGAGUAUCGACUUACGCUGCCACCAUGACAUGCAAGACCCGUGAUGCACUUUUCUAUCACACCUUGCAAAUGUGUCUAGGAUUAAACCCACGUCCUUCAGUAUGAGCCGCUUCUGGAACCACGAUAGUGUGAAGCCGCUCCGGAGUGGGAAAAUAAGUUGGUACCCUCAAUUGCUCACAGAGCUGAAUUGAGGCGUGGUUUGAAUUUCGCGGACGAAAUUCUUUUAAGGGGUGGAGAAUGUAACAUACCAGAUUUUGGUAUAAAAAUAAAAAUAAAUAAAAAUAGUGUGAGAAACUAUUUUUUUUGGGUUUAUAGAAGUAAAGCAUAAGUCAGAAGUGACUUGUGCUGAAAUCGGAAUGAAAACAGAAGAUCUAGAAUUUUCUGUUGGAAACGGGACAGAGAAAUUAGCAGAAAAUGCACAGUCUCAGAAAAUUAUGAAAAUUGGAGGAUAAGUCAGAAAUAUUUUUAUGAGGCUAGAUUUAAAGUUUCAUAUUUUUCUGACACCCGUAGAGUGAGAAAUAAAAUCCGACAGUUAUCUGAUAAAGAUUACAGUUCGGUACGAUUUUCGGUGACCAAAUGACGUCGAAACUGGAAACUUAAAAUAUAUUCUUGCUCAGUACGUAAAACCGAAUAUGACUGUCAAGUUUGAGCUCAAACGGACGUUCAGGGAGCUCCGGCGAAAGUUAUCAGAUUUUAAGUUGCCUGGAGUGAAUAGUGUUGGAUGUUAAUGUAUAAAGAAGCUUUGCUUCUUCUUCUUCCUCCCAGCCGCACACACACACCCGCACACACACACACAACACACGCAUGGAAAGGAAAGGAGAAACCUCUCUUUUCUCUUUCUAAUUCUCUCCCAAAAUUGAUGAAAUUGGUGGAGAUUGAAGCUUGGAGAUGGAUUGCCUUCAUCUUCUUCAUCUUCUCCAUGGUUUGGAGCUAAUUGAGAGGUAAGCUUUAGCUACCCUUUAAUGGUAGAUUCUUAAUGGUUGGUUUAAAUACCUUAGAAAUGGAUUUAGAGGAAUCCUAGCAUGCUAUCUAGAUGAAUGAUGCUUGAUUCAUGAAGGAAUUUGGUGAAUUUUUAUCUAGUUGUAAACCUAGGGUUCAAAAUGCUAAUUUUCAAAAUAUGAGGGUUUGAUAUAAUUUAACCCUCUGUAAACCUAAUUGCUAGGUAAACGAACGCGUUGGCGAAGUCGGUUCGGCGAUUCGUCGAGCCGUUGCGAAGUUAUUAAAGAAACGGACGUUUAGGCUUCGUUUUCGCCUAGAGGGCCGAGGUAACGUCGUAUGCUCAUGAAAACGAAUUUGAAGCAUCGUGGCACAUAACCGAAGACCUUUAAUUUCCGGAUCGUGAAUUGGAGGCCGUUCGGGUGGUCGCGCGAGAGAUCACGCCAAACCGAGUGCCGGAUGCCGCGGGAGGCCGAUUGCAAGUGUCAACAAGCAAUCGAAAUGCGAAAUGAG